AAUUAAAAAUAUUGCCUGGUAAGAGACCUUAUUAACAUUAUCUCAGUUAAGGAAUUGAGUAGAUAGUGGUUUUAGAAGAACUGCAAACUUAGCAUCAGGUUGGUGGCCUUGAGUUCGUAAACCUGCAACGAGCAAGGUACCUUUCUAUAAAUGUUUCGGUCAGGGGAAAACUAGGAUUAGAAAACUAGGUACAAACGAGUGAGCAGGUAAUGGAUGAGUAAGCCUGUGUCAACUGGGAAGGUCAGGUAGACAACUACAGGUUCCAAUUAUAUCCCUUGCAAUCUGCAAGAGCUAAGAAUGACUAAGGCAGGGAAAACUAAUGUCUGAUGAGUUCUAAUUAAUGAUAUUGAGUAAUAAGAAAGUUCAAAAAAGUUGAGCCACGAAAUAGGAACCGCCAUGCUGGCAAGGGAUCAUAGGAGUACCCGCUAGGCCCGUGUAAUUCCAGUUUCUGGACAAGCAACAACCAAUCCAAAUCAGACUUGUUGUGAGAAUAAUUGAACAGUGGAGAAGAAGAAAUUAAAACAGAGUUGGGUCAUCCAAACACAGGUCAGCAAGAAGAUAGUAAGCCGCUCCCACUAGGCCAAGUAAUCCCAAUUUCUGGACAGUGAGAAGCAAAUCGAAAUCAGAAUUGCUGGGAGGCUAAAAUUGAACUCAGGAGAGGAAGUAAUUAAAUAGAGGUAGUAAUAUUAUUCAUCCAAACGCAAAUCAGCCAAAGAUAGGUCGCUCCGGUCCGGUCCGCUUAGCCGUGUAAUCCCAAUUUCUGGAGAACCAACAAUCAACGAACCAAAAUCAGAUAUGUUGCGCGCUGUGCAAACCAAAUAGAUGAAUUGGGAGGUUUUGAUUUAUAUUGUUAUCCAAGUGCAGAUCGAAGUUGCAGGUUGAUUGAGAUCCAAUUGAUAGCCCUGAGAAUCUGACCAUAACAGAGUAACCGCUGAACCGUAGCCAAUCAACCAAUCAAUCAAUCAAAAUAACCAUGAACAGAAAUCAAACCUCAACUCCGCCCUUCUAAAUAACCUACCAUCACUUCAGAACUACCGCUCGCCAUCUUGCUUGUGUAUCCAAGAUGAGAGCACACAUACCAAAAGCGGGAUCAGCUGGUGAAGCAGUAAGAAUCCACGAGGGCCUCAAAGAAUCGACCUCGUGUUAACUGAUACAUACUCGAUCGGGAACCUAGAACCGGAAGACCGCACGGGCGACAGCCGUUGAAUCCAAAUCUUCUGAAAUCACCGAGGGACGCAGGCAGGCGACGGAACCAAGGAACCGACCCGACCCGACCCGACCGAUGGAGUUCGAGAAACUGACCUCGGGUCGCACGGAAUCAGACGCGGGAAGCGAAAUCGAUGGAAUCCCCCAUCGAUCGAUCGAUCGGAUCGCUACCCCCGGAAGCGGGCCGAAUCCCCUGCGAGCACAGGAAGCAAAGCCGGCGAGGAGCGGAGCAAAAAUCAAAGGCGAUUCGAAACGAAUCGAGAUGAGGGACGAGAAAGAAAGAGGAAGGAAACAGUCGCGGAGACGCGAGGAGGCGACUCGGGCGGAGGCGCGGCCCGAAACGAGAGCUCCGAAGAGAGAGGGAGGAGGCGAGAGCGCGGGGUGGAGAGGGCGCACCUGGGCGCCUUUUAUAGCCGGAGGCGGAGGCGGAGGCGGUGGGCGGCCUGGCGCCAACCGGAUCCUUACCGGACACGGCUUCGUCUUCGCCGCGCUGGCGGUGGUUUUCCGUGGACGGGUGGGCGGCGGAAAUCAAAAGCGAGCGGAAUUGGUGGAUCGGGCUGGAUCAUGACUUGCGACUUGGUUCGGUUCGGGUGGACGGGCGGCUGGCAGGUCGGCAACGCGACGCGGGAGAUAGCUGCGCUGCGCGUCGACCUUGGGUUGGGACUUGGGACGUGGGUCGCACCGACGGACCGGGAAAUUUCCAGGCUGCUCGGGGGUCGCGACGGGCCAUGUCCUCGCGCGCGAGCCACGACUAACUCGUGGAUGAGAACGUGGAAACCAACCCAUCAAACGGAAGACUAUGGUUUUCCUCUGUCCACUAAAGUUUAAAUUUCAGAUUUAACAUUGAUGGUUGCAUUUUUAUUUAUUUAUUUCAGAUCUUUCGAUGAUAUGCAUUUAUUAGGAGAAGACGUUUCCGUCGACUACGAAGUCGUCUAUGACAACUUUGUCAAUCUUAAGAUGAUGUGUCGGCUUAGCCUUUCGAAGAUACUUAUAGGGAUAUGGUAUGCGUGUGUGCGUUCAUAGCAAUAAAUGUAUGCUCGUGUAUGUGUACGUGAACAACUUUGAUUGUAUUCUGCUAAAUAAAACUCAUGGAUGAGAACGUGCAAACAUGCGGUGAGGUGGCCCGUUGGGGUUGUCCUAAACGUAAACGUGUGGUACAUGGAAUCAGCUGCCGUGUUUACGCAAUGACGGCUACAACAAAACUACCGGAUGAGAACGUGCAAACAGGCGGUGAGGUGGCCCUUGGGGGUGGUCCUAAUUCCUAAACGUGUGGUACAUGGAAUCAGCUGUCGUGUUUACGCAAUCAACGUGCUCAGAAACUUUCCUAAUUUUAUUCAAGUCAAAAAACUUAUUUUAUUUUAUUUGUGGAUAAGAGCAUCUACAACCGAACCCCUCGUACUGUUAAAACUAAUUACAUAAAUUAGGGGAAAAUCUCCUCUUGAUGUAACCGUUCGAGCGGUUUCCUCCCGCACGGGCGUCUCUCUCCCGACUCCCUGGAACCGACGCAUCUCCUCUCUGUCGUCGCGUCUCUCCAGGAGUUAUAUAUACUCCAUGUAAUCAUCGACAAUGAUAGAAGAAUCACUUUGAUUCGUUUCACGUUAUCAGCACUUGCGCUACCAGAAAGAGCGAGAGCAAACAGAGAAGGAGAGAAGGGAAGGGGAACUUGCCGCCGGUGAGAUGCCAGGCCUCGUCUCCUUUUUCCUUCGCCUCAUCCGUGAGGAUGGUCGCCGCUACCGCCUCAUAGCCCGUCGCCUCCAUGGAGUAGGUGGACUCCGGCGCUUCCGUCGCAGGAUGCAAGCCAUCCGCCGCUUCGGUCGCGAUGCCGCUGGACGCGGUUACCAUGGCACUCGAAGGGAUGCGCGUGGAGGUUACUACGCCUCUGGAAGCGGCCUCCACGCCGCCGGAUGCGCCCACCGCGGUGCUCCUCGCGCCCAUGGCCCGACGCCGAUGGGGUUCGACCCCUCGCUAGUGGCCGACCCGAGCGCCCCUGCGGUGCACGGGGAUGCUGCCGCGCCUGCCCCGUCCCCCGGAUCUCCGCCUCCACCACCUCCUCCACCAACGGCUUGGAUGGCGCCGCCGACGCCCACGCCGGCCGCCGAGACCGCCGGCCCGAGCCGUGCCCCCCUGGCUAUGCGCCCGUCCCGAUGCGGGUCAAGGUGGACGAGGAGGCCGCACUCGGCUUCGUCUCUGCACCAACCGGCGUCUCUGGCGUCGUCCGCCUCGGAGUGGGGAUGGAUGGUGCGGACACCAACGCCUCGCCACCGCGGGAAAUGACCGCGGGCACGAGAAGCCGCGCGAAGCGGCGCUUCGGCCGCCUCUUUGGGCGCGCCGUCGCUGCCCUCGACCGCCAGCCCGGCCACCGCGCCGGCUCGUGGGCUCCGGCGAGCCUUGGCCUCGGAGCAGCCUCCCAUGCCCCCGUCGUCGUCCCCUCCUCUUCCGACGAGGAGGGGUCCUCCGUGAGGCGUCGGUGAUCACCGGAGAGUACAUCGGCCCUCACUCCCGUCGCCAGGUCUCCUCUGGCUGGGCGCUGGUGGUGGGCUGGCUCGCACAGGAGGUGGGGAGCGAGGGGAUGCGGAUGGAUCUGAUCCAAACCGAUCCCACCUCCUCCUCUCUCUUAUGUGCUAGUGUGUGGGGCACGUGGUGCUAGUGUGUGGUUGUGUGGUGUCGAGCCUAGGCCACGUAUUGGAUAUUUGAUCAUAUCCAUCCUAGGCCAUGUAGUGGGAUGGCUAUCACGUGGUGCCGGCUGGCUGUUGUUUCAGUUUUUUUUUAUUAGUCUAGCACCAAUUACUGUAUAUAGUAUAGUUUUAGACUAUGUUUAGUACUACUAUUUAUAUUUAGUCCAGUUCUAGAUUUAUUCUAGUAUAAGAUUUGUGUAAUUAUAAGUGUGUUUAUAUUAUGCAAUGGAUUGAUGAUAUAAAUAAAAGUACCGGAUUUCAUCUGGGAAAAACGACAUUUUCUUAUUGCGAUUGAGAUCAACUUCUCUCGUAUCUCAAACUUGCAAAUUUUGAAAAUUUCUCCCUCAUCUUAUUUGAAAUCACAAGGUAAUGAGUUGUGAUCUACUGCACAUAUGUAGACUAUCCCCUCUUACUGUAAGGUAUACGUGUUGGGGAACGUUGCAUGAGAAACAAAAAAUUUCCUACGCGCACGAAGACCUAUCAUGGUAAUGUCCAUCUACGAGAGGGGAUGAGUGAUCUAUGUACCCUUGUAGAUCGUACAUCAGAAGCGUUAGUGAACGCGGUUGAUGUAGUGGAACGUCCUCACGUCCCUCGAUCCGCCCCGCGAACAAUCCCGCGAUCAGUCCCACGAUCUAGUACCGAACGGACGGCACCUCCGCGUUCNNNNNNNNNNNNNNNNNNNNNNNNNNNNNNNNNNNNNNNNNNNNNNNNNNNNNNNNNNNNNNNNNNNNNNNNNNNNNNNNNNNNNNNNNNNNNNNNNNNNCCCCCCCCCCCAAACCGAGUUGGACUUGGUUUGGUGGGUGGGAGUCCUUCCUUCCCUUCCCACCUCCCUUUUUUUUCUUUCUCUUUGAUUUUUCUUUCUAUGGCGCAUAGGGCCCUUUUGGGCUGUCCCACCAGCCCACUAAGGGCUGAUGCGCCACCCUCUUGGCCUAUGGGCUUCCCCGGGGUGGGUUGCCCCCCCGGUGAACUCCCGGAACCCAUUCGUCAUUCCCGGUACAUUCCCGGUAACUCCGAAAACCUUCCGGUAAUCAAAUGAGGUCAUCCUAUAUAUCAAUCUUCGUUUCCGGACCAUUCCGGAAACCCUCGUGACGUCCGUGAUCUCAUCCGGGACUCCGAACAACAUUCGGUAACCAACCAUAUAACUCAAAUACGCAUAAAACAACGUCGAACCUUAAGUGUGCAGACCCUGCGGGUUCGAGAACUAUGUAGACAUGACCAGAGAGACUCCUCGGUCAAUAUCCAAUAGCGGGACCUGGAUGCCCAUAUUGGAUCUUACAUAUUCUACGAAGAUCUUUUCGUUUGAACCUCAGUUCCAAGGAUUCAUAUAAUCCCGUAUGUCAUUCCCUUUGUCCUUCGGUAUGUUACUUGCCCGAGAUUCGAUCGUCAGUAUCCGCAUACCUAUUUCAAUCUCGUUCACCGGCAAGUCUCUUUACUCGUUCCGUAAUACAAGAUCCCGCAACUUACACUAAGUUACAUUGCUUGCAAGGCUUGUGUGUGAUGUUGUAUUACCGAGUGGGCCCCCGAGAUACCUCUCCGUCACACGGAGUGACAAAUCCCAGUCUUGAUCCAUACUAACUCAACUAACACCUUGGGAGAUACCUGUAGAGCAUCUUUAUAGUCACCCAGUUACGUUGCAACGUUUGAUACACACAAAGCAUUCCUCCGGUGUCAGUGAGUUAUAUGAUCUCAUGGUCAUAGGAAUAAAUACUUGACACGCAGAAAACAGUAGCAACAAAAUGACACGAUCAAUAUGCUACGUCUAUUAGUUUGGGUCUAGUCCAUCACGUGAUUCUCCUAAUGACGUGAUCCAGUUAUCAAGCAACAACACUUUGUUCAUAAUCAGAAGACACUGACUAUCUUUGAUCAACUGGCUAGCCAACUAGAGGCUUGCUAGGGACGGUGUUUUGUCUAUGUAUCCACACAUGUAAAUGAGUCUUCAUUCAAUACAAUUAUAGCAUGGAUAAUAAACGAUUAUCUUGAUACAGGAAUUAUAAUAAUAACUAUAUUUAUUAUUGCCUCUAGGGCAUAAUUCCAACACUACGCUUUGUCAAUCUCGACAAGUGAUUACCUUCAACGUGUAUUCCUUAUAUCUAAAUUGUAGCAUACCCAAGGUAAUGGCCAUGCGGCCUAUUACUGUGAGAUCUAAAUGAUCUUCAAUGUGUUAUGUUCACACAAUUGAGGUUGAGAAUUUUUCAAGUUUUACACUUGACUAUCAAAUUUUUGCAUUCUUAUUACACAACCAUGAUGGUUUUUAAUUUACCGCCCGUAAAUUAAUUAUCUCUGGUUCCCCAUGUAGGCCAAGAUGACUGCCAAAGAAUUCGAGGAGCUUGCCCUCAAUGGCCACAAUUACCCUACAUGGGCUAUGGACAUCAAGAGCAGUCUUGCGUCCCGUGGGAUAGCGCGUGCAAUCCAGCCCCCGGAGACUCCUCUCCCGGCUGGAGCCACGCCGCUGACAGAACAGCAGAAUUAUGCUGCCUUGUUCAUCAUAAGGCACCAUAUUCAUCCAGAUCUCAAGUCUGAGUAUUUACAGGAGGAAUCUCCUAGUACUCUGUUUCUGGCCCUCAAAACGAGGUAUGAACAGCAGAAGGCAGUGGUCCUGCCUGAAGCACUCCAUGAUUGGACUCAUCUCCGCCUUCAGGAUUUCAAGUCCAUUGGUGAAUACAAUCAUGAUGUUCAUAACAUAUGUUCCAAAGUGCGUUUUUGUGAGAAGGAACCUACUCAGGGGGAGAUGAUAGAGAAAACUUUAUCUACUAUGCUCCCUUCUGAUAGGAUCCUCCAACAGCAAUACCGUGCUCGCAGCUACACUGUCUAUUCCGAGCUUAUUCACAUGUUACUUCAGGCUGAAAAGCAUGAUGAGCUACUCGCUAAGAAUGGCUCUCAACGCCCAGUUGGGGCACAACCUUUACCUGAAGUCCAUCUGAAUGUCGCGAAUAGACAGAAGUUUAAUGGUACCUUUCGAGGUAAACAUUCCAAUUAUGAGCACAAGCACAAGCGCAAUGGGAACAGAAAAUUCAGAAACAUUGGCAAAGGCAAAGGCACUGCAAAGCCAAAGUUCGAUAAAUCUAAACUUUGCAACAAGUGUGGAUGCUACUCGCAUUCUACUGAAAAGUGCUCAAUGCCCAAGCAUCUAGUCAUGCUCUACCAGCAAUCUCAGGGACGCAAAGCACCUCAAGGGAAAAGGCUUGAAGCUAACUUCAACCUACAUCCGCAUAGCGCAAAUGGAGCUGGCGAUUCUCAGGAUAUUCCUCCUGGACCGAGCAACGCCAUGAUUCCUUAUCCACUUGAGGACCCUGCUGAAACGGAGGCCAUGUUACUUGAGUACACCUCAAACGAUGUGUUUGGCGACUUUGACUAGUCCCUCGACCUCCUUAGUGAUCUAUUUAACUAUGUCCAUUUGUGAUGAUUGUAAUAAGAACAUAAGUUUGUUAUUGUCUUUAUAUUGUAUUGUAUCAGCACAUUUGAUAUAAUUAAGAUUGUAUUCUAUGUAUUAACAUAAGGUUUUAUUAUUGAAAAUUCUUUCGUUUUUAUAUAGUUUUUCUAUGGGGACAAUCCGAUGGAAGAGGAAUUAUGCCUUGUGGAUAGUGGUACCACAAACUCCAUACUGAGGGAGAUAAAAUAUUUCCAAACUCUGAAAAAGAUGAAUGGAGAUAUUCUAACUAUCGCUGGACGCGAUACAGUGAUUGUUGGUACUGGACGUGCCAUAUUCACACUCCCAAGUGGUACACAAGUGACGAUAGAGGAUGCUUUAUUGUAUCCCGACUCAUCACGUACCCUGAUCAGUUAUCGAGAUAUCCGUAAGAAUGGUUUUCAUAUUGAAACCCAUGAACACAACAAAGAGGAGUAUUUACUCUUUACUAAAGAUCACGGAUAUGGCAAAAAGGUACAUGAGAAAAUUCCUUCUAUAUCGUCUGGUUUGUACUAUACGUACAUCAAACCCGUGGAACAUGUUGCAUACAAAGUAAUUUUUCAGAAUGUUGACGCAUUCCAAACCUGGCAUGAUCGCCUGGGCCAUCCCGGAAUCGGGAUGAUGAGAAAAAUUACUAGCAAUUCCAUUGGUCAUAAUUUGCUUGAGUCAAAAUUUCCUCAAUCUUCUGAUUUUGUGUGCACAUCUUGUGCCACGGGAAAGCUAAUUUUGAGGCCCUCGCAUCUCAAAAUACAAGCUGAACCACUUCAGUUCCUUGAACGUAUUCAAGGAGACAUUUGUGGUCCUAUUCAGCCAUUAUCUGGACCAUUCCGGUAUUUCAUGGUUCUGAUUGACGCAUCUACACGAUGAUCACAUGUGUGUCUUCUGUCCACACGAAACCAUGCAUUUGCCAAAAUAAUGAGGCAAGUCAUUAAGUUGCAAGCCCAUUAUCCUGAAAGUCGAAUUAAGACAAUUCGAAUGGACAACGCUGCAGAAUUCUCCUCACGUGCUUUCAAUGAUUAUUGCAUGGCUUUGGGGAUUGAAGUUCAGCACUCUGUUCCAUAUGUCCAUACACAAAAUGGUUUGGCUGAAGCAUUAAUUAAGAGGAUUAAACUCAUUGCAAGACCUUUGUUGAUGAAUUGCAACUUGCCAACCUCUUGUUGGGGUCAUGCAGUUUUACACGCUGCUGACUUGAUACAAUUGAGGCCAACUGCAUAUCACAGUUCUUCCCCUCUGGAAUUGGUACGUGGAAAUCCUCCUAGCAUUUCCCAUCUGCGUAAGUUCGGAUGUGCUGCAUACAUCCCGAUCUCACCACCACAGCGGACAUCUAUGGGCCCACACAGAAAGUUGGGGAUCUAUGUGGGGUACAAAUCACCGUCGAUUAUCAAGUACCUGGAACCCCUAACUGGGGAUCUGUUCACAGCCCGUCACGCUGAUUGCAUAUUUAAUGAGGAACAUUUUCCGGCAUUAGGGGGAGAUUUCAAGUACCAGAAAGAAUGCCCGGAAAUUGAUUGGAAUGCUCAUACCAUUUCAUCCUCUGAUCCACGUACCCAUGAGACCGAACUUCAAGUUCGGAAGAUCAUUAAUUUGCAACAUCUUGCAAAUAAUCUGCCAGAUUCAUUUACUGAUCUAAAAGGUGUUACAAAAUCCUUAAAUCCGGCUAGAAACGCGCCAGAAAGAAUGGAGGUACCAAUAAAAACCACUCAACUCCCUGUUCCUAAAAAGAGGGGGAGUAGUAUGGCUUCUGACCUGGAGCUAGCUUCUAGCAAGCAGCAAAGGAAAUCGAGGAGAAAAUCCUCAGAGUCAGUAAAUGCAGGUCAACUCAACGUUGACAAACACCCUGUGGAAGGGCAACCUUCACAACCCAGCUCCAGUGUGCACAAACUAGCUGGAACAUCGGAACACCCAGACUCAAUCGUAUUGGGAAAUCUCGAAGAGUCUCUAGGGGUGCAAGAAAUUUCCAUCAACUAUGUUGAUUCUGGAGAAUCAUUUGACCGCAAGACUACGACUGUCGACAUAUAUUUUGCUGAAAAGAUUGCAGAUACCCUUAUCACUGAUCAUGAUCCAAGGUCUAUCGUCGAGUGCCAAAGGCGCUCCGACUGGCCUAAAUGGAAGGAUGCAAUCCAAGCAGAAAUUGCCUCGCUUAACAAAAGGAAGGUAUUCACUGAAGCAAUACCUACACCUCCCAAUGUUUUCCCCGUGGGAUUCAAAUGGGUUUUCCUCCGAAAACGGAAUGAGAACAAUGAGGUGGUGAGAUAUAAAGCAAGGCUCGUAGCACAAGGUUUUACGCAGAAACCCGGCAUUGAUUUCAAUGAAACAUACUCUCCGGUAAUGAGUGGAACCACUUUCCGAUAUCUUAUAUCUAUGGCAGUGCAAAAUCGUCUAUCCAUGCAGUUGAUGGACGUCGUGACCGCAUAUCUUUACGGGUCACUAGAUUCGGACAUAUAUAUGAAGGUUCCUGACGGAAUCUCCGUCCCGAAUAACAGUGCAAAACGCAACAUGUAUUGUGUAAAGCUGAAUAAGUCAUUGUAUGGCUUAAAACAGUCGGGACGGAUGUGGUACAACCGACUAAGUGAGUUCCUUCUUCAGAAAGGUUACUCCAAUAGUGAUGAUUGCCCAUGUGUCUUCAUCAAGAAGUCCUCUACAGGAUUUUGCAUCAUUUCUGUGUAUGUUGAUGAUCUCAACAUCAUUGGCAGUGCACCAGACAUUGAUGAAGCACGCAAUCAUCUAAAGAUGGAAUUUGAGAUGAAGGAUUUGGGUAAAACCAAAUUUUGCUUAGGUAUUCAACUUGAGCACCUUCCCUCAGGAAUCAUGGUACACCAAGCUGCCUAUAUCCAGAAAAUAUUGGAGAAAUUCAAUAUGGACAAAUCCUAUCCAUCUAAAACUCCUAUGGUGGUUCGAUCUCUAGACGUAGAGAAAGACCCGUUCAGACCGAGGGAUGAUGGAGAAGAGGUGUUGGGACCUGAAGUUCCAUAUCUCAGUGCAGUUGGAGCGCUUAUGUAUCUUGCAAAUUGCACAAGACCUGAUAUUGCAUUUGCAGUGAAUCUACUUGCUAGACACAGCGCAACUCCCACCAAACGACAUUGGUCUGGAGUAAAGAAUAUCUUUCGAUAUCUCCAAGGCACAAAGGAUCUUGGCCUAUUUUUUCAGUUCCAGCAAAAUCUGAACUCUGAUAUGAUUGGGUAUGCAGAUGCCGGUUAUUUGUCUGAUCCCCAUAAUGCCAGAUCUCAGACCGGUUUUGUGUUCCUACAUGGUGGUACAGCUAUAUCAUGGAAGUCUUGCAAACAGACUCUAGUGGCUACAUCUACCAAUCAUUCUGAAAUAAUUUCAUUAUUUGAAGCGUCAUGUGAAUGUGUAUGGCUUCGCAGAAUGAUAAACCACAUACAACAGUCAUGUGGAAUUGGUUCUAUUGAAUCACCCACCAUUAUCUAUGAGGAUAAUGCGGCAUGUGUUGCACAGAUGCAGUUAUGAUAUAUCAAGAGUAAUAUCACUAAGCAUAUUUCUCCUAAAUGGUUCCCCCCCCCCACACAAUCUUCAGAAAAACGGAGAAAUAAGCAUUCUGCAAGUCAAAUCAUGUGACAACAUUGCUGAUUUGUUUACUAAGUCUCUACCAAACUCAACAUUUCAGAAAUAUGUUCACGGAAUUGGUAUGCGACGACUUAGAGACUUGCAGGCAACAGGGGGAGUCUCUUCUUGAGAUAUCCUUGUUCAAUAACAUCACAUUAUGCUAUCUCUUUGUGAGUUUACAUUUCAGGUUUUCAUCAAAGUCUUUAUGAAGAACUUUUGAAGAAGAGUUUUUGAUGAUAAAGCUUCCCGGACAAUCAUAAAGAUGACUCCACAUGGUCAAGCGUAGAUUACGGGGAGUGUUAAAACUAAUUACAUAAAUUAGGGGAAAAUCUCCUCUUGAUGUAACCGUUCGAGCGGUUUCCUCCCGCACGGGCGUCUCUCUCCCGACUCCCUGGAACCGACGCAUCUCCUCUCUGCCGUCGCGUCUCUCCAGGAGUUAUAUAUACUCCCUGUAAUCAUAGACAAUGAUAGAAGAAUCACUUUGAUUCGUUUCACAUACAUCAACCCAUCCGUGUAACAGCAGCAAGAACCAAAUAAUAAUGAAACAUUGCAGUUCGUAAAUUAACCUCAAUCCACCGCAAGAAUGCCCGUUAUUACUAGCUUUCAGAGCACUAUCCAUUAUUCACCAAUAAUGUGUACAUAACAAAGGACCAUUCACUGAAAAUACAAUGUACCAUUGUACCCACAUUUCGUACAAGUGCAAGGAACGCGGGUAAAUAACAAGUAAAUAAUGUAGUUCAUAGAUAUAAAAGAAUAAAAAAAGUUGACAGUAACCACUUAAGGGUUUAGGAACUCAUAAUUCUAGUGAAAUGCAUGAAAAUUAUUUCAUAUUUUUUCCAGUUGUCAUUUAAAGACUAGAAGCAUAGCAUGGUGCGCCAAAGAUGUACUCACAUGAUAAUGAUCGACCAAACCAAUCAGCAAAAGUACUUGGAUUCCAAAGCCUGCAAAACAUGCACAUAUUAAUGAAGGCAACACAAACUUGAUUCCAAAAAAUUACAGAUAAUUUAUUGCAUAUACUAACAGAACAUAUAGAACAUCUGGAAGCUGUCAACAACAAAUGAAAGGAGAUAUAAUCUACCUUCCAGCCUGGCAGUAAAGUAAAAUUUCUGGGUUCUGUGUCACUGUCUUUUCAGAUAAAUCCUUGUCCAGAACAGUAGUUAAAACAAGAAUGCUUGUGUACAAGACAUUAUAAGCCAUCAAACUAACUGAAUUGAAUAAACUUGUUCCGGCAAUACCUGAAACAAAAGCAGAACUGCAUGCAUACAAUAUGAGAAUGCAGACAAGAGCAACUAGCAUCCAGUAUGCUUAAAUGAAAUAUGAGAAAGAUCUGAAGGUGAAAUAAGGUGGCGGCCAAAGUGAUGUUCCUUUGUGACUUGCAGUAUCUGAAUAAAGCCAAUUAACGAUGACUUGUAGAACGAAUACUGUGAAAGGAAGGCAGUACGGUUGUACGAGUAUUGUCCAUGCAUAAGAAUACGCCUUUCCAAGAACCUGAAUCUGCCAAAAAGGAAAAGCAGAAGUUGAAAACCAUCAAAAAAUUCAGUAUACCAACCAUUAUGUAGUCAAAUUAUUAGACCAACAGUUGAGCAAUUAUCUAGAACACAAAAAUUAUCUAGGUAACACAUAUCAAACUCUUGCCCACAACUUCAGUUGUAUUUUGAACAUUUCAGGGAAAUGUUUACACUGCCGUUCACAUCAACAAAGCUUGGGAUAUACUUUUGGCUUGCUAAAUCUUCUAUGAGCUCAGUUUACAUGAGAAACAUCUCAAGAAAUUAAAACAAUGGCCCAGCGAUAUUUUAAGGAGAAGGCAUACAAAACUCAGUAAGUGGUUAGUACCAUCGUUAUUAUUGCAUAAUGUACUACCACAGUUAGUAUUGCAUAAGAUUUAAUGAGACUUGAAGCAACAAUGAGCUGGAAGCAUGAAAUGAUAGGCAUCAGUGCAGUGGCUUGAAGACUUGGGAGUAGGGCGACAUGACAGCCUCCUGUACCAUCUUCCUUGGGUCGCCUGGAUCGGGGCCCCACCUCACCUCGCUCAUGUUGGGUGUCUCGACGAACAUCAUGGUGAACUCGCCCACCUUCUCCACUCGUCCUCGCUUGCCGGCGCGCAAGAACAGGUUGUUGCCCCUAUGGUAUGAGAAGAUGCCACUUGUGAGCCGCACGAUGUCCCCGGGCUCAAAGGCGUCACACUCGGUGCCCCACAGCAGGAAAUGCACCGCCGCCGUCUCAUCAGCCACCAGCAACGGGCAUGUCUCCUCCCUGCCAUGCGCGUUUGCAUGGGUCGGGCGGGCCGCCUUGUCAACCACAAUGAACGUUGUGUUCACGGUGUUGGUCGCUGCCGGGACGAGGUCCUUGAGUUUCACAUCCAUCCUCCCGCCACCUACAGUUUCUUCGGCCUGCAACAGAAUUGUCAAUAACCAGAGUAAGUGCACAUGAACUAGCUACAUUUGCAUUACAAAAGCCGAACUUCACUGCAUCUAGUCCAUGCUCAGCGUUCAUGCGAAGUAGGGUCCGUCCUGUACCGGGCAAUUGAACGAACACCUUGUGGUCGUCCGAGGAAAAUCUCUAGACCAGCAUCCAAGCAACAAAACCAAACGCAUGAGAAAGAUGAGAAGAAGAAAAGUGCGGCGAUCUUGCCCCUUUUGCGUCAUCGCGAUGACGCGGGCUUGCCCUUCCACCGCCGCCUGAGUUAACCCUCACUCUUCGCCAUUUCUCCCCACUAACACCUCUGCUCCUGCUUUAUGUUUACCUUGGUGCGAUCCAAUUGUGUUGACUACGGCAGGAUCGGAACUCCUUUUGCCCGAUCUUGUCGGGUCCAUCAGACAAACCGCAUCACUCUUCCACCCCCAUACUCUAGCCCGAGACACGGCUCCUCCCCCCUGCUCCAUCUGUACGCAAUUUCAUCCACCACCGCCAACUCACCUACUUAGCUUUGUAGAUCAAGUGCAUAGACUAAAGGUAGCUCAAUCUACUUCUACAGAAGCCGUUGGACUUGGAAAGAAAAAAACGGAACUUGAAAAUCAUGCUUCCAAAAUUGUAAAACCAGUUUCAUUGACCUACCAUAUCCAACAGAACUAUCUUGCAGCAGGCAAUUAAAGCAUCUUACCCAGACAAUCGAAUGCUAAUUUAUUUUCUUUUCCUGGUAGGACAAUUCUAACCAGAGAAUUUUUGUGUUAACAAUAAAAGUACAAAUGUGUUGUAAAUUUCUCAUCAAAUUUGAACAGAUAAAUCAAUGUCAAUGAAAGGAGUAGGACAUGUCUGUACUUCUAUAAAAAAGACAGUUCUCCUCGAAUUUGAACAGAUGAAUCAAAGAUUGCUAGAAAUCCUGUUAGAAAUCUACAUGACAGAUUAGUACAAUGAGUGAGAGGAUAGGCAUUAGCAGAACAUAUUUAAUUAAUUAUCAGAAGAUAACAUUCUUUAGACAUCACUGAACAGUUUAGCUAUAAUAAGAAUGGUGCAGCCAACAUUCUGUUCUCAGCUAGAUGCCAAAUUCAGUCAGUCUAAUACAAAGGUGGAAGCUCCUUCUAGUUCCUGUAGUAUAGAACAUAAAGAAACAUAACAUUCUCGGUGGGUGCUAGUGUGUAAUGUGGGUGCUAAUGUUCUCAUGGGAAUAUAGACUUGAAUAUUUAAUUAAACCAAGCAUCAAAGCUUAAAAGUAAAAGGUCUUCUCCCCUUCGGCAUGUGAAAUGAAGUGGGAAACUCUAGCCUACAAACACUAUAACAGUAAUAUAUAAUCUGAAAUUCUCUCUGAAAGAACUAUAUAUAAUCUGAAGAAUCAUACAGCAGCAAAUAAUGACAGGCUGCAGCCACUUGUUUCUGUAUGUACCACUAAGCUCCAAAAUAUGGCUCACCAAAUAAGUUCAAAAUAUGCAAUACCAAAUCAAGUACUAUUCUGGCUAAGUUACAAGCAGCUUCAACCCUGUAUCUUCAAUACAAUCCAUGCAUCGGUUCAUAAUCAAAAGCUAAUGAAGAACUGUCAGCAGCAGACCUAGGAUACCCUAUCCCACAUCUGUUCCCUAUCAUCUGUGUGAUGUUCUUCAGAACCAGAUACUAACUGCUACGCAGUGGCGGAGCUAGCAUUUAACGUCAGGGUGGUCCCCCCCCCAAAAAAAUAUUUUUUUCAAGUAAUAUAACAUGUGCACGUUCUAACUAGUUAUCAAUAUCCCAUAGAAAUAGAUCAAUAUGGUCUUAAAAACAAACUAGAAUUCCCAAUUAAGACCAAGUUUUGCAUAAAGAAGUGUACAAAAUACAUACUACAUGGACCAUAAUACAUACAUACCUUAAGAAGUUUAAAAAGACUGUUUAUAUUGAUAAAGCUAAUUUAGAGAGAAACAAUGUCUCCAGCCCUUUUCAUGCUUCCACAAUUCUGCAAUAAAAAACAGUUUCUAUCAAUAAAGCUAAUUGAGGCAAAAAUGAUGUGCACAAUUAUGUAUGUGUUCAUCAGUUCAUGUACUGGAUAUCAUAGUGCAAAAAAAGCAAACCCUAAAACAAAAAUUGGGGGUUUUCUGUACCUUAAAUCGAUUCGCACAGUUGCUGCCGACGGGGAGUGGUUACUGAGCGGCAGCAACGGCCGUCGGCUUUGCAGGGAGGGCGAAGGGACGAAGGGCGGAAGCAGAGGCGACAGGGUCAGGCGGCCCGGGUCAGGGGAGCAGCCGGGCAAGGGCAGGGCAGGGGCGUGAGGGAGCGGCUGCAGCGGUGGAUGUGGAGCCGAGGGCCAGGCACGCGUCGGGCUAGAGGGAGAGGCGGGCUCGGCUCCGGCCGGCAACCGGCGAGGCGAGGAACGGCGGCUGCCAACUGGGAUGCUGUCUUGUGCGUGUUGCGGGGGCGUCGGGACGAGGCGGCUGUUNUGCUCGAUGGGGAUGUGGCUGCGGUUGAUGGAUCAAUCGGUAAGUGUUAUUGGGCCUUUUUUUUUUGCUGGCCCAGUUAGAAAUUAGGGGUAUAAGCUGACCCAAAAUACCAGCGGUCACCCUGUAGCUCCGCCCCUACUGCUACGUCAUCAAAUCCAGUGAGGAGAUAGUGAGGAGUAAAAUGCAUCUUUGGUCCUUUAAAUUGUUGGCCAUGUCCACAAUGGUCCCCAAACUCAUAAACUGAGUGAAUACAAUCCUGGAACUUGCAAAUACGGGUUGAGUACAGUCCUUAAUCUUGGUAAACCGGUCAUGUGCUACGACAACGCAUACAUGUGGCGUACGCCACACCUGCGACGUCAGUAUAGGGCCGAGGGCCAGCGGAUUAACUCGUUCGUGGCACCUAUUCCCUUCCCAAAUCCCUAACUCUAAUCCCCACUUUUCCUCAGCAUGGGCAGCGGCAACUAUUCUGCUUACUGGCAACAGUAUGUGCUUUUUUUUAUUAAUUAUGAAAUGUAAUGCCAGCUAUGUAUGAGAACUAUGUUAAUGUCAGGAAGUGUUGUCUUGAUCUAUCCUUGUGUAUCACAUGUAUGUGAAAUGCAGUUUGUACAGUACUCACACCAACAUGAAGCAGCAAGUGGGCAUACAAUGUGACUGAAUUUUACAGGACUACACAACACGUAAAUAAAACAUAUCCUUGACUGAAUUUUCACAAGAUGUAGGCGCAUUUUGCAAAACUCACAUAACACAAAUGAAACAUCUUCAUAGUUGAUUUUCUUCGAGAUGUAACUGCAUUUGGCAUGACUCACAGAAAACAAAUAUAAAGAUGAUUCAAUUAAAUUUAGGAGAAGCAGACCAAGCAUAUAUGACCUGAACACUGACGAUAUAUGAUCUCAAGAGUACAUAAAACACUGAUUAAAAGUUCUGCAGAUGACAUUACUAAUUCAUUAACAAAAUAAUCUAACCCUCACAAGUUCACACAUGGCAUUGAGACACUCCUUAGCUCAUCAAACAUGCUAACUUUUCUUGGUUUUUUAAAACUUGACCUUUCCUGAUUGGAAGGUGCUCUCUUUGAUGUUUUUGCCUAUGCCAAUGUUUCAUGCUGCCCUGCUCAUCUAUUGCCUUAACUUUUGCUGCGUCUUCAGCCUUCUUUUCUCAUUGUUCUCAUCCAUGGUUUGCUGCUUUACUAGACUUACUUUUUCAGCUAUUCUCUUUCUCUCCUCCCAAUCAGCAAUCUUUUGUGUGUCCUGAGAAUGAAUCUGAUUCUCCCAAGCUUGUUGCCUUGCAGCCUCCUCAGUUUGCAAAUAUUUUUGCCAAGUCUGCUGCCUCUCCUCCUCCUCUGCUUGAUGUAUAAGAAAAUUUGCUUCCUCCUGUUGGAAUGAUGUAUGUGCAAUCAUUCUCUUCUCAACAGCAAGUCUUUUUUUCUCCUCAACCUUCCUUUGUUUUUCUAUUUCCGCAUUUCUUUUUCUUUCAGCCAUGCUUUGCCUUCUCUUCUCUGCCAUUGCAAGUUUCUCUUCUUGGGCCUUUUUCUUUUUCUCCUCACUAGCUUUUCUUUUUUCCUCUGCGACAAUUCUCUUUUCUUCUAGUGUUGCUUUCUUCCUCUCCUCGGCAACUAUUUUUUUAGCUAGUAAUUCAGCUUUUCUCUUCUCAGCUGCUUGUGACAAUUUUUCUUCUUCUUCUUUCAGCUUUGCCAUUGCUGCAUCAAAUUUGGCUUGAUCAGCUACCUCCCUUCUCUCUGCUGCAGCUUUGAGCUUUGCAAGUGCAAUAACCUCUCUCUUCCUAUGGACAUUCUCCACAUUUGUUACAGUAGUUGGAACAACUGGUUGCUGAGACAUUGCAUGCAUCUGGAUGAAAGAAUUUUCCGGUAAUGGCCCAUGUGCAACUGGUUCCCUCUGGCUAGAAACUCUCUGUACAAUAAGAGGAUAUAAACUACUCUGCUUGGAAAAAACAUAAUAUACAAACUAUAUAUGGAUAGAAUUCCACACCUCCUGGGUUAAUGUAGCAAUGAUCUCAGGCUCAUAAUGUUGCUGGUCAUGCGUCACUAUUCGUUCAGUUUGCUGGUUUUGUUCCUACACAUAGAAAAUAAAUAUGUAAUGAUCAACCCAUGCUAAAUAAUUACCAAAUACUCAAAUAGUGCAACUAAAUCCACAUUUACCUCAGUUAUAAUAGGUUCAUCCUCAUCUGAGGAGGAAACAUUCGGCUCAGCCCUAACUUUUACCGUGCCAAACUUUUUCCUAGGUUUGAGGCCUAACUUGUAGUCCAAACAACCACCUUUGUUAUGACCAGCUAAUCCGCAGUAACCACAAUGAAUUUUUGCCCCUUUCUUACUAAUUUUCACUCCUUUCUUCCCUUCUUUCUCCUCUAGUUGUUUUCUAAUUUUUCAUCUUCAGAGUUGCAAUCUUCUACAACAUGCUUGCCUUUCUUGUUACUGAGAUAACGUAAUUGAUCCUGGGCCAAGUCCCCAUCUCCAUCCUCUACAUCAAAAUCACUGUCCACUAUUUCUGGUACAUGAUCAUUGUCGGUAGAAUCAUCAUCGGUGCCACAAUCAUCUUCGUCAAUAUCAUCUUUCUUUCCUCUUGGCCUCAGCUUAACUCUCGGUCGCUCAUUGCUUUCAAGUUCAAUGCAUGUACUAACAUUGUUAUCGUCAACAUAACUACAAUCAGUGGCACUUUGCUCAACAUGACCAAGGUUUGCCUUCUUAGGACCGGAAACAUGUGGUGACUGAGCUAUGGAAUUAGCAACUAUAUCAUCCCAUUCUUUUCCUCUCCCACCAUUGUAGCUAUCCAGAUGAUCCACAUAAAACAUCAGGAAUUUGUGCCCAUUCUUUACCAUUCUCUCAAUGCUCUCAGCUUGUUCAUCACUGGACAACAACCUAGCACCAUCUUCAUUCAGUUGACAUCCAGGCAGCAACCAAUACAGAUGAAUCCUACACUACUGGAAAUCAUCAUUUUUCCAUCUGCCUAGUCUUUGUCGUCUGCUAGCUGAUGGCAAAGAUUGUCUUUGCCGUCAGCUUCAGCAAAACAGACGGCACAGUACUGGCUGAUGGCAUACAGUCUUUUUACCAUUUGUCACCUCUUUGUCGUCUGCUAGNNNNNNNNNNNNNNNNNNNNNNNNNNNNNNNNNNNNNNNNNNNNNNNNNNNNNNNNNNNNNNNNNNNNNNNNNNNNNNNNNNNNNNNNNNNNNNNNNNNNCGACGCUCUUCCGAUCUCCCCCCCACCGCCAAUCAAUCAGACUCCACAGCUAGCCGAAUCCUCGGGUACCGUCCAUACUAACAUCAAUCUGGGGGGAGUCUUGUUUUACAGUUAUGUUUUCGAUUUAAGCAUGGAACUGGGCAUCCCAAAUACCGACGCCUUUCUUGUGAAUGACUGUGAAUAAACACAUGUCGAGGAUAACACUCCUAGCAUGGAAGAUACCAAUAGCUCUCUGUCACCACAUGAGCGGUUCGGGCAUGCAAAACAGAUUAUUUCUUGAAGGUUUAGAGAAUGGCACAUGCAAAUUUACUUGGAACGGCAGGUAGAUACCGCAAAUAGGUAGGUAUGGUGGACACUCAUGGAAAAACUUUUGGGUUUAUGGAAGUGGAUGCACAAGCAGUAUUCCGCUUAGUACAAGCGAAGGCUAGCAAAAGACUGGGAAGCGACCAACUAGAGAGCGACAACAGUCAUCAAGAUGCAAUGAGUUUGACUAACAUCGAAUGCAAGCAUGAACAUGAUAUAAAUCACCAUGAACACGAACAUCAUAGAGGCUAUGUUGAUUUUGUUUCAAAUACACGCAUGAACAUGCGCCAAGUCAAGGCACUUGAAACAUUCAAAGGAGAAUACCAUCCUAUCACACUACAUCAUAGUCAUCUCAAAAUCUAUGUUGGCAUUCAAGACAAAUCAUUAUAAGCUCUCAGCUAAAUAAGCAUGGCAUCAGAAACUAUGAUCUCUAAGUUGUCAUUGCAAACAUGGUUCUCUCACAACAAAGCUAAAUCUGGGUCAACAAGCUAGUCAUAUUUACAAAAACAAAAUAGAUAGAGUUCAUACCAGCUUUUCAGUCUCAGUCACUUCAUCAUAUAUCAUCAUUGUUGCCUUUCAUUUGCACGAUCGAACGAUGUGAACAAUAAUAAGCGCAUUGGACUAAGCUGAAUCUGCAGGCAAACACAAAGGAGAAGACAAAGUAAUAUGGCUCUUUGAAAGCUAAACAGGUAAGCAUGUAAGAACCACUAAACAUCGUAACCAAUAUCUUCUACCUCGACACAAAGAAAAAGAAAGCUAUUUACACGGGAAAGCUCCCAACAAGCAAAAGAAGAAAGAAAAAUAUUUUUGGGUUUUCUCAAAAGGACACAAAACAAGAAAACAAGAAAACGAAAAGAAAUUAGCAUGGAUAAUACAGUGGCAAAGUGUAAACACCGGCUAACAAAGUGAAAGCAUAAGCAUGAAUCUAAAGUCGGUGAGAACACGUACUCCCCCAAUCUUAGGCUUUUGGCCUAGCUUGGUCUACUCCCAUGGUGGGAAAUAACCAGCUCCAGGAUACUCUGGAGUAGACUGUGGAUGCCACUACUGUGCGAGCUCCUCUGGCUCCCACUGAUAAACUGGCGUCUGGUACUCGACUGGCGGCUCGGGCACGGGCGCCUGUGGUUGGGCCAAGCCCCAAUAUGCGUAGAUGUCCGCGGGCAUAAUAGUGUACCUGCCUGCAUGAAGAUCGAACAAAGAAGGAGCAGGCAAAGUACUAGUCUCUCGAGUACCCUGACUAAACACCAGGUUAUAAAUCAUCCGUCUACUAGCAUCUCUAUCCAGAAAAUCAUGGCGAACCAUGCUGUCAUAAUCCAGAUAUCUCUCAGGGAGAAGCAUCUCUCCUUCCUCUCCCAGUCUAAUCGGUAUCUCAAAGUGUCUGGCAAGACGGGUAGCAUAGAUACCUCCAUAGACAACACCUUUAGAAUGGUUCAGGUUCAACCGUUGAGCUACUAUAGCGCCCAAGCUAUAAGUCUUAUCGUUAUAAAGGCCUUCGCGCAAACCCGCAAGGUCUGCAGAACUAAGUGAUACAGCCUCCCCACGGCCAAUCAAACAUUUUCCCACAAAUAGUGAGAAGUACCGAAGCACAGGAAAAUGUAUACUAGCAAUUCUAGCGCGAGACACUCCUCUCUCCUCUCCAACAACAAUAGAACCAAUGAAAUCCUCCAAGUCCCGUGGACGAGGGUCACGGAUAUCCCCAACAUAAGGUAAUUUGCAUACAUUGCAAAAAUCUUGAGGUGACAUGCGCUGGGGGAUAUCAUAUAAUUUGAACUCAACCAUAGGAGGAUUCUUCCUUGGAUAGAAAUUAAAGCUUUGCACGAAAAUAUAUCAUGAACUCAACCAUGGGAGGAUUCUUUCUCGGAUAAAAGUUGAAGCUUUGAACGAAAAUAUUGGUUAGGAGGAGAUAUUGUGGGCACUUAUCUUCAAAGAACGCAGUAAGACCUCCGUUCUCCACCAAGUAAUAAAAGUCUUCAUAAAGUCCGGCGGCGCGCAAAAAUUCAUCACUUGGCCACUCGCACGCUCGAACUUCUGUGACUCGAGGGAGUGCGUACUUGGGGUGAUUCUUCUCGUCCUCCUUGGGGUUACGACUUGAAGAGCCUCUCAAGAACCUCCUCAUCUUUUCCCUUUUCUAGCUCUGAAAAAUUCUGAAAUUUUUAGAGACUUUGAAAGAAAGGUGAAUAAGGAUUAACCCAACUUGUAGCAACUACUCCUACUAGUGCCUAGAGACCGUAUCACGCGCUAAAACUACUUGGGACCAGCUAAAAUCAACAUUUAUAGCUCAAGAACAGGGUCACCAAGGUAGCAAGAAUACACGAAGGAUAAAGCACUAGAGCAAAAACUAAUUGGACCAAUGGAGGAGUCACUUACCAAGGAGUAGUUUCCCCAAAACAGUUCGGAGAGUGGUGCUUUGAGCAAGGAGAUCGAAAAUCACAGCCAAAUGAGCAAGAACACGGGUUUGAGAUGCGAAACAUUUUUUUUCUGGAGGUAGAAGAAGAGGCUGGGAGCUGGAAUGAGUGGAGGGGGUGCCAGUGGGCCCCACAAGCUUGCACCCCGCCACCAGGGGGGUAGGUGGCGGUGGGGGGCUUGUGGCCCACUGGUCUGGCCCCCAGGCCAGCUCUCAGGCCCAGAAAUUUUCAAAAAUUCCAGAAAAAAUCAUACUAAAUUUUUAGGACCAUCGGAGAACUUUUAGUUUUGAGGUAUUUUUCUCCGGGACGGUAAAACAGAAAGCAGGAAAAACUAAACUAGUUCUAUCAUUUUUCUUCUAAGCAACAGAAAAAGUAAACUCAAAACAGAGGUAUGUGACUCCUUGAUUCAUCCGUUUCAUGGUCAUCGAAAGAAAUCCGUCAAUGGGAUUGAUCAAGUCCUUAUGAAAAAACCUUCUCGAGUCGCAAGAGAGAACGGAGAAUUUUCGAAUAGCCACUAAGUCACCUCAAUGGGGAUACGUAUCUCCCCAACAAGAAAAUCAUACUUCAUCUUGACACGAGGAAUAGGGCAUUCAAAGCUCCCAAUGAGAAUCGAUGAAGUCUUUUCGAUAGCAUUGAUGCAAUGUACUGGAUAUCGUUUCUUCGGAAAGUGCACGGUGUGCUCAUUACCGUUGACAUGGAAAGUGACAUUGCCUUUGUUGCAAUCUAUAACAGCCCCUGCAGUAUUUAGAAAGGGUCUUCCGAGGAUGAUAGCCAUGGCAUCGUCGUCGGGAAUAUCCAAGAUAACAAAGUCUGUUAAGAUAGUGGUAUUAGCAACCACAACAGGCACAUCCUCGCAAAUGCCGAUAGGGAAAGCAGUUGAUUUGUCGGCCAUUUGCAGAGAAAUUUUAGUGGGUGUCAACUUAUCCAACUCAAGUCUACGAUAAAGAGAGAGCGACAUAACACUAAUACCGGCUCCAAGGUCACAUAAGGCAGUUCUUACGUAGUUUCCUUUAAUGGAGCAAGGUAUAGUGGGCACUCCGGGAUCACCAAGUUUCUUAGGAGUUCCACCUUUGAAAGUGUAGUUGGCAAGCAUGGUGGAGAUCUCAAGAUGUGGUAUCUUCUGUUUAUUAGUCACGAUAUCUUUCAUGUACUUGGCAUACGGAGACAUCUUGAGCAUAUCAGUUAACCGCAUCUGCAGAAAGACGGGUCUUAUCAUCUCAACGAAGCGCUCAAAAUCCUCAUCAUCCUUUUUCUUGGAUGGUUUAGGAGGAAAGGGCAUAGGUCUCUGAACCCAUGGCUCUCUUUCUUUACCAUGCUUCCUAGCAGAGAAGUCAUUCUUGUCGUAUCUCUUAGGUUGUGGAUUAUCAGGAUUAACCGUAGGUUCAAUCUCCACAUCCUCGUCAUUGCUAGGUUGAGCAUCAUUACGAACAUCACUGUCCAUGUUGUCACCAGGUUCAUGUUCAUCACCUGAUUGUGUUUCUGCACCAGACGCAAAAAUAUCAUUAGGUUCUUCAGGUGUGAUAGUAUUUGGUGAACUGGCGUGUAGGCUUCUAUCAUCCUUCUUCUUCUCCUUAGGAUGACUAGGUGUAUCAGCAUUGAUUCCUUGAGAAUCUUGAUCAAUUCUCUUAGGAUGACCUUCAGGAUACAAAGGUUCCUGAGUCAUUUUGCGUCCUCUAGUAAUGAUUUUGACAGAGUUGUCAUUUAAUUCAUUGAGCAGGUCAUUCUAAGCUUUAAGUACUUGUUCUACCUGAGUAGUAAUCAUAGAGGCAUGUUUACUCAGAAGCUUCAGAUCGUUGAUAUUUCUGUCUACACAAGCACUUAGAUGGCUAAGCAUACGAGUACUUCGUUCCAAAUGUCUGCUAACAUAAUCAUUGAAACUCUGUUGUUUGGCAACAAAGUUGUCAAAUUCAUCAAAGCAUAGGCUAGCAGGUUUAUCAAAAGGAAUAUCACUCUCGUCAAACCUACGCAGAGAAUUCACUUCUACUACCUGUAUAAGGUUAUCGAGACCAUGGAUCUCUUCGAUAGGUGGUAGAUUUUUGACAUCUUCGGAUCUAAUGCCUUUCUCUUGCAUAGAUUUCUUGGCUUCUUGCAUAUCUUCGAGACCGAGGAAUACAAUACCUCUUUUCUUAGGAGUUGGCUUAGGAGGUGGUUCGGGAAUAGUCAAAGCAUUAUCGUUGAUCAGGAUGUGAUUCAGUAGGGUCUCAGCUUGUUCUACAGUUUGUUCCCUAAAAACACAACUGACACAACUAUCUAAGUAGUCCCUAGAGGCAUCGGUAAGUCCAUUAUAGAGGAUAUCAAGUAUCUCAUUCUUCUUAAGAGGGUGAUCAGGCAAAGCAUUCUAUAGCUGGACGAGCCUCCCCCAAGCUUGUGGAAGACUCUCUGCUUGGAGUUGAGCAAAGUUGUAUAUUUCCUGCAAGGCAGCUUGCUUCUUAUGGGCAGGCAAAUAUUUCUCACAGAAGUAAUAGACCAUCUCCUGGGGACUACGCACACAUCCAGGAGAGAGGGAGGUGAACCAGGCUUUAGCAUCAUCCUUUAGAGAGAAAGGAAACAACUUAAGGAUAUAGUAGUGGCGGAUCUUCUCCUCAUUAGUGAGAAGGUUGGCUAUUUCGGAUAGUUUGGCAAGAUGGGCUAUGACCGUCUCAGACUCAUAACCGUGAAAAGGAUCAGAUUCGACUAAAGAGAUUAUCUCAUGGUCGACAGAGAAUUCAUAAUCCUUAUCGGUGACAAAGAUAGGCGAAGUGGCAAACUUCGGGUCAUUUUUCAUCCUAGCUUCACGAGAUUUCUCCUUCCACUUGAGAAGUAAUUUCUCAGCAUCAUAGGCAUCCUUACACGCAAGAAAAUCCUCAGCUAUCUCUCCCUCCAUAACGUAACCCUCAGGUAUAUCAGGCAAUUCAUAUCUAGGAGAGCUAGAUCUAGCAGGAGCAAAAGUAGGUUCUAUCUCAAUAGUAUUGGCAGUUUCAGGAGCAUCACGAGCAUUGGCAGUAACUCUAGCAAUAUGAGCAUCAAGGAACACUCCUAGUGGAACAUCAGGCAAAGGAGUAUCUCUAGCAGUAUCAAGCAUAGCAUCAUCAGGCAAAAUAGCAUCUCUAGCAUCAUCAGGCAUAGUAUCAAGCAUAACAUCUCUAGCAGUAUCAGGCAUAGUAUCAAGCAUAGUAUCAUCAGGCAUAGUAUCAAGCACAGCAUCUCUAGCAGUAUCAAGCAUAGCAUCUCUAGCAGUAGUAUCAAAAGCAUCAUCAAGCACAUGCGAUGGAUCAAGAUUUCUAGCAGGAGGUGAAGUCGCAAACUUACUCAUAACUGAAGGUGAAUCAAGUGCAGAGCUAGAUGGCAAUUCCUUACCUCCCCUCGUAGUGGAGGGCAAGACUUUGGUCUUCGGAUCCUUCAGAUUCUUCAUAGUGAUCAGCAGAUAUAAAUCCCAAGUGACUCAGAGAAUAUAGCAAUACCUCCCCGGCAACGGCGCCAGAAAAAUGUUGAUCGUGCAAUCUCUGGCAUUAGCUAGACGAAUGCUUAUGACAACAAACCUUCUCCUACAAUGGCACCAGAAGAGUGCUGAUAGUACCCCCCAGUAAUGAAACUAGAAGAAUGUUGUUGACGACCCACCAGCACGUGGGUUCGCAGGAGUUUUUGAGGGUAGAGUAUUCGACCCAAACUUGUAGAUCGCCUAAAGGAGGUGAGAGAAUACUCUCGAGUAUUAGCAGCUGAAUUUGUCAGAUUCAACCACACCUGAAAGAUUAGUAUAUGCAAGCACAGUAGUAACAACAAAGUAAUAUGAUAACAACGGUGUCAGAAACGAUCCGUUGACGGCAGACUAUUCCUAACGAUUGUAUCAAUGGCGCCUUCGUUGCCGCGUCGACGGAAGUUGUCAAUUCCCGUCAAUGGUAGGUGAACCAACAGUGUAGCAGGUAGCAGCAGUGUAACGAGCAAUAGCAGUGGCAAGGAACAACAAUAGUGACAGUGGUAGCAAGUAGCAACAAUAGCAAGCGACAGUAGUAGCAACAGUAGUAGCAGCAGCACAGAGCAAGACAAGUAACAGCGGUAGCAACAGCAGUAGCAGCAGUAGCAGAGCAAGACAAGUAACAGGAGUAGGACAAACUCGUAGGCAAUGGGUGGGUGAUUUGUUUGGAUGAUAUUCAUCAUGCAACAGCUAUAACACGGAGAGAUAAGUGGCCAGCUCCCGUUCGUCAAUGUGAUGUAGGCAUGCAUUCCGUGUGUCGUCAUACGUGCUUAGGGAAAAGAACUUGCAUGACAUCUAUUGUCCAUCCCUCCCGUGGCAGCGGGGUCCAAAAGGAAACUACGGGAUAUUAAGGUUCUCCUUUUAAUAAAGAACCGGACCAACGCAUUAGCACUUGGUGAACACAUGAACUCCUCAAACUAUGGUCAUCACCUGGAGUGGUUCCGGUUAUUGUCACUCCGGGGUUGCCGGAUCAUAACACAUAGUAGGUAACUACAACUUGCAAGAUCGGAUCUAAAACACACAUAUAUUGGUGACAACAUAAGAAUUUCAGAUCUGAAAUCAUGACACUCGUGCCCUAGUGACAAGCAUUAAGCAUGGCAAAGUAGUAGCAACAUCAAUCUCAGAACAUAGUGGAUACUAGGGAUCAAUCCCCAUCAAAACUAACUCGAUUACAUGAUAGAUCUCNNNNNNNNNNNNNNNNNNNNNNNNNNNNNNNNNNNNNNNNNNNNNNNNNNNNNNNNNNNNNNNNNNNNNNNNNNNNNNNNNNNNNNNNNNNNNNNNNNNNUGGAGUAAUAGUAGUAGAUGCAGAAAGUAUCGGUCUACUUGUCUCGGACGUGAUGCCUAUAUGUAUGAUCAUUGCCUUAGAUAUCUUCAUGACUUUGCGCGGUUCUAUCAAUUGCUCGACAGUAAUUUGUUCACCCACCGUGAUAUUUGCUAUUUUGAGAGAAGCCUCUAGUGAACACUACGGCCCUCGGGUCUACUUCACACCAUAUUUUCAGCCUUACACUUUUACUUCGUUGCACUUUCCGCCUCCAGAUCUCACUUUGCAAUCAAUCUUGAAGGGAUUGACAACCCCUUUAUAGCGUUGGGUGUAAGCUCUUUUGUGUUUGCGCACGUACUCUGGACUUGACAAGAUUCUCCUACUGGAUUGAUACCUUUGUUCUCAAACUGAGGGAAAUACUUACUGCUCCUGUGCUGCAUCACCCUUUCCUCUUCAAGGGAAAAACCAACGCAAGCAAGUCUCCGUCAACGUGUCAAUUUCUCGCGCUGUUGUUUGAGAAGUAGCAGGGUUUUCCACUAAGGAGUCCGACGAGAUCGCGAGUUUCGUGAUCGAGGAUUUCUAUGCGGCUUGUGGUAAUUUGUGAUUGAUUAGUUGAAGCACCCCUGCAGGGUUUAGUCUUUUGGAAAGCCAUCCCCGCGGUUAUGUGGCAGCGUGGAAACUUUGUCUAACACUGGUUCUAGACAACUUGAAGUUAACUUAAUUAAAACAUGCCAACUGAGUGCGUAACCGUGAUUGUCUCUUUCGUGGGUCCUUCUCCGAUCGAGGACACGGUGGGGUUAUGUCUGACGUAAGUAGGUGUUCAGGAUCAUUCAUUUGAUCAUCAGUAGUUCACGUCCAUUAUGCGUUGAUCAUCCCCCUCUUUAUUCUUGUACUCGUAAGUUUUAGCCACCUCAUAUAAUGCUUAGUCGCUGCCGCAACCUCACCACUUAACCAUACCUCACCCAUUAAGCUUUGCUAGUCUUGAUACCUUUGGAAAUGAGAUUGUUGAGUCCUUGUGGCUCGCAGAUUACUACAACACCAGUUGCAGGUACAUGUAAAGGUUACUUGACGCGAGCGCGUUGAUUGUUCAUUUGGAGUUGCUUCUUCUUCUUCUUCUCCAUCGAUCUAGGAUGGGCUCCAGGCCGACAGCAUGGGAUAGCAAGGAUGGACGUCGUUCUUCUUUUCUCGUUUGUUUUCGUCCGUAGUCAGACCCUGCUCUUCUUCAUGAUGAUUAUGUAUUGUACUGAUGUGACUCUGAUGUAGCUUGUUGCGAGUGUAAGCCAAUACCAUAUAUCUCAUCUUUUCAGUACAUGUACUUGUAACGAUAUCCAUUCUUGCAAAACGACGAGAUGCGCUUCUAUCCCUGACGAGGCCCUCGUGCCAAAUUGAGGAUAUAAUCGCAUCUUGGGCGUUACAAGUUGGUAUCAGAGCAGUACCGACCUAGGAGCCCCCUUGAUUGAUCGAACUUGGCCGAGUCGAGUCUAGUGAAAAAUUGCUUUGAGUCUAGUUAUAUAUCGGAGAGUAGGAUUCUUUUUUCUCCUCUUCUAUGCUCUGGUGAGGAAUCUUGACGUAAUAAUUUAAUUCUACUCCUCUUCUCACUCAAAAAAAAUUUAGGAUCUCGCGGAUAUUUUUGGAAUCUAAAUGAUGUCGAUGUGACGGAGUUCUGUCUUGGUGCCUCGUGUCUGACUUGAUUUCUUCGAGAGAGUUGAGCUCCAGGGGAUUUUUGAGCACAUCGCUAUCAUUCAAACUUCUUAGUAUCUCAGGACGAAGGAUGUUCGAAAUUGCUUCAAUACUAGUAGUGGCGAGAAGAGUCUAGCUUCCCCAGUACUGGUGCAUAGAGUUCCGGAUGUAUAGCCAUACUUAGUAUCGUUGUGAUCACGGGUGUCUGUGAUAGAUGAGUUUCCGAAAUUCUGGUUAUGUGUUGAUGGAUGUGAUACACUGGACGGGUUAGUAUAGGAGUUGAGUGAUAUAUUACUCCUUGUAUCCGUGGACCAGAUUGCAUGACCAGAAAUUUCGGGAGUUCUUAGGUGGGAAUUCAAGUAGUUGCUUAUAGGACAAUCUUCCAACAAAUGCAUGAUGUUAGGUUGGGGUUCGACAUCUAGUGGAUUCGUUUGUUCACGGUCGACUUAUAGCGGUUCUCGUUGUGUCUUAAAGAUUCCUUGUAGCUUGCUACGACUCAGGGAUGCUUCAUAUGUCGUGUGCACUGCCUUGCACAAGAUGGCUACUAUAAGGAUCGAGCCCGUGCGAUCCUGUUCACGAAAAUAUCGAAUGGAAAUCUAUCUCUUGAAUUUGUUCUGGCUUGUUUCAUAAGCCUCAUCCUUUGUUUUGUUGGAGUAUGGUAAUUCGAGUUGCUUCGAUGUCAAGUGGUGAUUUCAGAUAUUUCCUAAGCAGUGUUCUCAUAUUCAUAUGAGAGUGUUAAUUCUUUUUCUCUAUCAAUUGUCUUAUCAAUUCUUGUCAACCGGAGUUGUGGUGUCAGUUCUUCUUCAACCGGUGUGCUUCUCUUCAAUCAAUUUUAUCCUCUCCAAUUCUGCAAAGAUCAGUCUCUCUUUCCUUUCCGGAGUUUCUCUCAGUUGUCCCAAGUUGUCUUUGUUUUCCCGCCCUNNNNNNNNNNNNNNNNNNNNNNNNNNNNNNNNNNNNNNNNNNNNNNNNNNNNNNNNNNNNNNNNNNNNNNNNNNNNNNNNNNNNNNNNNNNNNNNNNNNNGGGAGUGGUUCCGGUUAUUGUCACUCCGGGGUUGCCGGAUCAUAACACAUAGUAGGUAACUACAACUUGCAAGAUCGGAUCUAAAACACACAUGUAUUGGUGACAACAUAAUAAUUUCAGAUCUGAAAUCAUGGCACUCGGGCCCUAGUGACAAGCAUUAAGCAUGGCAAAGUCGUAGCAACAUCAAUCUCAGAACAUAGUGGAUACUAGGGAUCAAUCCCCAUCAAAACUAACUCAGUUACAUGAUAGAUCUCAUCCUACUCAUCACCGCCCAGCGAGCCUACGAAUAGAUUACUCACGAACGACGAAGAGCUUCAUGGAAUUGGAGAGGGAAGAGGGUUGAUGAUGACGAUGGCGACGAUUUCCCCUCUCCGGAGCCCAAGACGGACUCCAGAUCUGCCCUCCAGAUGAAGAACAGGUGGUGGCGGCGCCUCCGUAUUGAAAACGCGACGAAAACUUCUCUUUUUAUUUUUUCUGGGACGAAAGGCAACUUAUAGAGCUGGAGUUGGGGGCGGAGGUGCCCGUGGGCCCCACAAGCCUGCCCACCACCACCAAGGGGGGUGGUGGCGGAGCAGGGGCUUGUGGCCCACUAGCCCACCCCCUGAGGUGGAACUUGGCGCAAAUAUUUUUGAUAUUUUCCAAAUUUGCUCCCCGUAAAUUUUCAAGACGUUUGGAGAACUCUCAUUUCUGCACAAAAAUAACACCAAGGCAAUUCUGCUGAAAACAGCGUCAGUCCAGGUUAGUUCCAUUCAAGUCAUGCAAAUUAUAGUCCAAAACAAGGGCAAAAGAGUUUGGAAAAGUAGAUACGUUGGAGACGUAUCANNNNNNNNNNNNNNNNNNNNNNNNNNNNNNNNNNNNNNNNNNNNNNNNNNNNNNNNNNNNNNNNNNNNNNNNNNNNNNNNNNNNNNNNNNNNNNNNNNNNGCUUGCGGUGGCGGCUCCAGGGACCGGCGGCGGGGCACUGAAGGUUGGCGAGGAAGGCCAAGGCCGGCGGGAUUCUGGCCAGAUCUCACCGAAUCCGGGCCGGACGGCGGCGGGGCACGAGGCUGAGCACGGCGACAUGCGGGUCCGGUGACGGGAGGCGGCCGACGCGCGACACCAGGGGUGCGGGAGCACAACGCGCCAUGGGGAGGGAGCUUGGGCAGAUGCUGGUGGCGGCUGAUCUAGGCCCAAAUGGGCUCAGGCGGGCCUGGCUCGAGGUGAGAGGAGGGAGAGGUUGUCUCAUGUGUCGGCUAGGGUUGCUGGCGGCACAGAAAACGAGGAGGAGAGAGGGGAGACUCCUAUUUAUAGAAAAACAAGCUAGGUUUAGCGGUUUCAGGCGUCUUCGGACCUUCCGAUUGAGAUCGGACGCUCCGGAAACAUCCUAGGGUUAGGUGGUUUAGGUUUAGGCCAUGUAGAGGGGUGUUGGCUAAGAUGAGAGGGAAGUGGGCACCCGGCAACGUGAUUUUAAAACACCGAUAAAAUGUCCGACGAUAGACCGAAUACGGUGCCACUAUGGUUGACCAUUCGGGUACCAUACGGACUCCGAUUGCGACGAAAAUUGAGAGGCAGCCUACAUAUAUAUAAAUAAGACCGCACGCCAAGUUUCAACUCAAUCGGAGAAAGUUUUAUACACACGUUUAAAAACAGGGUUUUGACGGUGCCGCGGGCGCGUGCGAGUGUGGUCGGGCUCAGAACGGACAACGACGAGAACCGGCAACUACUAACGGAUGCAACUUUUGAAAACUGGUGGCAACGGGAUGCCGAUGCAAUGCUGAUGAUGCGCAUGAUGCGAUGAUGAUGCGCCAAAUAAAAACACGAUGAAAAUGGAAUAGAAGGGGAAUCUUGUGGAACGUCGGUCUCGGGUUGUCACAACUCUCCUACACUACAAGAGGAUCUCGACCCGAGAUCCAAGAAUGAAAGGGGAAGAGGAAGGGAAAGCAAGAGGUAAACAGAGUCGCUUCUUUGAUAAACGAGUGAAGCCAACGAUCCUUGAAGGUUGCAAAGCGAUGAGGAAUGAUAUGAGAAACAAGUAAGAAUUCACGGAAAAUUCAACAGCACUUCGGUAGGAAAAGGGGACAAAAAUUCAAUAAGAUGGACAGAUCUUGAGAAAAUUUACAACAAACUAACUAAAUUGAACAAGGGAACAAUAUGAUCUUGAUAGAACAACAUGAAUGACCCAAAUGAGCAACAUCACCACAACUCUAGAACAAGAGAAUAUAAACUAGAUCUUUGAAAGAGGGAACGAAGAAGAAAAUGAGCACUACUACCACCAGAAUCUUGAAGAACAUCUUGAGACAAAGAAUUGAUAUCAUGAGCCACUCUGGAAGAAGAAUUCAGAUCACUAUGAACAAGAAUAAGAAUUAUGUUAUGUUUAUUCUUCAUCAAGUUUAAUUGAUGACAACCAACGGAUUUAGCGUACCACUUAUUCUUCUAGAAAUGAUUGAGGAGAAAUAUAAGCACAAACUUUAAGAAGUCUUGAAGGAGACACCUAUGAGAAUUGAAAUGAAUGAGGCAACCAUGAAUGAAUGGAGAUACAUGAGAAUGAAGAGAUCAUGAGCCACCUGAGAGAAAUACUUGAGCAAGGCACCGAAAUAAUUGAGAGACGAACGAAGAGACAACAAUUGAGAAGAAUUGAGGAUGAAAGAUGAAAGCUGAGAAUGAAGAAUCUUCUAAAAUGCUGGCCUUCGGAGGAUCAAGAAUGAAAACAAUUCAGAAAUGCACCGGAUGGCAAGAAAUAGAUUCUCAUGAUUGGGAAAAAUUCAAGAUGAUAACACAAAGCUGAAAUGAUGAAUCUGCAAGAGAAUGAACCAAGAUUUGAGAGAAACACCCCGCCGGUCUUCCAAGCUGAAAAUGAAGAGGAGAACACCACCAAGAAUAACUGCGACACUCCGGAAUAAUAAAGAAUGAAAGUUUGAGCCAAAGACGAGAAAUAAUUCAAAUUGAUCUUGAAGAAGGAAUAUGACUGAUGAAAUUCAUACUUACAUCAUAGUUAGAUAUCUCUAGAAAAGAUUACAAAAGCUAUAUAAGAUCCUGGGAAGAACCUGUGGGUUAUGGGCCCACUCAAAGAAACCACAGUGAAAGAUUGCUAAGAAAGAGAUAUUGCACUGGUAUAAACAAAACUAAAUGAGGUGAGCACCUCGAAAUAAUUGAAAGAUUUGAAAACAAGAAACUUAUGAGAUAAAUUCAACACUCCGGAUAGGAAAGAGAGGAAUGAAUAAACGAGAUAGGAUGAACAAGAAUUUCCAACAUGGGAAAAAUUGAAAGAUGAAAAGGAUAUGAUGACACGGAUAACUAAACUGGAUUCACCGGAAAGGUGACAAGAAUGACAAAAAUGAUGAACAUGAAACUCGUGAGAAUCUUCACAAAGAAUCACCGGAUAGGACACAGAAGAAAAGAUAGAGGAAGCACAAUGAAAAGAAACUCUUGGAUAAAAACUAAUCACUGAAGAAAAAGGGCNNNNNNNNNNNNNNNNNNNNNNNNNNNNNNNNNNNNNNNNNNNNNNNNNNNNNNNNNNNNNNNNNNNNNNNNNNNNNNNNNNNNNNNNNNNNNNNNNNNNGGAAUGUCGGUCUCGGGUUGUCACAACUCUCCUACACUACAAGAGGAUCUCGACCCGAGAUCCAAGAAUGAAAGGGGAAGAGGAAGGGAAAGCAAGAGGUAAAACAUAGUCGCUUCUUUGAUAAACGAGUGAAACCAACGAUCCUUGAAGGUUGCAAAGCGAUGAGGAAUGAUAUGAGAAACAAGCAAGAAUUCACGGAAAAAUUCGGCAGCACUUCGGUAGGAAAAGGGGACAAAAUUUGAUAAGAUGGACAGAUCUUGAGAAAAUUCACAACAAACUAACUAAAUUGAACAAGGGAACAAUAUGAUCUUGAUAGAACAACAUGAUUGACCCAAAUGAGCAACAUCACCACAACUCUAGAACAAGAGAAUAUAAACUAGAUCUUAGAACGAGGGAACAAAGAAGAAAAUGAGCACUACUACCACCAGAAUCUUGAAGAACAUCUUGAGACAAAGAAUUGAUAUCAUGAGCCACUCCGGAAGAAGAAUUCAGAUCACUAUGAACGACGAGAACCGGCAACUACUAACGGAUGCAACUUUUGAAAACUGGCGGCAACGGGAUGCCGAUGCAAUGCUGAUGAUGCGACAAAUAAAAACAUGACGAAAACGGAAUAGNNNNNNNNNNNNNNNNNNNNNNNNNNNNNNNNNNNNNNNNNNNNNNNNNNNNNNNNNNNNNNNNNNNNNNNNNNNNNNNNNNNNNNNNNNNNNNNNNNNNCGGUUGAUGUAGUGGAACGUCCUCACGUCCCUCGAUCCGCCCCGCGAACAAUCCCGCGAUCAGUCCCACGAUCUAGUGCCGAACGGACGGCACCUCCGCGUUCAGCACACGUACAACUCGACGAUGAUCUCGGCCUUCUUGAUCCAGCAAGAGAGACGGAGAGGUAGAUGAGUUCUCCGGCAGCGUGACGGCGCUCCGGAGGUUGGUGGUGAUCUUAUCUCAGCAGGGCUCCGCCCGAGCUCCGCAGAAACGCGAUCUAGAGGUAAAACCGUGGAGAUAUGUGGUCGGGCUGCCGUGGCAAAAGUUGUCUCAAAUCAGCCCUAAUACCUAAGUAUAUAUAGGAGGGAGGGGGAGGGAAGAGGCAGCCUCAAACCCUCAAGGUUUGGCCGAAAUUGGAGGUGGAGGAGUCCUACUCCAAUCCUACUUGGAGUAGGAUUCCACCUUCCCACUUGGAAACUCCUUCCACCUUGUGUUUUUUCCUUCUCAAACCUUAUGGGCCUUAGUGGGAACUUAUUCCAGCCCACUAGGGGCUGGUUUAUCUCUUCCCAUAGCCCAUGAGACCCCUUGGGGCGUGACACCCCUCCCGAUGGUCCCGGGCACCCCUCCCGGCACUCCCGGUACACUACCGAUGAGCCCGAAACUUUUCCGGUGACCAAAACAGGACUUCCUAUAUAUCAAUCUUUACCUCCGGACCAUUCCGGAGCUCCUCGUGACGUCCUGGAUCUCAUCCGGGACUCCGAACAACAUUCGGUAACCAACCAUAUAACUCAAAUACGCACAAAACAACGUCGAACCUUAAGUGUGCAGACCCUGCGGGUUCGAGAACUAUGUAGACAUGACCCGAGAGACUCCUCGGUCAAUAUCCAAUAGCGGGACCUGGAUGCCCAUAUUGGAUCCUACAUAUUCUACGAAGAUCUUAUCGUUUGAACCUCAGUGCCAAGGAUUCAUAUAAUCCCGUAUGUCAUUCCCUUUGUCCUUCGGUAUGUUACUUGCCCGAGAUUCGAUCGUCAGUAUCCGCAUACCUAUUUCAAUCUCGUUUACCGGCAAGUCUCUUUACUCAUUCCGUAAUACAAGAUCNNNNNNNNNNNNNNNNNNNNNNNNNNNNNNNNNNNNNNNNNNNNNNNNNNNNNNNNNNNNNNNNNNNNNNNNNNNNNNNNNNNNNNNNNNNNNNNNNNNNAGAUUUAGUUAGGUUAUUAAUUUUAGUUAGGUUAGUAGAUUUAGUUAGGAGGAGAAGAGGAGAAGAGGAGGAGGAGGACAAGAAGAGGAGAAGAAGAAGAGGAGUAGGAGGAGGAGGAGGAGGAGAAGAAAAAGAAGAAGAAGAGAAUAAAAAAAUAAGGAGAAGAAGUAAAGAAGAAGAGAAGAAGAGAAUAAGAAAAAAAUAAGAAGGAGAAGAAGAGAAAAAAGAAGAAGAAGUUGAUUUUUUAUUGUUUGGUAUUUAGUGGUAGCUAGAUUCUUUUUUAGUUACUUAGUGAUAGAUUCUGUUUUUGUUAUAGUGGUAGAUUAUGUUUUUGUUAUUUUUUUGCUGUUUAGUGCUAUCUAGGUUUAGCGAUAGGUUUAGUUAGCUUGGUUAGUUAGGUUAGUUAGUUAGUUAGCUUACUAGAAAGAACAGGAAGAAGAAGAAGAGGAGGAGGAGGAGAAGAGGAGAAGAGGAGGAGGAGGAGGAGAAGAAGAAGAAGAAGAAUAGGAGGAGGAGAAGACAAAAAGAAGAUCACAUGUUUGGUAUUUAGUUUUUUGGAAUUAAUUAGUAGUUUUAGUGGUAGAUUUUGUUAGUUAAUUAGUAGAUUUAGUGGUAGAUUCUGUUAGUUUAUUCGCCCAUCAUUAUUGCUUAGGUUCAAGACUACUUCAAAGAAGAUCACAUGUUCUUUUGUUGAAAUCAAGUCUGUCAAAAUAAUGUAUCGUCUAUAUUUAUUGGUACCGGAGCAAAACAGGACAACUUAAAUAAUAUUGCCAUCCUCAAAUGUAGAAAAUAUCGAAAAGUUUUAUAUAAACUGAAAAGUAGUAUAGGUAACCUGGAAAGUCCUCUGGACCAAAAGGGCAACUUCUGGGCCUGCGAACUUUGCGUGGUAGGUGCAUGUCCAUGCAGCAGGGUAAUUUCCCCAACAAUGACAUAAUUAGUCCAUUUAGCUCCAAAAUAUCAUAAUAAGCUCAAAAUGGCAUAAGAACCUUGGUUAGCUCAUUAAUAUUAUAUACUUAGCUUGUUUUCCUCUAAAAUGGGAUAAUUAGCCCAUUUAGCUCAAAAAAGACAUAAUUAGGUAAUUUAGCUCCAACAAGAGGAGAAGAGGAGAAGAAAUAGGCAAAAUGAAAAGAAAGAAGAAGAAGAAGAAGAGAAUAAGGAGAAGGAGGAGGAGGAGGAGGAAGAGAAGGCCAAGGACCUUCUAUCCUUCUCCUCCUCCUCCUUCUCCUCCUCCUCCUUCUUCUUGGUUUCUUCUUCUUCUCCUCCUCCUCCUCUUUCUUCUCCUCUUUCAUAUUAUCCUUGCUUUAAUUAACCCAACAAUGACAUAAUUAGCCCAUUUAGCUCCAAAAUACCAUAAUAAGCUCAAAAUGGCACAAGAACCUUGGUUAGCUCAUGAAUAUUAUAUACUUAGCUUGUUUUCCUCUAAAAUGACAUAAUUGGAACAUUUAGCUCAAAAAAGACAUAAUUAGGUAAUUUAGCUCCAACAAGAGGAGAAGAGGAGAAGAAAUAGGCAAAAUGAAAAGAUAGAAGAAGAAGAAGAGAAGAAGAANNGAAGAAGAAGGAGAAGGAGGAGGAGGAGGAGGAGGUGGAGGAGAAGGCCAAGGACCUUCUAGUCCUUCUCCUCCUCCUCCUCCUUCUUCUNNUCUUCUUCUUCUCCUCCUCCUCCUCCUCUUUCUUCUCCUCUUUCAUAUUAUCCUUGCUUUAAUUAACCCAACAAUGACAUAAUUAGCCCAUUUAGCUCCAAAAUACCAUAAUAAGCUCAAAAUGGCAUAAGAACCUUGGUUAGCUCAUGAAUAUUAUAUACUUAGCUUGUUUUCCUCUAAAAUGACAUAAUUAGCCCAUUUAGCUCAAAGAGAAGGAGAAGGAAGAAGAAGAAGAAGAAGAAGAGAAGAAGAGGAGAAGAAGAAGGAGGAGGAGGAGAAGAAGAGAAGAAGAAGGAGAAGNNGAAGAAGAAGGAGAAGGAGCCCUACUUCUUCUCCUUCUUCUUCUCUCCUUCUUCUCCUUCUUCUUCUCUUCNNUCUUCUUCUUCUCCUCCUCCUUCUCCUUCCCCUUCCCCUCCUCCUCCUCCUCCUUGUUUUUCUUCUCCUUGUUCUCUUCUUGCUUCUUCUCUUUCUUCUUCAAUUUAGCUUAUUUGUCAUAUAUAUGUUGUUGUUCUUCUUCUUCUGACUUUCUUAUUCCCAUUUUGCAGAUUGGACGUACUACAUGCAUGGAAGCUGGCGUUGGAGUGCUUUAGUUUCCGUUUUUAUUUGAGUUGAUGAACAAUGUGGAACUAUAUGUAUAUGUAUAUAUGGAUGAACAAUAUAUGUGCAACUAUAUGUAUGUAUAUAUGGAUGAAACUUUGUAUGUGUUGGUUCUUUUGAUAUAUGGGAUGUACGUUGAUGAACAAAUGGCAUUGAUGAGCUUUAUAUGUAUAUCAUAUAUGUGUUGUGACCUAUUUAUCAUAUAUGUGCUAUGAAUUAUAUGUAUAUGUGCUAUGAAAUAGAAAAAAUAAACAAAAAUGUGACAAUAUAGGCUCUUUGCCGUCUGCCAGCUGACGGCAAAUGCCUUUGCCGUCAGCUGACCGACGGCAAAGGUGCCACGUGGCGCCCAGCUGUGCAACCUGGGCAGUAGCAGCUGGCCAUAUAGUCUCUUUGCCGUCAGCCUCCAGGGGGCAGACGACAAAGAAGAGGGAACAGAGGAGGGGGAGGAGGAGGCAGACGGCAAAGAGUGGAGAGAGGUGGAGGGGUGGACCCGGCAGACGACAAAGAUGGACGUAGAGGCAGACGACAAAGAUGGAGGGGGAGGGAAGGGGAGGAGAUGGCAGACGACAAAGAUGGACGGGGAGGCAGACGACAAAGAUGGACGAGGAGGCAGACGACAAAGGCUCCGUUAACCCCUAACGGAGGCAACGCGUGUCGGCUGCCGUCUCAAGAGCUUUGCCGACAGCUCCUGAGGAAAGCUGACGGCAAAGAGCUUUGCCGUCCGCCUUGCGCGGGCAGACGGCAAAGAAGGUCCUAUGUCUUCGUAGGCUGACGCAGAAAUUUUGCCGGCCGUGACAAUCUUUGCCGUCUGUGGUAUUGUCUUUACCGUCCGGGAUAUUGUCUUUGCCGUCUGUGAUGGCAGACGGCAAAGAAGGUGAUUCCUGUAGUGCUACCAGUAGUUUCAUAACCGAUGUCCUCUAUCAAAUCAUCAAACAUUUUCAUACAUACAGAACUACCAUCACAGAAAUCAUAACAAGCCUUUGCACCAUUCAGAUAUGACCUGCUGCUACAGCUUCCAUGGAAAUAUCCUCCAUGAAUCAACUCCACCGUGAAAAAAGGACUCCCUUUGCCUAAAAAGAAGGAAAACUAAACAUUUAACUAAAAAUAAGGAAAUCUGUGUACUGAUGCUACUAUAUCAAAAAAUGUUUAAUAUAGUGCAAGGGUUGUGAUAAAAUCUGUGUACUGAUACUACUAUAUCAAAAAUGUUUAAGACAUUGCAAUCAUUCUGAGAAAAUCGGCAUACUACAUAAAUAAAGUGCAGUCUCUUGAGCCUGGAAUAUUUGGCCUUACUGUAUAUAGGCGCCGCCAGUUCAUCGAGUCGUCGUAUCGGGGCACCCAUCGGCGCCGCAGACCGAUGCUGGUAGUUACGGCUGGGAGGCCUUUCCCUCCUCUGCCGUCGCCGGGGGCGCUCAGGUCCCGGCCGGCCUUGUCGUCGACGAUGGGCGAUCGCCGCUGCAGCCUGAUCGCACAGCUCCAGUUGUAAUUGAAAUAACUGAAUAUGCCCGAUUUACGCCGGAUGCCCGCAAAAUACUCCUAAACUGGCGUCUUCUUUUUUUCCUGAGACAACAUAAGCCUAAGUGGCUAAUGCGGUACGAGAGAUGUACGUGAGCCGUAGCCCAGGACUGGUUUGACAACUUUGAGGACCAAACCGAGCCUGUAUUUACGAGUUCCGAGACUGUAUUAAGUUGGUUUGUGAGUUCAUGGAUCAGUGUAGACAUCGCCAACCAUUUUAAGGACCAAAGAUGCAUUUUACUCGAUAGUGAGCGUCAAAUAGACGGGCAAACCCACAGGAGCUGCGAGCGAGCGACGGGGUUUGGGACGGCCCGUUAGCAUUUUCACCGAUUCAUCGGGUUUUCUGGUUUUUUGAACUUUCUAAAAGAUCCUUGAAUCGGUUUUUUUUCUUUUCUUUUUUCUUUAUUCUUUUUUGUUUAAUUUUUUUACUAUUUUUGUUUAAAUAAUGUUUUUGAAUUUGAAAAAAUAUUCCGGAAUUUAAAAAAUGUUCCGGCAUUUGAAAAAAUGUUUGGGAAUUUAAAAAAAAUCCGGAAAUUUAAAAACUGUACUGGAAUUUUUAUCAAAAUGUUUUGGAUUAUUCAACUACAUCCUUGAUGUUCGUCCGCCCUGCUUCAUCUAUGACGAACACCAUCAUGUCUGAAGACGGUGGCAUUAUCCGGUAGUAUAUAGUAAACAUAACGUACCCUGACUAACUACUCCUAGAUGCGAUGCAGAUCGAUCGCAGCCUGGUGGAACACCUUUUGUUAGAGACGCAGCCUGGUGGGGAGUUAUUAAAUCAAGUGGAUCGAGCAAAAGCAUCUUUCGGUCGAUGUUUAUCCUAAUCUCUAUUCUUAAAUAAUUGUAACCUACUAACUACUUCCUCCGUUUCUAAAUAUAUAUUUUUUAGAGAUCUCACUAGUAGACUACAUACGGAUGUAUAUAGACAUACUUUAGAAUACAAAUUCGCUUAUUUUGCUUUGUAUGUAGACCACUAGUGAAAUCUUUUAAAAAACUUAUAUUUAAGAACGGAGGGAGUAUUUUUUCUAAGCAUGCAGAGCUUCCACAUCAACCAACCAUGCAUGUACGGUCAGCUCAUUAAUCUACCAUCCCACUAACUAUUUUAUCCAUGCAUGCAACCAUUUGACAUCAACAAAUUAUGCAUGACUGCUAUUUCCAUCACAUCUUAAGUAAUUCUCAUUACUAUUCAUGUCAUCAACCUAAUUAUCUAUAUUUUCAUCCUACCAUCCCGCUGCAACGCGCGGGUUAUCUUCUAGUUAAGCAGACGAGUGUGUAUAUAUAUCAUGAAUUCGGCUGUCCCUGUUUCCAUACCGGUAUUGACCGAUUGGACCGAGUCGCGUAAACUAUGAAUUCCCAUCCGAACUCGCGUGGAAAGUUCAUCCCCGUCGCCGUCUCCCCCUGCGGUACUAUAAUGCCUCCUAAUGCCUUUGCAGCACCUCAAUUAUCAUCAAGCUGUAUAUAUAUAUACUCGUAGAUGUUUGCCCCUCUCAUGGCUGCGAUCCUUUUUUUACUGCUGACGAGACCGAGACCGAGACCGAGAGCGAGAGCGAGGAGGGAAGCCAACGGAGAGCGGAAGGAGCGGGCAUGGAGGGCGGCAGCAGCUGGACAACGAGCAUGGAGGGGUAUCUGAAGGAGCACUUCCACAUCCCGGCCAAGAACCCGCCCACCGCCNNNNNNNNNNNNNNNNNNNNNGCCGUCGGCCUCGUCGUCCGCAACCGCCGCCGCCGCUUCCGCGAGUUCUCCGCCCUCGCCGCCGUCGACGCCGCCCAGCGCCGCAAGAUCCUGGUACGCACCCACCCACGCUCCUUCGCCCGCCAUUUCCCUCCCUCCCCGAGCCAAUCUCCGGCCAUCGAUCGCCGCAGCCGCAAAGACGAAGGACGAAUGGUUCGCAGGAGAGGAGCGUUCCCGCCGUCGCUUUCGCUGAAGCUAGCUAGGUUCAAAGCCUCCGCGAAGGUGCGAGGAAACUUCAUCCCGAGUCCUGACCAUGAAGGUGGCGUGGAUUCUUGAAGCGUAUCUUGCACGUCUCUCCUUGGUUGAAAAACCUUCCCGACCUCUCGUGGUCGAAGAAGCAGUGUGCGUACUGCGUCCGUACCAGAGAAAGAAACUCGUGGUCAACUGCCACGAGUCGUUGGGCGCAUGGUGCAUGGGCUCGCUCAUUCAACCCUGGGAAAGGAACUGCGUAACCACAGCUUGCAUCGUGGGAUUCAAUUCAAGUUGACGUGAGGCAAGCAUAUACGGUAGGGUGGGUAACCGCUGGCAGGGUUCAUGCCGGCUGUUAUGGUUUUUUUUUUCCUCUUAAAAGAGAAAUAAUAUAUUUUUGGGUCCGUCUUGUUGGGAAAGUUUGCAAAUGAUCUCCUGACUUCAAAACCAGAAAAUCUAGGCCCUCAACUUGUGAAAUCGGGACGAUGUGAUCCGAUUUUGUCUUAUAACGUCCGUGCCAUGGUUUAACAUUUAACAGUCCGGUCCUUCUCUCUCCCUUUCUUCCUCGCUCGCUCGAUGUGGUCAUGCUCACAGAGGAGGCCAAAUGAGCAUGGAAUCGUUGCGCUGCCGGUUGCCGCAUGUGCCCGUUGUUGUCAUCGUCGCAUAACUGGAGGCGGCGCGUUGGUUGCUAGUAUUGUUUUUAGUUAUUUUGCAUAUUUGUUUCGUUAAAGCAUUUAUAGUUGUAACUUACAAAUCCGGUCCUUAAACGCCUGUGAACGCAUUUAUGGAUAUUGUAAUCGGGUACACCUCAAAAACACACUACUGCAUCCGGACAUCUCAUAUUAAAUUUCUCAAAUCCAUACAAAAGCAUGCAACAUAUAAACCUAUGAACUACGUACAAACUACCUAAUCUUCGUCGGAGAUAUCGACGAUCUCCGUGCCCUCCAGCGGAUAGAUGUGCGGCAACUGGAGUUGUACCCCCUCUGGCACCUCUACUGCACCCCCCUCUGACUGCUCCGCUGCAGCUUCCUUCGCUGCUAUGUCCGCCUCGAGCUCGUCGAAGAGGGCGUCGGCCUCCUCCUGCCUCUGCCGGAUGAGCGGGCGGUUGGUCUUCACCUCGGUCUCAUUCUGGAUGGAAUCCAGAAUGACCUGCUGCUCCGUCAUCUCCUCGGCUUGGGCUACGGCGAACUCCGCCUCCACCUCCGCCAUGUUCAAGCCUCGAGCAUGGAUCUCCGGGUCAUCCUCUUCCUCUGGUUGGUCCUCCUCCAUGGCCUCCGACACCUCCUCCUCUGGUUGCUUCUCCUCCUCCGGCUUCUUCUCCUCCUCCUCCUCCUCCUUCGUUUCCGUCGAGUCCAAAGGGAGACCCGUAAUGAUGUGGGAGGCGCGCCAAGCCUGGAUCUGCGCCUCGGUCUGCAUCCGGUGCUCCGGCGUGAGAUGAGCAUAGGUGGUGAUCCUACGGCAGACCAUACUGAGGUCGGAGAGCGGGGAAGAGGAGGCGGAUGGGCUCGGUGGUGGCGAAGGGAGGGAUGAGGUGGAUGUGCUAGGGCUGAGGGAUCUUGACCGGCUUAAAUAGUUGACUAUAGCCUCGGGCGGCGAGCCGGAGCGGCGCCUCACACCGCGACGAUAGUCGAGGCGCCUCUUCGUGUGGGGCCACGCCGUUAGGCCGACGUGGCGGGCGUGCCCGGACUCCCCCAUAUCCACCCCAUAUUUGGGCUGGAUAUGAGGUGUGUCGGUCAGUCCGGGCGUUUGAGGCCCGUUUGAGGUGUGUAGUUGGGUCAAUAUUUUGUGAUCGAUGAGUGACCGACCGGCCUGCUCUGGUGUUUGAGAUGGGUAUGAGGGGUCCGACUAUAGAUGCUCUUAGGCCUGGCUAAGCAUAUGCAUGCAAAGAACCGACAUCUGCAUAUUGAUUGGUUGCAUGCAUGUCCUCUUUCUGCAUCGAUUGUAGCGACGCCCCCUUCGCUCGGUGUUUGGUUGCUCGCAUUGUAUGUGAUCAGACGAGUGCAUGUUGUUUGGUUGCAUACGUGCAUAGAGUUGUGCUCACCUUGUACCUUAUUUGGUGAGGUUACCCACUGCUACUACACCUUACAUAUCAUCGCACCAAGCACACCAAAGCCACAUAACUACAAUGACGAUAAACUGGACGAAGAUGAAGUUCUUCAGCCAAAACAGACAAUCCACCUUGGCGGUCUCAAACUUGUUGCAUGACUGAUCUCACACAUACUUGGAGUAAGCAUCUUCUGUCGCCUGCCUAGUCUUAAACCCUAUGUGGCUUUGGUUGUUGUACCCUGAAACUUGUUUGCUGCAAGCUUCCCAUGAACUGUAAACCCCUGGAACCCUUCGUUCGAACACCACAUACCACUUGUCGUAGCAAUGCAAAUGAACAAUAAGUUGCAGCAACAAGCAUUGGAACACACAAGCAACAAGCAAUGAAGCACUCUAGGAGCAAGCAAUGAAGCACAUAAGAAAUGAAGCAUAAGAGCAUUUGUAAGCAUGCAUGAUCAUACAACGUAGCAAGGUCAACCUACCACUAUGUUGGUGUCAUCCUACCACCACAUCAAAAAAUGGGUGUAAUCCUACCACCGCAAGUUCGUGAUCAGUAUGCGGAUCACCGUGAGGGGUUAGUAUAUGCCACCUCACCAAAAUACACAGACCGUAAGAUUAUUUUCACACAAAAUAUGCGUCAUCAUCGCCAUCGUCAUGGUCGAGGAUCAUGCACGCCAUCGCCACCAGCAGAAGCAACACUAGUAGUAGUGCUUGCCCAGCCAGGUCCUCAACUAGAGCACCAUGUGAGCCUCUCCCAUGACAACAAACCAAACACCAUGGGCUUUGUUGCCAAGUAGUUGGCUGAGAGCCACCAUGAGAGCCUCUAGGCUGAAGCCAACUUGCUCCAUGACGAUACAGUAGAGCUCAGGGUGGAUGUCGGCCGUGCUGCUCUCCCUGAUGGCGAUGGUCACCUUCUUCACUACCUGAAUCAUGCUGCUAAAGAUGGUAAACUCCUCCUUCAUGAAGCCUGCAUGCUUCCUCUUCCUAUCAACCACAAGAAUGUGCUCACCAUCCUUAUCAGGAGCAUCAGUGUUGAUGGCGUCUGACUCCUGGGUGUCUGGAUAGUGGGGCAUCACGGGCAUUGGCAAGCCCGACGGCUAACCAGAGCCCAUGGCAUGCUUGCCGGUUGCGAGCCCGAAGGAGAUCUCUGAUGCAUCUGGUGAUAGUUCUGGAUAGGUGUGUUGAGGAGAUGAUUAGUUAGUAUGGCAAUGGUUCAUAUGAGAUGGUUAGUUAAUAUGACAUGGUUUGUGAGCUAACCGCGAUGUGCCCUUGGUAGUGCUCUGCCUCCAACAAGUUCGUGCAAGUCUCCUCAUCCCAUGAAGCACCGCUCAGGUCUCUCAGUUUGAAGGAGAUGAUCCACCUCGUUCUCCACUUCCUCGGGUGGUUGUAGACCUGGGUUGCGGUGACCUUUCGUCCACAAAACUCGAAGACUUGCUUUGCCACAUAGUUCAAGUGCACCUCCUUGAACCCCUUGCCAGUCCCCAUUCCACUAGAUAUGACCUCACACAUCUUGGUAAGCACACAAAUGGAGACGAACGAUUGCCAUUUCAUGUUGCAUCCCCUGCCAUCCUUCUUCUCCUUUAUGGCUGCCUUCGAGCAGCCACAUGAGAUACAACAUUGGGAUGAGCCAACGCAAAUGGAGGAACAUUAGGAGGCACCUCGAAAACUUCUAAAUCAAGAGGCGUCUGGUCUAUGUUAGCCUAGGAGUCCUCGACAUAGGACGUCGGGAACUGGCUCUCGGACGACACGAUGGUCAGACUAAACUCUUGCAUGCUCAUGUCCUGCAUGUUAAGCUUCAUGCACUAGCCAACGCAACCAAAAAUCAGAACUGAUGGAAAGGGCUAGAUAAUCCACAUAUACACUUCAACACCCCCUCUCACGUGUAACGCGGAAAGUCAACACGUGGAUAAACUCAGAGGUAUGGCUCAAGAGGCCUAUACGUGGACAGAUAGGGGGUGACAACAAUAUCUUUACCUACUAAUAAAGCAAUUAGUGCUUCUGUCGUUCGUCAUUAACAUUGCCCAUAAAAUUGAUGAAAAUUACCCACAAUUGCCACUUAUAAGUCAUAGAAAACGUUUCAAACAGGAAAAUCUCCUGACUCGGCCGGCCCAUGUAGGCACCUCCUAUAUUACGCUCUGGGCAUUGGAAAAAGAUGCAACACCUAUUUGGGCCGGCCCAUGCGUGGCCGCCUGUUCUUUUAGUUUAGUUUUUUUAUUUUACUUUUCAGUUCCAUUUUUUUCUACUUUAAAUAAUUCAGAACUUCAAAUAACUUUUCUUAAAUUUAAGAAAUUGAGAAUUUUGAAAUAAAAUAUUAAAAAACAUAUUUUUUUUGAGAAUUCAAAAACUACUCAUCAAUUUUGAAAAAUGUUUGCAUAUACAAAAAAAUGUUUAAAUUUUUAUAAAAUGUCUGUAAAAUGAAAAAAGUUAAUAAUUUUAAACAAAAGUCCGUGUGAAAAUCUUAAAAACAGUGUUUUUAGUCUCAUUUUUUAUUUUCAUUUUCUGUUUCAUUUUUUAAAAUUUAAAUAAUAUAGACUUUUGAAAAAAAAUUGCAACUUAUAAAACUGAGAAAUUUUGAAGAAAACAUAAAAUGUUUGUAAAUUCAAAAAAUGCUCAGGAUAUUUGUAAAAGUAUUCCCAUAUUCAAAAAAAUGUUCAUAAUUUUGAGAACAAUGUUGGUGAAAACAAUAAAAGUCCAUGAUUUUAAGAAAAAAGUUUGUGUAUUAUUUUUUGGAUGCAAUUGAAAAAAAUGUUUGCUAAUUCAAAAAAUGUUCAUGCAUUUCAAGAAAUGUCCUACAAUUUGAAGGACGUAAUAUGAUCAGAAUCCUUGAAGAUUAUAGUUACUUUUCUCCCGUUGCAAGCACGGGCCCUUUUGCUAGUUUGAAUAAACUGCGAAAGUCAGGACUUGAACUCAAGACCUUAGGCCCUGAUACCAUGUUAAGCUUCAUGCACUAGCCAACGCAACCAAAAGUCCACAUAUAUUGUAACACACCCUCUCACGUGUGACGGGGAAGACAAGUCAACACGUACAACCGGAAAGGAGCGACGGCGCACGAAACUCACGUAUGACUCAAGAAGCCUCUACGUGGACACAAAGGGGGACUACCAACAAUUUUUUAAAUAAAUUGCGAAAGCUAGGACUUGAACUCAAGACCUUAGCCCUAAUACUAUGUUAAGCUUCAUGCACUAGCCAACGCAACCAAAAGUCCGAACUGAUGGAAAGAGCUAGACAAUCCACAUAUACACUUCAACACUGCAAACGUAAGCGUCAUCAACAUCACAUUAGGCUAAAAUUGACAGUACGUGCUAUCUGUAAACAUGGACAACACACUACACAUCGAUGGUAUGAACUAACGGUAAAACAUGCACACAUGGAUGAUCUAGUUUAAGACAAGACUAAUCAUGGACACAUAUGGAUGAUCUUGUUCAACACUUGCCCAUUACCAUACCAUACAUCUAAGCAUACUACCAAUCCAUCAAUGAACAUCUUAGCAUACUACAAAUCCAUUCAUGAACAUCCAAGCAUACUACCAAUCCAUCCAUGAACAUCCAAGCAAGCAAUCACGGAAACACCCCCUAGCAUGCUUGAAAUCCAUCCCAGCUAACUACUGAAACAUCACAUUCAAACAGAUCGGAGAAUCUAACCCCACCACAUCGCCAGAUCUAGCUAGAACUAGUAGAGGGGAGGGGGUCAUUGAACUUACAAACGCCAUUGAAGAAGCCGCAGAGGAGGUGCGGCAUGAAGGAGAAGAGGAGGAGCGGAUCCGCCGCCGUAGCCAACCGGACGCCGGAGUAGUUGUGUCGCUUACCUCGUCGUCAAGGUGGAUCCAGGGCGGAGUGAAAGCUCGAGAGGGGUGGCGGGAGUUUUGGCAUGCCGGUCACACUAGCUAUAUAGGGCGAUCAGGAAUCGACGUGCGGGGACGUGGGAAUCGACGUGCGGGGACGNNNNNNNNNNNNNNNNNNNNNNNNNNNNNNNNNNNNNNNNNNNNNNNNNNNNNNNNNNNNNNNNNNNNNNNNNNNNNNNNNNNNNNNNNNNNNNNNNNNNGGAGAGGUGGGGCGCCGUCCCCCUUUGCCGUCCGUCUGGGGAUCAUGCAGACGACAAAGAGUGUUUGGGCGGACGACACACAGGCCCGAGAUGGCAAAGGUGACGGCUCAAGCCGCGUUGACUCUGUGACAACCCGAUACUGACGUUCUAGAAGAUUCCCCUUCUNNNNNNNNNNNNNNNNNNNNNNNNNNNNNNNNNNNNNNNNNNNNNNNNNNNNNNNNNNNNNNNNNNNNNNNNNNNNNNNNNNNNNNNNNNNNNNNNNNNNNNNNNNNNNNNNNNNNNNNNNNNNNNNNNNNNNNNNNNNNNNNNNNNNNNNNNNNNNNNNNNNNNNNNNNNNNNNNNNNNNNNNNNNNNNNNNNNNNNNNNNNNNNNNNNNNNNNNNNNNNNNNNNNNNNNNNNNNNNNNNNNNNNNNNNNNNNNNNNNNNNNNNNNNNNNNNNNNNNNNNNNNNNNNNNNNNNNNNNNNNNNNNNNNNNNNNNNNNNNNNNNNNNNNNNNNNNNNNNNNNNNNNNNNNNNNNNNNNNNNNNNNNNNNNNNNNNNNNNNNNNNNNNNNNNNNNNNNNNNNNNNNNNNNNNNNNNNAGAAGAUUCCCCUUCUAUUCCGUUUUCGUCAUGUUUUUAUUUGUCGCAUCAUCAGCAUUGCAUCGGCAUCCCGUUGCCGCCAGUUUUCAAAAGUUGCAUCCGUUAGUAGUUGCCGGUUCUCGUCGUUCAUAGUGAUCUGAAUUCUUCUUCCGGAGUGGCUCAUGAUAUCAAUUCUUUGUCUCAAGAUGUUCUUCAAGAUUCUGGUGGUAGUAGUGCUCAUUUUCUUCUUUGUUCCCUCGUUCUAAGAUCUAGUUUAUAUUCUCUUGUUCUAGAGUUGUGGUGAUGUUGCUCAUUUGGGUCAAUCAUGUUGUUCUAUCAAGAUCAUAUUGUUCCCUUGUUCAAUUUAGUUAGUUUGUUGUGAAUUUUCUCAAGAUCUGUCCAUCUUAUCAAAUUUUGUCCCCUUUUCCUACCGAAGUGCUGCCGAAUUUUUCCGUGAAUUCUUGCUUGUUUCUCAUAUCAUUCCUCAUCGCUUUGCAACCUUCAAGGAUCGUUGGUUUCACUCGUUUAUCAAAGAAGCGACUAUGUUUUACCUCUUGCUUUCCCUUCCUCUUCCCCUUUCAUUCUUGGAUCUCGGGUCGAGAUCCUCUUGUAGUGUAGGAGAGUUGUGACAACCCGAGACCGACAUUCCAGAAGAUUCCCCUUCUAUUCCGUUUUCGUCGUGUUUUUAUUAGUCACAUCAUCAUCGCAUCAUGCGCAUCAUCAGCAUUGCAUCGGCAUCUCAUUGCCGCUAGUUUUCAAAAGUUGCAUCCGUUAGUAGUUGCCGGUUCUCGUCGUUGUCCGUUCUGAGCCCGACCACACUCGCACGCGCCCUCGACACCGUCAAAACCCUGUUUUUAAAAGUGUUUAUAAAACUUUCUCUGACUGAGUUGAAAGUUGGCGUGCGGUCUUAUUUAUAUAUAGGUAGGCCGCCUGUCAAUUUUCAUUGCAUUCGGAGUCCGUCUCGUACCCGAACGGUCGACCGUAGCGACACCGUAUUCGGUCUAUCGUCGGGCGUUUUAUCGGUGUUUUAAAAUCACAUUGCCGGGUGCGCACUUCCCUCUCAUCUUAGCCAGCACCCCUUUACACGGCCUAAACCUAAACCACCUAACCCUAGGACGUUUCCGGAGCGUCCGAUCUCAAUCGGAUGGUCCGAAAACGCGUGAAACCGCUAAACCUAGCUUGUUUUUCUAUAAAUAGGAGUCUCCCCUCUCUCCUCCUCAUUUUCCGUGCCACCAGCAACCCUAGCUGCCACCUGAGACAACCUCUCCCUCCUCCCAACUCGAGCCAGGCCCGCCUGGGCCCGAGAGAGGCCUGCCCGAGGCCAUCUGGGCCCGGAUCAGCCGCCGCAAGCAUCUGCCCAAGCUCCCUCCCCAUGGCGCGCUGUGCUCCCGCGCCCGUGGUGCCGCGCGCCGGCCGCCUCCCGUUGCCGGACCCGCAUGCCGCCGUGCUCAGCCUCGUGCCCCACCGCUGUCCGGCCCAGAUCCGGCGAGAUCUGGCCGGAAUCCCGCCGGCCUUGGCCUUCCUCGCCAACCUUCAGUGCCCCGCCGCCAGUCCCUGUAGCCGCCACCGCAAGCUGAGGUCGCCGCCGUCCCGUCGGGUCCCGUCAGCCCAUCCCCAGCGGAUCCCGCGCCCUCCGCGCCUCCUGCCAGCACCGGAGCUCGCCUCCAAGCCGCCGCCGCCGCCGCCUCCUGUCCAGGUUAGGACGAGGAGCAUGACGAGGCGCUUGCUCGCUCGCCGCCUGGGCCGCAUCGCCCCGCUAGGCCGGCCUCCCAUCGCGCACCCUCGGCCCAGCUCGCCGCUCCAGCCGGCCUCCUCCAGCGACCAGGCCCAGCUGCCUGUGCCGACCGAGCCGGCCCAAGGUGAGGCCCUCCUCCGCCCGCGUUAUUGUUUGCCCGAGGCGCGUUUUAGUAAGAAGCGCCACUACCACUAAUUCGGCCCAGAUUCGAAUCCGGCCCAAUAGUGUUUUUUAUUUAUUUAGAAUUUAAUUCUAUUACACGAAGUUAUAGAUUUUUAGAAUGCCCGUAGAUUGUAAAUCGAGUGUCGGAUCGGAACGAAUUAUAUAUGAAACUCGAUUAGUUUUCCGCGUAGAUUAAUAUUUUGCAACUUGCAUGCAUGUUUGAAGUGUUUUUACUUGCCGUAUGCCUAGUUUCGCAUGCCGUCCCAAUAGGGAAUUAUCCCGUAUUAAUUUUCGUGCGUGUCCGGAUUGCUCGAACUCCGUAUGUAAAAUUCUCAUGUUUUUAGGACCCCUUUUCCAUGUAUUUUAGAGUAGUUGGUUGUAUUUUUGCAUGUAGGAUUCCGUAGCUAGUUUGUUAUACCGUGCUUAGGACAUAAUCUCGCAUAUACAUGUGGUGAUAUUUUUGUGUUGCAACCCCACAUGUUAUAUAUGUUUUUGGGGUAGAAAAAUCCAUAGGAUUUAACUAUGCAUUUAGUUUUAGCUUUUGAGAAAGUUAGUGCGUGUGAUAUUUUGCCAUAUUGCCCUUUUGUUUAUUUUGUGGGAUUUAAUGUGUGCAUGAUAUGAUUGAGUUGUCAACUAGAGAUAUGCCCUUGGAUGUGUAGACUAGCCUCUGGUAAUUUUGGUUGCAAUAGAAAUCCAUGUUUAGGUGUGGUUUGCUUGUUCUCAACUUGCUAGGAAAUAGUGCUGUUUUAGAGAUGCUGAAAUAUUUCUAAGUCUGAAAUCUGUUAUAUUUUGUUGUUGUCUUGUCAUGAGUUCAUCAGGUGAUCUGUAGCUCUUUUGAGGUUGGUGCAAUGGAGUUAGUUGUAGAAUUUAGGAUUCUAUAGCAUGCUGUCAAUUUUCAUGCCAUUUGGAUUCUUGUAGCUUAUGGUUUUGCUGCUGUCAAAAUGCCUUGAGAUUGAAAACUGCACUGUCAUAAACUGACAUUUUCACUAAGUCUGAAACAGUGUGUGAGAUGCCAUUUUGUGACUUCUUUUCCUAGUGUUCCAUGCUUCCAUGCUAGGUGUUGUUGGUUGUAUUUUGUAGUGCAUCUUGCCAUCUACUGCCUCAUGCCCUGGUUGAGCAUAUUGGAUUUGUGUAGCUCGUAGUUGUGGGGUGUAGAAAAUGCUAUGUGGCUGAUUCUGGCAGAUUGUAGUGAUUUCUUGUUUAGUCUAUAGUUGUUGAACCGUAGCUCCGUUGGAGAUGUUCUUUAGGUGUAAAUUGAUUGUAGCGAUGCGUAGAAUCACGUGAACCUAUUUUUUUGUUUAACUAACAUUUAAACAUGUUAGUUCAGAUCUGGACAGAUUUAUAAAUUAACGUAUGAGGUCAUCUCGGAGAUGCUAUAUGCCAUUUCCGACCUCAUUUAAAAUGCCUAGAUAGAUAGUUUAAUUACACUUCACUUGUUGCCAUGAUUAACCACAUUUAAUAUUGCCGUGUAACUAAUCGAGAGUAAACUAAAUAAUUCGUAUGUGGAGUUUCGUCAAUAUGCAACUCGUUGCAUAUUGAACUUCACUUAAUGUGUAGUGUUUGAUUGUUGUGAAUUGACACGCCAUGUCUUGCAUAUGUUCAACCAUUCAUGCAUCAUAUGUGUUGUGCAUCUUGUGGUGAAUAUCGUGUGUUGAUGCUUGUUUCUGGUUUCCUACGUCUCGAUAGAGUUCCGCAAGCGUGUCGAAAAGUGAGGACCCGUUCGACUACGUCGGUUCAUCUGCUUCACGGAGCCCUUCUUCUUCCAAGCGGGAUCUCAGGCAAGAUGACCAUUUCCCCAGAUACCAUUAAUAUCAUUGCCAUGCUAGUUUUACCGUUUCUAUCGUUAUGUCUCAUUGCCUACCACCUGUUAAAUAUCAGCCUCCCAACAAUGCCAUGAAACCUUCAAACCUGUUCACAACCUAGCAAACCAUUGAUUGGCUAUGUUACUGCUUGCUUAACCAUGUGUUAGCGUUGCUAGUUGCAGGUGCAGUUGUUUCCAUGUGACAACAUGGGUUCCUUGUUAUAUCACCAUAUUAAAUGCUAUUUAAUUUAAUACACCUAUAUACUUGGUAAAAGGUGGAAGGCUCGGCCUUUUUAGCCUGGUGUUUUGUUCCACCUUUGCCCCCUUAGUUUCGGCUACCAGUGUUAUGUUCCAUUUUUGAGCACUCCUAACACGAUCGAGGUUGUUAUGGGGACCCCCUUGAUAAUUCGUUUUAGAUUAAAGAUGGUCUGGCAAGGCCCAACACCGAUACUACAUUUUCCCAACAUAAUAUUUUUUGUUAAUACUGAAAGCAUAGGGCAUCAUGAACCCAAGGAGUAAUUCUACAUAAAACAGGGGGGCCAGUGGUGAUGGUGCUGGUCCAAAAUAGAGCACUGUGCGGGGCCAACCAGGGGCAACUCGGGAGAUGUCUAUCAGGCCACCGUACGCUUAGCUUAUCUGUCGUGUCCUGAGAAUGAGGUACGCGGCUCCUAUCGGGAUCGUCGACACGUCGGAUGGCCUUGCUGGAUUAGUUUUACCUUUGACGAAUGUCUUGUGAAUCGGGAUUCCGGUGAUGCUUUGGGUAAUCUCAGAGUUGAGUUUUGAUACGUCUCCACGUAUCUAUAAUUUUUUAUGGUUUCAUGCUAUUAUCUUGUCAAACUUUGGAUGUUUUGUAUGCCUUUUAUAUCUUUUUUGGGACUAACUUAUUAACUCAGUGCCAAGUGCCAGUUCCUGUUUUUCCGUGUUUUUGACCCCUUUCAGAGGAGGAUUUUAAACGGAGUCCAAAAGGAAUGAAAUUUCAAAAUAGAUUUUUUCCGAAACAGAAGACGAUCGCGAGACUUGAGAACCAAGGCAGAGGGUCAGCAGGGACCCCUAAAGCCCCCUAGUCGCGGCCAGGGGCGCGCCUCCCAUGCUUGUGGGCUCUCUGGGCCUCCUAUGCUAUAGGUCUUUCGCCUAUAUAUUCCCUAAAAUCCCAGAAAAAAGCAGGGGAGCCACGAAAAUACUAUUCCACCGCCGCAAGUUUCUGUCUCCGCAAGAUCCCAUCCGGGGCACGUUCUGGUGCCCUGCAGGAGGGGGAUUCGGAUACAGAGGGCUUCUUCAUCAACACCAUGACCUCUCCGAUGAUGCGUGAGUAGUUCACCAUAGACCUACGUGCCCAUGGCUAGUAGCUAGAUGGCUUCUUCUCUCUCUUGGAUCUUCAAUACAAAGUUCUCCAUGAUCUUCAUGGAGAUCUAUCCGAUGUAAUCUUCUUUUGCGGUGUGUUUGUCGAGAUCCGAUGAAUUGUGGAUUUAUGAUCGGAUUAUCUAUGAAUCUUAUUUGAGUUUCUUCUGAUCUCUCUUAUGCAUGAUUUCAUAUCCUUGUAAUUCUCUUCGAGUUGUGGGUUUUGUUUGGCCAGCUUGAUCUAUGAUUCUUGCAAUGGGAGAAGUGCUUGGUUUUGGGUUCAUACCGUGCGGUGACCUCACCCAGUGACAGAAGGGGUAGCAAGGCACGCAUCAUGUUGUUGCCAUCAAGGGUAAAAAGAUGGGGUUUUCAUCAUUGGUUUGAGUUUAUCCCUCUACAUCAUGUCAUCUUGCUUAAGGCGUUACUCUGUUCUCAUGAACUCAAUACACUAGAUGCAUGCUGGAUAGCGGUCGAUGUGUGGAGUAAUAGUAGUAGACGCAGAAAGUAUCGGUCUACUUGUCUCGGACGUGAUGCCUAUAUGUAUAAUCAUUGCCUUAGAUAUCAUCAUGGCUUUGCGCGGUUCUAUCAAUUGUUCGACAGGCAUUUGUUCACCCAUCGUGAUAUUUUCUAUUUUGAGAGAAGCCUCUAGUGAACACUACGGCCCCCGGGUCUACUUCACACCAUAUUUCCAGCCUUACACUUUUACUUCGUUGCACUUUCCGCCUUCAGAUCUCACUUUGCAAUCAAUCUUGAAGGGAUUGACAACCCCUUUAUAGCGUUGGGUGCAAGCUCUUUUGUGUUUGCGCAGGUACUCUGGACUUGAUGAGAUUCUCCUACAGGAUUGAUACCUUGGUUCUCAAACUGAUGGAAAUACUUAGUGCUCCUGUGCUGCAUCACCCUUUCCUCUUCAAGGGAAAAACCAACGCACGCAAGUCUCCGUCAACGUGUCAAUUUCUGGCGCUGUUGUUUGAGAAGUAGCAGAAGGAUUUCUGACGCCGUUGCCGGGGAGGAUCAAGUCAAGAACUCAUCCAAGUAAGUGUCGCAAACUCAUCUCUUGCAUUUACUUUUUUGCCUCUCGUUUUCCUCUCCCCACUUCUAAAAAACAAAAAUUUAUAAAAAUAUUUGCCUUUUUCAUUUGCCUUUUUCUUUCGCCCUUUUCUCUCGUUUUCCUUUCCUUUGCUUGUGUGAUAUGUGCCUUCAACAUGCUUGCAUCUUCGCUUGCUGAAAAUCUAGUGAUAUGGAUCCUCAUCCACUUGCUAAUCUCUUUAAGAGAUCCAAUUAUGUUGAUCCAAUUGCUAGAGAGUUGAGUGCACUUGACUUUCUCUAUGGAGUUUUGCUUGAGAUGCGUGAAUCUAAAAAUCGUGAUGAAGAAAUUUAUGAAGUGAUUCACAAGGGCUCCUUGAAUGAAAAGCAUGAUUGCAAUGGUUUCACUAUAAAUCCUAUUAGUGUCAAUCAUGCUAAAAAUAUGCAACACCCUAAGCUUGGGGAUGCUAGUUUUGCUAUGUCCACUACUUGUUGCAAUGAUCAUGAUUGGGGCAAUGAUUUUCUUAUUAUCUUGAAAAUUUGUUUAAGCCUCAUGAUGAAUAUGAUAUUUGCAAUAAUUUUGAAAGUGGGUUUGGAGAAGUCAUGACUUUAGUUGACGAUAAUCCCACUAUUUUUGAAGAGCGUCAACUUUGCAUGCAUGUGGGUCAUGAAAAGAAUAUCCUAUGGGAUAGCUAUAUUGUUGAAUUUGAAUAUGAUCCCACAUGUAAUUAUUAUGAGAGAGGAAAAUAUUGUGGUAGAAACAUUCAUGUUACUAAACCACCUCUCAUUCUGUUGAGAUUCCUAUUGUCUCUUUCUUCUUCCUUGCAUACAGUAGUUAUUGCUUGUCUUGACAAUUUGUUUCCCCAUAAAAUUCCUAUUCAUAGGGAGUAUGUUAGGCUUAGAUGUGAUUUUCACAUGCUUUAUGAUGCUCUCGUUGUGCUUCAAUUCUUGUCUUUUGUGUGAGCAUCAUUGAAUUAUCAAUGCCUAGCUAAAGGCGUUAAACAAUAGCGCUUGUUGGGAGGCAAUCCAAUGAAUUUAUGUUUUUCUUUCUAUUUUGUUGCAUCCACACCAUCAUAAUUCUGUUAUGAUUGUGUCUUUUGUGUUUGAGCCAAGAAAAAUCUUUAUGACUAGUCUUGGUGAUGGUUGUUUGAUCCUCCUGGAAAAAGACAGAAACGUUUCACUCACGAGAUUAUUAUUAAUUUUUAUUCAGAAAGAGCUUUUGAGUUGAUUCUUUUUGUUGCUGGUUGAUAUGAAUUUUGCCCAUGCAGUCGUAAUUUUUAAGAAUUUUUGAGGUACCAGAAGUAUACGAAGUAUACAGAUUGCUACAUACUGGUCUGUUUUUGUUGAGUUGGUUGCUUGUUUUGAUGAAAUUAUGGAUAGUAUCGGGGGUUACUAGCCAUGGAAAAGUGAUAAUACAGUAAUCUAACACCAAUAAAAAUAGAAAUCAAGAUUGCUAGAGUACCUAAGGAGGUGGUAGUUUGUUUUCUUGUACUAAUGAUAUCACGAGUUUUUGUUUAAGUUUUGUGUUGUGAAGUUUUCAAGUUUUGGGUGAUGUUCUCAUGGAAAAAUGGAUAAAGAGUGGAAAGAGCUCAAGCUUGGGGAUGCCCAAGGCAUCCCAAGACAAAUUCAAGGACACCAAAAAGCCUAAGCUUGGGGAUGCCCCGGGAAGGCAUCCCCUCUUUCGUCUUCAAUCCAUCGUUAACACUACUUGGAGCUAUGUUUUUAUUCACCACAUGAAAUGUGUUUUGCUUGGAGCGUCUUGUAUCGUAGGAGUCUUUUCUUUUUGUUGUGUCACAAUCAUCCUUGCUGCACACCUUUUGAGAGAGACAUGCACUCAUCGUGAUUUUGCUACAAUGCUCAUCGUGCUUCACUUAUAUCUUUUGAGCUAGAUAAUUUUGCUCUGUGUGCUUCACUUAGAUCUUUUAGAGCACGGCGGUGCAUGACUUGGUAGUUGGCUUGUGCUAUGAAAGUAGUCCCAAAGGUGAUAGGUACCCAAAGAGGAUACAAAAACCUCCAUCUUCAUGUGCAUUGAGUAGAAAGAGAAGUUUUGAUUCCUCUCAAAUAGUUUUGAGACGUGGAUUCGGUAAUAUUAAGAGUUAUGCUAGUAGGGUGUUGUGAAUCUAGAAAUACUUGUGUUGAAGUUAGUGAUUCCCGUAACAUGCACGUAUGGUGAACCGCUAUGUUAGGAAGUCGGAGCAUAAUUGAUCUAUUCAUUGUCAUCCUUUGUGUUGCGGUCGGCAUCGCGCGAUGGUUAACACCUACCAACCCUUCCCCUAGGAGUAUGCUUUUAGCACUUUGUUUCGAUUACUAAUAAAAAAUUUCGCAAUAAGUAUGUGAGUUCUUCAUGACUAAUGUGAGUCCAUGGUAUACAUGCACUUUCUAGCAUCAUCAGGCAUAGUAUCAAGCAUAACAUCUCUAGCAGUAUCAGGCAUAGUAUCAAGCAUAGUAUCAUCAAGCAUAGUAUCAAGCAUAGCAUCUCUAGCAGUAUCACGCAUAGUAUCAAGCAUAGCAUCUCUAGUAGUAGUAUCAAAAGCAUCAUCAAGCACAGGCGACGAAUCAAGAUUUCUAGCAGGAGGUGAAGUCGCAAACUUACUCAUAACUGAAGGUGAAUCAAGUGCAGAGCUAGAUGGCAAUUCCUUACCUCCCCUCGUAGUUGAGGGCAAGACUUUGGUCUUCGGAUCCUUCAGAUUCUUCAUAGUGAUCAACAGAUAUAAAUCCCAAGUGACUCAGAGAAUAUAGCAAUACCUCCCCGGCAACGGCGCCAGAAAAAUGCUGAUCGUGCAAUCUCUGGCGUUAGCUAGACGAAUGCUUAUGACAACAAACCUUCUCCUGCAACGGCACUAGAAGAAUGCUGAUAGCACCCCAGUAAUGAAACUAGAAGAAUGUUGUUGACGGCCCACCAACGUGUGGGUUCGCAACAGUUUUCGAGGGUAGAGUAUUCGACCCAAAUUUGUAGAUCGCCUAAAGGAGGUGAGAGAAUACUCUCGAGUAUUAGCAGCUGAAUUUGUCAGAUUCAACCACACCUGAAAGAUUAGUAUCUGCAAGCACAGUAGUAACAGCAAAGUAAUAUGGUAACAACGGUGUCAGAAACGAUCUAUUGACGGCAGACUAUUCCUAACGAUUGUAUCAAUGGCGCCUUCGUUGCCGCGUCGACGGAAGUUGUCAAUUCCCGUCAACGGUACGUGAACCAACAGUGUAGCAGGUAGCAGCAGUGUAACGAGCAAUAGCAGUGGCAAGGAACAGCAGUAGUGACAACGGUAGCAAGUAGCAACAGUAGCAAGCGAUGGUAGUAGCAACAGUAGUAGUAGCAGCAGCAGAGCAAGACAAGUAACAGCGGUAGCAACAGAGUAGCAGCAGCAGCAGAGCAAGACAAGUAACAACAGUAGGACAAACUCGUAGGCAAUGGGUCGUGAUUUGUUUGGAUGAUAUUCAUCAUGCAACAACUAUAACACGGAGAGAUAAGUGGCUAGCUCCCAUUCGUCAAUGUGAUGUAGGCAUGCAUUCCGUGUGUCGUCAUACGUGCUUAGGGAAAAGAACUUGCAUGACAUCUAUUGUCCAUCCCUCCCGUGGCAGCGGGGUCCAAAAGGAAACUACGGGAUAUUAAGGUUCUCCUUUUAAUAAAGAACCGGACCAACGCAUUAGCACUUGGUGAACACAUGAACUCCUCAAACUAUGGUCAUCACCNNNNNNNNNNNNNNNNNNNNNNNNNNNNNNNNNNNNNNNNNNNNNNNNNNNNNNNNNNNNNNNNNNNNNNNNNNNNNNNNNNNNNNNNNNNNNNNNNNNNUAUAUAUAUAUAUAUUUGUUGUGUGUUUAGUAGCUAGGCAAGAUGAACGAUCGUGCAUGGAUGUACACCGCUCACACUAGUCAAAUAAUGAUGACCAAAGAAUGCUUUACAAAAAUCAAAGAGUUUGUGAAAGCCACAUUUGCAAAUGGCCAAAGAACAACCUAGUGCCCCUAUUCUGGGUACAACAACUUUAAAAAGAGGACACAAGAUGAAAUGGGUAAACACCUGCAGAAUAGGGGUUUUACGUCUGAUUAUACGGUGUGGACAUUUCAUGGUGAGUCCGCCCAACGCACCAGAGCUGAGGUGGUUCGUCGUCGCACCGACGAGCAUGGUACUGGGAUCGAAGACAUGAUGCAAGACUUUGAUGAUGCUCUAGAUUCGGACCAUGAGAUGGAGGAAUCUGCAAAGGCCUUCUAUGAAAUGUUGGACUCUUCAAAACGUCCUCUCCACGAGCACACUGAGCUUUGUUAGUUGGAUGCUAUUGCACAAGUAAUGGUUUUGAAGGGUCAAUUCAACUUGGGAAUAUAAUGCUAUGAUGCGAUGAUGACACUAUUUGGACACUUUCUACCCAAAGGCCAUGUCAUGCCCGCAAAUCUGUACCAGUCGGACAAAAUACUCAGUGUACUUAAGAUGCCCUAUGAGAAGAUACAUGCCUGUGAGAAAGCAUGUGCCUUAUUUAGGCUUGAGUAUGCAAACUUGAACUAUUGUUACAUUUGCAAGUCUUCCAGGUAUGUUGUGGUAGACAACGAUAUGGGUGAGAAGAGGCAGACCAAAGUCCCAGUUAAUGUUCUUCAGUAUAUGCCAAUCAUACCAAGGCUUCAACGACCUUUCAUGGUCGAAGAGACGGCCAGACAGAUGACAUGGCACAAAUUGGGCAAAAGAACCGAACUAGAUGCAAUUGGGAAUAAGAUGUUGGUACACACGUCAGAUGCGGAAGCGUGGAAGCACUUCGAUGCAUUACAUCCGGAUAAAGCAGAGUAUGCGUCGGCACAGAUGGGUUCAAUCCCUUCGGUAUGACAGCAACCCAAUAGAGUAGUUGGCCUAUAUUUGUCAUUCUACUCAAUCUCCCACGGAUACAUUCUGCAAAGAAAUAACUUAUUCCUGACAUUGAUAAUUCCAGGACCCAACUAUUCGGGGAAGAAUAUGAACAUGUACAUGCAGCCGCUUAAGGAUGAAUUGAAAGAAGCUUGGGAUAAUGGGUUAAAGACAUACGACGCCACUAGAAAAGAAAACUUCAAAAUGCAUGUCUGGUACAUGUACUCGAUGCAAUAUUCAAAAACAUGGAAAAAACAGAAACUGGCACUAGGCUCUAGAUUAAUAGGUUAGUCCCAAAAAUAAUAUAAAACAACAUAUUAAUGCCUAUAAAACAUCCAAAACAGAUAAUAUAAUAGCAUGGAACAAUAAAAAAUUAUAGAUACGUUGGAGACGUAUCAUCGUGCCAUCCAUCCAAGUCAGGGAGAUAGUCCCCGAGCGUAGUGAAAGGCUUGAGGUCGAGACGCUCAGCCGGUAUGCGUGUUCGGACGUCUUCCCGCGACAUUUGCCCUUCUUUGUAGAACAUCCCUUUUUUCGACGACCUCCUUCUUGAUGAUUUGGGCAAGUUCACGCUGGAUGUGAUAGAACUCAGCUCGAAGUCGGUGAUCCGGGAUAUCACCCAGGUUCUUUGCCCAUUGCAGAAUAUGAACAUCGCUGGAUGUAGGUGACAUGCGAAGGUUCUGCUGAUGCCAUCUGUACUGCAGCAUGUGGUGGUGGACAUAGAAUCCAUCACUAAGAGUACCACUCGGUUGCUGGAUGUAGCAGAAGUCGGCCUUAUGGGCGAAGGCAGGGGUGCGAUUACUUGUCCUCUUGGUCGUGAUCUCUCCACCCCGUAGGCCGUAGAAAAAGAUAGCACUGUCAAGAACAGACUUGAUGUGGGUGUAAUCCUUUUUAUUCAUGUUCUUCGACGAGUCCAAGUAAAGAGCAUGGGAAAAUCGGGGGUAAAGGAUGAUGAGGACGGUGCGCCCGUCGCUACGCAAAAAUAAGUACACCUCAAAUUAGCCUCCACGCGCGCAAAAUGAAUGAUUGAAAUCGAAGGUAAGAUAUCUGUGGAUGACUUACAUGGGAUGAUAAGGCACGAGAAUCGCCUCCUUGUCCUUAUUGGCGACCAUGAAAUCGGCGAUGUAGUUACUCACGUAUUCACGUUGCUUUGGGCAGACUACCAAGAAGGCCUCAUGCAUGAAGUACGGGUUAGCGACACAGAUAUAAGGUAUCUCUCAAUCCCGAUGACAUGGUUCAUGUGCAAGGAAAAAAGGCGGACAAACAUAAAAUCCAUCCUUUUCAAGUGAAACAUGUCGAAGAUCUAAUCGAAUCGAAGGAAGGUCUUUUCUGUGGGGAAUGUGUCGACGUACAACCUUUGUUGUGGCACGUUAACCACGUAGAGCGGGUAUCCUGGAUUUUUCGAGGCAAUCAGGCUUUUCUCUCUCCGCAGCACAACGUCAUGAAGUGUCCUUAGAUCAUCAUAUAUGGCCUCUACCGCUGCCUUAGGUAGGAUCGGAACACCGGGGGUAUGAAAUUUUGCCGCACCGGGGAUAGGUAUAUGGUUUUGAAAUCGAGGUUGCUAAGGCGGCUGGAUCGUAGAAGCAACUUUGUUGCAUUUCCUCGAUCUCUUCCUAUGCUUCUUUGCUACUGGAGGUGAGCCUAUAAUACGUUCAUCCUCUGGAAAUUCAGGCACCAAUUCAUCACGCUCAAACCCUGAGUACUCAUACGGUUGAGCCAUCAAUCCUCUGUCGUCAGAGGCACCAGUAUUCACAUACUGUAGAGGGUCAUCGUCAUCCUCGUCGAUGGCAUCAUGCAUUACUUCUUCGACGGUGGCGAUGUCAUCAACCACUAAUGGAGCCUCUUCCUCACCCGACAUGACAGCGACGCUAAUUGGGUAGGUGGGGUGUUGGUGUUCAUACCUUGCUGAGGCUGCUUGGUCGUGGGUGUGCUCCCGGCCGCCUCCAGACGAAGCAGACUCUUCGGACACAACAGGACCCAACGCUUGCAAGCGCCAAGCCGCUGCAGGAUCUCGUCGUGAUCUCUCCCUAGUGCUACGAGGAGCCAAAUUCUCGUGGCUCGGUUCGACACUGGCCACGGAAACCUUGAAGACAUCAGGGGGGUCGGCCGUCCAUGGAACAAUUGUUCCUUCGACUUCAUUAUCGCCGCCUUCCCUACACCCAUCUUCUGGCAGCUGAUGGUGUACAGUAUGGUGCACGGGGUUACGUCGGCCUGCAAAGACAUGUCUGCGAUGUGAGACAUCCGAAAGGCAAUGGAAAUGAGAGAUUGUACAUAUAUUGAAGAGGGUCAGUGUGACAGGUAACGUGAGGGUGUCGAGCUAAGCCAAAGACGAAGCAUCGCCGAUCACGCCCGAGAUGGAGGACGGGUUGUUAUGAGCUGGUGCGGGAGCCGGUGCAGGAGCAUGUGUUGGCGCAGGAGCCGGUGCAGGAGCAGGUGUGGGAGCCGAUGCAGGAGCAGGUGCGGGAUCCGGUGCAGGAGCAGGUGCUGGUGCAACCCUAGUCGAUCUGCUCCCCAAGAAGUUGGAAAGGGGAAAGUCCGCUGCAUCCUUAUUUGGUUUUUCCUUGGUCCAACUGACGACAACCGGAACCAAGAAACUAUACGAAGCUAUAAUCUCCUCUUAUGCGACAGCUACCACUGCUUUGACUGUCUCAGCUGAUUUUUUAUCAACCGCAAUCGCAACCUUCUUGUCGAUGUUUUCUUCAUUUAACCUCCAUCUUUGCUUUCUCUCCUUCAUGGUAUCACGGUAGUAAUUCUUCUACGUGGCGCCGUCUUCGACGCCGUGCACCCGUCCAUAUGACGGUCGAGUGUCCAUCGGGAGUCCUUUCAAUAUGUUCAAGGCCCGAUUGAAUGGGGUGUUCCACUUGGUCCUCACCAACGCCACAGACGGCGAGUUGCUUUCGGCCACAAUCCUGUGCUGCUCUUUCUGCAAAAGGAACGUGUACCAUUUACAAAUGUGACUAAAAGUGCAGUCGAAUUGAUCAGAAGCUAAAAUUAGGGGGUAAAUUAAUAAUUACGAGCAGUCUCAUGAACUCCUUCGUGACCCCGUCUGUAUUGAAAACCUUGUUGACUCGGUCCCAACGGUACUCGGCCCUAAUGACAUCACGCUCCUGCGGGACGGUGAACUCCGCCAAGGGGUGUGUGAUGCCCAGACUUUCGCGUUCCGCGUCCUCCUUGGCCCAUGUGGACCUUUGAUACGUCCCAAACGUAUCUAUAAUUUUUGCUUGUUCCAUGAUCUUUUGGGGUGAUAUUGUUACAUGUUUUGCUACACUUUUAUAUCAUUUUACACAUAUUUGGACUAACCUACUAACUCACUGCACCGAGUGCCAGUUUUGUCUGAUGAUGUCUUUUUUGCACGGGCUUUUACCCAAUUUUCCAAAGCCCUAAAAAAUCCAGAAAAAUAUAAAAAAAUCAGCGAAGCAGAAGCUUCAGGAUCACCGAAGGAGGGCCAGGGGCCUCCCAGGCGGCCUGUUGGCGCGGCCAGGGCCCAGGCCACGCAAGGAGGUCGCCUGGGUAGGCCCCACCUCCUCCGGUGCCCUCCUUUGGCCUAUAUUUAUGUUGGAUAACAUAGCAUAAAUUCAAAAUUUUCCUACGCCAUAUUCAGAUCUUCCUAUGGAGAGAACAACAACGAGAGAGGGGAGAGUGCAUCUUCAUACCUUUGAAGAUCGCUAAGCGGAAGCAUUGCUAGAACGCGGUUGAUGGAUUCGUACUGUGAUUCCGAUCUAGUGCCGAACCACGGCACCUCCGCGUUCAACACACGUGCAACCCGAUGACGUCUCCUGCACCUUGAACCAGCAGGGAGGAGGGAGAGGUUGNNNNNNNNNNNNNNNNNNNNNNNNNNNNNNNNNNNNNNNNNNNNNNNNNNNNNNNNNNNNNNNNNNNNNNNNNNNNNNNNNNNNNNNNNNNNNNNNNNNNNNNNNNNNNNNNNNNNNNNNNNNNNNNNNNNNNNNNNNNNNNNNNNNNNNNNNNNNNNNNNNNNNNNNNNNNNNNNNNNNNNNNNNNNNNNNNNNNNNNNNNNNNNNNNNNNNNNNNNNNNNNNNNNNNNNNNNNNNNNNNNNNNNNNNNNNNNNNNNNNNNNNNNNNNNNNNNNNNNNNNNNNNNNNNNNNNNNNNNNNNNNNNNNNNNNNNNNNNNNNNNNNNNNNNNNNNNNNNNNNNNNNNNNNNNNNNNNNNNGAGGAGGGAGAGGUUGGGGCAGAUCUCCGGCAGCACGACAGCGUGGUGUCGAUGGAGAGACGAGGUCUCCUGGCAGGACUUCGCCAAGCACCGUGGGAGAGGAGGAAGAAGAAGAGCAGGGCUGUGCCGAGAGAGAGAUGGAAAAGCAUGUCUCCAAUGGCCAAAACCCCCGCUAUAUAUAGGGGGAAGGGAGGGUUUCCCCCUUGAGGGGGUGGGGGCAGGGGUGGCGGCUAGGAGGGGAGGAGGNNNNNNNNNNNNNNNNNNNNNNNNNNNNNNNNNNNNNNNNNNNNNNNNNNNNNNNNNNNNNNNNNNNNNNNNNNNNNNNNNNNNNNNNNNNNNNNNNNNNGAGAAGGAGAAGGAAGGAGGAGGAGGAUAAGAACGAGAAGAACGAGAAGAAGAAGAAGAAGAAGAAGAAGAAAAAGAGGGAAAGGAAAAGAAGAAGACGAAAAAGGAAAAGAAGAAGGAUAAGAAGAGGCCGACUAGGUCAUGGUUUUGUAAAUUACGAGUUAGGUCAUAUAUUUUCCAAUUUUGUUUUAAAAAACGAAAUAUUUGUGUUGAUCGGGUGGACUUACAUGUGUAGUUGUUUUGCCGCUGCGAGGUCUGGUGUUCGAAGACCUCCCCAUGCAUUCAUCGAGCUCCGCCCUUCCGUUGUGGGUGAGCACAAAUGACAUCUCCUCUUCCCCCCCCCUUCAUUUGCUCUGUUCUGGUCUUUGUGCUGAUGAAACUUGCUAGAUAUAGGUACAUUAAAUCAUCAGUAUGCGUGACCAGUAUGCUUCUCCCGUUCGAAAGGGUUACAUUUAUAAAUAUGCAUGCAUUUGUAUAUAUUUAUAAUCGUGAUUCUUCCGAAUUGUCCAAUGUUAUCCAUGGACGGCGUGAGUAUGUGUAGAUUGGGUCCGUUUUCCCAUAUGAUCUGCUCCGGAUCCGAUGCAUAAUUUUGUCAGUGCAUCCCUGUUGUUUUCCGGGUACACAUCAUCUUUGUUUAUUGUCGAGAGGUGUAUGAGAAGAACAACACGGAGGUGAUGCCGAAAUUUUACGUCAGAUCCGAAGCAGAGCAUGGGAAAACGAGCCCAGUCUACACAUACUCUAGUGGGAUUAGGACCAAUCUUUACCUAUUAGCGUGUAGGUUGCAUGGACAUAAUAAAACUGACAAAGUUGAUUAACUCAUGAAUAUAUAUACUGAAAUUAUAUAUAUAUAUAUAUAUAUAUUUGUUGUGUGUUUAGUAGCUAGGCAAUAUGAUUGAUCGUGCGUGGAUGUACGCCGGUCAAUGGAAGUAGACAACCACAGUGAAUCCGACUUCACCCCUGAGAUGGAACUAGAAGAGGUUACUGUUGCGAAUGACCUGUCAAUGCUUGAUCGAUUACAGAAAGGCCUUCCAUAUGUUGAUGCUGGUGAACCUGAUGAGCACAUCAUUCAUGAUGAUACGCGUGAUAGUGAUGAUGAUGAUGAUGCAUUUAUUGAUCCAGGAGCAUAUAUAGACGAUCCAGACUAUUAUUAGUUUGUAUGCAUCCCAACUUAAAUUAUAUAUGUACAUAUUAUUAUUCAUGUGGGGUAUUCAAUUUUUUAUGUUGCACUAAUUUCUUUUACUCUUUGUCAUGGCAGGUGUUGAAAGAUGGUGGGCGCGGGUCCAGAUCCCUCGGCGGGUACUUUGUUGGCGACCCGUGGGAGGGGUCCUUCCAUUCCACACCUAUCUCUCCAUAGAGUGUUGGCAGACAGUCUAGGGACACCCGCGGGUGCUUCUCCGUCAGCAAUGUUGCCCACCAGGAGAGGAGGUCGGGUAGGGAAGAAGGAGAAGGGUACAUGACGUGGCCGCGGGAGAGUUAGGCGGACAGCUACACCGUCCUCGCCACCACCCCCAGCUCAUUCACCCGAGCACAUAACUACUAGGAUGGACCCGUUUGAGGUGGAGGCUAUGGGAACUCCGGACCAGGAGCCUCGGGUCGACGGGCCUUCGGCCCAUGAGACUCCGGUUCCAAAGGCUUCAGUCCACGAGACUCAUGUACCAGGGGCUACGUCCCAGAAGACUCCCACCCCACAGGCUUCGUCCGGAUGGGUAUCUGGCCGGAUCAGACCGAGGGGCAGGGGUAGCCAUGCUGAUGGUGGUGGGGAUGAGUGUACUGAUAGUGAAGGCGAGGUGGUUCAAGGGGUCACCGUGUACCAGCGUGGUAGUACACGUCUCCAUGCCGUGCGGGCGAUCCACGAGCACAUGCCGAUGAUUAGGCGUGAAGGGGAGAAGUUAGUGCAUUUACUCUUUUUGUACCAUUUUCCUUCAAGUUUCUUCAAAUAUCUAAUGCGUUGACCUUGUCACACUGUAGGGGUUGGGAUCACCCCCUUGGAGUCUGCAAGCCGAACAUCGUCCCUUGUGUGCCUUGCCGGCAAAAUUCCCGGGCUUUAUCACGUUGCCCAAUGAGAGUGAGGUUCCUACACUAGGAUUUAGCUAUGAGCACUAAAAGGCUGCCCAGGUGAUACGUCUCCAACGUAUCUAUAAUUUUUUAUUGUUCCAUGCUAUUAUAUUAUCUGUUUUGGAUGUUUUAUAUGCAUUAAUAUGCUAUUUUAUAUUAUUUUUGGGACUAACCUAUUAAUCUAGAGCCUAGUCCUAAUUCCUGUUUUUCCUUGUUUUUGAGUAUUGCGGAUAAGGAAUAUCAAACGGAGUCCAAACGGAGUAAAUAUCCGGAAUGUUUUUUCUUGGACCAAAAGAAACCUGACAGACUUGGGGAGGGGGGCAGGAGACCUCCCAGGAGAUGACAAGCCUGCAGGGCGCACCCUGAUACGUCUCCAAUGUAUCUACUUUUCCAAAUUCUUUUGCCCUUGUAUUGGACUCUAAUUUGCAUGAUUUGAAUGAAACUAACCCUGACUGGCGCUGUUUUCAGCAGAACUGCCAUGGUGUUGUUUUUGUGCAGAAAUAAAAGUUCUUUGAAUGACCUGGAAACUUACGCGGAUUUUUUAUGGAAUAUAUAAAAAAUAUCAGAGAAAGAAUCAAUUGAAAAUACGCUGCGAGUGGGCCACGAGCCCUGCAGGCGCGCCCCCCCUAGGGCGCGCCUAGCAGGCUCGUGGGGCCCACGUGGCUCCUCCGACUUCUUGUCCAACUCCAUAUAACCUUUCUCGCCCAGAAAAAAUAGGAGAGAAGAGUUCAUCGCGUUUCAUGAUACGGAGUCGCCGCCGCCGCCUGUUCUUCCUCGGGAGGGCAAAUCUGGAGUCCGUUCUGGGCUCCGGAGAGGGGAAAUCGACGUCGUCGUCGUCGUCAACAAUCCUCCAUCGCCAAUUCCAUGAUGCUCUCCAUCGUUCGUGAGCAAUCUUAUCGUAGGCUUGUUGGACGGUGAUGGGUUGGAUGAGAUCUAUCAUNNNNNNNNNNNNNNNNNNNNNNNNNNNNNNNNNNNNNNNNNNNNNNNNNNNNNNNNNNNNNNNNNNNNNNNNNNNNNNNNNNNNNNNNNNNNNNNNNNNNCGGGCGGCCUUGCUGGAUUAGUUUUACCUUUGACGAGAUAUCUUGUGCAUCGGGAUUCCGGUGAUGCUUUGGGUAAUCUCAGAGUUGAGGUUUUCCACUAGGGAAUCCGACGAGAUCGCGAGCUUCGUGAUUGAGGAUUUCUAUGCNNNNNNNNNNNNNNNNNNNNNNNNNNNNNNNNNNNNNNNNNNNNNNNNNNNNNNNNNNNNNNNNNNNNNNNNNNNNNNNNNNNNNNNNNNNNNNNNNNNNNNNNNNNNNNNNNNNNNNNNNNNNNNNNNNNNNNNNNNNNNNNNNNNNNNNNNNNNNNNNNNNNNNNNNNNNNNNNNNNNNNNNNNNNNNNNNNNNNNNNNNNNNNNNNNNNNNNNNNNNNNNNNNNNNNNNNNNNNNNNNNNNNNNNNNNNNNNNNNNNNNNNNNNNNNNNNNNNNNNNNNNNNNNNNNNNNNNNNNNNNNNNNNNNNNNNNNNNNNNNNNNNNNNNNNNNNNNNNNNNNNNNNNNNNNNNNNNNNNNNNNNNNNNNNNNNNNNNNNNNNNNNNNNNNNNNNNNNNNNNNNNUUAAAAUAUGCCAACCGUGUGCGUAACCGUGACUGUCUCUUUCGUGAGUUCCUUCUCCGAUCGAGGACACGGUGGGGUUAUGUCUGACGUAGGUAGGUGUUCAGGGUCAUACAUUUGAUCACCAGUAGUUNUUGUGAAGAUGGGUGUGUGUGGUGAAAACAACCCCACUUGCAACACUUGUGCACCUCCUCAUGUACAUAUGAAAGAGGGCAUGAUGUGUUUGUGUGUGGAUCUAGUGAUAGUAGAGCUUGUGAUGUUGAUGUGCAUGACACAUACAUGGGGUUCAAACCCUCAUGUCUCUAUUGUCUUUGUGCGCAUGAGCUUAGCUAUGUAGGAGUUGAUCUAGUGAAUAGCACAUGAAUUGUGCACUAUGCACUAUGCAUGAUUUCUUGUAGUUUCUUCCUCCCUAGUUUGUAGUCACUUGUUCCAAGUAAGUGCAUGCAAAUUAUAUAUGUUUUUGGGGUAGAAUCUCCCAACGAAUAUGUCAUGGUUUUGUCACGGCAGANNNNNNNNNNNNNNNNNNNNNNNNNNNNNNNNNNNNNNNNNNNNNNNNNNNNNNNNNNNNNNNNNNNNNNNNNNNNNNNNNNNNNNNNNNNNNNNNNNNNCCGACAGGAACUCAUCACUUAAAAUGAUGGGGAUAACUCUCUAUAUAAAGAGGUCCAACCGUUCCUCAACUAACGGUAAAGAGAGUAAACUUUAGCACCACCACAUCACCACUUGCCAUCUUACUCAAGGACUUAAUUUGAGAUUUCAGAUUUUAUAGAUGGACCAAACCCAUGAAUUCUAACAGAUAGGUCAUGCACCACUACCAUCAGGUGCUUCAGCGGUAGGGAUAUAUCCAACUGCCACCAACCCUCACAACAGGAAAAAAGAUCUGAUCCUGACUUUUUCCUCAACCGCCACCGCUGCUGAUCUCAACCCACCCGCCUCCGCGGCUGUACCUCUCCCCGCUCAUUGCCCCCGUUGCGGCGCUCGAGCGCAUCAACGGCGUCGGCGUGCGGAUAAGGCGCGGCAGAGCGAAGUACUUGCAAGUGGAGGCGGGCCUCCAUGGCUCACAUGGGAACUCUGAGGUUAUGGCGCGGCAACGACGACUCCUUAUGGCCAGAUAGAGGCACCUAACCCUUGCUCCCCUCAUCGUAUCACCUCCUCCGACAGGAACUCAUCACNNNNNNNNNNNNNNNNNNNNNNNNNNNNNNNNNNNNNNNNNNNNNNNNNNNNNNNNNNNNNNNNNNNNNNNNNNNNNNNNNNNNNNNNNNNNNNNNNNNNNNNNNNNNNNNNNNNNNNNNNNNNNNNNNNNNNNNNNNNNNNNNNNNNNNNNNNNNNNNNNNNNNNNNNNNNNGGGCGUACCUCUGCCCGCUUGCUGCCCCCGUUUUGGCGCUCGAGCACAGCUUCUAGAUCAAAUCAACGCGACGGCUACGACGACUUGGGAUGAUGCGUUUGCUCGAUGCAGAACGGCGUCGGCGUGCGGNNNNNNNNNNNNNNNNNNNNNNNNNNNNNNNNNNNNNNNNNNNNNNNNNNNNNNNNNNNNNNNNNNNNNNNNNNNNNNNNNNNNNNNNNNNNNNNNNNNNCGUUCUCUAACGCUUCUGUUGUAUGGUCUACAAGGGUACGUAGAUCACUCAUCCCCUCUCGUAGAUGGACAUCACCAUGAUAGGUCUUCGUGCGCGUAGGAAAAAUUUUGUUUCCCAUGCGACGUUCCCCAACAGAUCCCGCUAGGAGUCGCGUACCUUGUUCUCAGGACACGAUGGAUGGGUCACACUAGGAGAACCAAACCUCGGGUUGCCCCGCGGUGGCCUCGUAGUCUGCCAAUUUGGACCAACACUCAUGAGAAGCACUAGCCCGGGGGUUGAUUAAAUUAUCCUCGGGGCCCGGGAAGUCCCUAUGCAAUUUUAUUAGGUGAUUAGGCAAAUGUAGUACCAAAGUUGGGCCUUGCCAGACUAGCUUUAAUCUAAAACGAAUUAUCAAGGGGGUCCCCAUAACAACCCCGAUCGUGUUAGGAGCGCUCAAAUAUGGAACAUAACACCGGUAGCCGGAAACUAAGGGGGCAAAGGUGGAACAAAACACCAGGCUAGAAAGGUCGAGCCUUCCACCUUUUACCAAGUAUAUAGGUUCAUUAUAUUAAAUAGCAUUAAUAUGAUGAUAUAACAAGGAACCCAUGUUUUCACAUGGAAGCAACUGCACCUGCAACUAACAACGCUAUCAACAUAGAUAAGCAAGCGGUAACAUAGCCAAUCAGUGGUUUGCUAGGUCGAACAGGUUGAAGGUUAUCAUGGCAUUAUUGAGAGGCUGAUAUUUACCAGGUGGUAGGCAAUGAGACAUAAUCGACAUCAUCGAAAUAACUAGCAUGGCAAUGAUAGUAAUGGUAUCUGGGUAAAUGAUCAUCUUGCCUGAGAUCCCGCUUGGAAGAAGAAUGACUCCGUGAAGCAGACGAACUGAUGUAGUCGAACGAGUCCUCACUUUCCGACACGCUUGCGUAACUCUACCGAGACGAAGCAAACCGGAAAAGAAUCAACACAGAUAUUCACCACACGAUGCACAACANNNNNNNNNNNNNNNNNNNNNNNNNNNNNNNNNNNNNNNNNNNNNNNNNNNNNNNNNNNNNNNNNNNNNNNNNNNNNNNNNNNNNNNNNNNNNNNNNNNNNNNNNNNNNNNNNNNNNNNNNNNNNNNNNNNNNNNNNNNNNNNNNNNNNNNNNNNNNNNNNNNNNNNNNNNNNNNNNNNNNNNNNNNNNNNNNNNNNNNNNNNNNNNNNNNNNNNNNNNNNNNNNNNNNNNNNNNNNNNNNNNNNNNNNNNNNNNNNNNNNNNNNNNNNNNNNNNNNNNNNNNNNNNNNNNNNNNNACGUUUAAUUAUUUAGUUAUAUCCCGAUUAGAUACACGACAUUAUUAAAUGUGGUUAAACAUGGCAAGAGGUGAAGCGCAAUUAAUCUACCUAUCUAGGCAUUUUAAUUGAGGUCGGAAAUGACUUAUAGCACCUCCGAAACGACCUCACAUGUUAAUUUGCGAUUCUGUCCAGAUCUGAACUAACACAUUUAAUUAGUUCUUAAACAGCAAAACAAAUAGGUUCACGUGAUUCUACGCGUCAAGGCAAACAAUUUACACAUAGAGAACCUCUCCAACGGAGCUACGGAUCAAAAGUUACAAGCACCGCAAGAUAUGAUGACAUGAAUGCAAUAUGUGUGCAACGACGGUUACGAGCACUUCAAAACCUACAACCAACAAGAGAAAAUGAAACUACACGAGAUUCUAAGCAAGUUUCAUGUAGGACAUGAUCAAAUCGGAGCUACGGUUCAACAUCUACAAGCAAAACAAGAAAACACUACAAUCUGCCAAAAUCAGCCACAUAGCAUUUUUUACGCCCCACAACUACGGCUACACAACUCCGAUAAACUCAAGCAAGGCAUAACACGAAAGAGGGCAAGAUGCACUACUACAAACAACCAACAAACUAGCAUGGCAUCAUGGAUCACUAGGGAAAGAAGACACAAAAUGGCAUCUCACACACUAUUUCGGACUUAGUGAAAAUUACACCUCAUGAAAGUGCAGUUUUCGAUCUGAAGCUAUAUUGAAAGCAGCAAAACCUAUAGCUACAGGACUCCAAAUGGCAUGAAAAUUUGCAGCAUGCUAGAGAAACACAAGGGGUACAACUAACUCCAUUGGACCAACCUCAAAAGAGCUACAAAUCACAAGAUGCUAGCAAGACAAGACAGCAACAAAAUAUAACAGAUCUCAGACUUAGAAGUAUUUCAGCACGUCUAAAACAGCACUAUUUCUAGCAACUUGAGGGCAAUCAAAACACACCUAAACAUGCAUUUCUAUUGCAACCAGAAAUACCAGGGGCUAGUCUAAACACCCAAGAUCAACUCUCUAGUUGACAACUCCGACAAACGAAGCACGGAAUAAACCCUACGAAUUAAACAAAAGGGCAUCACGGCAAAAAUAUCGCGCGAACUAACUUCCUCUAGUGCUAAAACUAAUUGCACAGAAAAAUCACAUGGAUUUUUCUACCCCGAAAACAUAUAUAAUUAUGUGGGGUUGCACAACAAAAUAAAGCCACACAUUAAUGCGGGAAAAUAACCUAUAUACAGGAAAAUAAUCUAGAGGCAAUCCCUACACGCAAAAAUACGAGUGACCGCUCUAAAAUACACGGAAAAUAGUUCCUGAAACAUGGGCAUUUUUAUUACGGCAUUUGAGCAAUCCGAACACGCGCGAAAAAAUAAACUACGGGCAAAGCAUAUUAGGACAGCAAGUAAAACUAUGCAUUCGGCAUGCUAAACGGUGUCAAACAAAUGUGCAAGCUGCACCAACGUAUUCUACGCGCAAAACUACACGAAAAUCAUAUAUUACACGUCUCGAUCCGACAUACGGUUUAAAAACUACGGACGUUUUAAGAUAUGCCUAUUCUCUGAAAUUUAACUAAUUCGAAAAUAAACCCUAAAAUAAAAAUACUACCGGGCCGAAUACACAGAGCAGCUGGGCCUCCUCGCAUGGGUGACUAACAGCUAAACUACACCUGAGGCGAGGCUUAGACGGGUCUCACCUCGCGGGCCUGGCCCAGGAGAAGAGGCGCGGGGGCGAGGCGGUGGAGAGGCCCGGAGCUGGGCCUUCGGUGUUGCUGGUGGGCCGAGGCGCGCCUGGGCCGAAGGUUGGUCCGGCUCGGUGGGGAGGGAAUUGGCCCACGCGGGUGGCCUGCCUGGGGCGGCCUCGUCCCCGAGCUCGGCUGGGUCCCGAGUAGACAGGGGCGGCGGCGGCGGGAGUUGCCGGCUAGGGCGCCCGAAGGCGAGGCGGAGGGGCGAAGCUUCGGCGCGGGAGCGGCCAAGACGCGCUGCUGGCGGCGGGAGGCGCGGGAGAUGCAGAUCGAGGCACGGCUGGCGACGCUGCAACCCAUGGCAGCGGGGACAGGAGAGCUCCGGCGAGGGUUGGCUCCGCGGCGGAUCCGACGAGGUCCUCCCGCGAGGGGCGGCGGCGACUUGGCACGGGGUGGCGGCGAUCUCCGGCGAGGGGCGGCGGCGACCUCCGGCAAGGCGACGGGAACGGCUGGGCGCCACGGGAGGCAGGAGGAGCUGCGAGAAUGCGGGGAGGCGGCGCGCAGAUGGGCUCGGGCGGGCCCCGAUCUGGGCUGGGAGGGCCGCGCGAGGAAGGAGACAGGGAAGGAGGCGGCGGGGACCUGGUUGGCUGGGCGCGGAUCCCAAGGAGGCUAGGGUUAGGCCAUAUUAGGAAGGGGAGUGUGUCUAUUUAUAGACACGGGGCUAGGGUUGUCCGAAUCCGGCCCCGUUUUCGCCCACGCGAUCGGAAUCGAACGAACUCGAGCGNNNNNNNNNNNNNNNNNNNNNNNNNNNNNNNNNNNNNNNNNNNNNNNNNNNNNNNNNNNNNNNNNNNNNNNNNNNNNNNNNNNNNNNNNNNNNNNNNNNNNNNNNNNNNNNNNNNNNNNNNNNNNNNNNNNNNNNNNNNNNNNNNNNNNNNNNNNNNNNNNNNNNNNNNNNNNNNNNNNNNNNNNNNNNNNNNNNNNNNNNNNNNNNNNNNNNNNNNNNNNNNNNNNNGGGGUCGGCUAAGUGACCGUGUAGAGUAGGCUAGUCGGGGAAGAGAGGGAAACAGUGCGGCGCGGCAACGCGAUUUGAAACACCGAUAACCGUCCGACGGUAGACCGAAUACCGUGCCGCUACGGUCGACCGUUCGGGUACCAGACGGACUCCGAUUGCGACGAAAUUCGACAGGCAGCCUAGCUAUAACUAAUCACGACCGCAUGCCAAGUUUCACCUUGAUCAGAGAAAGUUUUAAACGCACUUUUAAAACAGGGUCUCGACGAUGCCGCGGGCGCGUGCGUGUGCGGUCGGGCUCAGAACGGACAACGACGCGAACCGGCAACUAACAANAGAAAACAGACACACGACGAAAACGGAAAGAAAGGGGAAUCUUCUGGAACGUCGGCAUCGGGCUGUCACAACCGUAGUUUGAGGAGUUCAUUUGUUCAUUAUGUGUUAAUGCAUUGUUCCAAUUCCCUAUUAAAUAGAAUCCUUAAUAUCCCUUAGUUUCCUUACGGACCCCGCUGUCACGGAAGGGUAGGACAAAGAAUGGCAUGCAAGUUCUUAUUAUAAGCACGUGUGACUAUAUAAUGAAUACAUGCCUACAUUGCAUUGAUGAUUUGGAGCUAGUUCCGUGUCGCUCUAGUAUAUAACUGUUACAAGAUGAAUGUUAUCCAAUCAAUAUGCUUAUGCAUCACCGAUCCAAAUUCCUAUUAUUUUUAUUACCGAAUCUUGCUAAGUUACUAUUGCUGCUACUGCUGUUACAAUCACUACAAAACUGUUGUUGUUAGUGUUACCAUUACCGCUACUAUUUUGUUGUGCUACUAAAACUUUUGCUGCAGAGAGAUAUCCUAGGUGUGGCUGAAUUGAAAACUCAACUACUAAGACCAAUAAAUAUGUAUUGUCUCCCCUUGUGUCGAAUAAAUUAAUUAGGGUGUAAUACUACCGGUGAAAAUUGUUGCGACCCCCUAUACUUGUGGUUAGCAAGACAUUUUAUCACGUAAUUCACGGGUAGCAUAUCUUUAUUUAUUGUGUUCACUUGUGGAUAUCCAAUUGUCACUAUGAAGAAUCUGAAAGAUACCAGAACCAAGAUCAUACCCUCUAAGACGAGGGGAGGUAAGGAACUAUCAUCUAGCUCUGCUUUUGAUUCACCUACUAUUUUGAAUCAGCUUAUGAUACCACCACUCGCUACUUGUUCUGAUAUGCUGCCACAAAUACUUGAUGAUGCUACUUCUGAAUUUCAUGAAACUUGUGAUGAUACUAUUGAUAUGCUUUGAUCAAACUGAACUGUGCCACUUGGUGAAUUACUUGAUGCUCAUAUUGCUAGAUCUAGAGAAAUUGGAAAUGCUGAAACUGAUGAAAACUAUGAUUCACCUAUUAUGUCUAAUUCUUCUAAUAGACAUGAUAUGCCUGAUGUAGCUGAGGGUAAUGUUAUGGAUGGGGAUAUAGCUAGAGACGUUCUUGCUUGCAAUUAUAGAGAUGAUUUGUUAAAAUUGCUAUGUAAACUGAAAGAAAAAUCUAUGAUGGAGAAAAUGAAACAUGAUCCUAAAUUUGUUAUUCCUCCUAUAUGUGUUACUAAUAAGGAUUAUGAAUUCUCUGUUGAUCCUGAGUUAAUUACUAUAGUAGAAUCUCAUCCUUUCCAUGGUUAUGAAACUGAAACUGUUGUGGCAUGCCUUACUAAAUUGUAUGAAAUUGCCACCUUGUUUUCUCACGAGGAAAAGAUGUGAUAUAAUUAUAUACUUACGCUUUUUUCCUUUCUCUCUGAAAGAUGAUGCUAAAAAUGGUUCCUUACUCUUGCUCCCAGUUGUGUGCUAGCCCCAGGAUAUGAUAUAUUACUUCACUGAAAAAUACUUUCCUGCUCAUAAAAAAACAAGCUUCUUUACAUGAAAUAUUUAACUUUAUGCGAAUUGAAGAAGAUAAUGUUCCUCAAGCUUUGGGGGCGCUUCUCGAGCUACUUAGAGAUUUGCCUGAUCAUCCUUUUAAGAAAAAUAAAAUACCUGAUAUCUUUUAUAAUGGACAAAUUGAUGCUCCUAGGGACUACCUAGAUAGUUUUGCUGGUUGCGUUCUCGGAUAACGAACUAUUGGACAAGCUGAAGAACUAUUAAAUAGUAUACUGAGAAAUGUUGACGAUUGGAUACUUCCUGAACCGCCGCCGGAACCUAUCCAAAAGAGGAGAGGUAUUCUAUUCCUCGGUCUAGAAUAUAUGCAAGAAGCCAAGAGAACUAUGAGAUAGAAAGGUAUUAAAUAUGAAUAUGUCAAGAAUUUACCACCUAUUGAAGAACUACAUGGGCUUGAUUACGGGGUUUUAUUCGUUUCGGGACUGUCCGAUCGAGAUCGGAUGGUCCGAAAGCAUAAGGGUAUUAGGGUUAGGUUACGUGGGUUGUGUAGGGGUUUUGGGCUGAGAUUAGAGGAAAGUUUGCGGCCCGUGACACGUUUUUGAAAUACCGAAAAACAUCUGCGAUUCCACCGGCUAUAGUGUCGAUACAGGUUUAACAUUUGGGCAUCAAAUGACCUCCGAAUGCGAAGAAAUUUGAUAGGAGGUCUACCUACACUAAAUUAAGAUCACACGCCAACUUUCACCCCAUUCCGACAAUAUUUUAAAUGCACUUUAAAAAUAAUAUUUUAAAGAUGUCGCAGGCCCGUGUGAGUGUGGUUGGUCUCGAAAUGGUCAACGAUGAGAAAAAAGUGAAGCAACAAUGAAGGACAGAUGCAGGUUUUCAAAAACAACGGCAACAGAGUGUCAAUACAAUGCAGAUGAUGCAAUGAUGAAUGCGCCAAACAAUAAAACACACGGCGAAAGUCAAAAUACAUGAAAGGCAUCUAGAGCAUCGGUCUUGGGCUGUUACAAGAGCUUUCAAGCCGGAGUUGUAAAGGAACUAUUGGGAGUGCCCAGGAUCAGGAUAUCAAGCUCUUUCGUGUCACAGAGGUUCGGCCAUGCGAAUGGCCACAUACACCUCUCAUGAUCAAAGAGGGUUUCUACCAAGAGUUCAUGCAAUUCAUUGCAAAUGUCGGGCUAACCAAUUUCUUCUGAGAUGAGUGUGAUGAAUACUAUCUCCUCAUGAAUUCCUUUGUGUGGAAUUUCUAUUACAUGCACAGGCUCGAUAUUCCCAUGGUACGCUUUGAUUUAUAUGUAGAAUAUUUUGAAAUACCAUUCACCCAGUUCUGCCAAAUAUGCUUGAUUUCCUUUGACAGGGGAUUAAGCGAGCCUAAGAUGGAGGAGUUCGAGGGAUUCCUCCUUACCUUAAAUGUGGGAGAACAUAGGGGCGUAUCAGACGCCAGAGCCACUAGUUUGUAUUUUCCUGCUAUGUGCUACUUUGUUAUUUGUAGGAGAAUGUUUAACUCCAAUGGAGCAGGGUGGCGGUAUCAGUGCCCCUACCCUUGCUAUCUUGCGCCAUGCAUUAUUUGGUGACAACACAUACAUCUUAGGAGUUAUUGUCAUGCGUCGCUUGCAUUGUAACCGAACCAGGGGAAAGGUCCAUGGUGGCAUUUAUGCCACCCGCUUAACAAGACACUUUAAUAUCAAUAUACGCCCUACUGAUUACUUGCUACCUAAGGUUUAUUUGGACCACGAAUCUAUGAUGGAACAUCAUUUUAUCGAUGAACCCGAGUCUCCUCACCACUACCUCUAUAACAUGGUAUAUAUAGAGAAGACUCCUGAUGUUAUUUUGUUGCAUGCACCUUCUUUUUUUAACUGUCAUGUCACACACAUAUAUGUCGUCUUGCCAUCGUAUAUAAUUUAUUAACAGAACGAGUUCGCAGAGGCAGAGACCGCGGCUCAGGAUUGGGAUGCCCAAGUGCCUCAGCCUGACUACUUUCCUCCUCAACCAAAUGGCUAUUAUGGAUGGUGAUCACCAAGCUAGGCCAAAAGCCUAAGUUUGGGAGAGUACGUAUUUCUCACCCAUAUUACAUUCAUGUUCACAUAUUUCAUAUCGACUGUCGAUUUUCAUCCUCUUUCAUUCCAUAUCCACGAUAGUUUAUUUCCACCUCUUCUUUUGUGUUUGAAAAACUUUGAAAAUCCAAAAUAUUUCUCGCUCUUUUUGGUUUUUAUUUCGUGUUCAAUUAGUACAUAUUAUUAAAAUAAAACCAAAAAUAUUUAUUUUUCUUUUUGGGAGCUUUCCCAUGUAAAAAUGUUUUCCUCGUCUUGUCUUUUCCCUCGUUUAUUUGCUUUCUUUAGAAAAAACAAAUCUCUAAAAUAUUCCAGUGUGUUUCUCUAAAUUUCUGUUCUUUUAUUUGAGUCACUAAAAGGAGAAGAUGACGAUGAAAAUGUUGAGUGGCUCUCAUAUACAUUAUUGUUGAUCUAACAAAGAGCCAAUAUUACCUUAUCUUCUCCUUUGUAUAAACUGUUUCACAGAUUCCAACUUAGUCCAUGGCAGACUUGCACUAUUAUUAUUUUCACAUCACUCAGUCUUGCAAGUGAAAUGCAACAAUGAUGAUAUUUGAUGAAGUGAUCGUGGUAAAGGAAGCUCGUAUGAACUCUUCCCAUUUUCCAUUUUUUGUAAAUAGGCUUAGCUUGCUCGAUCUUGAUUCAGCAUAUUAUGAGUAAACGUAUUUGUGAUGAAAGUUAGAGGUUAUAGUUGCUCAUGCCAUGCUUGAAUGGCUAGAAGUGGACAAUGAUUUAUCUUAUGUGUCAACAUGCAUUAAAAUAGUUGUGAUGCAGUAUGUUAGUAUGCUAUCCUCUUAUGAGUAUUUCGAGCGUCUUGACUUGGCCCAUGUGCAAACAUGUAGUUGAUUCAAAACUAAUGCAACCUUCAUGAUAUUUAAAUUCAAAGUGUUCAUAUCCUACUCAUGCUAAUGUUUGAUGUUAAUUAUUCUCAAUGCAUGAUUAUGACCAUUUUCGCUCUCUAGUUGGUCGCUUCUCAAUCUAUUGCUAGCCUUCAUCUAUACUAAGCGGGAAUCUGCUUGUGCAUCUAAACUCCUAAACCCAAGUUGUGUCAAAUGAUUCCAUCAUACCUACAUAUAUGUGGUAUUACCCUGUCGUUCCAAGUAAGUUUGCAUGGUCAUCUGUAAGUAUUCAAAUAAACAUAUGUUUUGUGUGCUUGUACCGCUCAUGGAGCGACCGGACGAUCCGUGUCUUCCAUGCUAAGCGAUUUAUUUUCAAGAUGGGCGUUUAUUCGUUUGUCGUUGCAUGAGAGAGGCUGGUAAAAAGGAUGCCCAGUCCUGCAAAAUCAAAAAUAAUUAAACAAAACUCCCGAGACAGUUGAAAUGUUGGAGGGCACCUGAGGAUUCAGUCAACCAUGGCUUGUGCAUGAAUGGUGGAUGGGAGUAAAUUUAGAUUUCCACUUGGGAAUCGUCAAUAAUGUGUUUAGCAUGGAAGAUAUUGAAAUCUCUAUUGUGACAUUGACAGGAAAAACAUGAGCUCUAACACCUCUGUAAAUCAAUGCUUCCCUCCGUGAAGGGCCUCUCUAUUUACUUUUAUGUUAUUUACUUUCAUGUUAUUUGCUUUUAUUUGAGUCAUCAUCUUCUUACCAAAGCACAUAUGAAAGCACUAUUGUCAUUCUUAUGCAUUAAGUCUAGUUAAUAUUGGACGUGAGCAUGACUAGAUCUUUUCCACUCUGAAUUACAAUGUUUAGUCGCUCCUUGUACCUUAGAUAUGCUCUGCAUUUAUGUUUUGUGGUCUCUAAAAGGGGUAGCGAGAUAUCAUAUCAUCAUAUUAUAUCAUGAUUGUUUUGACAAAAUGUUGUCAUGUGAGAUAUUUUAUUAUUGCUCGCUAGUUGGUUAUGUUAUUCCCAUGAGUGAAUAUGAUCUUUACGUGUUAUCAUUGAUAUGGUUAUUUAUGAUAUAUGCAAAAAACCUGAAAACUAGCUAAGAAUAUACACAACAACAAGAAAAAAAGAGUUUGUAAAAGUUUUCUUUAUCACAUUAAGUUUCUCAACUAACUUCCUUGAGGACAAGCAAUGAGUUAAUCUUAGGAGAGCUGACACGUCUCUAAACGUAUCUACUUUUCCAAAUACUUUUUCUUUUGUUAUGGACUCCAAUUUGCAUGAUGUGAAUGAAGCUAAUGUGGAGUGACGAUGUUUUGAGGAGAACUACCAUGGUGUUGUUUUUGUGCAGAAAUANNNNNNNNNNNNNNNNNNNNNNNNNNNNNNNNNNNNNNNNNNNNNNNNNNNNNNNNNNNNNNNNNNNNNNNNNNNNNNNNNNNNNNNNNNNNNNNNNNNNNNNNNNNNNNNNNNNNNNNNNNNNNNNNNNNNNNNNNNNNNNNNNNNNNNNNNNNNNNNNNNNNNNNNNNNNNNNNNNNNNNNNNNNNNNNNNNNNNNNNNNNNNNNNNNNNNNNNNNNNNNNNNNNNNNNNNNNNNNNNNNNNNNNNNNNNNNNNNNNNNNNNNNNNNNNNNNNNNNNNNNNNNNNNNNNNNNNNNNNNNNNNNNNNNNNNNNNNNNNNNNNNNNNNNNNNNNNNNNNNNNNNNNNNNNNNNNNNNNNCCCCCCCCAAGGGCGCGCCAUGUGGGCUUGGGACCCCCUCAAGGCUCCACAGACCCUAAUUUCACUCCUAUAAAUUCCUAUUUUUUAAGAAAAAAAUAAGAGAAAAGUUUUCAUCGCGUUUUACAAUAUGGAGCCACUACCACCUCCUGUUCCUCCUCGGAUUGGCUGAUCGGGAGUCCAUUUGGGGCUUCGGAAAGGGGGAUUCAUCAUCGUCGUCAUCACUAACCAUUAUCCUUCAACACCAUCGUGAUGCUCGUCACCGUGAGUGAGUAAUUCCUUUGCAGGCUUGCUGGACGGUGAUGGGGUUGGAUGUGAUUUGUCAUGUAAUAGAUUUAUUUUGAUAGGGCUUGNNNNNNNNNNNNNNNNNNNNNNNNNNNNNNNNNNNNNNNNNNNNNNNNNNNNNNNNNNNNNNNNNNNNNNNNNNNNNNNNNNNNNNNNNNNNNNNNNNNNNNNNNNNNNNNNNNNNNNNNNNNNNNNNNNNNNNNNNNNNNNNNNNNNNNNNNNNNNNNNNNNNNNNNNNNNNNNNNNNNNNNNNNNNNNNNNNNNNNNNNNNNNNNNNNNNNNNNNNNNNNNNNNNNNNNNNNNNNNNNNNNNNNNNNNNNNNNNNNNNNUUAUUUUGAUAGGGCUUGAUCCCUACUAUCCACUAUGUUCUGAGAUUGAUGUUGCUAUGACUUUGCUAUGCUUAAUGCUUGUCACUAGGUCCCAAGUGCCAUGCUUUCAAAUCUGAACCUAUUAUAUUUUCAUGAAUACUAGAUGACCCGUUGCGCCGAUGGCGCAAAAAGCAUCGGCCAGCCGAUUCUUGAAACCAUGUGUAUGUGAUAGCGGUAUCAUGAUAAAUGAAGAAGAAAAUAAUGACAUUAUUUAGCAUACAUUGGUUUCAUAAAGCAAGGCAUAGCAGGAUUAGAGCACAAGCAAAUAGGAAUUUGAUGUUUAUACAAAUUGUUCUAAGAGAACUCAAUACUGACACAGUGUUGAAGUCUGUGAUGAGCAUAAGCAAAUGAAAACAUGUGCUGACAUAUAGCGUUCUAAGACGACUCAUUGCUGAUACAUAGUAGUUUAAGUCUACGAUAGAUUAUUUACAAUGAGCAAAGUAUAUAGCAAGAGAUGCGGCAUAUAGAUGGUCGCAGUUAUAAAGCAAUGAUCAUCAGGCAGAGUCAUCAUUGCAUGCGCCAUCGGUAUUGAAAAGCGGUUGUCAUUGCCUAAAGAAGAGAUUCCUUCCAUAUCACCGUCAAGGCUCCGAUAACACUUGUUUGUCUGUUGGCGAUCAUACUUUGACUGUGUCAUUGUGUCACUAAGACGAUCAUCAACAUAUCUUGUCUCAAAAUAUGAUUUACAUCGUUGUCUUUUGAUGUUGAUCCGGAUGUAAAGUUGGUAUCUACUUGCUGGUCUUGUUGUGUUGUUUUAUUUCUUCUGAUUUUUCUAACAGCUACCCUUGCACAUGCAUUUUUCUGUUGCCCUAUCUGAUAAUAGUUAUAGUCAACAAGCACCUUCUACUCGCUGGUUUCCAUGCAUUCGAUGGCCAGAUCGGCUGCAUGGUUCAUUGAUGUUUUCCCAUCCUCACAUACAGGGCUUGACAGCUUAAUCCGGCGUGCUGAAGCAUGGAAACGCUUUUUGUACGGUGAAAUUCAACCUGUGAUCUAUAUCCACCCUGCUCAAGCCGACGCACAUGUUAGACUGGUUGUGGUAGCCCGAGCCUCAAAAACUGUACAAUAAAUGAAUAGAAAAACCGAUCAUAGUUGCACACAUAAAAACAUUUGGUGGAAGAACUUUGUAAGGUGACUAUCGUUCCAUCUAAUAAGUAAUUUCCUAAGAAAGAGCAUCAUCUUUCUCCCAGCAAAAAUGAAAAGUUAAGAAAAAUCUAUGCAACGGCAUUAGCUUUCAAGAAAUACAAACAAACAAAAGAAAAAAAUGAAUAAACGUACAGCUAGACUAACUGGUAUACAAAAGGCAACCUAACAGAACAUACACGACAGCCUUAUCUGGGCUAAAGGGUGCCACGACAAACCCUUUCAGAACUUAAAAUCAUAAUUAAGUAUACUAUAAGCAUUUGGCCCAGCCCAAUACACCGACCACCUGCCAAGUACGUUCGUCUAUCCUCGUCCUUUCUAAGGACUCAUUAGCAGAUUUUUCUUCUAUAUGUCUCAAACAAACAAUAGUCAAAGAGUGUAUUUAUGAAUAGAUGUAAGCAGACACCAUAUGAAUAGCUAACAGCAUCACACAGCAACCCGAUCACAAAUCAAGAUGGCUUGAUGGAAAUGGAAAGAUAAAGUACGCCCAGGUAGUAGAACUAAAAUUUCCUAACGUGUAACCAUGAAAAAUAUCCUAAUACAACAAAUUAUGUCUCAUCCAUGCCAUCUGAAGAUUCUGAAGCAUCCAAACAAAUUUAUACCAAGAUCAUGGAUGCAUUCCUGCAGAAGAAUAAGAUACAAAAAAUGCAACAAAAAACCUCAAGUGUGGGCCUGUUUGAAAUUCGGAUAUUUUGCACAUACCUUCUUUAUGAAUCUCCAAGGAAUCAAAUAUAAAUGGUGAGAAGGAUAAGGAUUGUCCUAGUAGAGAUGGAAUCCGAAUAGAAGUAAGCCAUGACUCCUUGCUUCCAUUGCCGCAUUUCACUCGUAACAGAGGCUUUGAAAACAUAUAUCCUUAGCUUAUUCAGGAAAUGAUAGCAUGGUGAGAUUCAUUGUGUAAGCACAUGUAUGUACAUUUGAACAAACAGAAGAUUAAGAAAGGGGAACAUGCAACAAAAAAAGCUUUCAAAAAGUAGUAGUAAUUUCACCUCUGUAACAAAGAAAGUACAAUUAGUUGGCAUUUCCUACUAAUGGCUAAUUGCCUGAAUAAAAAAAGAGCAGUAGGUAUAAUGAUGAUGUUAUUUUCUUGCGCAAGCACCAAAACUUUGCCAAAAAGGUAAAAUAUAUUAUGAGCAUUGUACCUUUAUUUUUCAUAUAAUCCUUGCCCUUUCUUCUAGACUAUAUGAUGGCAAUGGGAGCUAGCCAUCGUCUUCAUAUUAGUCCAUCCAAAAAGUGUUGGAACUAAACACGACAUGUAUAUGUAGGUUUCGUACUCAUCACCAAGUAGGAUUAGGAGUAGUAACCGAAUAGGUUAGCUAAACUAUCCUGCUACUAUAUAUAUGUUUAUAUAGCCCCUGUAAGAACCACCGCAAGAUCGUGAGAUAUCAAAAGCAAUAAAAGACAGGCUCAACACAAGCCUGUUUGCUAUCAAUUCAAGUCUUUGUGCGUGCGUAGUAGAGCCAGCCGGCUAGCAGAUCAAUUCGAUCCGCCGUGCUUUUGUUGUAUACGUGUGUAUUUCGGCUGGACGGCGUAUUAGUUAACUAGCUCAGGCUAGCUUGCUACGUUGUUAAUUUCUAGUGCAUCGAGCCGUCUUGGGGCAGGAACCAAGUUAGUCAAUCAGCAUUGCUUCGCUUCGUCGUCGUUCGUUGCCGUCGCCGGGAAGUACUCGGCGUCGGGUCUGGGCCAACAAUUGGUAUCAGAGCGAGGUUGAUCUUCUAGUAACGGAAGAUCAUGUCAGAGGACGACAAGGCCCAGCAGCUGGCGGCGUACACCGGUGCGGCUAAAGUAUUUGCUGCUCCGGCGAGUUCGUCGUACCCACGAUUUAACCAUGAGAACUUCGGGGUCUGGAAGGCCCUGAUGGAGUGUGGUCUCCACGCCAACGUGUUGUGGGAUGCAGUCGAUCCAGGAGGCGACGCUUUCAAGAAGGAGGGAGCUGAGCAUCGGAAGGAUCGGCAGGCGGCGCCGGCGAUUUAUUCGGUGAUGCCGAUAGAUGUCCUUCAACACGUGAUCGCCAAAGAAACGGCGAAGGAGGUGUGGGAUACCUUGAAGCUCAUGUUCGAGGGACACGAUCGCGUCAAGAAAGACAAUCUCCAAACUCUCUUAAGAAACUAUGAGACUUUGGUCAUGGGCGACAAUGAGUCCAUGGACGCGUUCGCUUCACGGGUUGCUACUCUCGUCAAUCGGAUCCGCGCACUUGGAGAAAACCUAACGGAGGCCUCGGUAGUCCGUCGGUUCUUGCGUGCGGCUCCUCCCCGGUACCUGCAAAUUGUCACGGCGAUCGAGCAGUGCGUCGAUCUCGCGACUCUCUCCAUUGAUGAUCUUGUCGGACGCUACAAGGCUCACGACGAGCGUAUGAGGUACAGUCUCGGGGACGGGAGGAAUGAUGAGCAUGUCAUGCUCACGCGGGCUCAGUGGCAGGCACUGGACUCAAGGAGAGAAGGUGAGGGCUCUAGCAGUUACGCUCGCCAAGAUUUUGUGCCAAACGAACAAAGUGAGAAGGACGCCAACGAUGGUGCUCCGAAGAAGAAGAAGAAGUUCGGCAAGCGCAAGAUCAAGUGUCACAAUUGUGGCAUCAUGGGGCAGUUCAAGUCAGAGUGCAAGAAUCCCCCAAAGGAGAAGGCGCUCAUGGCCCAGCAAGGAGAUGAAGGUGACAUGAUGUUGAUGUGUGAACUCGUGGACGAGGAGGAUCCAAUUCUUCAAGUGUCGGCUAAAGAAAUUGCCGCACUCCAUGAAGAAAAAGUUUGCUCUCAACAUCAUGGUUCGGAAACCCGUAUCGAUGCUACGGAUGCGGGGGUGAUUCCGAAACUUACACCAAUGCUACGAGUGUAAGUGCUAUCUUUGCUGGAGCAAAGGAAGCGCCCAUUGCAUGUGGUCGGCCGUGGAGAAGCGGCCUUGUUACAAACAUGAGGGGUGAUUCCAAAAUUCGUGUCGAAGCUACUGACGCGAUGUAUAAGUGUGAAAUUUGUGUCGAUGCUACGCACACGAAUGUCACUUCGGUGUACGUGGCGGCUGAAGACCAUGAAUCAAAGUAUGCUGAUGCAAAAGUAGGCACGUGCGCACCAGGUAUGUCACGCUGUCCAGUAACAAACGAAGACGUGAAGUCGAAAGUUCAUGAAGAAAUAACGGACAUAGGUGCUACGUCUGUUGUUGAUGCUGGUGCAAAGACCGACAUGGAAGCUGUUGAUGCUUGUGUAAAAUUGGACGCUCAUGCAGCAAGAGCGGCCACAUGUGCAAGUACUUCAGUAGAUGUGUUAGCAGGUUGUAGUGGAGGUUGUGGCCAAUGUGCCAUGCAUGGAAGGCUUGAAGGCAGCUAUUGCUUAGCAGCAAGGGACGAGCUAGUGGGGUGCAGCCCAUGCACACGUGAUGCGUCUGGUUGCACAUCCUGGAAGGCAGGAGACACAUGCGGUGGCGCGCGUGGAAAUUCAGCAACGCUAGCACUUCUUGGUCAUUCAUUGCAUGAAGAAACCAUGCGUUGUGGAGGCGCUUUACUUGGAGAUGCGCCAACAUCUUGGUCGUAUGCAGGAGAGAAUACCUCUUCAGCCCAUGUUCCUCCAAGAGUAAUGGAGGAAGGGACGCUAUUGUUUACUUUUCAUACCAUUGAUCCAGUAAAGAUCAAAGGAAGUGGGGAAAGGUGUCUAGCAAGCGUCGAGGAAUUGAUAAAAUUUGAAGGCGCAAAUACAAAGGAUUGUUGGCGUCAUUCUAUGAAAGAAGAGUUGGGGUCGAUCCACGACAACAAUGCAUGGGAGCUUGUGGAUCUUCCCAACAAUGAAAAAACCAUGGAGCUCAAGUGGGAAUUUACGAUCAAGAAAUAAGCCGAAGGAAAUUGUGCGAAGCACAAGGCAAAGUUAGUGGCCAAAGAGUACAUGCAAGAUGAAGGUAUGGACUUUGAACAAGUGUUCGUUCCCGUUGCACGGAUGGAAUCGAUGAGAUUACUCAUCGCUCUCGCAGCUCAAGAAUCAUGGAAGAUACAUUGCAUGGAUGUGAAAUCCACGGUUUUGAACGGAGGAGAUGUGUAUGUGAAUCAACCACCGAGUUUCAUCAAAGAGGGAGAAGGGGACGUGGUAUUGAAGCUACACAAAGUUUUGUAUGGGCGACGGCAAGACCUUCGGGUGUGGAACAUCAAACUUGAUCGGACUUUGAUUUCUCUUGGAUUUGAGAAAGCCACACUGGAGCAUACAAUGUACAAGAGAGGUGAAGGAAGUGAUCAUCUACUAGUUGGCAUCUACGACGACGAUCUAUUGAUUACUGGAGCAGAUGAAGAGGUGAUUGCAAAGUUCAAGCUACAGAUGAAGGAGCUUUUCAAGAUGGAUGAUCUAGGUCUUUUGAGUUGCUACCUUGGACCAGAGGUACAUCAAAAGCCGGAAGGGAUCACAAUAUGCCAGGAGGGAUACGCAAGGAAAGUACUUGAAAGCUGCGGCAUGAAAGAUUGCAAUCCAAUCAAUGCUUCGAUGGAACCUCGUCUUGAGUUGAGCAAGAAGGAGAUGGUGAAACUACUCGGCUACAGUGAUAGUAACAAGGAAGAAAUUGUUGACGGCCGUAACAGUACCUCGGACGUGGCAUAUUUCCUUGGUGGAAGCGUAGUAAGCUGGCUAUCACGAAAGCAGAAAAUGGUGACAUCCACUUCAAGUGAAGCAGAGUGUCAAGGUGUGUGGCUAGGAAGGCUACACAAUGAUCUCAUGGAUCGAGAUCCGAAACAAGUGGUGCUCAAAGUUGACAGUGAGUCUAUGUUUUUUCUACGCGAGGAUCCAGUGCGGCGUGACAGGAGCAAACACAUUGAUACGAUGUAUCACUACAUGAAGGACUGGGUGGAAGAAGAGAAGACGGAGGUCAACUACAAUUGCACCGAUGACCAGCUAGCGGACAUCCGGACCAAGGCUUUGGAUCGAGAGAAGUUCUUGAAGAUGCAAAGAAGGAUCGGCGUCGAAGCUGUAACGUAACGACGUCGUGUUUAGGGGGGUGAUUGUUGGAACUAAACACGACAUGUAUAUGUGUCCGUGUAGGUUUCGUACUCAUCACCAAGUAGGAUUAGGAGUAGUAACCGAAUAGGUUAGCUAAACUAUCCUGCUACUAUAUAUAUGUUUGUAUAGCCCCUAUAAGAACCACCGCAAGAUCGUGAGAGAUCAAAAGCAAUAAAAGACAGGCUCGACACGAGCCUGCUUGCUAUCAAUUCAAGUCUUUGUGCGUGCGUAGUAGAGCCAGCCGGCUAGCAGAUCAAUUCGAUCCGCCGUGCUUUUGCUGUAUACGUGCAUAUUUCGGCUAGACGGCGUAUUAGUUAACUAGCUCAGGCUAGCUUGCUACGUUGUUGAUUUCCAGUGGAUCGAGCCGGCUUGGGGCAGGAACCAAGUUAGUCAACCAGCGUUGCUUCGCUUCGUCGUCGUUCGUCGUCGGUCGUUGCCGUCGCCGGAAAGUACUCGGCGUCGGGUCUGGGCCAACAAAAAGCACACCAAAGUUAACAGUUGGAUUGGUUGCAUUAUCUCUGAAAUUCCAUUAUCAGAAAUUUAGCUGAUGUUUAAUAGUAAAGAGAAGUGCAGGACCUGCUUAUCACACUUACUUAGCACAUAUCUGAUUCACUCUACGAUGUAGGCUUAUAUAGCAUCACAAUAAUCUCCGGUCACUCAUAGGAAACCAAAAAAAUUGAUGACCAAGAUUUGCAUAUGGUAAAUGAAGGAAUGAAGCCAUGCAUGCAGUACAAAUUUGUCGCAUCAUGUUGCAGAACCAGAAAAGUAAAACCAAACCCCCUCUCCCAGAGCCUCUUCCCUGUGAUUUUCUUAGACACCAUGGGAAUUAUGUGGGCAGAAGUUUGGAGCUAGCCUGGAGAUGGACACCAUGACACAUCGAAAAGGAGAGGCUCUUUGGAGCUAGCACUUUGUCCAAGAUCAGGAAUGAUAUGUACGAUACAAAAUCAUAACAGUUUUACCUAAUCAUAACAGUUUUACCUAAUCAAGGUAAUGAGCUCCAUGAGCUCAUUCGCUGCUCCUAGCAAUUGUGCAUACAUGUGCUUACAGAAUGAAUCUCACCAUGCUAUCAUUGGCAAACGUCCGAGAAACCAGCAGGUUCAUCAUUAUUGAUACGCUGCUCCUAGCAUAGUUAUAUUACAUUUAGAUUUUUAUACUUGUGAGUCAAAUGUCCGAGAUGAGAUGAUGGCAUCCUUGUCAAGGAAUCUAUAUACACAUUUUCAGAAUGGCUCAUGAACACGUGUUGCAAUAUAUUAAAUCUGCACACAUCAGGUCCAUCAUUAUUGAUACAAGCAGUAAUAAUUUUGCUUCUAUCGUAUUAUGUACCCAGUACUCACGCGGAACUACUGCGAUGCAUAUAGCAUGGUUGCUUGGCUCUACUCAUACUAAUUUUGUUGCAUAUAUUUCGUUUUCACAAACAUCAAGUUGAAACCUUACUGAAGGACCUUUCCAAAAAUAAGCCUUACUGAAGGUUGUGUCCAAUUCAGUGUGUUCAUUAACAUCGCAAGUACCUUCUGUUGUUGUCUUAAUACAUUAACAUAAAAUUAAGGCAAUGAUGCAGUAUAAGGAAGAUAAUCACUCAAGUUCACUUGUGUGCUCUAGCUUUCUGCUUCCCUCUAUUGCUGAAUUUUGACCAUCAACUGCAUACAAAAGAGCAGUGUCAUGUGGCAGUUCGACAUGCCACUUACGGAACGCUGCGACAACGACCUGGCACACUCUUGUAAGUGGACUCCCACCAGGUUUCUGAAAUCUAUACAUAUCUGAAGCUGAAAGAAGCUUGCAAUAGGCAAUGCCAUAAAUACAGUAGGAAUGGCAAAUCCUAGUCCCCAACCCGAGUUAUCUUGUAUCCAAACAAUAACAGUGCUGAUAUGAAUGAACCGAUAUUUAUGCAGAAAUAGAACCAGUUGAAGAAGGAACCCUGCUUUACUCUCUCUGUCGGAUCACUAUCAUCAAACUGAUCAGCCCCAAAGGAUGACACACAUGGUUUAAUACCUCCAGUCCCUAGGGCAAUCAUAUAGAGCAGCUCCCCCGUCCGCUCGCAGUAGGACCUGCAUCGCCGCCUCGGGUCGUCGCCUUGCAACCUCGCCUGCUCCACUGCCGUCGUCAGGAGAUGCCGCUGUCGCCGUCGCCGCAUUCUCAUCCGACCAGAUGUGACGAGGGGAGAGGAUGCAUGAGGAGGAGAGAUAGGGGUGGCGGGGUGGUGGCGGCAGCGGAUGGAGAGGAUGAAUGGGGAAGGAGAGGUGGCGAGGAGGAACGGCUAGGGCUGGUCGGGAGGACGAGGGAUUGAUGGGGAGGAGGACGAGGGAUUGGUGGGGAGGAGGCGAGCUGGCGGUGCGCGCGGCAGCCCUACGGCGGGCGGUGAGGCCGUGCGGGUCCUGCGCUGCGUCGGCGAGCGGAUCCGGGCCGGGAUCCCCGGGUCGGAGAGGCAGAUGAGAGGAGAGGAGGAAGGGUGGGAGAGGAGAGGAGGGAAGUGAGCGUGGCGGCGGACGAGGGAUGGCGGGAGGAGGGAGGUGGUGGGGUGCUGUGGAUUGGGGGCUGGCUUUUAUACGCCUAGGCAUGAAAUGACAGAAAUGCCCCCGACAGGGCACGAAAUUUACGUGCGGUGGCAAGCCGGUGGCAAGCACUAUUCAUAGCGCUAUACAGGGCGACGUGGAUGGCUUUGUUCUGGCUAGGAACCAGCGUCUUUUGUAAGAGAAAUUAGAGUGUUUUGGAUCCUAUCUUGCAAGUUGUGUGCAUCUAUAAUGUGUCAUGAUCUGCAUACUUCAAGGUGAUAAUAAUUGGGAUUCUUUUCGGUGAUUGUCGUGAUUUGAGGAGUUCAUGUAUUCAGUAUGUGUUAAUGCUUUGUUCAGGUUGUCUAUUAAAAGAAAGUCUUAAUAUGCCUUAGCAUCCCUAUGGACCCUGCUGUCAUGGGAGGGUAGGACAAAAGAUGUCAUGCAAGGUCUUAUUAUAAGCAUGUAUGACUAUAUAUGAAAUACAUGUCUACAUUACAUUGAUGAAUUGGAGCAGUUCUGUGCGCUCUAGCAUGUAACUAUUACAUGGUGAAUGUUAUCCAAUCAAUAUGCUUAUCCAUCACUCAUCCAAAUGCCUACGCUUUUCAUAUAUUGAAUCUUUCUAAGUUAGUAUUGUUGUUACUGUUGUUACAAUCACUACAAAACUGCUAUUGUUACUGUUACCGUUACUACUACUAUUUUGUUCUGCUACUAAAACUCUUGUUGUAGAGGGAUAUCCCAGGUGUGGUUGAAUUUACAACUCAACUACUAAAACAAAUAAAUAUCAUUUGGUUCUCCUUGUGUUGAAUCAUAAACUAGGGUGUAAUACUACACAUGGAGAUUGUUGCGAUCCCCUACUUGUGGGUUAUUAGUAGCUAUGGAUGCCUGAGAGCACAUGUAGAGGUGCCAUGAUCGGCUUUGCAACUGCCGUGGUCAAGGUGUUUGGACCUCGGUAUGUGAGAUAACCAACUGUGAGAGACACUCUCGAAAGCAAGAGGGUGUCCAGGUUUCUUCGGAUCUCUUGACGACAUGCAUUGAAAAAAGGAAGAAUUGUGUGUAAGCUUCCCAAGGGCAAUAGCAGGGUCAUGUUAAGAAGCACAUCAUCGUUCUGGAAGCAGUUGCAUCACAUCAUCUUUGGAUUUGACACACUUUCUUUGGCAUGCCCGGGUUUCAUAAUGACAUCAAUGUGCUGCAGUGAUCACCAUAUUUUGUUAGGCCGAUCGAAGAAAAACUCCUCCUUGCCACUAUAUUGUCAAUAGACAUGAGUACAACAUGGGUACUAUCUGAUUGAUGGUAUCUAUACUCCAUGGGUUACCUUUGUCAACACCAUAUUUAACCCAGUUGACAAGAAAAAGUCUCACUUUGUCCAAAUACAAAAGCAGAUAGUGAGGAUGGUGAGAGAGCAUUUGGAGUUCCGCGGGCAUAUUUUGCGGUUGUUCGUGGAGCUGUUAAACAAUGUGAUCCACAUACCUUAUAGGAAGUGACGACCUAUUAUGUGAUCAUAUUGGAGAAUGAGGGUGAGGAUGCUGCCACAACUCUUGAAUUCAUGAACAUGUGUGAUCCUAUUGAAUUUCCUCAUCAAAACCCGUCACAUUUCCUUAUCAACAAAUUCGACAUCGAGCAACUCAUGACAAACUGAAUGAAGAAAUUAUUGAGUACAUGUGGAUGGUUAAGGGCGACAACAAUGUUGGAAUGUAAUAUUUGAAAUUUUUAAAAAUAGAACUACUAUUGUAUUUGAAUAUUGGGAUUGACUACAUAGCGGCGCCGCAUAUAGGUUUUCUCGUGCGACGGUCACUAAGUAAUCUAGCAGUUGCUUUUUGAUGCAUGCAGGUACUAGUAUAUGAGUCUGAUAAUCACGUUUUAAUGCACGCUUCACAGGAAAAAAAAGGUGGAUGCUCACUGAUCCAUAGUCAUUGUCUUCCAUCGCUUUCAACCCCACAUCCGCUCUCUCUUCCCGUCGCUUUCAACCCCACGUCAGUCUCUCUCUUCCCGUUGCUUUCAACCCCACGUCCUUUGUGCAUUUUAAAAUAGUUUUAUCUUCCAAAUCGUUAUCUCAAUCAAUGAUCCGUUUUCAUCAUUGACUUUAUCACGACGAGAUCUUUAAAACUAGAUCUCAUGUCGACAUGUUUCGAUAAUUUUUGUUUUCGUUGGUACUUGUCAGAUUAUUAUCACUUACACGUCACAUUAUUUGUCACAUAGUUCUCAGAUUAAAGUAACUUGGUUAUCAGGUUUAUAAAUGUCGAUAUACCCUCACUAAAAAACUUGAUUCAUUGUGCUUGUGUUGGUUCAUGCAUUUACUUGCUUACUGUGUUAGUGCUUUAAUAAUCACUUUUUAGCUCCACCUAACACUGCAAUACUUAAAAAGUAUAAAAUUAUUGUUUCGGUAACUAUGUAUAAUUUUUAUAACAACUGGACACCCGUAAGAUGACAACUAUGAUGACAUAACUGUGGCAAUUAGGAACGACGAAAAAAAGUCAACAAAACAUGUCAAUAUGAGAUUUUAUUUUGAAGGUCUCGUCGAGAUGAACCUAAUGAUGAAAACGAAUCUUCAAUUAAAUUAUUAAUCUGUGAGAUAAAUCAUUUUUUUCAGCCCGUGUGUGUGCAGGCAUGGAUGUGGAUAAAAAAGUAACAAACACGUCACUUCAGCGCACACCACUUUACCAUUAUAGGUGCACUGUAGCCAUGUGAAUCACUGUUGGAGUGCAUAUAAUAGAUUUCACUUUGAUGCGCACAGAGUACUAAGUAUAAACAAAACGAUUCGUCGCUCUCCGCGCCACCUGAUGAACUAUGCGUGUGUGUGCGAGCCGCCAUACCGAAAGUCAGCGGUGCAUCCAUCUGUAGAUUAGAUUUUCCCUUGAAUAUUUGAGCUAUAUAUAUAUAUAUAUAUAUAUAUAACUAUUUGAACGUGCAUAUUGUUCAUGUACUGAUCUCUCCUUGUUCACGAACGAAUGCGGGAACAAAUUUACGAUCGUCGGAGAUGCCAUUAGAUAUCCGAUUGUGCCAAUUAUCAAUGAAGUGUGGUAUGUAUGUACUUUGGAUCAUUUUUUUAUAUAUACACCAUAUUGUGUCAAACUCAAAUUAAAUCUGGAUAAAACGAGACAAAUAAUCCUUGACGAGCUCCACCCAUGAAUUAAUUUGCCCAAACGAUAAAUGUUACAUAUGUGGCACGAAGCAAUUUUGUUCUCAUGUUUUUUAAACUAAAGUUGCCACCUAAAUUUUUUAUCACUCUCAUGUUAUUAAACUUAUCAUAAAAAAUGUUUGGAGUUGUUAUGUAUUCAUGGCACAUGUGUAUCAUAAUAAAAAUUGAAACUUGCCUUUCAAAUAAAAAGCUGUCAUCCUCGCAUCACUAAAUUUAUCCUCCUCAUGUUAUUAAACUUAUCAUAAAACAUGUUUCGAGUUGUUAUGUAUUCGUGUCACACGUGUGAUAUUUAUGAGGGCUCUUAAUUGGAAGUAUCAUCGUCCAACCUUUUCACGAGAAAGGAUUUGGGGCACGACAUGCCAAACAUCCCUUGCCCGUGCUUUUUCAUUUUGUGUUUUAUUUUUUAUUUUUUAUUAUCUUCUAAAUAAAAGUUUAAAUGAAGUUAUGUUUUCAUAUUCGUUUUUUUCUUGAUGAGAGUCUUCAAAUGAGAUUCAUUUCAAAUAUGUUUGAUGAAUUUUCAAAAAAUGUUAACUUCCAACUCUAAAUCAUGACUUUAGUACCCGCAAUCGACAAAAAAUUUGCUUAAAGUGUCAAUUCUGAAACUUGAUAAUUGCCAGCGUGAAAAUUGAAAUAUUCAGAUGUAAAAUUGUAAGUUUUAGUGAUUAAAGCUUAAAAUUGGUUAUGCCCUAGUAUGAAAUCUAACUACUUUGUGAAUUGCGAGACAAUUGAGCGGCCGGACAUGACUUGACAUAUUUCUGUCAUUUUCAUGAGGACAAACAUGCUGGCAAGUAACAACGACCCGUAGCGAGCCACUCUUGGGCAAAACCCGGGCAGGGACGGCGGCGACGGGGCCUCUCCUCGGUGCGACUCCCUACUCCAUGGCCAUGGCGUGGUGCUUAGUCGGGCGGCGGCGCUUGGAGGCAUGGUGCCGCGAGGGUGUGGAGGCGGCAUGACGCGGUGGCUGUGGGGCUUAUGUGAGCUCUGUCCGGAGGUGCUGCUUGCGGCUGCAACGACCGGAGGUCUCGGUUCGUCCCGAUCCCCCUCCCUCAAUAUGGAUCUGGCCGGUGGGGACCAUGGCGUGGCCAAGGAGAGGUGUUACGAGGGUGUGGCAGCGGCAUGACACAGCUGAUGCAUGGCUUAUGUGAGCUCUGCCCGAAGGUGUUGCUUGCGGCUAUGAUUGUUGGAGGUCUCGGUUCGUCCCGAUCCCCCUCCCUAGAUCUGGAUCUGGCUGGUCGGGACCAGUGCAUGGGUGCUGGCACGCAUGGUGACGCCGGGCCUCCAGGACUGUUGGGCACUACGGUAGUACUGGCAGUUGCAUUGGGGGUUCAGUGUGGUGGUGGCCAACGAUAGAGCACAACGAGAUACUUGGAGAUGCGGCGGUAUUGCCGGGGACAACAACGGUGUCGUGAGGCGGGCUGGUGGCGGCGGUGCGUACUGAGGCGGCGGCGAGAACUACCGUCCAGGUUGGUGGUGGAGCUGUGAUGGCUCGACUAGGAUGGUGUUCCUUGCGAGCAUCAAGCGUUCGGGCCACCUCUGGGUUGCAUGGCGAGCGGAGGUGGCCUUUUGAUGGUGUCGGUGUGGGAGUUACCUACGGCUAGGUGUUGGAUCAUCGAAAGGUUGUCACUUUGGAGCAGUUGAUGGCCUUCCGUGGUGGUUCUGGCCCUUGCUCGAGGAGUUGGGUGGUUGCGGUUCCUCAGACAGGUUGUAGGUAUUUGGUGGGUGGCGUUUAUCUUGUUGUGUGGCCUAUCGGUGGUCCAUGGCUAUGCAGCUACAAUGGCAGGCGUUGCGUGAGGCGGCGAUGUGAAGCGUCUUGGACGGUGCUGCCCAAUUCCUUCGAGAUGUGGAGAUGUGCGAUGAUCGGAUGAAAAUCUUGCAUGGCUCUUGCCUGGCCCGUGACAAUGGUGCCCGUGGGUGUUGUCCCCCUCCUUUGAGGCGUCGUCGAGGUGAAUUCAACAUUUCUCUCGCUUGUGUGGAGUUGGUUGUUGUCUCCACGUGAAAGCCAUGGUUCAGUCGAAUCGACGCGAUGAUGACAUUCUCGACUUCGCUCCUUUGUUGGGAGCAUCGUCUUUGGAGACACGGCUUUGCUCCUCGUCACUACUAGGGAAAACCCUACCAGUAGUGCUGGUAGGCGCGCUACGGCUACGACGCUACAACUAUUUUUUUAGCAGCAACGUGCUUUCUACCCAGUGCUAAUGGUAAUAUCCUAUAUUAGUAGCGCUUCUUACGCCGGCCUGCUUAUGCUGGCGCUACUGCUAAUUAUCUAUAGCGCGCAUGUGCUAGCAGCGCUACUGUAAACACACGCUGUUGGUAAACCUAGGACUUGCGCUACUGCUUUUUUAUGCUAUUUUUUGGCAGUUGUCGUUCUACUGAAACAAUACAACUUAUACAAUAAGAACAUGCAUAUUCACUGUAACAUAUAUGAUACCAAAAUGUCUAAUCAUCGGCAUCAAUGAAUAAAAGAAGGUCUUUCAUCUCAUCUCAUCAUGAUCACUGAAAGGACGUGGAUGUCGCCUAGAGGGGGGGGGGGGGAAUAGGCGCUUUAAAAUAAUUAAGGUUUAGGCUUGAACAAAUGCGGAAUAAAACUAACGUUUAAUAUGUCAAGCACAAAACCUACAAACAACUAGGCUCACCUAUGUGCACCAACAACUUAUGCUAAGCAAGAUAAACAACUAAGUGAUAGCAAGAUAUAUUACAAAAAACAAUAUGUCUAUCACAAAGUAAAGUGCAUAAGUAAAGGAUUCGGGUAAGAGAUAACCGAGGCACGGGGAGACGAUGAUGUAUCCCGAAGUUCACACCCUUGCGAUGCUAAUCUCCGUUGGAGCGGUGUGGAGGCACAAUGCUCCCCAAGAUGCCACUAAGGCCACCGUAAUCUCCUCACACCCUCACACAAUUCAAGAUGCCGUGAUUCCACUAAGGGACCCUUGAGGGCGGUCACCGAACCCGUACAAAAUGGCAAACCUUGGGGGCGGUCACCGAACCCGUACACGUGGCAACCCUUGGGGGCGGUUACCGGUACCCGUACAAACUGCUCGGGGCAAUCUCCACAACCUAAUUGGAGACCCCGACGCUUUCCCGGAGCUUCACACCACAAUGAUUGAGCUCCGAGACACCACCAAGCUUCUAGGAUGCCAAAGCAUCCACGAAGAACAAUAUCUAGGGUACUAAGUACCAAAGGUAGUAAGCUUCUCAACUUCUCACUUCCACGUAUCACCGUGGAGAACUCAAACCGAUGCAACUAAUGCAAUGGCAAGAACACACGAAGUGGUCAAGUCCCUCACACUCAAAUCCCUCCACAACAACGAAAGCUAUGGAGAAAUAUGAGAGGAAGAACAAGGAGCUCACAAAGAACUCCAAGAUCUAGAUCCAAGGGGUUCUCCUCACAUAGAGGAGAAAGUGAUUGGUGGAGAUGUGGAUCUAGAUCUCCUCUCUCUUUUCCCUCAAGAACAAGCAAGAAUCACUGGAGGGAUUGAGAGUUAGCAAGCUCUAAGAAUGUCAACAAUGUAGGUAGAACAAGAGCUCAACGGAUGGAUAAGACCAAGGGGGAAGAAGACUCCCUUUAUAUAGUGGGGGAAGGAAUCAGACCGUUACCCCCACUUACAGCCCGAGCCCAGUGGUACUAACGCUGGCUCCAGCGGUACUACCGCUGACCCUCCGGCGGUACUACCGCUGGCUGCAGCGGUACUACUGCUGAGCCCAUGGUAGCGCAAAGAUACUACCGGGCCAACCACCGCCAAGGAAGUCUUUGCAAAAAUGUCCGACGCAGUACAACCGCAAAGAAGACGGUACUAAAAUCUUGGAGCGGUACUACCGCUGACCAGGGGCGGUACUAUCGCUAGGUCCAGCGGUACUACCGCUCGCCACUGAAACAGCCAUAACUUUCGCAUACGAGCUCCGAAUCGAGCAAACCCAAGCUUGUUGGAUUCAGGACGACAAGAGCUACCCAAACAGCGACUCUUUAGCAUAUCUUGAUUGCGUUGAAUUUAUGAAGACUAGUUGAUUGCUCCCCCAUACUCACUAUGGGUGAGCCACUCUUCAGCAUAUCUUCACAAGUCCAUUGCCACCACAAUGGACGGCAAGCUUCAAGCAUGAUAUCUUCGUGCUGAUCCACUUGAACUUGCACAUCGCAAUCUUGAUGACGAUCACAACUUGGCGACAUACUUCAUGGGGUGUAUGAGAUCUUCCCUUUGACGCAAACCCAUGGAAACAUACCUAACCCCCACAUAGAACUCUCACGAAGACCAUGGGUUAGUACACAAACACGUAAUGGACAAUGCUUACCAUACCAUGGGAUCACUUGAUCCCUCUCGGUAUAUCUUGUACACUUUGUGUGUUGAUCAUCUUGAUUUACUCUUUGUCUGAGAUCUUGAUCAACCAUGUGUCUCUAUGACCAUUCUUUCGAUAAUACCUUGAAUACCAUCUUGGUCAUCAUAUAAACUCCUUGAAUCCAACAGAUGGACUUCAAGAAGUGCCUAUGGACAAAUCCUAUAAAUGUAAUUUAAGGCAACCAUUAGUCCAUAGGAAUUGUCAUCAAUUACCAAAACCACAUAUGGAGAUAUAUGCUCUAACAAUCACUAAUGGUCGAACACGUUAUUACAAGUUUCGAAGAGAUAGUGAUACAGGUUAUUACAAGUCUCGAAUACAUGCAACUAACCAUGGUCAUACUCAUGUUUCAUCAUUUAUAUAACCUAUCUAUGAUCUGAUCACAUACAAGAGAAGGCCGAUCACGAUGAGCAAAAGCGGGAUUAUGUAGUAGUUCUUAAGGCGUCGGUUUUGAUUUCUCUUGCGCGCUAGCGUCCACCUCAAGUAACUAGCUUCCGCCUCGAUUCUGCUAUCAAACCCUUUCUGGCUGCCGCCCGGGAAGCGAUGUACUUGGGCCCGUACACUCCCGGAACCCUCCCUAUGUACAAGGCAUACCACCUCGCCAUCGAUGAUCUAUAUACCUGUCAGAGAUGCAUAUAUCAUCAAGUGAAUUCAAUGAUAAUAUGCAACAUAAUAUACGACUUCAUCCUGCGGAGAGAAAGAGUUAGCAAAUAGAAUCAACAUAAACAUAGUUAACGAAAUUCAUCGUACCCAAACUAACUGACUAGAGUGCGGUAGCGUUUACAUCUAAUAGUUACGCCGUACAGAUAAUUUAUAAGUUUCAGUUGUAGAGAAAGUAACAACUAAACAUACACAGUGUCAUCGUGAAUUUAAGCAGUGAACUCGUGUCGUCGUCCAUAUCAGGGACGAUGCACCCAAGCUUGUUGAAAGGUGUGUUGUCCUGGCGUAGUAGGGCUAUGCGGGUGCGGACGUCACUCGUGAUAUUGGACCGCCGUAGAACAUCCCAUUCUCUUCAAUGACGUCUUUCAUGAUGAUCGACACAAUUUCCUAUUGGAUGUGGUGGGUAAGAAGGAAGGAGGAAGAAGAGGAGGUGGGGAAAAGGUGGCAGAUAUGUGGCUGGCGACCAUAUCAGUAGCGCCUGUUUGUAUAUGUGCGCUACUAGUAUAUAAACUAGCAGUAGCGUCGCCUACCGGUAUGCGCUACUGUUAAGUGGGGCCUGCCACCGUAACCAUAGAAAUUUAGUAGUAGCGCUGUUUGUGAGAAACACACUACUAAUAAUUAGGUUAGCAGUAGCGCUUCAAUAGGGCACACACUACUGAUAAGUGGGACCCGCGAACUUAAUGAUAGGAAUAUAUCCGUAGCGCCCUUCGUGGGAAACGCGCUACAGAUAUGCCAUUAGCUGUAGCGCUUGUUGUUACGGAGCGUUCCUAAUUUGUGCCGAACCCGGGGUAUCCUUUGACCCACUUAGUAGUAGCAUUCUUAGGACUGACAAGCGCUACUGCUAAAUUUUACCAAUAGUGUCUUUUUUCUUGUGCUCUAAUGGUACUUAGCAGUAGCGUCUAGCCCAUAACAAACGUUGUUAGUAACAUUCUGCCUAUAAGCUUUUUUCUAGUAGUGCAUCGCUCUUCUUCGGUGUUUGCCAUGGUCCUAUUCCGAUUCCCAGCAGCGCUAUGCACGGUCGUCGUCGUUGCAUUCAAGACGGUGUCUUCUUCGGAUCGGAGCAAGUCCUGCCAUUUACUUGCCAACUCCUCUUCGACAUUCAGGGUGGAUGGUGCGUCGACAAGCAAAGUUGUAUGGGAGUAGCUGGUCUUCGGAGAUGCCCGGCAUGGGUAGAGAGGCGGUGUUGUUAUGUGUUAGGGCAGACGCUUGUGCACGGCUGAAAAAAAAAUGGAGUAGUAUUUGCGUACGUAGCAAACGAAAUCGCAGGCUUCUCGGGUAUGAAUUGGCCGUCCGAGUAGGUGGCCGGUGGAGCUGGUCCGAGCGGCACACCUGCGCACAGCACACGCGCACGCAGGCCUCGGCUAGCAGGAAAAGGGCAGCUUACCCAACGCGCGCGCGCGCCAGCUCGCGGGUUGCCGCGGUUGGCUGGUGGCAUUGCUUUUCUCGUCCAAAAUUUCAGUUGCUUGAGGUGCCUCUCUUUCUCUAUCGCCGCCCUCUCACUUUCAGUGACAACCCUACUGAAACUUUUUCAGUGCGACCAGCAAGCAACAUGAACAGCAGAAUAUAAUCAAAGAGAGUAAUAGUAGAACAGAACCCUAUUAUUCAGAUUUAUUCCAGACAUGAAUAGUUGCAACUUGCACAUGAAUAUGAUAGUUACAAUCUUACAUUUCUUACAUAUGAACAGAAGAUGCAGAGAACCGGCCGCAAAUCACGACGGAUGCCAGUAUUGCUACAACUUACAAGGAGUUCUUCAGCUAAUAUAGCCAUCCUGAACAAAACUGUUACGUACUCCCUCUUAUAUUUCUCUACGGGGGGAGUACUACUUCCUAAUUCCAAUCCACACUCUGCAAAAGCAGAAACCGUGACAAGGACCAAUUGAAGCUAUGUACUGAAGCCAUAAUACGCACCCGCACCCUCACCCGGUAUAUACUUGAACUGAGCUAACGCUCCAUGUUCCCCUGUUUCCAGUAAUCAAAUGUUUCCAACUUCCAAAUUCUAAACUUAUCCGGUCAUUUCUUCCUUGGCCAUAACUAAACUGGCAAAUUAAGCAACCCAGACAAGAGAUCCCGUGCACUGGUUGACUGGGUUGCUUAUCCGGUCGAAACGGAUGAAUUUGUGCACCGUCUUGAAACUAGAGAGCUUCCGGACCUUCAGGGAUCAGCUCGUACCCAUGAGGCUUCGCAUCUCUCUUCACAGAUUCAACUGGAAUGCACUUGAGGAUCACGGAGACGAUCAUACUAACCGAGCCAAGAACGACGCUGAGCAGCCAUAGUUCUAAACUCAACGGCACGGUGUUCGCAAAAGUUCCGAGAAGUUCCACGAUGAUCACUUGGAAUAUCACUGUAGCUGUCAGUAUGCCGACAAAGAUCCAAUUUCUGAAUAUCCCUCGGAAGACGUUGAUCUUUUCCAUUUCCCUGCUGUUUAUUUCGUUGAAAACCUGGAAACAGGGCAGCAAAUUAAAUGCAAAUUACUCGCUAAAAUGAUGCACUGAUUCCUAUAGGUUCACUGCAAAUCUCAUUUUUUGAGUUAACUGACCAUAUUUGUACAUUAUCGCAUAGAUUUUCAAAUAUGAUCGGACAAUGUGAAACCCGAAGUUUCAAAUAAAAAGAGCCCAUAUAACUAUAUAUAUUGAGCUCGCACCUAUAAUACAAGCAUUUGGUCAUGUGCUUUAAAGAACCUACGGAUGAGUUUGAGGUUUACUUCUAGAAAAUGAUCAAGAAUCAAGGGAACGGUUUAACACAUGAACAUAGAGAAAUAGCAAUGCUUACAAAAUUAAAUACUGUGAAUGUGAUCUCACCCGCAAGGAAAACAACUAAUAAUUAAUAAUCUGCUUAAUAAGGACAUGUGAUGACUAUGAAACCUUGCGGAACAGAAUAAAUAAGCAGAAGCAACAAAUUUCUUUCCAUGUAAAAUUAACUCCAGAUACCUGGCAAAAGACGAAAGAGUUGAAUAUGAGAGUAUUGAUCGUUUUAUCAGCAGUUGGACCUUCAAUAUUAAGGAGUCUCUUUCCAACUAUCAUGAGAGUACCCAAUACAAGGAGCUGAUACAAAGCUUGGCCAAGAAUAUUUCUCCACAUAACCUUAGUGAUAAAACUAUCUCCGCGCCUUACAGGCGACCGCUUCAUCAUCUCAUCAUUUGGCGGUUCCGUUGCUAAGGCCAAGGCUCCCAAUGUAUCCAUGAUCAUAUUAACCCAUAGCAACUGGACAGCAGUAAGAGGUGCAGUCCCUGUAAGUUAAUUCAAAGUGUCAAAUAUAAAUAUGGUUCUGAAAAGGUACAUAAAUAAGAAGAUAGAUCAGAAGUUGGUGCACAUGAAUUUCGUUCCGCAUAAGAUGCACAGAAAUUCCUUCUGUGAACAACAUGCAGACAAGCUCCAAGGCAGCCAUUUGUUAGAUCAAGAAUAUCAUACUGGUAGAGAGUGUGCAACUACCUAUGACACAUGCCGAGACAAAAUUCACUAUCAGAGCCACUAUAUUAACUGUAAGCUGGAACUGCACAAACUUUUGAAUGUUCAAGUAAACCGCACGCCCCCAUCUAGCAACAUUCACGAUAGUUUUGAAAUUGUCAUCCAUUAUUAUAACAUCAGCAUUCUCUUUUGCGACCUGCAUAAAAUAGAAAGGUUAGAUACUUAAUCACAACAAAGACUUGUACAAAGCUUAAAUGGCACUGCAAAAUGAGUACUAGUGAUUGUUUUUUCAAGACCAUGCAAAAUGAAUACUGUUUCAAUCAAGGGCAUAAAUUGACAUCAGACAGAAAAAAUGACAGUGUAAUUUUGUCACUUAUGGGUUUUGAAUUGCAUAGUUGUGCAUCUCAAUAGAAUCCCAACAAAAAUAUCAUAGACGUGCAACAUGUCUAUAAAUCAUUCAUAAUAAGAAAGUCGGUUUAGUUAUCUAGUGAACAGUGACUGAAAACUUGCCUUACUCUUAUUUAAAUUUGGGUUUAUCUAAUCUACCUCCCACCUAAUGUUACACAUCAAAGAUUACAACAUAAUCUAUGAAAUGUUAAUAUAGCAUGGAAGGACACAGAAAAUAUUUCUUACAGAAAACCGAGACAGAGUUUCAGAAUGUCUGCAGCAGACAUUCACCUGAAGUUACCGAACCCCUUUUUCAAGAAGCUACUGAAGAUACGGUGUACAUGGAAGCAUAAAGCAACAUACAUUAGACAGAAACAUCAAAAAGUACCUCAGUGCCAGCAAUGCCCAUUGCCAAUCCAAUGUCUGACUCACACAAUGCCGGGGCAUCAUUAGUUCCAUCACCAGUAACAGCAACUACCUCUUGAUACAUGCUUUUCAAGCUUGUUACCAAUUUGAAUUUGUCCAUAGGCAGCGAGCGGGCCAUUACCUGUACUUGGGAAGUAGCUAGCUUCAGCUAAGAUUUGAAAUUCACACCCAUGCAUAAAUGGGUGAAACUGAAAAGCAAGCAUCUUAAGUAAAAGUAGACCUGAAUUUUAGGUAGUAGCUCCUUCAGUUCGUCGGAGCUCUUAUCGUGAAGCUCCCGUCCUUCUAUGGCUAUCCCGUCCUCGGUUAAUAUUCCACAUUCCUUGGCAAUAGCUUUCGCAGUGUUGAUGUUGUCUCCCGUAACCAUUCUUACCGUAAUACCAGCAGCCAUGCAGGUCAUCACUGCAUCCCUGACACCAGGACGGACUGGGUCCUUGAUACCAAAAAGCACAAUUAGUGUGUAACCAUUUUCUGGUAUGGUUUGCUCUUCAGAAAAUUCAUCAAGAUCCUGAAAUGCAACGCAAAGUGUUCUCAACGCCUCAGAAGCAAAUGAAUUGAUUAUGUUUAGGACAUUUUGCUUCUGCAUGUCUGACAGUGGUACUAUAUCCCCUUCGCCAUUCAGGACAUUAUCGCAGUGUCCUAGAAUAAUUUCCGGUGCGCCUUUACAGAAGGAACGGAAGCCUCCAUUUGGUAACUCUAUUAUCACUGACAUCUUUUUCUUGACUGAAUUAAAAGGCUCUACUCUUACUCUCCUGAUACUAUUGUAUUCAAGGUAUCGAUCCGCUUCUAUGGUCAAGCCGAACUCCAACAAUGCUGCUUCGGUUGGUGUGCCCAAGAUGGUCCUUUUGCCAUCAUCUCCCUUCACCACCUCGGAUCCCGUGUUCACAAAUAUGCCUUGUACAAGUAUUUCCAUAGCUCUUUCUGAAAUUACAGAUUUUAGCUCGGUGAUUUUUGCAUCGCCAUUGACCGACUUGGAUACGUCGCUGAUCCAAACCUUAUCGACGAUCAUGUGGUUGGUUGUCAAAGUUCCUGUCUUAUCAGUGCAAAUACAGCUGACUGAACCCAUCGUCUCACACGCCGCGAGAUGCCUGACUAGAGCUUUGUCAUUCAUCAACUUCUUCAUGGCAAAUGCAAGACUAAGGGUCACAGCCAACGGUAGACCUUCAGGGACUGCAACUACGAUGAUGGUCACGGCAAUAGCAAAGUAGUUGACUAUUGUCAAUGCGUCAUUUGCCGACCAAUUCAUCAAACCGACACCCAUUCCCUUGUUAACCAAGAACCUUGCUAGAAGUACUAGAAACGUGAGAAUAGCAAACACGAGUCCAAUCUGCCCAAUGACCGUAGCCACGCCAUUGAGCUUAACUUGCAAAGGAGUUUCAUCCACUCCACUGUCACUAAGAGUGCCCAUGAUUUUACCCCACUCGGUACGCGAACCGACGGCAGUGACAAGCAUCUUAGCUGUCCCAUCAACCACCUUACUCCCACCAUGGAGAAAAGGCUUUUCUUCAGAAACUUGAAUUGGCUCACUCUCACCUGACAAGCUAGAUUCAUCUACCAGUAGGCAGUAGCCAGAUAUAAACAAGCCAUCUGCAGGAACCACAUCACCUAUCGAAAGAUGCAAGAUGUCGCCGACGACCAAGUCAUGAAUCAAAACCUUCUUGGUUUUCUUAUCUCUAGUAACAAGGACAUAUAUCUUCUGCUUCUCACGGUCCAGCUCCAUAAACUUCCUUGACUGCUUGUAAUCGUUGGACGCAGUAACUAGUACCACCAACAAAAUGCUGAGUAUUAUGCCAAGACCAUCAUAUAUACCCUUGGGCCACCCCUCGGUUGCUAGGCCAACCACCAGAGAAACCAGAGCACACACUAUGAGAAUGUUGAGAGUCAGGUCAUGUAAUGCAUCCCACACAAACAUCCAGAAGCUUCUAGGGGGCUUCUCGGCGUGCUUGUUAGUACCAUACAGUUUCUGCCUGGUUGAUACUUCAGUUUCCUUGACACCAUCUUGCAAAGAGGCUUUGAGUUUCCUAGAUAUCCCGUUGGUUCCACCAUGCAACUUCAAGAUUGUCGAAUCUUCGCGCAUGCCAGUAAUUUCUGCUAGUUCAUCCGGGCUGAUAGAAAAUCCUUCCUCAAUAAGCUCAUGUGUUAAGUGGUAUUGUUUUACGCCUACGUGGUUAAAGGAUAAAAAGUGAAAAUCAACAUAACAGUUAUGACAAGAUCGAAAAGGCACAUGCUACUCCACGAUCAGUUGGCGAGAGCGCACCGUUAAUAAAUUGCAGUGCUGCCCUAUGCACGUUAAUCACAACCUGGACUUUUCCCUGGAAAAUAAGCAUCUCUAAUCAAGACGAAAAAAAUAAAUUGACUUCCUGAUACUGAAAAAUAUGAAUCACUUAUUUUCGCAGUUUAAUUUCAGUAACCAAAGUAACCUCUAAAAUAUAGCAGCCUAAAUAUAAAAUAGUAAGAGUAGAUUUCACUUUUUUUACCCCUUAAGAUGGCAAGAGUGCCAAUGACCACAUUUAGUUAAUUUAAAGAACCCUUAACCUGCAAAAGUAAGUGGGAGUAGGAUUUAAAACUCGAAUACCAAGUUUGCCCCGUUCUGAGAAGAUUGGCUUGCCUGUCAGUUGUACAUGACAGAUGACUUGGUUGCAUAACUUGAAUUUUUUGUGGUGAUACUUAUUCAUGCAAAUUUUAUAAUAUCGUUGAAUUCCUAGUUUUAUUUUUAAUGGUGCUGAAUCAAACAUAAAAACCUUAAUAGAUUUUAAUCUAACUUAAAAUCCUAUAAAUAUAUUUAGUAUAUCAUACUACACACAUUAUGAUUUAUUUUUGCAAACUUCAUCUCAAUAAAUUUAAUUAAUUUCAAUUUACUUCAAAUAUUCAGUUUUAACCUUAGUGCUAGUCCUUUAUCCAAAAAGCAUAUCCUCCAUUAUAAAUAAAAUAUUGGAUUAUAUAGUUUGUAAUUCUGGAUGCAGAAAUCCAAUUCGGCUCUCAGGAACACAUGCUCCUACGCGCCAAAGAUGUUUAUUCAAAUGUCAAAAGAAUAUGCAAAAAUUUAGAUGUGUUUAAAGUCACAUCAAAAUGCUACUUGGAAACUUUUAGGCGGAAAGCAUUCGCAUUUUUACUCUAGUUGAACAAUAAAUGUUACCUCCACUCCAAAUGUUACACUUAAUUUUAUUUGUUUUCACUAAUGACGCAUUGAUAUCCCAUUUCGCUUAAAAAUUGUCAAGCCCGCUUGUUACACUAACAUGAGGAUCUACAAAAACAAAUCCCAACUUUUUCAAAAAAAAAAUCAGUCAAGAGCAUAUGCUCCCGAGAGCCAAAACGGCCCUCUCGAUUUAAUCUUCAUCAUAUAUUAAGUCUUCAAAAACAUCAUUCAACCAUCUACACAUAAGCUUGAUAGGCGAGCCAGGAUUGGCAAGGGGUCACAAGCAGUUAAACAUGGAACAUCUUGGUAUUUAGGUUUUAAAUUUGAUACAUUGAUGAAAAAAAACUUCAAAUGGGCUAUUUUUUGUGUCAAUGGUGCCAUCUUGUAGGCUAAAAUACGGAAUUUACUCAUAUAAUAAUCAACAUACCGUGAUAGGAUAUUUCCCACAUGGCAUUCAUUCAUUUGAUGAUUUCCCACAAUUGUUGUGUAAGUAUAAAAAUGGUCCCUCAACUACAAAAUUAGGAAAACCUAGUCCUCAAAUUAUUAAACCAUAUAUAUUUGUUCCCCCAUACCACUUGUAAUGGCAUCGGUAAUGUUCGUGGCUUGAUUUAACCGAAACUUGACAUGAUGAUAAAUUAUGAUCAUUGACCUUGCCACAUCAUCGUCCAUCUAAACACAUGUCAGAGGCCACAAUAUGCGCCUGGUGUUUCUAGCGUCACGGUUAGCUGCUACACUCUAGGGGCAUGCUGCUGGUAGAAUAUGUUCGGCAUCUCACAUCCAGUGGCGGAGCUAGCCGAAAAUCACUUGGGAGGGGGGGGGGGCAAAUCAUCUGUGUUUGGAGGGGGGAAUUUCUAAAAAAAAUCUAAUCUAAGCAUCCCUAAAUAAUCUUCAAUAGUUGAUCCAAGGCCGGGGGGUGGCAGCGCCCCCCUGUCCCCAACAUAGCUCUGCCACUCCUCACGUCGCUUGUUGGCAAAUAACCAUGACGCUUACAUGGUGCUAGAUAUCACUUCUUGAAGCGACAACUUUGUCAGAAAGAGGAUGGACGGUGACGACUCAAAGAUGGUUCUUGGCGUGGUCGGGCUCGUAUCUGUGAAGAUGGAGGACAACCCACCGCUGAAUAGGAUGGCAAGUGCCGCCCUAGAGAGGGAGUUCCUAGGGACGCGUUUGGUUACCUGCAUUACCCUCAACCAGGCCUGUGGGGGAAGAAAUUAGCAUGUGUGGUUGCCUGCUCCACAUACAAAUCUUGGUCCGCACAAAUCUUAAAGCAGUGCUCAGCCAGGCCCGCUUGGAACGGCCGAAUCGACAAUUUUCAGUGAGACAAGCUAGGACAAUGCAGGGGAGGGGAAUGUCGCACUGCGCAGCUGCGGGCAAGGAGAUGGCAGGAGCGAUGGCAUGUCUCCGAAAAAGUGGUAGGAUGAAUUCGCGUCCCCGCACGUCGAUUCCCACGUCCCCGCACGUCGAUUCCUGAUCGCCCUAUAUAGCUAGUGUGACCGGCAUGCCAAAACUCCCGCCACCCCUCUCGAGCUUUCACUCCGCCCUGGAUCCACCUUGACGACGAGGUAAGCGACACAACUACUCCGGCGUCCGGUUGGCUACGGCGGCGGAUCCGCUCCUCCUCUUCUCCUUCAUGCCGCACCUCCUCUGCGGCUUCUUCAAUGGCGUUUGUAAGUUCAAUGACCCCCUCCCCUCUACUAGUUCUAGCUAGAUCUGGCGAUGUGGUGGGGUUAGAUUCUCCGAUCUGUUUGAAUGUGAUGUUUCAGUAGUUAGCUGGGAUGGAUUUCAAGCAUGCUAGGGGGUGUUUCCGUGAUUGCUUGCUUGGAUGUUCAUGGAUGGAUUGGUAGUAUGCUUGGAUGUUCAUGAAUGGAUUUGUAGUAUGCUAAGAUGUUCAUUGAUGGAUUGGUAGUAUGCUUAGAUGUAUGGUAUGGUAAUGGGCAAGUGUUGAACAAGAUCAUCCAUAUGUGUCCAUGAUUAGUCUUGUCUUAAACUAGAUCAUCCAUGUGUGCAUGUUUUACCGUUAGUUCAUACCAUCGAUGUGUAGUGUGUUGUCCAUGUUUACAGAUAGCACGUACUGUCAAUUUUAGCCUAAUGUGAUGUUGAUGACGCUUACGUUUGCAGUGUUGAAGUGUAUAUGUGGAUUGUCUAGCUCUUUCCAUCAGUUCGGACUUUUGGUUGCGUUGGCUAGUGCAUGAAGCUUAACAUAGUAUUAGGGCUAAGGUCUUGAGUUCAAGUCCUAGCUUUCGCAAUUUAUUUAAAAAAUUGUUGGUAGUCCCCCUUUGUGUCCACGUAGAGGCUUCUUGAGUCAUACGUGAGUUUCGUGCGCCGUCGCUCCUUUCCGGUUGUACGUGUUGACUUGUCUUCCCCGUCACACGUGAGAGGGUGUGUUACAAUAUAUGUGGACUUUUGGUUGCGUUGGCUAGUGCAUGAAGCUUAACAUGGUAUCAGGGCCUAAGGUCUUGAGUUCAAGUCCUGACUUUCGCAGUUUAUUCAAACUAGCAAAAGGGCCCGUGCUUGCAACGGGAGAAAAGUAACUAUAAUCUUCAAGGAUUCUGAUCAUAUUACGUCCUUCAAAUUGUAGGACAUUUCUUGAAAUGCAUGAACAUUUUUUGAAUUAGCAAACAUUUUUUUCAAUUGCAUCCAAAAAAUAAUACACAAACUUUUUUCUUAAAAUCAUGGACUUUUAUUGUUUUCACCAACAUUGUUCUCAAAAUUAUGAACAUUUUUUUGAAUAUGGGAAUACUUUUACAAAUAUCCUGAGCAUUUUUUGAAUUUACAAACAUUUUAUGUUUUCUUCAAAAUUUCUCAGUUUUAUAAGUUGCAAUUUUUUUUCAAAAGUCUAUAUUAUUUAAAUUUUAAAAAAUGAAACAGAAAAUGAAAAUAAAAAAUGAGACUAAAAACACUGUUUUUAAGAUUUUCACACGGACUUUUGUUUAAAAUUAUUAACUUUUUUCAUUUUACAGACAUUUUAUAAAAAUUUAAACAUUUUUUUGUAUAUGCAAACAUUUUUCAAAAUUGAUGAGUAGUUUUUGAAUUCUCAAAAAAAAUAUGUUUUUUAAUAUUUUAUUUCAAAAUUCUCAAUUUCUUAAAUUUAAGAAAAGUUAUUUGAAGUUCUGAAUUAUUUAAAGUAGAAAAAAAUGGAACUGAAAAGUAAAAUAAAAAAACUAAACUAAAAGAACAGGCGGCCACGCAUGGGCCGGCCCAAAUAGGUGUUGCAUCUUUUUCCAAUGCCCAGAGCGUAAUAUAGGAGGUGCCUACAUGGGCCGGCCGAGUCAGGAGAUUUUCCUGUUUGAAACGUUUUCUAUGACUUAUAAGUGGCAAUUGUGGGUAAUUUUCAUCAAUUUUAUGGGCAAUGUUAAUGACGAACGACAGAAGCACUAAUUGCUUUAUUAGUAGGUAAAGAUAUUGUUGUCACCCCCUAUCUGUCCACGUAUAGGCCUCUUGAGCCAUACCUCUGAGUUUAUCCACGUGUUGACUUUCCGCGUUACACGUGAGAGGGGGUGUUGAAGUGUAUAUGUGGAUUAUCUAGCCCUUUCCAUCAGUUCUGAUUUUUGGUUGCGUUGGCUAGUGCAUGAAGCUUAACAUGCAGGACAUGAGCAUGCAAGAGUUUAGUCUGACCAUCGUGUCGUCCGAGAGCCAGUUCCCGACGUCCUAUGUCGAGGACUCCUAGGCUAACAUAGACCAGACGCCUCUUGAUUUAGAAGUUUUCGAGGUGCCUCCUAAUGUUCCUCCAUUUGCGUUGGCUCAUCCCAAUGUUGUAUCUCAUGUGGCUGCUCGAAGGCAGCCAUAAAGGAGAAGAAGGAUGGCAGGGGAUGCAACAUGAAAUGGCAAUCGUUCGUCUCCAUUUGUGUGCUUACCAAGAUGUGUGAGGUCAUAUCUAGUGGAAUGGGGACUGGCAAGGGGUUCAAGGAGGUGCACUUGAACUAUGUGGCAAAGCAAGUCUUCGAGUUUUGUGGACGAAAGGUCACCGCAACCCAGGUCUACAACCACCCGAGGAAGUGGAGAACGAGGUGGAUCAUCUCCUUCAAACUGAGAGACCUGAGCGGUGCUUCAUGGGAUGAGGAGACUUGCACGAACUUGUUGGAGGCAGAGCACUACCAAGGGCACAUCGCGGUUAGCUCACAAACCAUGUCAUAUUAACUAACCAUCUCAUAUGAACCAUUGCCAUACUAACUAAUCAUCUCCUCAACACACCUAUCCAGAACUAUCACCAGAUGCAUCAGAGAUCUCCUUCGGGCUCGCAACCGGCAAGCAUGCCAUGGGCUCUGGUUAGCCGUCGGGCUUGCCAAUGCCCGUGAUGCCCCACUAUCCAGACACCCAGGAGUCAGACGCCAUCAACACUGAUGCUCCUGAUAAGGAUGGUGAGCACAUUCUUGUGGUUGAUAGGAAGAGGAAGCAUGCAGGCUUCAUGAAGGAGGAGUUUACCAUCUUUAGCAGCAUGAUUCAGGUAGUGAAGAAGGUGACCAUCGCCAUCAGGGAGAGCAGCACGGCCGACAUCCACCCUGAGCUCUACUGUAUCGUCAUGGAGCAAGUUGGCUUCAGCCUAGAGGCUCUCAUGGUGGCUCUCAGCCAACUACUUGGCAACAAAGCCCAUGGUGUUUGGUUUGUUGUCAUGGGAGAGGCUCACAUGGUGCUCUAGUUGAGGACCUGGCUGGGCAAGCACUACUACUAGUGUUGCUUCUGCUGGUGGCGAUGGCGUGCAUGAUCCUCGACCAUGACGAUGGCGAUGAUGACGCAUAUUUUGUGUGAAAAUAAUCUUACGGUCUGUGUAUUUUGGUGAGGUGGCAUAUACUAACCCCUCACGGUGAUCCGCAUACUGAUCACGAACUUGCGGUGGUAGGAUUACACCCAUUUUUUGAUGUGGUGGUAGGAUGACACCAACAUAGUGGUAGGUUGACCUUGCUACGUUGUAUGAUCAUGCAUGCUUACAAAUGCUCUUAUGCUUCAUUUCUUAUGUGCUUCAUUGCUUGCUCCUAGAGUGCUUCAUUGCUUGUUGCUUGUGUGUUCCAAUGCUUGUUGCUGCAACUUAUUGUUCAUUUGCAUUGCUACGACAAGUGGUAUGUGGUGUUCGAACGAAGGGUUCCAGGGGUUUACAGUUCAUGGGAAGCUUGCAGCAAACAAGUUUCAGGGUACAACAACCAAAGCCACAUAGGGUUUAAGACUAGGCAGGCGACAGAAGAUGCUUACUCCAAGUAUGUGUGAGAUCAGUCAUGCAACAAGUUUGAGACCGCCAAGGUGGAUUGUCUGUUUUGGCUGAAGAACUUCAUCUUCGUCCAGUUUAUCGUCAUUGUAGUUAUGUGGCUUUGGUGUGCUUGGUGCGAUGAUAUGUAAGGUGUAGUAGCAGUGGGUAACCUCACCAAAUAAGGUACAAGGUGAGCACAACUCUAUGCACGUAUGCAACCAAACAACAUGCACUCGUCUGAUCACAUACAAUGCGAGCAACCAAACACCGAGCGAAGGGGGCGUCGCUACAAUCGAUGCAGAAAGAGGACAUGCAUGCAACCAAUCAAUAUGCAGAUGUCGGUUCUUUGCAUGCAUAUGCUUAGCCAGGCCUAAGAGCAUCUAUAGUCGGACCCCUCAUACCCAUCUCAAACACCAGAGCAGGCCGGUCGGUCACUCAUCGAUCACAAAAUAUUGACCCAACUACACACCUCAAACGGGCCUCAAACGCCCGGACUGACCGACACACCUCAUAUCCAGCCCAAAUAUGGGGUGGAUAUGGGGGAGUCCGGGCACGCCCGCCACGUCGGCCUAACGGCGUGGCCCCACACGAAGAGGCGCCUCGACUAUCGUCGCGGUGUGAGGCGCCGCUCCGGCUCGCCGCCCGAGGCUAUAGUCAACUAUUUAAGCCGGUCAAGAUCCCUCAGCCCUAGCACAUCCACCUCAUCCCUCCCUUCGCCACCACCGAGCCCAUCCGCCUCCUCUUCCCCGCUCUCCGACCUCAGUAUGGUCUGCCGUAGGAUCACCACCUAUGCUCAUCUCACGCCGGAGCACCGGAUGCAGACCGAGGCGCAGAUCCAGGCUUGGCGCGCCUCCCACAUCAUUACGGGUCUCCCUUUGGACUCGACGGAAACGAAGGAGGAGGAGGAGGAGGAGAAGAAGCCGGAGGAGGAGAAGCAACCAGAGGAGGAGGUGUCGGAGGCCAUGGAGGAGGACCAACCAGAGGAAGAGGAUGACCCGGAGAUCCAUGCUCGAGGCUUGAACAUGGCGGAGGUGGAGGCGGAGUUCGCCGUAGCCCAAGCCGAGGAGAUGACGGAGCAGCAGGUCAUUCUGGAUUCCAUCCAGAAUGAGACCGAGGUGAAGACCAACCGCCCGCUCAUCCGGCAGAGGCAGGAGGAGGCCGACGCCCUCUUCGACGAGCUCGAGGCGGACAUAGCAGCGAAGGAAGCUGCAGCGGAGCAGUCAGAGGGGGGUGCAGUAGAGGUGCCAGAGGGGGUACAACUCCAGUUGCCGCACAUCUAUCCGCUGGAGGGCACGGAGAUCGUCGAUAUCUCCGACGAAGAUUAGGUAGUUUGUACGUAGUUCAUAGGUUUAUAUGUUGCAUGCUUUUGUAUGGAUUUGAGAAAUUUAAUAUGAGAUGUCCGGAUGCAGUAGUGUGUUUUUGAGGUGUACCCGAUUACAAUAUCCAUAAAUGCGUUCACAGGCGUUUAAGGACCGGAUUUGUAAGUUACAACUAUAAAUGCUUUAACGAAACAAAUAUGCAAAAUAACUAAAAACAAUACUAGCAACCAACGCGCCGCCUCCAGUUAUGCGACGAUGACAACAACAGGCACAUGCGGCAACCGGCAGCGCAACGAUUCCAUGCUCAUUUGGCCUCCUCUGUGAGCAUGACCACAUCGAGCGAGCGAGGAAGAAAGGGAGAGAGAAGGACCGGACUGUUAAAUGUUAAACCAUGGCACGGACGUUAUAAGACAAAAUCGGAUCACAUCGUCCCGAUUUCACAAGUUGAGGGCCUAGAUUUUCUGGUUUUGAAGUCAGGAGAUCAUUUGCAAACUUUCCCAACAAGACGGACCCAAAAAUAUAUUAUUUCUCUUUUAAGAGGAAAAAAAAAACCAUAACAGCCGGCAUGAACCCUGCCAGCGGUUACCCACCCUACCGUAUAUGCUUGCCUCACGUCAACUUGAAUUGAAUCCCACGAUGCAAGCUGUGGUUACGCAGUUCCUUUCCCAGGGUUGAAUGAGCGAGCCCAUGCACCAUGCGCCCAACGACUCGUGGCAGUUGACCACGAGUUUCUUUCUCUGGUACGGACGCAGUACGCACACUGCUUCUUCGACCACGAGAGGUCGGGAAGGUUUUUCAACCAAGGAGAGACGUGCAAGAUACGCUUCAAGAAUCCACGCCACCUUCAUGGUCAGGACUCGGGAUGAAGUUUCCUCGCACCUUCGCGGAGGCUUUGAACCUAGCUAGCUUCAGCGAAAGCGACGGCGGGAACGCUCCUCUCCUGCGAACCAUUCGUCCUUUGUCUUUGCGGCUGCGGCGAUCGAUGGCCGGAGAUUGGCUCGGGGAGGGAGGGAAAUGGCGGGCGAAGGAGCGUGGGUGGGUGCGUACCAGGAUCUUGCGGCGCUGGGCGGCGUCGACGGCGGCGAGGGCGGAGAACUCGCGGAAGCGGCGGCGGCGGUUGCGGACGACGAGGCCGACGGCGCGGCGCCACCGGAGGCGGGCGGCGGUGGGCGGGUUCUUGGCCGGGAUGUGGAAGUGCUCCUUCAGAUACCCCUCCAUGCUCGUCGUCCAGCUGCUGCCGCUCCCGCCCUCCAUGCCCGCUCCUUCCGCUCUCCGUUGGCUUCCCUCCUCGCUUUCGGUCUCGUCAGCAGUAAAAAAAGGAUCGCAGCCAUGAGAGGGGCAAACAUAUACGAGUAUAUAUAUAUACAGCUUGAUGAUAAUUGAGGUGCUGCAAAGGCAUUAGGAGGCAUUAUAGUACGGGGAGACGGCGACGGGGAUGAACUUUCCACGCGAGUUCGGAUGGGAAUUCACAGUUUACGCGACUCGGUCCAAUCGGUCAAUACCGGUAUGGAAACAGGGACAGCCGAAUUCAUGAUAUAUAUACACACUCGUCUGCUUAACUACUCCCUCCGUUCCUAAAUAUAAGACAUUUUAGAGAUUGCACUAUAAACUAUAUACGGAUGUACAUAGACAUGUUUUAGAAUAUAGAUUCACUCAUUUUGCUCCGUAUAUAGUCUUCUAGUAAAAUCUCUAAAAGGUCUUAUAUUUUAAAACGGAGGGAGUAGAAGAUAACCCGCGCGUUGCAGCGGGAUGGUAGAAUUAAAAUAUGGAUAAUUAGGUUGAUGACAUGAAUAGUAAUGAGAAUUACUUAAGAUGUGAUGGAAAUAGCAGUCAUGCAUAAUUUGUUGAUGUCAAAGGGUUGCAUGCAUGAAUAAAAUAGUUAGUGGGAUGGUAGAUUAAUGAGCUGACCGUACAUGCAUGGUUGGUUGAUGUGGAAGCUCUGCAUGCUUAGAAAAAAAUACUCCCUCCGUUCCUAAAUAUAAGUCUUUUAAGAGAUUUCAUUAGUGUCUACAUACAAAGCAAAAUAAACGAAUCUGUAUUCUAAAGUAUGUCUAUAUACAUCCGUAUGUAGUCUACUAGUGAGAUCUCUAAAAAGACAUAUAUUUAGGAACGGAGAAAGUAGUUAAUAGGUUACAAUUAUUUAAGAAUAGAAGAUUAGGAUAAACAUCGACCGAAAGAUGCUUUUGCUCAAUCCACUUGAUUUAAUAACUCCCCACCAGGCUGCGUCUCUAACAAAAGGUGUUCCACCAGGCUGCGAUCGAUCUGCAUCCCAUCUACUCACUUCGUUCCUAAAUAUAAGUCUUUUUAAAGAUUUCACUAGAGAACUACAUACAGAGCAAAAUGAAUGAAUCUACACUCUAAAGUAUGUCUACAUACAUCUGUAUGUAGUCUCCUAGUGAAACCUCUAAAAAAACUUAUAUUUAGGAGCGGAGGAAGUAGUUAGUCAGGGUACGUUAUGUUUACUACUAGCAAAAGGGCCCGUGCGUUGCAACGGAAAAAAAUAUCACACGCUUUUAAUAUUUUUAUAAUCAUUUUGAUUUAUUAAAAUAAUAAGCUAACUAACUAAUGUAGUCAGUCCUAUCCUAUUUUGUUGAGAAAUAAAAACCGUCCAUUGUUAAUUCCAUCAUGAUGAGAAAUUGAGCGGGACAAACAAAGCAAAACAAAAAGGCUACGUGAAUUGAUCAAUGGACUGUUAUCUUAUUUCACUCAUGGGAUAGAGAAUGUGGGAUCAGAUGAGAAACUGAAGGUGGUGUUCCAUUCCCUCUCUCUACAACAAUGCAAUCUUACAUUCAAUACAUUCAUUCAUCAGCAAACAAAUUCCCAGAAAACAAAAUUUCUUGCCGGUGCUUGGCACACGGUUGGAGGCAUGGGGAGGGGAUCUCACCAGGUGAUGAGUUCCUGUCGGNNNNNNNNNNNNNNNNNNNNNNNNNNNNNNNNNNNNNNNNNNNNNNNNNNNNNNNNNNNNNNNNNNNNNNNNNNNNNNNNNNNNNNNNNNNNNNNNNNNNAAGAAGAAGAAGAAAGAAGAAAGAAGAUGAGAAGAAGAAGAAGAAAGAAGAUGAGAAGAAGAAGAAGAANNAGAAGAAGAAGAAGAGGAUGAGGAGGAGAAGAAAAAAUAAGAAGAAGAAGAAGAANNNNNNNNNNNNNNNNNNNAAGAAGAAGAAGAAGAAGGAUAAGAAUAAAAAGAAGAGAGGAGGAGAAGAAGAAGAGUAAAAAGGAAAAGAAGAAGGACAAGAAGAGGAGGAGAAUAAAUAAGAAUAAGAAGAAGAAGGAUAAGAAGAAAAAGAAGAGAGGAGGAGAAGAAGAAGAGGAAAAAGGAAAAUAAGAAGGAGAAGAAGAGGAGGAGAAUAAAUAAGAAGAAGAAGAAGAAGAAGAACAACAACAACAACAACAACAACAACAACAAGAAGAAAAAGAAGAAGAAGAAGANNNNNNNNNNNNNNNNNNNNNNNNNNNNNNNNNNNNNNNNNNNNAAGAAGAAGAAGAAGAAGGAGAAGAAGAAGAAGGAGAAGGAGAAGGAGAAGGAGAAGGAGAAGGAGAAGGAGAAGGAGAAGGAGAAGGAGAAGGAGGAGAAGGAGAAGGAUAAGGAGAAGGAGAAGGAGAAGGAGAAGGAAGGAGGAGGAGGAUAAGAACGAGAAGAACGAGAAGAAGAAGAAGAAGAAGAAGAAGAAGAGGGAAAGGAAAAGAAGAAGACGAAAAAGGAAAAGAAGAAGGAUAAGAAGAGGCCGACUAGGUCAUGGUUUUGUAAAUUACGAGUUAGGUCAUAUAUUUUCCAAUUUUGUUUUAAAAAACAAAAUAUUUGUGUUGAUCGGGUGGACUUACAUGUGUAGUUGUUUUGCCGCUGCGAGGUCUGGUGUUCGAAGACCUCCCCAUGCAUUCAUCGAGCUCCGCCCUUGCGUUGUGGGUGAGCACAAAUGACAUCUCCUCUUCCCCCCCCCCCUUCAUUUGCUCUGUUCUGGUCUUUGUGCUGAUGAAACUUGCUAGAUAUAGGUACAUUAAAUCAUCAGUAUGCGUGACCAGUAUGCUUCUCUCGUUCGAAAGGGUUACAUUUAUAAAUAUGCAUGCAUUUGUAUAUAUUUAUAAUCGUGAUUCUUCCGAAUUGUCCAAUGUUAUCCAUGGACGGCGUGAGUAUGUGUAGAUUGGGUCCGUUUUCCCAUAUGAUCUGCUCCGGAUCCGAUGCAUAAUUUUGUCAGUGCAUCCCUGUUGUUUUCCGGGUACACAUCAUCUUUGUUUAUUGUCGAGAGGUGUAUGAGAAGAACAACACGGAGGUGAUGCCGAAAUUUUACGUCAGAUCCGAAGCAGAGCAUGGGAAAACGAGCCCAGUCUACACAUACUCUAGUGGGAUUAGGACCAAUCUUUACCUAUUAGCGUGUAGGUUGCAUGGACAUAAUAAAACUGACAAAGUUGAUUAACUCAUGAAUAUAUAUACUGAAAUUAUAUAUAUAUAUAUAUNNNNNNNNNNNNNNNNNNNNNNNNNNNNNNNNNNNNNNNNNNNNNNNNNNNNNNNNNNNNNNNNNNNNNNNNNNNNNNNNNNNNNNNNNNNNNNNNNNNNNNNNNNNNNNNNNNNNNNNNNNNNNNNNNNNNNNNNNNNNNNNNNNNNNNNNNNNNNNNNNNNNNNNNNNNNNNNNNNNNNNNNNNNNNNNNNNNNNNNNNNNNNNNNNNNNNNNNNNNNNNNNNNNNNNNNNNNNNNNNNNNNNNNNNNNNNNNNNNNNNNNNNNNNNNNNNNNNNNNNNNNNNNNNNNNNNNNNNNNNNNNNNNNNNNNNNNNNNNNNNNNUAUAUAUAUAUAUAUAUUUGUUGUGUGUUUAGUAGCUAGGCAAUAUGAUUGAUCGUGCGUGGAUGUACGCCGGUCAAUGGAAGUAGACAACCACAGUGAAUCCGACUUCACCCCUGAGAUGGAACUAGAAGAGGUUACUGUUGCGAAUGACCUGUCAAUGCUUGAUCGAUUACAGAAAGGCCUUCCAUAUGUUGAUGCUGGUGAACCUGAUGAGCACAUCAUUCAUGAUGAUACGCGUGAUAGUGAUGAUGAUGAUGAUGCAUUUAUUGAUCCAGGAGCAUAUAUAGACGAUCCAGACUAUUAUUAGUUUGUAUGCAUCCCAACUUAAAUUAUAUAUGUACAUAUUAUUAUUCAUGUGGGGUAUUCAAUUUUUUAUGUUGCACUAAUUUCUUUUACUCUUUGUCAUGGCAGGUGUUGAAAGAUGGUGGGCGCGGGUCCAGAUCCCUCGGCGGGUACUUUGUUGGCGACCCGUGGGAGGGGUCCUUCCAUUCCACACCUAUCUCUCCAUAGAGUGUUGGCAGACAGUCUAGGGACACCCGCGGGUGCUUCUCCGUCAGCAAUGUUGCCCACCGGGAGAGGAGGUCGGGUAGGGAAGAAGGAGAAGGGUACACGACGUGGCCGCGGGAGAGUUAGGCGGACUGCUACACCGUCCUCGCCACCACCCCCAGCUCAUUCACCCGAGCACAUAACUACUAGGAUGGACCCGUUUGAGGUGGAGGCUAUGGGAACUCCAGACCAGGAGCCUCGGGUCGACGGGCCUUCGGCCCAUGAGACUCCGGUUCCAAAGGCUUCAGUCCACGAGACUCCUGUACCAGGGGCUACGUCCCAGAAGACUCCCACCCCACAGGCUUCGUCCGGAUGGAUAUCUGGCCGGAUCAGACCGAGGUGCCGGGGUAGCCAUGCUGAUGGUGGUGGGGAUGAGUGUACUGAUAGUGAAGGCGAGGUGGUUCAAGGGGUCACCGUGUGCCAGCGUGGUAGUACACGUCUCCAUGCCGUGCGGGCGAUCCACGAGCACAUGCCGAUGAUUAGGCGUGAAGGGGAGAAGUAAGUGCAUUUACUCUUUUUGUACCAUUUUCCUUCAAGUUUCUUCAAAUAUCUAAUGCGUUGACCUUGUCACACUGUAGGGGUUGGGAUCACCCCCUUGGAGUCUGCAAGCCGAACAUCGUCCCUUGUGUGCCUUGCCGGCAAAAUUCCCGGGCUUUAUCACAUUGCCCAAUGAGAGUGAGGUUCCCACACUAGGAUUUAGCUAUGAGCACUAAAAGGCUGCCCAGGUGAUACGUCUCCAACGUAUCUAUAAUUUUUUAUUGUUCCAUGCUAUUAUAUUAUCUGUUUUGGAUGUUUUAUAUGCAUUAAUAUGCUAUUUUAUAUUAUUUUUGGGACUAACCUAUUAAUCUAGAGCCUAGUCCUAGUUCCUGUUUUUCCUUGUUUUUGAGUAUUGCGGAUAAGGAAUAUCAAACGGAGUCCAAACGGAGUAAAUAUCCGGAAUGUUUUUUCUUGGACCAAAAGAAACCUGACAGACUUGGGGAGGGGGGCAGGAGACCUCCCAGGAGAUGACAAGCCUGCAGGGCGCGCCCUGAUACGUCUCCAAUGUAUCUACUUUUCCAAACUCUUUUGCCCUUGUAUUGGACUCUAAUUUGCAUGAUUUGAAUGAAACUAACCCUGACUGGCGCUGUUUUCAGCAGAACUGCCAUGGUGUUGUUUUUGUGCAGAAAUAAAAGUUCUUUGAAUGACCUGGAAACUUACGCGGAUUUUUUAUGGAAUAUAUAAAAAAUAUCAGAGAAAGAAUCAAUUGAAAAUACGCUGCGAGUGGGCCACGAGCCCUGCAGGCGCGCCCCCCCUAGGGCGCGCCUAGCAGGCUCGUGGGGCCCACGUGGCUCCUCCGACUUCUUCUCCAACUCCAUAUAACCUUUCUCGCCCAGAAAAAAUAGGAGAGAAGAGUUCAUCGCGUUUCAUGAUACGGAGUCGCCGCCGCCGCCUGUUCUUCCUCGGGAGGGCAAAUCUGGAGUCCGUUCUGGGCUCCGGAGAGGGGAAAUCGACGUCGUCGUCGUUGUCAACAAUCCUCCAUCGCCAAUUCCAUGAUGCUCUCCAUCGUUCGUGAGCAAUCUUAUCGUAGGCUUGUUGGACGGUGAUGGGUUGGAUGAGAUCUAUCAUGUAAUCGAGUUAGUUUUGAUGGGGUUUGAUCCCUAGUAUCCACUAUGUUCUAAGAUUGAUGCUGCUACUACUUUGCUAUGCUUAAUGCUUGUCAUUAGGGCCCGAGUGCCAUGAUUUCAGAUCUGAACCUAUUAUGUUUUCAUCAAUAUAUGUGUGUUCUUGAUCCUAUCUUGCAAGUUGUAGUCACCUACUAUGUGUUAUGACCCGGCAACCCCAGAGUGACAAUAGCCGGAACCAUUCCCGGAGAUGACCAUAGUAUGAGGAACCACUUCCGAACAUAAAUGAGUUGUUCGAACAAUUGAAAGGGGCUAAGAUCUUCUCCAAGCUCGAUCUCAGAAUGGGCUAUCAUCAAAUUCGCAUUCGCGAAGAGGAUAUUUCGAAGACUGCUUUCAGGACUAGUUUUGGAUCGUAUGAGUAUACGGUCAUGUCUUUUGGUCUGGCAAAUGCUCCUCCGACAUUUUUUCGAAUGAUGAACUACAUAUUCUCUCCGUUCAAGAAUGAGUUCGUCUUGCUGUAUCUCGACGAUAUUCUGGUCUUUUCAGAGACUGAGGAAGAACAUGAAGAACAUCUCAGAUUGGUGCUUGAUAAGCUGAGAGAGCACAAAUUCUAUGCCAAGUUUUCCAAAUGUGAGUUCUGGUUGAAAGAAGUCAUCUAUCUUGGGCGCAUCAUCUCUGCCGAGGGCAUCAAAGUUGAUCCAUCUAAGGUGCAUGCCAUUGUUGAAUGGGAGCCUCCGGAGAAUGUGAAGCAGCUUCGAAGCUUUCUCGGGCUUGCAAGCUAUUGUAGAAGGUUCGUUGAGAACUUCUCCAAGAUUGCUAAGCCUCUCUCAAGUCUUCUUCAGAAGGGUGUGAAGUAUGCUUGGUCUCCAGAGUGUCAGUUGGCCUUCGACACACUCAAAGAGAAGCUUACCUCUACUCCAGUCUUGGUUCCUCCUGAUGAUUCUAAACCUUACCAAGUGUUCUGUGACGCCUCUCUUCAAGGUCUUGGUGCAGUUCUGAUGCAAGAGAAGAAAGUGGUUGCUUAUACCUCCAGGCAGUUGAAGCCAGCGGAGAAGAAUUAUCAUGUGCAUGAUCUUGAGCUAGCAGCAGUAGUACAUGCUCUGAUGACUUGGAGACACCUCUUGUUGGAAGAAAGGUUGAAGUGUUCACCGAUCACAAGAGUCUCAAGUACAUCUUCACCCAGCUUACGUGAGACAGGUUCCACCGACCAACAUGCACUAGGUGCAUAAGGUGGCUAGCGGGUGUCUGUCUCUCCCACUCUAGUCGGAUUGGAUUUGAUGAGAAGGGUCCUUAUGAAUGGUAAAUAGCUUUGGCAUAUCAUUGUUGUGGCUGUCACGUAGGUAAGAAGGUGUUCUUGCUAGAAACCCAAAUCAGCCACGUAAAACUUGCAACAACAAUUAGAGGACGUCUAACUUGUUUUUGCAGGGUUUGACAUGUGAUGUGAUAUGGCCAAAAGUUGUGAUGUUACAUGUAUGAUGUAUCAGAUGAUCAUGUUCUUGUAAUAGAAUUCACGACUUGCAUGUCGAUGAGUAUGACGACCGGCAGGAGCCAUAGGAGUUGUCUUAAUUUAUUGUAUGAGAUGCAACGCCAUGUGCUUACUACUUUUACUUCAUUGCUAACGGUUAGCUAUAGUAGUGGUAGUAGUAAUAGUUGGCGUCACGACUUCACGGAGACACGAUGAUGAAGAUCAUGAUGAUGGAGAUCAUGGUGUCACGCCGGUGAAAAUGAUGAUCAUGCGAUGCCCGAAGAUGGAGAUCGAAGGAGCAAAGAUGAUAAUGGCCAUAUCAUGUCACUAUAUGAUUGCAUGUGAUGUUUAUCAUGUUUUUCAUCUUAUUGCUUAGAACGAUGGUAGCAUAAUAAAAUGAUCCCUCAUAAAAUUUCAAGAAUGUAUUCCCCUAAGUGUGCACUGUUGCGAAGGAUCGUUGUCUUGAAGCACCACGUGAUGAUCGGGUGUGAUAGAUUCUAACGUUCGCAUACAACGGGUGUACGCCAGAUUUACACACGCGAAACACUUAGGUUGACUCGACGAGCUUAGCAUGUACAGACAUGACAUCGAAUACAAUAGACCGAAAGGUCGAACAUGAGUCGUAUGGUUGAAUACGAUCAGCAUGAAGUUGCUCACCAUGACGACUAGUCUGUAUCACGUGAUGAUCGGACACGGGUUAGUCGACAUGGAUCAUGUAUCACUUAGAUGACUAGAGGGAUGUCGAUUUAAGUGGGAGUUCAUACUUAAUUUGAUUAAAUGAACUUAAUUAUCAUGAACUUAGUCUAAAUGUUGUCUUUACAAAUAUUGUAGAUCCAAGGGCCAACACACCUGUCAACCUCAACUUCAACGCAUUCCUAGAGAAAAACAAGUUGAAAGAUGAUUGUAGCAACUAUGCGGACUGGGUCCGCAACUUGAAGCUCAUCCUCGAAGCAGCCAAGAAGGCUUAUGUCCUUAAUGCGCCGCUAGGUGACCCUCCUGCUCCCGCAGCAACCCAAGACAUUCAGAAGGUCUGGCAGAAGCGGAGUGAUGACUACUCUCUAGUUAGGUGUGGCAUGUUAUACAGUUUGGAAACGGGGCUCCAAAGGCGUUUUGAGCAACACGGAGCAUAUGAGAUGUUCCAGGAGCUGAAACUAGUUUUUCAAGCUCGUGCCCGUGUCGAGAGAAAUGAAGUCUCCGACAAGUUCUUUAGUUGUAAGAUGGAGGAGAACAGUUAUGUUAGUGAGCAUAUACUCAGAAUGUUUGGGUUACACGGUCGUCUGACUUCGCUUGGAGUUGAACUUCCGGAUGACGUUGUAAUUGAAAGAAUCCUCGAAUCUCUCCCACCAAGCUACAAAGGUUUUGUGCUGAACUACAACAUGCAAGGGAUGGAGAAUACCAUUCCCGAGUUGUGCUCGAUGCUGAAGUCUGCAGAAGUAGAAAUAAAGAAAGAGCAUCAAGUGUUGAUGGUCAAUAAGACCACCAGUUUCAAGAAGGACAAGGGUAAGAAGAACUUCAAGAAAGAUGGCAAAGCCGUUGUCGCGCCUGGUAAGCCACAUACUGGGAAGAAGAAAAAGAAUGGACCCAAGCCUAAGACUGAGUACUUCUAUUGCAAGGGAAAAGGUCGCUGGAAGCGGAAUUUCCCCAAGUACUUAGCGGACAAGAAGUUCGACAACAUUAAAGGUAUAUAUGAUAUACAUGGCAUUGAUGUGUACCUUACCAGCGCUCGUAGUAGCUCAUGGGUAUUUGAUACCGGUGUUGUUGCUCACAUUUGCAACUCAAAGCAGGAACUGCGGAAUAAGCGGAGACUGACCAAGGACGAGGUGACGAUGCGCCUCAGGAAUGGCUCCAAGGUCGAUGUGAUCGCCGUCGGCACGCUGCCUCUACAUCUACCGUCGGGAUUAGUUUUAAGCCUUAAUAAUUGUUAUUUAGUACCAGCUUUGAGCAUUAAUAUUGUAUCAGGGUCUUGCUUAAUUCGAGACGGCUACUCAUUUAAGUCAGAGAAUAAUAGUUGUUCUAUUUAUAUGAGUGAUAUGUUUUAUGGUCAUGCUCCGCUGGUGAAUGGUUUAUUCUUGAUGAAUCUCGAUCGUGAUGUUACACAUAUUCAUAGUGUGAGUACCAAAAUAUGUAAAGUUGAUAAUGAUAGUCCCACAUACUUGUGGCACUGCCGCCUUGGUCAUAUCGGUGUUAAGCGCAUGAAGAAGCUCCAUACUGAUGGACUAUUACAGUCUCUUGACUUUGAAUCAUUUGACACAUGCGAAUCGUGCCUCAUGGGCAAGAUGACUAAGACUCCAUUCUGAAGAAUAAUGGAGAGAGCAACCGACUUAUUGGAAAUAAUACAUACUGAUGUGUGUGGUCCAAUGAACGUUGAAGCUCGCGGUGGCUAUCGUUAUGUUCUCACUCUCACCGAUGAUUUGAGUAGAUAUGGGUAUAUCUACUUGAUGAAGCACAAAUCUGAGACGUUUGAGAAGUUCAAGGAAUUUCAGAGUGAGGUUGAGAAUCAACGUGACAGAAAAAUAAAGUGUCUAUGAUCUGAUCGUGGAGGAGAAUAUUUGAGUCACGAGUUUGGCACACCUAAGGAAGUGUGGAAUUGUUUCUCAACUGACGCCGCCUGGCACACCGCAACGUAACAGAGUGUCUGAACGUCGUAAUCGCACUUUAUUGGAUAUGGUACGAUCUAUGAUGUCUCUUACCGACUUACCGUAACUGGGUGACUAUAAAGGUGCACUACGGGUAUCUCUGAAAGUGACUGUUGGGUUGGUACGAAUCGAGAUCGGGAUUUGUCACUCCGUGUGACGGAGAGGUAUCUCUGGGCCCACUCGAUAGAACAUCAUCAUGAGCUCAAUGUGACUAAGGAGUUAAUCACAGGAUGACGUGCUACAGAACGAGUAAAGAGGCUUACCGGUAACGAGAUUGAACAAGGUAUAGGUAUACUGAUGAUCGAAUCUCGGGCAAGUUCUACACCGACAGACAAAGGGAAUUGUAUACGGGAUUGAUUGAAUCCUUGACAUCGUGGUUCAUCUGAUCAGAUCAUCGUGGAACAUGUGGGAGCCACCAUGGGUAUCUAGACCCCGCUAAUGGUUAUUGGCCGGAGAGAUGUCUCGGUCAUGUCGGCAUGCCUCCCGAACCCGUAGGGUCUACACACUUAAGGUUCGAUGACGCUAGGGUUAUAGGGAAUUUUUAUACGAGGUUACCGAAGGUUGUUCGGAGUCCCGGAUGAGAUCUUGGACGUCACGAGGAGCUCCGGAGCGGUGUGGAGGUAAAUAUUGAUAUAUAGGUUGGAUGGGUUUGGACGUCGGAAAUGUUUCGGGCACCACCGGCAAAGUACCCGGACCACCGAAAGGGUUCUGGAGGCCCACCGGAAGAGGCCACCAGCCCGAGGAGGCUACAUGGGCCAAGUGUGAGAGGGAACCAGCCCCUGGGUGGGCUGGUGCGCCCCCACACCUGCCCCAUGCCGCCUAAGAGGGGGAAGGGGGAACCCUAGCGUAGGUGGGCCUAAGGCCCACCAGGGGUGCGCCACCCCCUCCUCCCCUCCUAGCCGCCACCCCUGCCCCCCACCCCCUCAAGGGGGAAACCCUCCCUUCCCCCUAUAUAUAGCGGGGGUUUUGGCCAUUGGAGACACGCUUUUCCAUCUCUCUCUCGGCACAGCCCUGCUCUUCUUCUUCCUCCUCUCCCACGGUGCUUGGCGAAGUCCUGCCAGGAGACCUCGUCUCUCCAUCGACACCACGCUGUCGUGCUGCCGGAGAUCUGCCCCAACCUCUCCCUCCUCCCUGCUGGUUCAAGGUGCAGGAGACGUCAUCGGGUUGCACGUGUGUUGAACGCGGAGGUGCCGUGGUUCGGCACUAGAUCGGAAUCACAGUACGAAUCCAUCAACCGCGUUCUAGCAAUGCUUCCGCUUAGCGAUCUUCAAAGGUAUGAAGAUGCACUCUCCCCUCUCUCGUUGUUGUUCUCUCCAUAGGAAGAUCUGAAUAUGGCGUAGGAAAAUUUUGAAUUUAUGCUAUGUUACCCAACAUAAAUAUAGGCCAAAGGAGGGCACCGGAGGAGGUGGGGCCUACCCAGGCGACCUCCUUGCGUGGCCUGGGCCCUGGCCGCGCCAACAGGCCGCCUGGGAGGCCCCUGGCCCUCCUUCGGUGAUCCUGAAGCUUCUGCUUCGCUGAUUUUUUUAUAUUUUUUUGGAUUUUUUAGGGCUUUGGAAAAUUGGGUAAAAGCCCGUGCAAAAAAGACAUCAUCAGACAGAAACUGGCACUCGGUGCAGUGAGUUAGUAGGUUAGUCCAAAUAUGUGUAAAAUGAUAUAAAAGUGUAGCAAAACAUGUAACAAUAUCACCCCAAAAGAUCAUGGAACAAGCAAAAAUUAUAGAUACGUUUGGGACGUAUCAAAGGUCCACAUGGGCCAAGGAGGACGCGGAACGCGAAAGUCUGGGCAUCACACACCCCUUGGCGGAGUUCACCGUCCCGCAGGAGCGUGAUGUCAUUAGGGCCGAGUACCGUUGGGACCGAGUCAACAAGGUUUUCAAUACAGACGGGGUCACGAAGGAGUUCAUGAGACUGCUCGUAAUUAUUAAUUUACCCCCUAAUUUUAGCUUCUGAUCAAUUCGAUUGCACUUUUAGUCACAUUUGUAAACGGUACACGUUCCUUUUGCAGAAAGAGCAGCACAGGAUUGUGGCCGAAAGCAACUCGCCGUCUGUGGCGUUGGUGAGGACCAAGUGGAACACCCCAUUCAAUCGGGCCUUGAACAUAUUGAAAGGACUCCCGAUGGACACUCGACCGUCAUAUGGACGGGUGCACGGCGUCGAAGACGGCGCCACGUAGAAGAAUUACUACCGUGAUACCAUGAAGGAGAGAAAGCAAAGAUGGAGGUUAAAUGAAGAAAACAUCGACAAGAAGGUUGCGAUUGCGGUUGAUAAAAAAUCAGCUGAGACAGUCAAAGCAGUGGUAGCUGCCGCAUAAGAGGAGAUUAUAGCUUCGUAUAGUUUCUUGGUUCCGGUUGUCGUCAGUUGGACCAAGGAAAAACCAAAUAAGGAUGCAGCGGACUUUCCCCUUUCCAACUUCUUGGGGAGCAGAUCGACUAGGGUUGCACCAGCACCUGCUCCUGCACCGGAUCCCGCACCUGCUCCUGCAUCGGCUCCCACACCUGCUCCUGCACCGGCUCCUGCGCCAACACAUGCUCCUGCACCGGCUCCCGCACCAGCUCAUAACAACCCGUCCUCCAUCUCGGACGUGAUCGGCGAUGCUUCGUCUUUGGCUUAGCUCGACACCCUCACGUUACCUGUCACACUGACCCUCUUCAAUAUAUGUACAAUCUCUCAUUUCCAUUGCCUUUCGGAUGUCUCACAUCGCAGACAUGUCUUUGCAGGCCGACGUAACCCCGUGCACCAUACUGUACACCAUCAGCGGCCAAAAGAUGGGUGUAGGGAAGGCGGCGAUAAUGAAGCCGAAGGAACAAUUGUUCCAUGGACGGCCGACCCCCCUGAUGUCUUCAAGGUUUCCAUGGCCAGUGUCGAACCGAGCCACGAGAAUUUGGCUCCUCGUAGCACUAGGGAGAGAUCACGACGAGAUCCUGCAGCGGCUUGGCGCUUGCAAGCGUUGGGUCCUGUUGUGUCCGAAGAGUCUGCUUCGUCUGGAGGCGGCCGGGAGCACACCCACGACCAAGCAGCCUCAGCAAGGUAUGAACACCAACACCCCACCUACCCAAUUAGCGUCGCUAUCAUGUCGGGUGAGGAAGAGACUCCAUUAGUGGUUGAUGACAUCGCCACCGUCGAAGAAGUAAUGCAUGAUGCCAUCGACGAGGAUGACGAUGACCCUCUACAGUAUGUGGAUACUGGUGCCUCUGACGACAGAGGAUUGAUGGCUCAACCGUAUGAGUACUCAGGGUUUGAGCGUGAUGAAUUGGUGCCUGAAUUUCCAGAGGAUGAACGUAUUAUAGGCUCACCUCCAGUAGCAAAGAAGCAUAGGAAGAGAUCGAGGAAAUGCAACAAAGUUGCUUCUACGAUCCAGCCGCCUUAGCAACCUCGAUUUCAAAACCAUAUACCUAUCCCCGGUGCGGCAAAAUUUCAUACCCCCGGUGUUCCGAUCCUACCUAAGGCAGCGGUAGAGGCCAUAUAUGAUGAUCUAAGGAGACUUCAUGACGUUGUGCUGCGGAGAGAGAAAAGCCUGAUUGCCUCGAAAAAUCCAGGAUACCCGCUCUACGUGGUUAACGUGCCACAACAAAGGUUGUACGUCGACACAUUCCCCACAGAAAAGACCUUCCUUCGAUUCGAUUAGAUCUUCGACAUGUUUCACUUGAAAAGGAUGGAUUUUAUGUUUGUCCGCCUUUUUUCCUUGCACAUGAACCAUGUCAUCGGGAUUGAGAGAUACCUUAUAUCUGUGUCGCUAACCCGUACUUCAUGCAUGAGACCUUCUUGGUAGUCUGCCCAAAGCAACGUGAAUACGCGAGUAACUACAUCGCCGAUUUCAUGGUCGCCAAUAAGGACAAGGAGACGAUUCUCGUGCCUUAUCAUCCCAUGUAAGUCAUCCACAGAUAUCUUACCUUCGAUUUCAAUCAUUCAUUUUGCGCGCGUGGAGGCUAAUUUGAGGUGUACUUAUUUUUGCGUAGCGACGGGCGCACCGUCCUCAUCAUCCUUUACCCCCGAUUUUCCCAUGCUCUUUACUUGGACUCGUCGAAGAACAUGAAUAAAAAGGAUUACACCCACAUCAAGUCUGUUCUUGACAGUGCUAUCUUUUUCUACGGCCUACGGGGUGGAGAGAUCACGACCAAGAGGACAAGUAACCGCACCCCUGCCUUCGCCCAUAAGGCCGACUUCUGCUACAUCCAGCAACCGAGUGGUACUCUUAGUGAUGGAUUCUAUGUCCACCACCACAUGCUGCAGUACAGAUGGCAUCAGCAGAACCUUCGCAUGUCACCUACAUCCAGCGAUGUUCAUAUUCUGCAAUGGGCAAAGAACCUGGGUGAUAUCCCGGAUCACCGACUUCGAGCUGAGUUCUAUCACAUCCAGCGUGAACUUGCCCAAAUCAUCAAGAAGGAGGUCGUCGAAAAAAGGGAUGUUCUACAAAGAAGGGCAAAUGUCGCGGGAAGACGUCCGAACACGCAUAUCGGCUGAGCGUCUCGACCUCAAGCCUUUCACUACGCUCGGGGACUAUCUCCCUGACUUGGAUGGAUGGCACGAUGAUACGUCUCCAACGUAUCUAUAAUUUUUUAUUGUUCCAUGCUAUUAUAUUAUCUGUUUUGGAUGUUUUAUAGGCAUUAAUAUGUUGUUUUAUAUUAUUUUUGGGACUAACCUAUUAAUCUAGAGCCUAGUGCCAGUUUCUGUUUUUUCCAUGUUUUUGAAUAUUGCAUCGAGUACAUGUACCAGACAUGCAUUUUGAAGUUUUCUUUUCUAGUGGCGUCGUAUGUCUUUAACCCAUUAUCCCAAGCUUCUUUCAAUUCAUCCUUAAGCGGCUGCAUGUACAUGUUCAUAUUCUUCCCCGGAUAGUUGGGUCCUGGAAUUAUCAAUGUCAGGAAUAAGUUAUUUCUUUGCAGAAUGUAUCCGGGGGAGAUUGAGUAGAAUGACAAAUAUAGGCCAACUACUCUAUUGGGUUGCUGUCAUACCGAAGGGAUUGAACCCAUCUGUGCCGACGCAUACUCUGCUUUAUCCGGAUGUAAUGCAUCGAAGUGCUUCCACGCUUCCGCAUCUGACGUGUGUACCAACAUCUUAUUCCCAACUGCAUCUAGUUCGGUUCUUUUGCCCAAUUUGUGCCAUGUCAUCUGUCUGGCCGUCUCUUCGACCAUGAAAGGUCGUUGAAGCCUUGGUAUGAUUGGCAUAUACCGAAGAACAUUAACUGGGACUUUGGUCUGCCUCUUCUCACCCAUAUCGUUGUCUACCACAACAUACCUGGAAGACUUGCAAAUGUAACAAUAGUUCAAGUUUGCAUACUCAAGCCUAAAUAAGGCACAUGCUUUCUCACAGGCAUGUAUCUUCUCAUAGGGCAUCUUAAGUACACAGAGUAUUUUGUCCGACUGGUACAGAUUUGCGGGCAUGACAUGGCCUUUGGGUAGAAAGUGUCCAAAUAGUGUCAUCAUCGCAUCAUAGCAUUAUAUUCCCAAGUUGAAUUGAGCCUUCAAAACCAUUACUUGUGCAAUAGCAUCCAACUAACAAAGCUCAGUGUGCUCGUGGAGAGGACGUUUUGAAGAGUCCAACAUUUCAUAGAAGGCCUUUGCAGAUUCCUCCAUCUCAUGGUCCGAAUCUAGAGCAUCAUCAAAGUCUUGCAUCAUGUCUUCGAUCCCAGUACCAUGCUCGUCGGUGCGACGACGAACCACCUCAGCUCUGGUGCGUUGGGCGGACUCACCAUGAAAUGUCCACACCGUAUAAUCAGACGUAAAACCCCUAUUCUGCAGGUGUUUACCCAUUUCAUCUUGUGUCCUCUUUUUAAAGUUGUUGUACCCAGAAUAGGGGCACUAGGUUGUUCUUUGGCCAUUUGCAAAUGUGGCUUUCACAAACUCUUUGAUUUUUGUAAAGCAUUCUUUGGUCAUCACUAUUUGACUAGUAUGAGCGGUGUACAUCCAUGCACGAUCGUUCAUCUUGCCUAGCUACUAAACACACAAGAAAUAUAUAUAUAUAUAUAAUUCAACAUAUAUAUUAAUCACUUAAUCAAGUUUUUCAAUUUUAUUAUGUCCAUGAAACCUGCAAGCUAAUAGGUAAAGAUAGGUCAUAAUCCCACCUGAUUAUGUGUAGAUUGGGUUCAUUUUCCUAUGCUCUGCUCCAGAUCCGACGCAAAAUUUCGGCAGCAUCUCCCCUCUGUUCUCCUAAUACACGUAUCAGCAAUAAACAGAGAGGAUGUGCACCUGGAGAACAACAGGGAGGCACUGAUGAAAUUAUGCAUCGGAUCCAGAGCAGAGCAUAUGGGAAAACAAGCCCAAUCUACACAUACUCGGGUUGUCCAUCGAUAACAUUGGACAAUUCGAAAGAAUCAUAGUUAUAAAUAUAUACAAAUUCAUGCAUAUUUAUAACUGUAACCCUUUCGAACGGGAGACGCAACGCACGUCCUAGUUCACCUAGUCGAAGAGAUUACCAUUCUGGGUCCUAUAUUUCUACACAAUAUGUUCCCCUUUGAGAGGUUCAUGGGAGUCUUAAAUAAAUAUGUCCAUAAUCGUGCUAGGCCAGAAGGAAGCAUCUCCAAGGGCUAUGAAAUAGAGGAGGUUAUUGAGUUUUGUGUUGAAUUUAUUCCUGACCUUAAGUCGAUUGGUGUUCCUCAGUCGCGACAUGAGGGGAGAUUGAGUGGAAAAGGUACUCUAGGAAAGAAAGCAGUAAUAAGUAUGGAUGGGCAUUCUUUCACUCAAGCAAACUACACAGUUCUACAAAAUUCCACCUUGGUGGCUCGUGUAUCAAGGAACACAUGGAUAUUGUACGCUCCAAGAACCUGGAGCAGUCUGACUCCUGGAUUAAACAUACACACAUGGCGACUUUCGACGGUUGGUUGCAAACACAUCUCAUGAAUAACACCACUAUUGGAGAUGAGUUGUACUUGUUGGCCAAGUCACCACUUCGACUAUAUUUACUUUCAAAGGGUACGAGAUUAAUGGGAAUACAUUUUACACGAUCGCCCAAGAUAAAAAGAGCACCAAUCAAAAUUGUGGUGUUCGCUUUGAUGCAACAUACACCAAUGGGAAAAAGGACACAUAUUAUGGUUACAUAGAGGAGAUAUGGGAACUUGACUAUGGAUGUUAUUUUAAGGUCUCUUUGUUUCGGUGCAAACGGGUCAAUCUGACACAAGGCGGGGUAAAGGUAGACCCGCAGUACGGAAUGACAACAGUGGAUCUCAACAAUCUUGGGUACACAGAUGAACCAUUCGUACUAGCCAAUAAUGUGGCUUAGUUUUAUAUGUGAAGGACAUGUCUACCAAACCGAGGAAAACAAAAGAUAAGGAAGCGAAUACAUCAUACAAUGAGCCAAAGUGUCACAUAGUUAUUUUAGGGAAAAGAACCAUCGUCGGAUUAGAGGCCGAGAUAUACAUGUCAGAAUAUUAUAAUAAGUUUGAUGAAAUUCCUCCCUUCAAAGUGAACACUGACCCGAGCAUCCUGUUAAAUGAUGAAUAUUCUUCAUGGUUAUGGCGCAAUCAUAAGCAAGGGACAUACGCGAAGACAAAAUCUUCUACCCCAAGAUCCCACUCUGGCUUCACCGUCAUCACUUUCUCUCUAAUGAGUUUCCGGACUUAUAGCUGGAAACUCCCACUUCGAACAAACCGGAGGGAAUCUUUGUAACAGUUAGGGUAUACAUGUGUUUUGGGUGUUCCUAGGGGUUACCCUAACACAAGCAAGCAAAAAAGUUUCGCUUUGCUACCCCCUUCCGACGUCGGAAUCUUUGAAAGAGCUAGGGCAUUUUGACAUUUGAAACAUGAUUUUUGAAUAAUUAUUUAUGAAGUUAUCAAUUUUCAAAAAUAGAAAUUAUUCCUAUCCUUUUAGUAUUUUAAUUAUACAAAGGAGUUAAUCAAUGCAAUUAUGUCCAAACAAAAUAUGAAUGUGUAGUUUAUGUUAAGACAAACAAUUUGACACCUUAUUUGCUUCAUUUGGCUUAACAGAACUGAAGAUAUGAAUUUUUAAAGUUUAAAACAAUGUCUUCAAUUACAAUAUUUAAUUAACAAGUACAAAAUUAAUUAUGAAACUUCAUGUCAAAAUGAUACUAGUUGAUAGAAAUCUUCAAGAUGAAUCCAAAGAAAUUUGAAUCAACUCAUUUGGUUUAGUUUUCAAUGUUAUGCAUUUUAGAAGAAUUAAUUUCAAUCUAUAAAACUGAAUCUGUCAAAUAAUGUUUUCAAAAUGAAAAUUAGAACUCCUCGUGUUGACUAACAAAAACAUAAUAUAAUUUGGCAAAAGAAUAACAAGAAAACAGAAACUAAAAUAAUUUAAACAAAGGAAAAAAGGUAUAAAACUAAAAGAGCUAAACAUAAUCUGUUUUUGGUUAAAACACCUAUUGAAAAUAUCAUAAAAAUUCACAAGUUGAACAUACUGAUAAAACACACUAAUAUUAAACAGCAGGAAAGAGAAUCACUCAAAAAUCUAUAUUCGAACUAAAGUUAUUCACACAAAUUUCAAAGAAUUUAAAUUUAAGCUAUUCAAAUUUGAAAACUACUCGCACUAAUAGAAAGUUUAUAAUUUUUGUUACCUAAAGCAAAAAAAUCACUCAAAACCUCUAAAUAUUCUAAGAGUUUUACCUAAAAUUUUCUACAUAAAAAAGAAUCACUUUAAAAUCUAUUAUCAAACUCUAAAUACGAAGAAAACCUUUAGUCCCGGUUGCAACCACUAGCCGGGACUAAAGGUUCCUUAUUCCGCGUGAAAUUUGGGCCACCGAAUAGGUAGUCCUUUAGUCCCGGUUUUUGGCUGGAGCCGGGAUUAAAGGACCUUUAGUCAUGGUUCGUGGCUAGAACCGGGACUAAAGGUCUUGUGUAUAUAUCUGUCCCGGUGCGAGCCACCGCCUAGGAGAAGGAUCAGAUCAAACCACCGCCCUCGAGCACCAUCGUCUUCACCAUCAAUCAUCAGAACUCCUCGUCGAUGAUUCGCCAUGUUUAGGAUCUCCCCGAGGAAGCCUGACCCUUCACUAACCCCCUCCCCCCCCGGUGAGCUCCUUUUCUCUUCCCCUCGUCUUCAACGCUCGAUUUGGUAUGUAGGUGCCCUCUCCGCCAUGGACGAACCUCGGUGUCAUCGUGCCUCGUCACUGCCAUUGCCAGGGCCAGCGAAGCUCUUUUUCGAGCGUAUGAGCAUGCUUAAUUUGCGCCUAGGAGCCGAGCGCCCCUAGUAGCUUGUCGCGCUGCGCCUUGAAGUGUCGGUCGCUUCGAUCUCGUGGCCGCGCCACCGCCACUGUAGUCGCCGUCGGCGACUCCGGUCGUUCCCAGAGCCCCUCCUUGGCCCACUCGAUACGCGAGACCAAAGGCUACACCCUGGUUCUGUCCUUCAGCGUCCCCACGGCCUCUGGAGCGGACUUCGUCGCGUCGAGUAGUCGCCGGCGACGACCUCGCCAACCUAUGUCACUGGCUGAUGGGCCCCGUCGUGAGAUUUCACUUGGAGCACCCAGUUGACCAGGUGAUGUCAUGCACAUACCAUGAUGAUGCGGUAAAUGUUUUCUGGAAUCAAAAUAAAUCAGAAAUGAUUUAUUAUAUUUUAGAAAAUGUUUAAAACUUCAAAAAAUCAUAGAAAAUAGUCUAUAACUCGUAUAAAAAUAAUCUAUAUGUGAAAAAUGAUCAAAAAUCAAAGAAUCUGUUUAUGCAAUUAUCAUGCAUGCUUGAACAAGUUAACAACACCAACUAGGACAUUUUAUGAUUAGGGAAAUUUAUGAAAGAACAUUUGAAGUUGGAAUUUGAACUAGGUUUGAAUUCCACUUCAAUUAACUUGGACUAUUGUUGCAUUAGGCCAAUUCGGUACCUUAACGUGACACACCAUUCAUUAUGGUUGUGCAUUGCAUUGAAUGUGUUCAUUUCCUUGUUUGCCUAUGUUGUUUUCUCUCGGUAGACAUUAUUUCGACGUUGAGAACGAUGUCACUAAUGAAGUGCAGUUCAUCUUAAUUAUAUGUGGGUUUAUUGAAUGGUAGUUUUUGCUUAUUGAAUACAUUCUAAUUUAAAUACUAAAUUGUUUUAUCUUUCUUCUGUAUUAGUUAAUCUAUGGAUGAUAGCGGCACAUACCAUGAAGAUGACAUCUUCGCCAUCAUACGCUCCUCCCGAAAUGAGAAUGAACAAGAUGACGGCUCACAAUAUCUGAACGAGUCUGGUGAGGGACUUGAGCAAGAACCAAGAUACAAAGGGCAAACAAACGAUGACGGCAAAGAAAAUGUUAGAAAAUUAACAAAGUCCGACGAGGUAUAUACAUAUUAAGCCUCUAGUGAUCACUAGAUGUAUUAACUGAUUUGUGUAUAUAUUAACAAAUCUUCCUUCUUUUAGGCCUCCGGAUCGAGCCAAUCUCCUAGAAGGGUACGAGGCCAGGCCAAAAGUUGGGCGAUGACAUAAAUUUCAACAUUGAUGAAGUCGUAGAAGAUGGAAAACCGAUUGCUCGUGAACAGAAUGCCCAUAAAUUUAUAAAUCUAUGUGAAGUUAUUGUUAGGGACCAAAUCCCGGUCACGAUUCGAGAAUGGAAUAAGCCAAAGGUAGAUCCAGGAGUUAGUUGUGUCGACGAAAGAUCGAAAAAAUCACUUUGGGAUAUGCUCAUGUCACAUUUCAACCUACCAAGGGGUCUCACAAAUAGAAAACGGUUGAAAGUCAAGCAAUUUUCUCUUAAGAAGAUGGCCACACAAUUCCAGAGCUGGAAGAAAAGAUUAUACAUCGACUACAUCAAGGCAAAAAAGAAGACUCCGGAAUUCACUCGAGCACUAGAGAAGACAAAAGAUCAUUGGGACGCAUUUGUGGAGUACAAGGAGCCGGUUGAAGCUCUGGAAAGGUCGAGAAAAAUAAGAUAAAUGCUGAAAAAAAGCAGUAUCACCAUGUUAUGGGGACAGUUGGCUACAAGAGAAGCGUGCCUAAGUGGGAAGCAGGUGAGGCCAAAAUGGUUGCAGAAGGGGUCAUUCCAGCUAUAAUGGAUUGGCCUGAGAGGUCCAAGACUGGGUUUUUAUGUGUAUGGGGGAAAGUUAGACCCAGCGACGGGGAAAAUUAUUCUAAAGGCAGAUCUUAAAAUAGCCUUGGAUGCUUUACUUCAAGCAAUAGAAGAUGCUUGAAAGGGGUUGUUCCAGCCCGAGAGAGAGAACGACGAGCUUACACACACCCUCAAGAAUCUUGAACACGGAGGACGAACACGAGGCAAAGGCGUUGUUCCGUGGGUUCACGAGUUUUUGGAGUGGAACUACACUUAUAGAAGCCGUCGGAGAAAAAAGAAGCACGAUGCAAACCAGAUUUAAAGGAUAGAAACAAAGAAUGAGGAGUUGCACCGCAUGUUAAAGCGACAGCAGGAGCAACUGGACACAAUUAGCCAGCAAAGGGCAUCUCCGUGGCAGGAGCAAGAAGAUCCAUCAUUGGAUAGUAACGUCACAUCUAUGCGGAAAAGCAGCAUGGGUUCCACUGGGGUCCGGACCGAUGAUGCACUGUUGGCUCGCUACCCCGUGGAUGAUAUCAAAGAAAGGACAGAUUGUGAGCUACACCAGAAAAUGAAGAACAUAUCCAUGAAGGUGGCGGUCAGCGUUGCUUUACCUAAUGCACCUGAAGCAACCAAUCCAUGGUAAUCCGAUUCCACCUAACUAUGCUAAAGUGGGGUACAUGAAGUUCUGUCUGGAUGUGAGUCACUAUAGCUUGACAUUCCUGGAGGUGAAGGGGAGCAGACACUAGGAAAAGUCUAACAUGUGUCAUUUUAUGGAGAAAAGAAUGCAUCGUGUUUCCAAACUCGGCGCCAAGGUCACCGACUCCUUGGAGUAGCAAUACACCUCUAAGUCCACCCCACGUCAAGGAGCCCAGCGCGAGUCCUAUCGAUCUCCGCCGCGUUAGCCGACUCCACACCCCCUAUGUCCUAGCAGGGCCAAAAGCGGAAGACCACCGCUCCGUCAACUAGUCCUAUUCGCAAGAAAGCUACAAGAAAGAAAGCCAAAGGCGAGCCUCCUGCCGAAAAUAAGUUAGCUUACGAUAUGACUAGUGAGGAAAUCAAAAUGGUCAUGGAUUCUGAAGUGAAGUCUCAUUUUGCACUAAAACCGCCUCCGCCGCCAAAGGAGAUAAUACCUAACAGAGCACUUUGUGAAAUUUCUUGGACGGCCCCCGACACAUGUGGAGGAUAGGCCAUCAGACUAUGACCAAUGUAUCAGGAAGUCAUAUAAUGAACAAACGCAGCAGUCAAAACAUAGUAAUAAAAGAGGGCAAGCAGUUCCCCAGCUCGAAGAACAGGCAAUGCAAUGCCCCCCCCCCCCNNNNNNNNNNNNNNNNNNNNNNNNNNNNNNNNNNNNNNNNNNNNNNNNNNNNNNNNNNNNNNNNNNNNNNNNNNNNNNNNNNNNNNNNNNNNNNNNNNNNNNNNNNNNNNNNNNNNNNNNNNNNNNNNNNNNNNNNNNNNNNNNNNNNNNNNNNNNNNNNNNNNNNNNNNNNNNNNNNNNNNNNNNNNNNNNNNNNNNNNNNNNNNNNNNNNNNNNNNNNNNNNNNNNNNNNNNNNNNNNNNNNNNNNNNNNNNNNCCCCCCCCCCCCUCAAGGUGAUUACCAAUAAGGUAACCGACGCUGCUAGAAAUAUUGGUAUCAGUGUUGACCAACUCCUAGGCAACGAGGAAGUCCCCGUGACUGAAGUAGCAUGGCAAUAUGCCCCGUGAAAGCUCUGGUCAGACCUGAGCAGGUCCCAAAUCUAUCAACACGAAUGCAAAGAUUGCAUGAGUGAUACAUGAAAGAAGUUGCCAACGGACGAGUGAUGCUCAUGGUGAAAGUCAAGAAAGGGCUUACUACUAUGAAAAUGAGCUAUGCAUAAUGUUUGACGAAUCGUUUCAGUUAUACAAUCAAGACUCACUCGAGAAAUAUAUAGUCAGUUGCUAUUUUGCCUAAGUGAUUUCUUUGUGUAAUUUAAGUCUCUAGCUCAGCUCGUUCAUUACGUGUAAUUAUCUUCACUAUAUUCUUUUGUAUACUAUUACGCAGAAUGAAGAUUCUCAAUGCAAAAGAGAUAGAAUCUAUGACAUUGGGUUAGUUUAACCAUAUAUUAUUAAUGAAAAAUUGAUAGAAGACCAUCCAAAGACUAAGAGAAGAACUUGCUAAGAAUUUUAAAGGCACAGAAUACCAAAAUAGAAAUAUUAUUUUUUUACAACUUCAAAAGAGUGUUACUAUCUUAUACUACAAGUUCUAUUUUGCUUACUCGAUGUUAAGUGUAAUUGAUAAGUUAUGCAUGUCUGCUUAUAUAAAUGUGUGCAUGUAUUGCUGGAUCCUGCUAAUCGUUAAAGUUAACGCUGAAACUGUUGAUGCCUUGGAUUCAUAGGUAAAAACCCUCAAGAAUACACCAACGUGGUUAAAAUGCUCGACGCGUAAUAUGAAUCAUUAUCACAAUAUAUCGACCUUUUUCAUUCAUUUCCUGAUAUCAAAAAAUUAAUACCUAUUUUAUUCAUUUUCUCUGCCGGGCAGAGUUUGAAAACGGUUCAUCAAAGAUGUUGUCGGUGAAUAGAAACCGAAACUACGUUGACGACUGGUCAAGGUAAUUAAGUAGUACUAGCUAGGUCCGCGCAUUUCUUUAAUUCUAGUUUCAAUAUCAUUAUCAUGCUUUAUUAUCUAAUUGAAUUCUAUUUUCAUAAAGUACAUGAGGCAGAAACAGAGACUAAUUUAUAUGCAUACUACGUUUAUGAAAACGUUUGCAUGUCGAUCAAAUGGCACAAAGAUGUACCACAACUUAUACGUAAACAUUGUUCAUAAUAUUUUUUUAUGAUGAUGUAACAUAUAUACACACACAACUAAUAUAUCCAUAUUGGUAUUUUUCUUUAAAGAUUAAAGACAUGCGGGAGAACCUCCUACCAAAGAUCCGUCUACGAGCAGGAAUUGCAGUAUUUUUGUUUACGAAGGUCAUAUCUGAAAACGAAGAAUACCAUUAUGAUCUUUAAAUUGUAGGAAAGAUUGUAUCAACAGCCUGACUAAACUUGCCCAGAUUUUUCAUAGCAUCCAAAGACGAUCCAGUAUUCAACUAGGACUGUUCUAAUGCAAACGAUACAGAGGAGCUAACAGCAGUUCCCUCCACAUUUUCUCAUCCGGGCUUGGGACCGGCAAAGGCAGUGUUAAACUACAAAACUACUAAACACAUAAAUAAGCAAACACAACAACCAAUUAUUCAGCUAAGCGUACAAGCCACACACAAUCAACCAGAGGCAGCAUUCACAACGCACGAUACGCUAUUGGCAAUAAAUAUUCACGCAACGUUUUCACAAGAUCACAAGACAGUAAUGGGUCACACAAAAAAAAGCUAUAAAUUCCAGAACAAGAAUGGGAAUUCUUAUGGGGUGAGGGUGAUUCAGAACUUCAAUCUUGAAAAUAAGAAUAUAUACCAGCAUAUAGAGGGUGAUCAUCUUCGUCUCUAGACACAGAGAAAGCUUUCCUAGUUUUGGCCCAUUAUAUAGAUAUAUAUGAACAAAUAUCUCCUUGUCUUUAAAAUCCAAUAUGUAUUAUAUGUAUUAUGCAACAGAAUGGUGACAUGUGUAUUUUUGCUAGUUGCCAACAAAUUAAAACUGGAAGUUACCAGAAAACUCAGAAUGUGUAUUGAAGAUUCAAUCCAGAUCAAAUUAGCAGUUCGCGAAAAAUAAAUUAACCAUUAGAGGACCAUAAGAUGUGUGAACGCUAUGUAAUUAUAAAUUUAACAGUAGAUAAUGAAAGAUUCCAUAAUCCAGAUCAAGUUAGCAAUUAGCAGUAAAGAGAUCAAAAUAGCCAUAGAAGACCAUAAGAUAGUUGAAGAUUCACAAUCGAGAACAAAUUAGCAGUUCGCCAAAAAAUAAAUUAGCCAUUAGAGGACAUAAGAUGUGUGAACGCAGUGUGGUAGUUAUAUAAAUUUAACAAUAGAGGAUUCCAUAAUCCAGAUCAAAUUAGCAGUUUGCCGUAAAGAGAUCAAAUUAGCCAUUAGAGGACCGUAAGAUAUGUGAGUACUUUCUGUCUAAGUCCAGGAUGAGCAAGUAUGAAACAAACUGCCAUAUGUUGAAAGUAAUCAGCAGGAAUCAUCAAAUUAGCCUGACUGUUCUGCUAGUUAUCAACUUAAAACUAGGAAGUUCCCAGCAAACCAAUAAGAUGCACUGAAGAAUCCAGAUCCCACUCGAGAAGCGCCAACGACAAGAACAUCACUUCUGAAAAUCAUAUCCAUACCAACAAACCAGAAUCAUAUUUAGUGGAGUUGACACUAAUCAAAGACAUGAGUAGAGUGUUAAGGGCAAAAUAUUCGUUCAAGCUUCCAGUUCAGAACCUUCAACUCUCCAUUGUUUUAGUAUAUAGCAAUCACUCCUAACCUCUUUUUGCUCAAAGUGGUCAACAUUACCCAAAUACAGGAGGCCACUGAUGUUAACAGUUAAACCAACACAAGUGGAUGGGUGGGAUCUUUCUUUAUCAUUAAAGUUAAAAAUAUGUGCACACCAAAAUUUGAUUUUGUGUCAGAAGUGCGAUCAUGGACAACAGUAUGAAGAACAGUAAACCCACAAAUCCAAGUAUGACCAAUUCAUAUAUAAAUGUAUGAACAUUUUUACUGCAUUCAGAGCUCAUGUACAUGCGAUCUUUACUUCCUAUCAUAGGUGAUAAAUUUGCAAGUUCAAAGAUACAAGCAGCCAAAUGUCAAAGCCUAACUUCCUGAAACAGUAUGGUAACCAAGUAAUUUAUAGCCAAAUCAAAAUUUGAUAAUCUGCUAUACAAACUGAGUAUGAACUGAUAUUUCCAUUCCGGACCCUUGUUUGAGACUUCUAGCAUUUUCUUGAUUCGGACCAAAAGAUGACAUCAUAUUCCAUCAAAACCACAUGCAAGUUGAAGCAGAUACCAUAAUCAGCAAGAUGUCACACAACAGAAACCAAGUAAGAUGCUUCAUGACAGUUGAAAGAAUCAGAUGUGCACACUACCAACUCCAAGCUGCGCCAAAGAGAUGAGGCCACCGAGUGCAAGUUCAAAUUGAAAACUACCACAAAGACCAAAUAACGUAAUAUGCUUCAGUAUCACUAAUCAGAAGUCCAAACCAAUUUGAUAGCUUCAGCAAGUCCCCGCACUAGCCGAAUUUCCAACUCUACAAUCUUGCAAUAAAACUUCCACCACUGCAAAUCAAUGAACAGCUCAAAAUAUAGUCGUCAUACUUAAUAUUUCUUCAACGAAAGUCCAUAAUGAAAUCUUGGCAAUGAGUGGAAAUAAGUAUGGAAUCUAAGUGUAAGAUUAUGUGGUUGUAGAGGACUCCUUCAUCCAGAACGAAGCUUCCAAACUAGCCUUUAGAACUCUCCACUUCUGCGGAUCAGUUAGAAUACUCAGGUAAUUGGUUCUCUAACGGAAUAGAAAAUGUGAAAUAAGGUCUCUAAACAGAUUUUUCACGCAGCAUGACCUCAAAUAAAAUUGUCAAGUAGACCUGCAAUGAAUAAAAGACCUAGCCAGUUUGGAGAAAGCUGCUCGACAUCUUAGACAUUUAGUUAAGUUAUGCACAUUGGUUUGAAUUAUUGUCGCUGUAUAGUACUAACAAGAGAAGAACAAUGUUUGGAAUGUAUAAAAGUUACCAAAGAGAAGUUUGACAAGAUCGACUCAAGAAGAAUCUCCUAAAGCUCCUCUGUAUCAUUUUGUCCACGCAAGCCUUACUCUAAAAUGUUGGAGAACAACCAAAUAUCAAAUAUGCUUGGAACAGAAACGGAACUGCUCACAUGGAGAUAUCAAAUAGGAGGAGAAUAUAUCCAGACAGUUCAGUCACGCUUCGAGACACAUUUGAAUCCUCAACCGUGCAGGCCUGACCAACAACUCCGAUCCUGAACUUAAGAUAUCAUCUGAUGAGCUAAAGGGAACAGCCAAUACAAUCUCCGCUGGUUUGUCUCUAAAGGCGCAUAUACCAUGAAUGAGAUAAAAUUCACCUUGUACUACGUGACAAACAGAAUCAUUGAUUAGCCAUUGAAGAAGAGAGAACGGGGCUUAUUUUGCAAUGAAGGCAGACCAGACACUGACCUGACUCUAAAUACAGGGAACAUCCACUAAUUCCAACAUAUACUGCAAACAACAAACCUAGCAGGCCAACAAAACGGAAACACAUGGAUUGGGGAUAUAACAAAGUAAACCAGAGAGAUCACAAACCAAAAAGAUGACAGAUUUUGACUGGUUACCAGCAUGGCUUGCGCUAAACAAUCUGCAACUACAGGAAGGCGGAAGCAAAAAAUCACCAUCAAUGCUACAUGCGAAAAGGAACUUAGACAACAGAAGUUUCUUCAGGAGAUAAAAAUAGAGAGCACUGAGUUUUUUCGGUUGUAGGAUGUCCCAUCUACAUUGAAGCUCCAGAGCAACCUUCGAAUCUUGUACAUCCACCAAAUCAAUCUGAAUAUUCAAAUUUUGUCUUCAUAAGAUAGUUUAUAGGAGUAUGUUGGAACAAAUUACGAUGAAUUGGAAAGGUGUAGUGUUUAGAAGAUUUUCGAACAGAUAGCUCAGCAACAGGUUGGGCCUAAAUCAUCAAUUAGGAUCUGCAAUGACAGGAGACCUUCCUGUGAAUUUUUGCUUUGGGGAAACGAAGCUUCUUAAACAGCUAAAUAAUGCAUCAAACAGUGAGGGGAUAGGAUAAGCCUGCUUGGCCGGGAGAGAUCAGUUAGGCAACAACACCAGUUCCAGAUAGCAAACUAUAUUAUCUCUCGUCACAAUAUCUGCAAGGACACAUGGUUACCAAGGGAAGAGAAAACCAUGUCUUAGAAAUAUAACGUUCAAAGCGAAUCAGGAAAGAUGAAGUCAAUCUAAGAAACCGCCUGUAACAUGAUGUACCAAGAGGCACCUUCCGGGAAGUCCCAAAAGUCAAAUAGCUGGAGAACCAACAGUUGAUAUCAGAGAUGUUGUAAGCUAAAUUCGACCGUGCAAACAAAGAAACUAAAUUGAGGAGGGUCAAUAAUCCAAACACAGUUUGCAAAUUCUCUGAUCCCCAUUCCAUGGUUAACGAUCCAAUCCAACUUCAAUCCGAAACGAAAACUUCAGCACACAAGAUCCUGGCUUCUCAUAAGGCAUUGAGCCAUAACCAAUCAAAAUAACCACAAACAGUAAAGCAAACCUCCACCCUUCGAUUCAUCACUCCACAACCAUCGCCCUCCUACAUCUGAAGGAGAACAAACACAUACCACAAGCGAGAUCAGCUGUUACAGCGAGAACCAACAAGAAUCCACCUCGUAUUAAGGGAUAGCAGUACUCAUGUUGAGCCAUCAGACAAAGAUAAAUCGAAGAACUUAAAGGUAUAGCCACUCAAAUCUGAUGUCACCGAGACCAGUGUGACCAAACAUGGGAAACUGACCUGCCUCAAGUCCCCUUCACAAUACUGUUCAUGUACCAUAGGGAGGUUCAUUUCCAGACCUGAUCCAGUCCUGCAAGCUAACUCACGGAGGUGGCCGAGAACAAAUGAAACAAACAGGACCGUCUACGAGACACUUACCUGACUCCAUGUACAGAGGUUGGGGCACCAAAUCCAAACUAUUAUAUCCUGCAACCCACACUCGGAGAAGACCAAAAGAACACGGGGAUCAAGAGUGCCGAAAACACCGAAUCAAAACAUUAAACAGAUUCUGCGUCAUUAGCCACAUGGCCUGGGCUAAAGAAAAAAUCUGCAACCAGAAGGAGGGCAGGAGCAAAAACUUGUAUCGAAGACAUGGCCAAGUAGCUAAAUGAAGUAAAAAAAAGGAGGAGUCUAUUUCAGUUGUAGGAUGUGCCAUUAGUUGAAAGCUUCGGAUUGUCCUUAGAUUCAUGCACCUUCGCAUAUCUGUAUUAUAAAAUAUUGCCUAGUAAGAUAAUUUGUAGGUUAUGUAAGUUAUGAUGAAUUGAAACAAUGCUCAUAGAUUUAGAAGAUCUGCAAACGAAUUCAUCAUCAGGUUGGACUUAAGUUCAUCAACUGCAACCUGCAACAAGCAAGAGGCCUUUCUAUAAAUUUUCAGUUAGGGGAAAAUGUUACUUUUAUAUAAAUAGCUAAAGCAUGGAUCAAACGAUGGGCUGGGAACAAGUAAGCAUGUGGCGGCUAGGAAGUUCAGCUAUGGUUGACGGACGACAACACCAGUUCCAAACUGCAGUUGUAUCAUUUCCAUGUCAGUAUCUACAAGAGCUGAGAAUUGCCGACUAAGGCGGAGAAGACAUAUAGCUGAAUGAAAUAGAAAUAAGAGGACAAGAGGUUUAAGUUUUUUCUGGUUGUAGGAUGUGCCACUAGUUUGAAGCUUCAUUAUUUCACCUUUGCAGCUAAAUCUUAGUUUGAAAUAUUACCUAGUAAGAGAUCUUAUUUUUAUUAUCUAAGUCAAGGAAUUUUAAGAAGAUGUUAGAUAUAGAAGAACUGCAAACUCAAUAUCAGGUUGGUGGUCUUGAGUUCGUAAACAAUGACCUGCAACGAGCAAAAUACAUCUCUAUAAAUGUUUCAGUAAGGGGAAAACUAGUAGGAUUAGAAAACUAAGUACAGACGAAUGAGAAGGUAAAGGAUGAGUAAGUCUGUCUCCACUGUGAAGGUCAGGUAGACAACACGGGUUCCAAUUUUUAUCCCUUGCAAGACACGAUCUGCAAGAGCUAAAAAUGGCUAAGGCAGGGAAAACUAGUGUCUGCUGAGUUCUAAUGAAUAUUGAAUAAGGAAGGUCCAAAAGGUUUAGCCACAGAAAAAGAACCGCCAUGCUGAGCCAAAAUAGGAGCAGCCGCUAGGCCCGUGUAAUUCCAGAUUCUGGAUAACCAGCAAACAAUCCGAAUCAGAAUCCUUGGGAGAAUAAUUGAAACUGUGGAGAAGAACGAAUUGAACAGAAUUUUGAUCAUCCAAACACAGGUCGGUCAGCAAGAAGAUAGUACGUCGUUCUCACUAAGCCAAGUAAUCCCAAUUUCUGACAAUCAGCAACAAAUCCAAAUCAAAGUUGUGAGGCUAAAACUGAACGAAUCCAAAGCAAAUGAAGUGAAAUUCAGAGGGAUCAUCUGAACAUGGAUAUCAAGUUCCAGGUUGAUGAGCGAUCCAAAACUUCAGUCCAACACCAAACAUAGACUCUGACCAUAUCAGAAACCAAACCUCCACCCUUUCGGUUCAUCUCUGAGGAACCACUUCCUGCUUCUGCUGAAUCUGAAGGAGCACAAACACAGACCACAAGCGAGAUCAACUGCUACAAUGAGAAUCCACCAAUACCCCAAAUCCACCUCAUAUUAGCUGAUUAUAUGAUGGAACUCAUGAUGAGAUCUAGAAGACCACACUGGCAACAUGCAUUUAAUCCUCAAACCCCUUCGACAUAUCAGAUACUAUCCAGCAACCAACCCAUGGAGGCCAACACAAAAUGAACCAACAGUUACUGACCUGAGUACCUGACACCGUGAAAUGCACACAGCAAAGGUUUGCAUAUGUAGGCCCAGACUUCGUAAAUAUAUCCUGCAGUGCAACCCACACACGUAUAGGAAGACCAACACAGGGAUCAAGAGUACAAAUAUAACCAAUCAAACAACAAAGAGAUGGAUAGCGAACCAGAAGUUUUUUGACUUGCUACAAGCAUUGUCUUAGGCAAAACAGAUCUGCAGCGACAUGGAGGGCAUAAGCAAAAACCUAAAUAAAAAACAUGAAAAUGUAGCUGAAUGAAAUAAAAAUAGGAGGGUAAGAGAUUAAGUUUUCCUCCGGUUGUAAGAUAUGCCACUAGUUUGAAACUUCAUUCUUGCACCUUUUGCAGCUAAAUCUGAAUUAAAAAUAUUGCCUGGUAAGAGACCUUAUUAACAUUAUCUCAGUUAAGGAAUUGAGUAGAUAGUGGUUUUAGAAGAACUGCAAACUUAGCAUCAGGUUGGUGGCCUUGAGUUCGUAAACCUGCAACGAGCAAGGUACCUUUCUAUAAAUGUUUCGGUCAGGGGAAAACUAGGAUUAGAAAACUAGGUACAAACGAGUGAGCAGGUAAUGGAUGAGUAAGCCUGUGUCAACUGGGAAGGUCAGGUAGACAACUACAGGUUCCAAUUAUAUCCCUUGCAAUCUGCAAGAGCUAAGAAUGACCAAGGCAGGGAAAACUAAUGUCUGAUGAGUUCUAAUUAAUGAUAUUGAGUAAUAAGAAAGUUCAAAAAAGUUGAGCCACGAAAUAGGAACCGCCAUGCUGGCAAGGGAUCAUAGGAGUACCCGCUAGGCCCGUGUAAUUCCAGUUUCUGGACAAGCAACAACCAAUCCAAAUCAGACUUGUUGUGAGAAUAAUUGAACAGUGGAGAAGAAGAAAUUAAAACAGAGUUGGGUCAUCCAAACACAGGUCAGCAAGAAGAUAGUAAGCCGCUCCCACUAGGCCAAGUAAUCCCAAUUUCUGGACAGUGAGAAGCAAAUCGAAAUCAGAAUUGCUGGGAGGCUAAAAUUGAACUCAGGAGAGGAAGUAAUUAAAUAGAGGUAGUAAUAUUAUUCAUCCAAACGCAAAUCAGCCAAAGAUAGGUCGCUCCGGUCCGGUCCGCUUAGCCGUGUAAUCCCAAUUUCUGGAGAACCAACAAUCAACGAACCAAAAUCAGAUAUGUUGCGCGCUGUGCAAACCAAAUAGAUGAAUUGGGAGGUUUUGAUUUAUAUUGUUAUCCAAGUGCAGAUCGAAGUUGCAGGUUGAUUGAGAUCCAAUUGAUCGCCCUGAGAAUAUCUGACCAUAACAGAGUAACCGCUGAACCGUAGCCAAUCAACCAAUCAAUCAAUCAAAAUAACCAUGAACAGAAAUCAAACCUCAACUCCGCCCUUCUAAAUAACCUACCAUCACUUCAGAACUACCGCUCGCCAUCUUGCUUGUGUAUCCAAGAUGAGAGCACACAUACCAAAAGCGGGAUCAGCUGGUAAAGUAGUAAGAAUCCACGAGGGCCUCAAAGAAUCGACCUCGUGUUAACUGAUACAUACUCGAUCGGGAACCUAGAACCGGGAGACCGCACGGGCGACGGCCGUUGAAUCCAAAUCUUCUGAAAUCACCGAGGGACGCAGGCAGGCGACGGAACCAAGGAACCGACCCGACCCGACCCGACCGAUGGAGUUCGAGAAACUGACCUAGGGUCGCACGGAAUCAGACGCGGGAAGCGAAAUCGAUGGAAUCCCCCAUCGAUCGAUCGAUCGGAUCGCUACCCCCGGAAGCGGGCCGAAUCCCCUGCGAGCACAGGAAGCAAAGCCGGCGAGGAGCGGAGCAAAAAUCAAAGGCGAUUCGAAACGAAUCGAGAUGAGGGACGAGAAAGAAAGAGGAAGGAAACAGUCGCGGAGACGCGAGGAGGCGACUCGGGCGGAGGCGCGGCCCGAAACGAGAGCUCCGAAGAGAGAGGGAGGAGGCGAGAGCGCGGGGUGGAGAGGGCGCACCUGGGCGCCUUUUAUAGCCGGAGGCGGAGGCGGAGGCGGUGGGCGGCCUGGCGCCAACCGGAUCCUUACCGGACACGGCUUCGUCUUCGCCGCGCUGGCGGUGGUUUUCCGUGGACGGGUGGGCGGCGGAAAUCAAAAGCGAGCGGAAUUGGUGGAUCGGGCUGGAUCUUGACUUGGUUUGGUUCGGUUCGGGUGGACGGGCGGCUGGCAUGUCGGCAACGCGACGCGGGAGAUAGUUGCGCUGCGCGUGGACCUUGGGUUGGGACUUGGGACGUGGGUCGCACCGACGGACCGGGAAGUUUCCAGGCUGCUCGGGGGUCGCGACGGCCCAUGUGCCUGCGGUUGAUUGCUGACCGUGUCUCUCGCGCGCGAGCCACGACUAACUCGUGGAUGAGAACGUGCAAACAAGUGGUGAGGUGGCCCGUGGGGUGGUCGUGAGAACCCCGCAUCCCAUCCCCUCCCGUAAAUAUUUUUGCGGGACGCGGUAAAAAAUUCUCUCAACCGGGUCGGGAGGCCGAUCCGAGCUCAGCCUCUAUCCGCAGCAAGAUUUGGCAGGAGGGACAUUUUCGCGCGGCCUUUCCCGCUUCCCCCACCCGUCACCACCAUUGCCUCGCCACCGCACACUCCGGUGCAUCCUCCGUGGCCGUCCCUCGCCGCCAUGGACGCCUCCUUGCUGCGCCCCGUCACCAUCGAGGUCGCGCACGCUCCUUCCCCAGAUCUCGUCGACGGCCAUGUUGGCCCCGUCGUCGCUCAAGCUAGCGCUGCGCCUUCCCCGGCUCUCGUCGCCGGCCAUGUUGGCCCCGCCUGCGCCGUGUCGGGCGGAAAUCCGACAGCCCCCGCCGCGAAGGCUCACGCUCCGGGCGCUAAGGCUGUUGUGCGAUCUCGGCCGACGGCGGAGAAGGUCACCAAGGUCGCGGGCGUCAAGAGGACGAGGAUUCAGGCUCCUCCUUCAUCCUCUCACUCCAUCCCGGAAAGAGAUGCCCCGACGAUGCCGUUCAACGGUGUCGCUCACCCCGCAAGCCAGGUGUUCGACGAAAUGGUCGGAAGGUAUGCGUCUUCGGUCAUGGUCAUUUCCUUUCGUUUUCGCCAUUUGUUGCGAUAACUCGUGACUUGUCAAUCGUUCAAUAUAGCCAAAGAUCGAAGAACUACAUGAUCUUGGAAGAUCAAGCUUUGAUCCAAACAUGGAGUGCGGUGUCUCUUGAUGUAUGCACGGGUACAUUUCAAACCGCCAAGAGAUAUUGACAAAGGAUCGAAAAACAAUACUUCCGCAUUAUGGCAAAGUAUCCCAAUACGACUCCACGCACAUUUCGAUCGCUUGAAGGGCGUUGGAAGAAUAUCAAGCCUAUGUGCAGCCGUUGGGCAGCUUGCUUAGAGCAAGUAUGCAAUGCACUUUCAAGUGGCACCGUGAAGUCGGACUAUGUGAGUUUGUUUUGCCUUUGUUCAAGUUGUGUGUAACCAUAUUUGCAUCAUGAGAAUUGAUUACAUCACUUUAUUUACAUUGUUUAGGACAAGAUUGUCCAACAUAGAUACAAAGACAUGAAAGCUUCGGAAGGCAAAUUCUUCAAACUAGAGCAUUGUUGGAAGUUGCUCCAAACGUGCGAGAAGUGGAAGUUGAUCGACAAAGAAUCUUUCUUGCUCGCCGAAGAGAACAAGAUCAUGUCAAUGAACCGCGAUGACAUGGACGACCUCACCAAAACAUGGCAUGAUAUGGCAAGGAGAGAGAUCUUGAAGAGGAGGAUGGAAAACUCUGCUCCAUAUGGUGGCAUUGAUAUGACAAGGAGAUAGAUCUUGAACAUGGCAUGAUAUGGCAAGGAGAUAGAUCUUAAACAUGGCAUGAUAUGGCAGGGAGUGAAGAUCGACCAAGAUGAUGCAAGACCCUUUUUUGCGUUUGUCGUACUGAACUUGGCUUUUAUUUCCGCGUAAAACUAUGUUAUGUUUGUUUGAAUUUGAACUUAUUUGUGAGAACUUAUGUCAAAUGCGAGAACUUAUUUUCUGUUUUCGGGGCGACCGGCCGUGUCCGAACAAACCCCGCAAAAGCCGACCCGUAUAAAAGCAUAUUCGACGAAUAUACUUUUAUACGGGUCCGUUUGGGGGGUCUACAUCCAUGUCAGGCCGCGCCGACCCGCAAAAGGGGUUUUGCGCGAACCGCAAACGCGUUUUGCGGACCGGCAUUAUGCGGGGUCUGCUAGAGUUGCUCUAACUCCUAAGGCCUCGUUUGGUUAAGGGGGAUUGGGGAGGUUUUGAGAGGGAGGGAUUUCAGGGGAUUGGGUGAAUCCCUUUGUUCCACCCAAUCCUCUCAAAUCCCCGGGGUUUUGCUUUCACUAGUCCCCCGAGGAGGGUUUUGAAACACAUGGAUAGGAAGGGAUUGAAAGGGAACGGAGGGGAUUGGGCUAAGCAAACCCCUCCUACCAAAUGGGCGCCCGAGGAUCUGUGGGGUUUCUGGCCCUCCCGGGGAUUUUCCUCUCAAAACCUCCCCAAUCCCCCUUAACCAAACGAGGCCUAAACGUGUGGUACAUGGAAUCAGCUGUCGUGUUUACACAAUCAAUGUACUCAGAAACUUUUCUAUUUUUAUUCAAGUCAAAAAACUUAUUUUAUUUUAUUUGUGGAUAAGAGCAUCUAUAACCGGACCCCUCAUACACCAACCCAUCCGUGUAACAGCAACAAGAACCAAAUAAUAAUGAAAAAUUGCAGUUCGUAAAUUAACCUCAAUCCACCGCAAGAAUGCCCGUUAUUACUAGCUUUCAGAGCACUAUCCAUUAUUCACCAAUAAUGUGUACAUAACAGAGGACCAUUCACUGAAAAUACAAUGUACCAUUGUACCCACAUUUCGUACAAGUGCAAGGAACGCGGGUAAAUAACAAGUAAAUAAUGUAGUUCAUAGAUAUAAAAGAAUAAAAAAAGUUGACAGUAACCACUUACUGAGUUUAGGAACUCAUAAUUCUAGUGAAAUGCAUGAAAAUUAUUUCAUAUUUUUUCCAGUUGUCAUUUAAAGACUAGAAGCAUAGCAUGGUGCGCCAAAGAUGUACUCACAUGAUAAUGAUCGACCAAACCAACCAGCAAAAGUACUUGGAUUCAAAAGCCUGCAAAACAUGCACAUAUUAAUGAAGGCAACACAAACUUGAUUCCAAAAAAUUACAGAUAAUUUAUUGCAUAUACUAACAGAACAUAUAGAACAUCUGGAAACUGUCAACGACAAAUGAAAGGAGAUAUAAUCUACCUUCCAGCCUGGCAGUAAAGUAAAAUUUCUGGGUUCUGUGUCACUGUCUUUUCAGAUAAAUCCUUGUCCAGAACAGUAGUUAAAACAAGAAUUGAAUAAACUUGUUCCGGCAAUACCUGAAACAAAAGCAGAACUGCAUGCACACAAUAUGAGAAUGCAGACAAGAGCAACUAGCAUCCAGUAUGCUUAAAUGAAAUAUGAGAAAGAUCUGAAGGUGAAAUAAGGUGGCGGCCAAAGUGAUGUUCCUUUGUGACUUGCAGUAUCUGAAUAAAGCCAAUUAACGAUGACUUGUAGAACGAAUACUGUGAAAGGAAGGCAGUACGGUUGUAUGAGUAUUGUCCAUGCAUAGCCUUUCCAAGAACCUGAAUCUGCCAAAAAGGAAAAGCAGAAGUUGAAAACCAUCAAAAAAUUCAGUACACCAACCAUUAUGUAGUCAAAUUAUUAGACCAACAGUUGAGCAAUUAUCUAGAACACAAAAAUUAUCUAGGUAACACAUAUCAAACUCUUGCCCACAACUUCAGUUGUAUUUUGAACAUUUCAGGGAAAUAUUUACACUGUCGUUCACAUCAACAAAGCUUGGGAUAUACUUUUGGCUUGCUAAAUCUUCUAUGAGCUCAGUUUACAUGAGAAACAUCUCAAGAAAUUAAAACAAUGGCCAGCGAUAUUUUAAGGAGAAGGCAUACAAAACUCAGUAAGUGGUUAGUACCAUCGUUAUUAUUGCAUAAUGUACUACCACAGUUAGUAUUGCAUAAGAUUUAAUGAGACUUGGAGCAACAAUGAGCUGGAAGCCUGAAAUGAUAGGCAUCAGUUUAAUGAGACUUGGAGCAACAAUGAGCUGGAAGCCUGAAAUGAUAGGCAUCAGUGCAGUGGCUUGAAGACUUGGGAGUAGGGCGACAUGACAGCCUCCUGUACCAUCUUCCUUGGGUCGCCUGGAUCGGGCCCCCACCUCACCUCGCUCAUGUUGGGUGUCUCGACGAACAUCAUGGUGAACUCGCCCACCUUCUCCACUCGUCCUCGCUUGCCGGCGCGCAAGAACGGGUUGUUGCCCCUAUGGUAUGAGAAGAUGCCACUUGUGAGCCGCACGAUGUCCCCGGGCUCAAAGGCGUCACACUCGGUGCCCCACAGCAGGAAAUGCACCGCCGCCGUCUCAUCAGCCACCAGCAACGGGCAUGUCUCCUCCCUGCCAUGCGCGUUUGCAUGGGUCGGGCGGGCCGCCUUGUCAACCACAAUGAACGUCGUGUUCACGGUGUUGGUCGCUGCCGGGACGAGGUCCUUGAGUUUCACGUCCAUCCUCCCGCCACCUACAGUUUCUUCGGCCUGCAACAGAAUUGUCAAUAACCAGAGUAAGUGCACAUGAACUAGCUACAUUUGCAUUACAAAAGCCGAACUUCACUGCAUCUAGUCCAUGCUCAGCGUUCAUGCGAAGUAGGGUCCGUCCUGUACCGGGCAAUUGAACGAACACCUUGUGGUCGUCCGAGGAAAAUCUCUAGACCAGCAUCCAGGCAACAAAACCAAACGCAUGAGAAAGAUGAGAAGAAGAAAAGUGCGGCGAUCUUGCCCCUUUUGCGUCAUCGCGAUGACGCGGGCUUGCCCUUCCACCGCCGCCUGAGUUAACCCUCACUCCUCACCAUUUCUCCCCACUAACACCUCUGCUCCUGCUUUAUGUUUACCUUGGUGCGAUCCAAUUGUGUUGACUACGGCAGGAUCGGAACUCCUUUUGCCCGAUCUUGUCGGGUCCAUCAGACAAACCACAUCACUCUUCCACCCCCAUACUCUAGCCCGAGACACGGCUCCUCCCCCCUGCUCCAUCUGUACGCAAUUUCAUCCACCACCGCCAACUCACCUACUUAGCUUUGUAGAUCAAGUGCAUAGACUAAAGGUAGCUCAAUCUACUUCUACAGAAGCCGUUGGACUUGGAAAGAAAAAAACGGAACUUGAAAAUCAUGCUUCCAAAAUUGUAAAACCAGUUUCAUUGACCUACCAUAUCCAACAGAACUAUCUUGCAGCAGGCAAUUAAAGCAUCUUACCCAGACAAUUGAAUGCUAAUUUCUUUUCUUUUCCUGGUAGGACAAUUCUAACCAGAGAAUUUUUGUGUUAAUAAUAAAAGUACAAAUGUGUUGUAAAUUUCUCAUCAAAUUUGAACAGAUAAAUCAAUGUCAAUGAAAGGAGUAGGACAUGUCUGUACUUCUAUAAAAAAGACAGUUCUCCUCGAAUUUGAACAGAUGAAUCAAAGAUUGCUAGAAAUCCUGUUAGAAAUCUACAUGACAGAUUAGUGCAAUGAGUGAGAGGAUAGGCAUUAGCAGAACAUGUUUAAUUAAUUAUCAGAAGAUAACAUUCUUUAGACAUCACUGAACAGUUUAGCUAUAAUAAGAAUGGUGCAGCCAACAUUCUGUUCUCAGCUAGAUGCCAAAUUCAGUCAGUCUAAUACAAAGGUGGAAGCUCCUUCUAGUUCCUGUACUAUAGAACAUAAAGAAACAUAACAUUCUCGGUGGGUGCUAGUGUGUAAUGUGGGUGCUAAUGUUCUCAUGGGAAUAUAGACUUGAAUAUUUAAUUAAACCAAGCAUCAAAGCCUACAAACACUAUAACAGUAAUAUAUAAUCUGAAAUUCUCUCUGAAAGAACUAUAUAUAAUCUGAAGAAUCAUACAGCAGCAAAUAAUGACAGGCUGCAGCCACUUGUUUCUGUAUGUACCACUAAGCUCCAAAAUAUGGCUCACCAAACUAAGUUCAAAAUAUGCAAUACCAAAUCAAGUACUAUUCUGGCUAAGUUACAAGCAGCUUCAACCCUGCACCUUCAAUACAAUCCAUGCAUCGGUUCAUAAUCAAAAGCUAAUGAAGAACUGUCAGCAGCAGACCUAGGAUACCCUAUCCCACAUCUGUUUCCUAUCAUCUGUGUGAUGUUCUUCAGAACCAGAUACUAACUGCUACGCAGUGGCGGAGCUAGCAUUUAACAUCAGGGUGGUCCCCCCCCCCCAAAAAAAAAUAUAUUUUUCAAGUAAUAUAACAUGUGCACGUUCUAACUAGUUAUCAAUAUCCCAUAGAAAUAGAUCAAUAUGGUCUUAAAAACAAACUAGAAUUCCCAAUUAAGACCAAGUUUUGCAUAAAGAAGCGUACAAAAUACAUACUACAUGGACCAUAAUACAUACUCCCUCCGUUCCAAAAUAUAAGACCUUUUAAAGAUUUCACUAGGAGACUACAUACGGAACAAAAUGAAUGAAUGUACACUCUAAAAUAUGCCUAUAUACAUCCGUAUGUAGUUUAUAGUGCAAUCUCUAAAAGGUCUUAUGGGAGUAUGUGUUCAUCAGUUCAUGUACUGGAUAUCAUAGUGCAAAAAAAGCAAACCCUAAAACAAAAAUUGGGGGUUUUCUGUACCUUAAAUAGAUUUGCACACUUGCUGCCGACGGACAGUGGUUACUAAGCGGCAGCAACGGCCGUCGGCUUUGCAGGGAGGGCGAAGGGACGAAGGGCGGAAGCAGAGGCGACAGGGUCAGGGGCGCAGCCGGGCAGGGCAGGGGCGUGGGGGAGCGGCUGCAGCAGUGGAUGUGGAGCCGAGGGCCAGGCACGCGUCGGGCCAGAGGGAGAGGCGGGCUCGGCUCCGGCCGGCAACCGGCGAGGCGAGGAACGGCGGCUGCCAACUGGGAUGCUGUCUUGUGCGUGUUGCGAGGGCGUCGGGACGAGGCGGCUGUUCUGCUCGAUGGGGACAAAACCAGGGUGUGGGUGUGGCUGCAGUUGAUGGAUCAAUCGGUAAGUGUUAUUGGGCCUAUUUUUUUUUUGCUGGCCCAGUUAGAAAUUAGGGGUAUAAGCUGACCCAAAAUACCAGCGGUCACCGUGUAGCUCCGCCCCUACUGCUACGUCAUCAAAUCCAGUGAGGAGAUAGUGAGCGUCAAAUAGACCGGCAAACGCAUAGGAGCUGCGAGCGAGCCAUGGGGUAUGGGACGGUCCGUUAGCACUUUCACCGAUCCAUCGGGUUUUUCUUGUUUUGGAAACUUUCUAAAAGAUCCUUGAAUCGGUUUUUUUGUUUUCUUUUUUCUUUAUUCUUUUUUUCUGUUUUUGUUUAAAAAAUGUUUUGAAAUUUGAAAAAUAUUCCUGAAUUUGAAAAAUGUUCCGGCAUUUGAGAAAAUAUUUGGGAAUUUAAAAAUAUUUGGAAAUUUAAAAACUGUUCUGGAAUUUUUAUCAAGAUGUUUCGGAUUAUUCAACUACAUCCUUGAUGUUCGUCCGUCCUGCUUCAUCUAUGACGAACACCAUCAUGUCUGAAGACGGUGGCAUUAUCCGGUACUCCCUCCGUUCCUAAAUAUAAGUCUUUUAAGCGAUUUCACUAAGGGUCCACAUACUGAGCAAAAUGAUUGAAUCUAUACUCUAAAGUAUGUCUAUAUACAUCCGUAUGUAGUCCACUAGUGAAAUCUUUACAAAGACUUAUAUUUAGAAACGGAGGGAGUAGUAUAUCUAUACCUAAUAAUAAAGAGGCUAUUGCUUCCGUCGGAAAACCCACCACGAUAUUUUUAUAAAAAAGUCCCUGUAAUUUUUGUUAUUCAACCCGCGCUUCAUCAUUUAUCUGCAACGCAAAAGGAAAAAUGAUUCGCUGCAAAAAUUAUACCCGUACGCAUCGCCUCCUCCCGUCGACCCUGGGCCACCCUCGCCUGCGCCCAGGCCGCCGCCACACCACUCGCCGCCGCGNNNNNNNNNNNNNNNNNNNNNNNNNNNNNNNNNNNNNNNNNNNNNNNNNNNNNNNNNNNNNNNNNNNNNNNNNNNNNNNNNNNNNNNNNNNNNNNNNNNNCCGGGGAAGCCCAUAGGCCUUGGGGUGGCUCACCAUCCCAUAGUGGGCUGGUGGGACAGCCCAAGAAGGCCCUAUGCGCCAUAGGAAGAAAAUCAAAGAGAACAGAAAAAAAAGAGGAGGUGGGAAAAUGGGGAAGGACUCCUCCUUCCAAACCUAGUUGGACUCGGCUUUGAAGGGGAGGGUUGCCCCCCUUGGCUCGACCGAAGCCCUUCAGGGUCCUUGGACCCCAAGGCAAGGCUCCCCCUCUUCCCCAUAUAUAUACGGAGGUUUUAGGGCUGAUUUGAGACGACUUUUCCACGGCAGCCCGACCACAUACCUUCACAGUUUUUCCUCUAGAUCGAGUUUCUGCGGAGCUCGGGCGGAGCCCUGCUGAGAUAAGAUCACCACCAACCUCCGAAGCGCCGUCGCGCUGCUGGAGAACUCUUCUACCUCUCCGUCUCUCUUGCUGGAUCAAGAAGGCCGAGAUCAUCGUCGAGCUGUACGUGUGCUAAACGCGGAGGUGUCGUCCGUUCGGCACUAGAUCGUGGGACUAAUCGCGGGACGGUUCGCGGGGCGGAUCGAGGGACGUGAGGACGUUCCACUACAUCAACCGCGUUCACUAACGCUUCUGCUGUACGGUCUACAAGGGUACGUAGAUCACACAUCCCCUCUCGUAGAUGGACAUCACCAUGAUAGGUCUUCGUGCGCGUAGGAAAAUUUUUGUUUCCCAUGCGACGUUCCCCAACAAGCGCAUCUCAUCGUGUCGCAAGAAAGGAUAUCGUCACAAGUACAUGUACUGAACAGAAGAGAUAUAUAUAGAGUUGGCUUACACUCGCCACAAGCUACAUCAGAGUCACAUCGGUACAUUACAUAAUCAUCAAGAGCAAGAGCAGGGUCCGACUACGGGCGAAAACAAACGAGAAAAGAAGAAUGACGUCCAUCCUUGCUAUCCCAGGCUGCCGGCCUGGAACCCAUCCUAGAUCGAUGAAGAAGAAGAAGAACAAGCAACUCCAAAUGAACAAUCAACGCGCUCGCGUCAAGUAACCUUUACAUGUACCUGCAACUGGUGUUGUAGUAAUCUGUGAGCCACAGGGGACUCAACAAUCUCAUUUCCAAAGGUAUCAAGACUAGCAAAGCUUAAUGGGUAAGGUAUGGUUAAGUGGUGAGGUUGCAGCAGCGGCUAAGCNNNNNNNNNNNNNNNNNNNNNNNNNNNNNNNNNNNNNNNNNNNNNNNNNNNNNNNNNNNNNNNNNNNNNNNNNNNNNNNNNNNNNNNNNNNNNNNNNNNNGCUCGACGAUGAUCUCGGCCUUCUUGAUCCAGCAAGAGAGACGGAGAGGUAGAAGAGUUCUCCGGCAGCGUGACGGCGCUCCGGAGGUUGGUGAUGAUCUCGUCUCAGCAGGGCUCCGCCCGAGCUCUGUAGAAACGCGAUCUAGAGGAAAAACUAUGGAGGUAUGUGGUCCGGCAGCCGUGAGAAAGUCGUCUCAAAUCUGCCCUAAAAGCCCCAUAUAUAUAGGAGGAGGGAGGGGGACCUUGCCUUGGGGUCCAAGGGACUCCCAAGGGGUCGGCCGAGCCAAGGGGGGGAGGACUCCCCCCCCCAAACCGAGUUGGACUUGGUUUGGUGGGAGGAGUCCCCCUCCCUUCCCACUUCUUCCCUCUUUUUUUUUCUUUUCCUUUGAUUUCUUUCUCUUGGCGCAUAGGCCCCCUUGGGGCUGUCCCACCAGCCCACUAAGGGCUGGUGUGUCUCCCCAAAGCCUAUGGGCUUCCCCGGNAAAUACUUGACACGCAGAAAACAGUAGCAACAAAAUGACACGAUCAACAUGCUACGUCUAUUAGUUUGGGUCUAGNNNNNNNNNNNNNNNNNNNNNNNNNNNNNNNNNNNNNNNNNNNNNNNNNNNNNNNNNNNNNNNNNNNNNNNNNNNNNNNNNNNNNNNNNNNNNNNNNNNNGCUCGACGAUGAUCUCGGCCUUCUUGAUCCAGCAAGAGAGACGGAGAGGUAGAAGAGUUCUCCGGCAGCGUGACGGCGCUCCGGAGGUUGGUGAUGAUCUUGUCUCGGCAGGGCUCCGCCCGAGCUCCGUAGAAACGCGAUCUAGAGGUAAAACCGUGGAGAUAUGUGGUCGGGCUGCCGUGGCAAAGUUGUCAAAUCAGCCCUAAAACCUCCGUAUAUAUAGGGGGAGGAGGGGGAGCCUUGCCUUGGGGUCCAAGGACUCCCAAGGGGGUCGGCCGAGCCUAAGGGGGGAACCCUCCCCUUCCAAACCGAGUCCAACUAGGUUUGGAAGGAGGAGUCCUUCCCCCUUUUUCCCACCUCCUAAUUCCCGGUACAUUCCCGGUAACUCCAAAAACCUUCCGGUAAUCAAAUGAGGUCAUCCUAUAUAUCAAUCUUCAUUUCCGGACCAUUCCGGAAACCCUCGUGACGUNNNNNNNNNNNNNNNNNNNNNNNNNNNNNNNNNNNNNNNNNNNNNNNNNNNNNNNNNNNNNNNNNNNNNNNNNNNNNNNNNNNNNNNNNNNNNNNNNNNNNNNNNNNNNNNNNNNNNNNNNNNNNNNNNNNNNNNNNNNNNNNNNNNNNNNNNNNNNNNNNNNNNNNNNNNNNNNNNNNNNNNNNNNNNNNNNNNNNNNNNNNNNNNNNNNNNNNNNNNNNNNNNNNNNNNNNNNNNNNNNNNNNNNNNNNNNNNNNNNNNNNNNNNNNNNNNNNNNNNNNNNNNNNNNNNNNNNNNNNNNNNNNNNNNNNNNNNNNNNNNNNNNNNNNNNNNNNNNNNNNNNNNNNNNNNNNNNNNNNNNNNNNNNNNNNNNNNNNNNNNNNNNNNNNNNNNNNNNNNNNNNNNNNNNNNNNNNNNNNNNNNNNNNNNNNNNNNNNNNNNNNNNNNNNNNNNNNNNNGCCCGAGAUUCGAUCGUCGGUAUCCGUAUACCUGUUUCAAUCUCGUUUACCGGCAAGUCUCUUUACUCGUUCCAUAAUACAAGAUCCCGCAACUUACACUAAGUCACAUUGCUUGCAAGGCUUGUGUGUGAUGUUGUAUUACUGAGUGGGCCCCGAGAUACCUCUCCGUCACAUGGAGUGACAAAUCCCAGUCUCGAUCCAUACUAACUCAAUGAACACCUUCGGAGAUACCUGUAGAGCAUCUUUAUAGUCACCCAAUUACGUUGCGACGUUUGAUACACACAAAGUAUUCCUCCGGUGUCCGUGAGUUAUAUGAUCUCAUGGUCAUAGGAACAAAUACUUGACACGCAGAAAACAGUAGCAACAAAAUGACACGAUCAAUAUGCUACUUCUAUUAGUUUGGGUCUAGUCCGUCACGUGAUUCUCCUAAUGACGUGAUCCAGUUAUCAAGCAACAACACCUUGUUCAUAAUCAGAAGACACUGACUAUCUUUGAUCAACUGGCUAGCCAACUAGAGACUUGCUAGGGACAGUGUUUUGUCUAUGUAUCCACACAUGUAUAUAAGUCUUCAUUCAAUACAAUUAUAGCAUGGAUAAUAAACGAUUAUCUUGAUACAGGAAUUAUAAUAANNNNNNNNNNNNNNNNNNNNNNNNNNNNNNNNNNNNNNNNNNNNNNNNNNNNNNNNNNNNNNNNNNNNNNNNNNNNNNNNNNNNNNNNNNNNNNNNNNNNCAACUCCAAAUGAACAAUCAACGCGCUCGCGUCAAGUAACCUUUACCUGUACCUGCAACUGGUGUUGUAGUAAUCUGUGAGCCACAGUGAACUCAGCAAUCUCAUUUCCAAAGGUAUCAAGACUAGCAAAGCUUAAUGGGUGAGGCAUGGUUAAGUGGUGAGGUUGCAGCAGCGGCUAAGCAUAUAUUUAUGGUGGCUAACUUACGAGUACAAGAAGUAAGAGAGGGAAGAUCUACGCAUAACGGACGUGAACUACUGAUGAUCAAAAGAACGAUCCUGAACACCUACCUACGUCAGACAUAACCCCACCAUGUCCUCGAUCGGAGAAGGAACUCACGAAAGAGACAGUCACGGUUACGCACACAGUUGGCAAGUUUUAUUUAAGUUAAUUUCAAGUUAUCUAGAACCAGUGUUAAACAAAGCUUCCACGUUGCCACAUAACCGCGGGCACGGCUUUCCGAAAGAUUUAACCCUGCAGGGGUGCUCCAACUAGUCCAUCAAAAAUUACCACAAGCCGCAUAGAAAUCCUCAAUCACAAAGCUCGCGAUCUCGUCGGAUUCCCUAGUGGAAAACCUCAACUCUGAGAUUACCCAAAGCAUCACCGGAAUCCCGAUGCACAAGAUAUUUCGUCAAAGGUAAAACUAAUCCAGCAAGGCCGCCCGACGUGUCGACGAUCCUGUUGGAAAUAUGCCCUAGAGGCAAUAAUAAAUUAGUUAUUUCUUAGUUCAUGAUAAUCGUUUAUUAUCCAUGCUAUAAUUGUANNNNNNNNNNNNNNNNNNNNNNNNNNNNNNNNNNNNNNNNNNNNNNNNNNNNNNNNNNNNNNNNNNNNNNNNNNNNNNNNNNNNNNNNNNNNNNNNNNNNUGUGCUUGAUACUAUGCCUGAUGAUACUAUGCUUGAUACUAUGCCUGAUACUGCUAGAGAUGUUAUGCUUGAUACUAUGCCUGAUGAUGCUAGAAAGUGCAUGUAUACCAUGGACUCACAUUAGUCAUGAAGAACUCACAUACUUAUUGCGAAAAUUUUUAUUAGUAAUCGAAACAAAGUGCUAAAAGCAUACUCCUAGGGGAAGGGUUGGUAGGUGUUAACCAUCGCGCGAUGCCGACCGCAACACAAAGGAUGACAAUGAAUAGAUCAAUUAUGCUCCGACUUCCUAACAUAGCGGUUCACCAUACGUGCAUGUUACGGGAAUCACUAACUUCAACACAAGUAUUUCUAGAUUCACAACACCCUACUAGCAUAACUCUUAAUAUUACCGAAUCCACGUCUCAAAACUAUUUGAGAGGAAUCAAAACUUCUCUUUCUACUCAAUGCACAUGAAGAUGGAGGUUUUUGUAUCCUCUUUGGGUACCUAUCACCUUUGGGACUACUUUCAUAGCACAAGCCAACUACCAAGUCAUGCACCGCCGUGCUCUAAAAGAUCUAAGUGAAGCACACAGAGCAAAAUUAUCUAGCUCAAAAGAUAUAAGUGAAGCACGAUGAGCAUUGUAGCAAAAUCACGAUGAGUGCAUGUCUCUCUCAAAAGGUGUGCAGCAAGGAUGAUUGUGACACAACAAAAAGAAAAGACUCCUACGAUACAAGACGCUCCAAGCAAAACACAUUUCAUGUGGUGAAUAAAAACAUAGCUCCAAGUAGUGUUAACGAUGGAUUGAAGACGAAAGAGGGGAUGCCUUCCCGGGGCAUCCCCAAGCUUAGGCUUUUUGGUGUCCUUGAAUUUGUCUUGGGAUGCCUUGGGCAUCCCCAAGCUUGAGCUCUUUCCACUCUUUAUCCAUUUUUCCAUGAGAACAUCACCCAAAACUUGAAAACUUCACAACACAAAACUUAAACAAAAACUCGUGAUAUCAUUAGUACAAGAAAACAAACUACCACCUCCUUAGGUACUCUAGCAAUCUUGAUUUCUAUUUUUAUUGGUGUUAGAUUACUGUAUUAUCACUUUUCCAUGGCUAGUAACCCCCGAUACUAUCCAUAAUUUCAUCAAAACAAGCAACCAACUCAACAAAAACAGACCAGUAUGUAGCAAUCUGUAUACUUCGUAUACUUCUGGUACCUCAAAAAUUCUUAAAAAUUACGACUGCAUGGGCAAAAUUCAUAUCAACCAGCAACAAAAAGAAUCAACUCAAAAGCUCUUUCUGAAUAAAAAUUAAAAAUAAUCUCGUGAGUGAAACGUUUUUGUCUUUUUCCAGGAGGAUCAAACAACCAUCACCAAGACUAGUCAUAAAGAUUUUUCUUGGCUCAAACACAAAAGACACAAUCAUAACAGAAUUAUGAUGGUGUGGAUGCAACAAAAUAGAAAGAAAAACAUAAAUUCAUUGGAUUGCCUCCCAACAAGCGCUAUUGUUUAACGCCUUUAGCUAGGCAUUGAUAAUUCAAUGAUGCUCACACAAAAGACAAGAAUUGAAGCACAACGAGAGCAUCAUAAAGCAUGUGAAAAUCACAUCUAAGCCUAACAUACUCCCUAUGAAUAGGAAUUUUAUGGGGAAACAAAUUGUCAAGACAAGCAAUAACUAUUGUAUGCAAGGAAGAAGAAAGAGACAAUAGGAAUCUCAACAGAAUGAGAGGUGGUUUAGUAACAUGAAUGUUUCUACCACAAUAUUUUCCUCUCUCAUAAUAAUUACAUGUGGGAUCAUAUUCAAAUUCAACAAUAUAGCUAUCCCAUAGGAUAUUCUUUUCAUGACCCACAUGCAUGCAAAGUUGACGCUCUUCAAAAAUAGUGGGAUUAUCGUCAACUAAAGUCAUGACUUCUCCAAACCCACUUUCAAAAUUAUUGCAAAUAUCAUAUUCAUCAUGAGGCUUAAACAAAUUUUCAAGAUAAUAAGAAAAUCAUUGCCCCAAUCAUCAUCAUUGCAACAAGUAGUGGACAUAGCAAAACUAGCAUCCCCAAGCUUAGGGUGUUGCAUAUUUUUAGCAUGAUUGACACUAAUAGGAUUUAUAGUGAAACCAUUGCAAUCAUGCUUUUCAUUCAAGGAGCCCUUGUGAAUCACUUCAUAAAUUUCUUCAUCACGAUUUUGAGAUUCACGCAUCUCAAGCAAAACUCCAUAGAGAAAGUCAAGUGCACUCAACUCUCUAGCAAUUGGAUCAACAUAAUUGGAUCUCUUAAAGAGAUUAGCAAGUGGAUGAGGAUCCAUAUCACUAGAUUUUCAGCAAGCGAAGAUGCAAGCAUGUUGAAGGCACAUACCACACAAACAAAGGAAAGGAAAACGAGAGAAAAGGGCGAAAGAAAAAGGCAAAUGAAAAAGGCAAAUAUUUUUAUAAAUUUUUGUUUUUUAGAAGUGGGGAGAGGAAAACGAGAGGCAAAAAAGUAAAUGCAAGAGAUGAGUUUGCGACACUUACUUGGAUGAGUUCUUGACUUGAUCCUCCCCGGCAACGGCGUCAGAAAUCCUUCUGCUACUUCUCAAACAACAGCGCCAGAAAUUGACACGUUGACGGAGACUUUCUUGCGUUGGUUUUUCCCUUGAAGAGGAAAGGGUGAUGCAGCACAGGAGCACUAAGUAUUUCCAUCAGUUUGAGAACCAAGGUAUCAAUCCUGUAGGAGAAUCUCAUCAAGUCCAGAGUACCUGCGCAAACACAAAAGAGCUUGCACCCAACGCUAUAAAGGGGUUGUCAAUCCCUUCAAGAUUGAUUGCAAAGUGAGAUCUGAAGGCGGAAAGUGCAACGAAGUAAAAGUGUAAGGCUGGAAAUAUGGUGUGAAGUAGACCCGGGGGCCGUAGUGUUCACUAGAGGCUUCUCUCAAAAUAGAAAAUAUCACGAUGGGUGAACAAAUGCCUGUCGAGCAAUUGAUAGAACCGCGCAAAGCCAUGAUGAUAUCUAAGGCAAUGAUUAUACAUAUAGGCAUCACGUCCGAGACAAGUAGACCGAUACUUUCUGCGUCUACUACUAUUACUCCACACAUCGACCGCUAUCCAGCAUGCAUCUAGUGUAUUGAGUUCAUGAGAACAGAGUAACGCCUUAAGCAAGAUGACAUGAUGUAGAGGGAUAAACUCAAACCAAUGAUGAAAACCCCAUCUUUUUACCCUUGAUGGCAACAACAUGAUGCGUGCCUUGCUACCCCUUCUGUCACUGGGUGAGGUCACCGCACGGUAUGAACCCAAAACCAAGCACUUCUCCCAUUGCAAGAAUCAUAGAUCAAGCUGGCCAAACAAAACCCACAACUCGAAGAGAAUUACAAGGAUAUGAAAUCAUGCAUAAGAGAGAUCAGAAGAAACUCAAAUAAGAUUCAUAGAUAAUCCGAUCAUAAAUCCACAAUUCAUUGGAUCUCGACAAACACACCGCAAAAGAAGAUUACAUCGGAUAGAUCUCCAUGAAGAUCAUGGAGAACUUUGUAUUGAAGAUCCAAGAGAGAGAAGAAGCCAUCUAGCUACUAGCCAUGGGCACGUAGGUCUAUGGUGAACUACUCACGCAUCAUCGGAGAGGUCAUGGUGUUGAUGAAGAAGCCCUCUGUAUCCGAAUCCCCCUCCUGCAGGGCACCAGAACGUGCCCCGGAUGGGAUCUUGCGGAGACAGAAACUUGCGGCGGUGGAAUAGUAUUUUCGUGGCUCCCCUGCUUUUUUCUGGGAUUUUAGGGAAUAUAUAGGCGAAAGACCUACGGCAUAGGAGGCCCAGAGAGCCCACAAGCAUGGGAGGCGCGCCCCUGGCCGUGACUAGGGGGCUUUAGGGGUCCCUGCUGACCCUCUGCCUUGGUUCUCAAUCUCGCGAUCGUCUUCUGUUUCAGAAAAAAUCUAUUUUGAAAUUUCAUUCCUUUUGGACUCCGUUUAAAAUCUUCCUCUGAAAGGGGUCAAAAACACGGAAAAACAGGAACUGGCACUUGGCACUGAGUUAAUAAGUUAGUCCCAAAAAAGAUAUAAAAGGCAUACAAAACAUCCAAAGUUUGACAAGAUAAUAGCAUGAAACCAUAAAAAAUUAUAGAUACGUGGAGACGUAUCAAAACUCAACUCUGAGAUUACCCAAAGCAUCACCGGAAUCCCGAUUCACAAGACAUUCGUCAAAGGUAAAACUAAUCCAGCAAGGCCAUCCGACGUGUCGACGAUCCCGAUAGGAGCCGCGUACCUCAUUCUCAGGACACGACAGAUAAGCUAAGCGUACGGUGGCCUGAUAGACAUCUCCCGAGUUGCCCCGGGUUGGCCCCGCACAGUGCUCUAUUUUGGACCAGCACCAUCACCACUGGCCCCCCUGUUUUAUGUAGAAUUACUCCUUGGGUUCAUGAUGCCCUAUGCUUUCAGUAUUAACAAAAAAUAUUAUGUUGGGAAAAUGUAGUAUCGGUGUUGGGCCUUGCCAGACCAUCUUUAGUCUAAAACGAAUUAUCAAGGGGGUCCCCAUAACAACCUCGAUCGUGUUAGGAGUGCUCAAAAAUGGAACAUAACACUUGUAGCCGAAACUAAGGGGGCAAAGGUGGAACAAAACACCAGGCUAAAAAGGCCGAGCCUUCCACCUUUUACCAAGUAUAUAGGUGUAUUAAAUUAAAUAGCAUUUAAUAUGGUGAUAUAACAAGGAACCCAUGUUGUCACAUGGAAACAACUGCACCUGCAACUAGCAACGCUAACACAUGGUUAAGCAAGCAGUAACAUAGCCAAUCAGUGGUUUGCUAGGUUGUGAACAGGUUUGAAGGUUUCAUGGCAUUGUUGGGAGGCUGAUAUUUAACAGGUGGUAGGCAACGAGACAUAACGAUAGAAACGGUAAAACUAGCAUGGCAAUGAUAUUAAUGGUAUCUGGGGAAAUGGUCAUCUUGCCUGAGAUCCCGCUUGGAAGAAGAAGGGCUCCGUGAAGCAGAUGAACCGACGUAGUCGAACGGGUCCUCACUUUUCGACACGCUUGCGGAACUCUAUCGAGACGAAGGAAACCAGAAACAAGCAUCAACACACGAUAUUCACCACACGAUGCACAACACAUAUGAUGCAUGAAUGGUUGAACAUAUGCAAGACAUGGCGUGUCAAUUCACAACAAUCAAACACUACACAUUAAGUGAAGUUCAAUAUGCAACGAGUUGCAUAUUGACGAAACUCCACAUACGAAUUAUUUAGUUUACUCUCGAUUAGUUACACGGCAAUAUUAAAUGUGGUUAAUCAUGGCAACAAGUGAAGUGUAAUUAAACUAUCUAUCUAGGCAUUUUAAAUGAGGUCGGAAAUGGCAUAUAGCAUCUCCGAGAUGACCUCAUACGUUAAUUUAUAAAUCUGUCCAGAUCUGAACUAACAUGUUUAAAUGUUAGUUAAACAAAAAAAUAGGUUCACGUGAUUCUACGCAUCGUUACAAUCAAUUUACACCUAAAGAACAUCUCCAACGGAGCUACGGUUCAACAACUAUAGACUAAACAAUAAAUCACUACAAUCUGCCAAAAUCAGCCACAUAGCAUUUUCUACACCCCACAACUACGAGCUACACAAAUCCAAUAUGCUCAACCACGGCAUGAGGCAGUAGAUGGCAAGAUGCACUACAAAAUACAACCAACAACACCUAGCAUGGAAGCAUGGAACACUAGGAAAAGAAGUCACAAAAUGGCAUCUCACACACUGUUUCAGACUUAGUGAAAAUGUCAGUUUAUGACAGUGCAGUUUUCAAUCUCAAGGCAUUUUGACAGCAGCAAAACCAUAAGCUACAAGAAUCCAAAUGGCAUGAAAAUUGAUAGCAUGCUAUAGAAUCCUAAAUUCUACAACUAACUCCAUUGCACCAACCUCAAAAGAGCUACAGAUCACCUGAUGAACUCAUGACAAGACAACAACAAAAUAUAACAGAUUUCAGACUUAGAAAUAUUUCAGCAUCUCUAAAACAGCACUAUUUCCUAGCAAGUUGAGAACAAGCAAACCACACCUAAACAUGGAUUUCUAUUGCAACCAAAAUUACCAGAGGCUAGUCUACACAUCCAAGGGCAUAUCUCUAGUUGACAACUCAAUCAUAUCAUGCACAGAUUAAAUCCCACAAAAUAAACAAAAGGGCAAUAUGGCAAAAUAUCACACGCACUAACUUUCUCAAAAGCUAAAAAUAAAUGCAUAGUUAAAUCCUAUGGAUUUUUCUACCCCAAAAACAUAUAUAACAUGUGGGGUUGCAACACAAAAAUAUCACCACAUGUAAAUGCGAGAUUAUGUCCUAAGCACGGUAUAACAAACUAGCUACGGAAUCCUACAUGCAAAAAUACAACCAACUACUCUAAAAUACAUGGAAAAGGGGUCCUAAAAACAUGAGAAUUUUACAUACGGAGUUCGAGCAAUCCGGACACGCACGAAAAUUAAUACGGGAUAAUUCCCUAUUGGGACGGCAUGCGAAACUAGGCAUACGGCAAGUAAAAACACUUCAAACAUGCAUGCAAGUUGCAAAAUAUUAAUCUACGCGGAAAACUAAUCGAGUUUCAUAUAUAAUUCGUUCCGAUCCGACACUCGAUUUACAAUCUACGGGCAUUCUAAAAAUCUAUAACUUCGUGUAAUAGAAUUAAAUUCUAAAUAAAUAAAAAACACUAUUGGGCCGGAUUCGAAUCUUGGCCGAAUUAGUGGCAGUGGCGCUUCUUACUAAAACGCGCCUCGGGCAAACAAUAACGCGGGCGGAGGAGGGCCUCACCUUGGGCCGGCUCGGUCGGCACAGGCAGCUGGGCCUGGUCGCUGGAGGAGGCCGGCUGGAGCGGCGAGCUGGGCCGAGGGUGCGCGAUGGGAGGCCGGCCUAGCGGGGCGAUGCGGCCCAGGCGGCGAGCGAGCAAGCGCCUCGUCAUGCUCCUCGUCCUAACCUGGACAGGAGGCGGCGGCGGCGGCGGCUUGGAGGCGAGCUCCGGUGCUGGCAGGAGGCGCGGAGGGCGCGGGAUCCGCUGGGGAUGGGCUGACGGGACCCGACGGGACGGCGGCGACCUCAGCUUGCGGUGGCGGCUACAGGGACUGGCGGUGGGGCACUGAAGGUUGGCGAGGAAGGCCAAGGCCGGCGGGAUUCUGGCCAGAUCUCGCCGGAUCUGGGCCGGACAGCGGUGGGGCACGAGGCUGAGCACGGCGGCAUGCGGGUCCGGCAACGGGAGGCGGCCGGCGCGCGGCACCAGGGGCGCGGGAGCACAGCGCGCCAUGGGGAGGGAGCUUGGGCAGAUGCUUGCGGCGGCUGAUCCGGGCCCAGAUGGCCUCGGGCAGGCCUCUCUCGGGCCCAGGCGGGCCUGGCUCGAGGUGGGAGGAGGGAGAGGUUGUCUCAGGUGGCAGCUAGGGUUGCUGGUGGCACGGAAAAUGAGGAGGAGAGAGGGGAGACUCCUAUUUAUAGAAAAACAGGCUAGGUUUAGCGGUUUCACGCGUUUUCGGACCUUCCGAUUGAGAUCGGACGCUCCGGAAACGUCCUAGGGUUAGGUGGUUUAGGUUUAGGCCGUGUAAAGGGGUGCUGGCUAAGAUGAGAGGGAAGUGCGCACCCGGCAAUGUGAUUUUAAAACACCGAUAAAAUGCCCGACGAUAGACCGAAUACGGUGUCGCUACGGUCGACCGUUCGGGUACGAGACGGACUCCGAAUGCAAUGAAAAUUGACAGGCGGCCUACCUAUAUAUAAAUAAGACCGCACGCCAACUUUCAACUCAGUCAGAGAAAGUUUUAUAAACACUUUUAAAAACAGGGUUUUGACGGUGUCGAGGGCGCGUGCGAGUGUGGUCGGGCUCAGAACGGACAACGACGAGAACCGGCAACUACUAACGGAUGCAACUUUUGAAAACUAGCGGCAAUGAGAUGCCGAUGCAAUGCUGAUGAUGCGCAUGAUGCGAUGAUGAUGUGACAAAUAAAAACACGACGAAAACGGAAUAGAAGGGGAAUCUUCUGGAAUGUCGGUCUCGGGUUGUCACAACUCUCCUAAACUACAAGAGGAUCUCGACCCGAGAUCCAAGAAUGAAAGGGGAAGAGGAAGGGAAAGCAAGAGGUAAAACAUAGUCGCUUCUUUGAUAAACGAGUGAAACCAACGAUCCUUGAAGGUUGCAAAGCGAUGAGGAAUGAUAUGAGAAACAAGCAAGAAUUCACGGAAAAAUUCGGCAGCACUUCGGUAGGAAAAGGGGACAAAAUUUGAUAAGAUGGACAGAUCUUGAGAAAAUUCACAACAAACUAACUAAAUUGAACAAGGGAACAAUAUGAUCUUGAUAGAACAACAUGAUUGACCCAAAUGAGCAACAUCACCACAACUCUAGAACAAGAGAAUAUAAACUAGAUCUUAGAACGAGGGAACAAAGAAGAAAAUGAGCACUACUACCACCAGAAUCUUGAAGAACAUCUUGAGACAAAGAAUUGAUAUCAUGAGCCACUCCGGAAGAAGAAUUCAGAUCACUAUGAACGACGAGAACCGGCAACUACUAACGGAUGCAACUUUUGAAAACUGGCGGCAACGGGAUGCCGAUGCAAUGCUGAUGAUGCGACAAAUAAAAACACGACGAAAACGGAAUAGAAGGGGAAUCUUCUAGAACGUCAGUAUCGGGUUGUCACAGAGUCAACGCGGCUUGAGCCGUCACCUUUGCCAUCUCGGGCCUCUGUGUCGUCCGCCCAAACACUCUUUGUCGUCUGCAUGAUUCCCAGACGGACGGCAAAGGGGGACGGCGCCCCACCUCUCCACUAACGGCGCCUCACCUAGGUCUCCCCACCCCGAUCCCCACUCUUUCUCUCCCUCUCCCCCGAUCCCCACUCUCAUCGCCACCGGCGCCGCCCCCACCAUCGCGCCGCCCCCACCCCGUGCCUCAUCUCCACUUGCCUCUCCUCCCCGCGCCGCCACACCACCACGACUGUGCCGCCCCCUCCCGGUGGCUUCCCCUCCUCCGUGUCGCCCCCACCCCGCGCACCCCCCUUCCCAUGUUGGCUCCCCCUCACCACUCCCAUCAUCGCGGCUACCCCUCCCGACGCCACCCCCUUCCCAUGCAACACCCACCACCACACCGCCUCCACCCCGUGCGGCCCCCAUCCCCACAUCGGCUCCCUCACGUCGCCCCCAUCACUGCGGCUACCCCCUCCCGACACCGCCCCUUCUCGUGUCGGCCCCCUUCCCAUGCCGAUCUCCUCCCCCCUGUCGGCCCCCUCCCCGCGUCUCCCACCUCCCCCUCACCGGCCCAUUCCCCGCGUCGCCCACCUCCCUCGCACCGCCCCCUUCCCCCACGCCCUCUCCCUAUGCCGCCCCCACCACCACGCCGCCCCCUCGCUGCACCGCCCUCCCCACGCCAGCUCCCCUGCGCCAGCCCCACCACCGCAGCUCCCUUGUUUCGGCGUCGCUCCCCACCACCACCAUCAGCCCUCAAGGUCAGUUUUCUCUGCUUUUUCUGUUUUUUCCUAUUUAGGUUUAGGGUAAUUAGUGUUUGGUUUAGGUUAGUGCUAGGUUUAGGUUUAGGUAUAGAUUUAGAUAAUUAGAAGAAGAAGAAGAAGAAAGAUGGAAAAAAGAAGAAGAAAAGAAGAAUAAUUAAGUAGAAUAAGAGGAUAAAGGAAAAAAGGAAGAAGAAGAAGAAGAGGAGGAGGAGGAGAAGAAGAAAGAAGAAGAAGAAGAACAAGAAGAACAAGAACAAGAAGAAGAACAAGAAUAAGAAGAAGAAGAAUAAGAAGAAGAAGAAGAAGAAGAAGAAGAGGAGGAGGAGGAGGAGGAGAAGAAGAAGAAUAAGAAGAAGAAGAAGAANNNNNNNNNNNNNNNNNNNNNNNNNNNNNNNNNNAAGAAGAAGAAGAAGAAGGAGGAGAAGAAGAAGAGGAGGAGGAGGAAGAAGAAGAGGGUGAUGAGGAGAAGAAAAAAUAAGAAGAAGAAGAAGAAAAAAUAAGAAGAAGAAGAAGAAGAAGAAAGCAGAAGGAGAAGAAGAAAGCAGAAGGAGAAGAAGAGGAGGAGAAGAGGAGGAGGAGAAGAAAGAAGAAGAAGAAGAGGAGGAGGAGAAGAAGAAGAAGAAAGAAGAAGAAGAANAUGUGUGUUUUAGAUCCGAUCUUGCAAGUUGUAGUUACCUACUAUGUGUUAUGAUCCGGCAACCCCGGAGUGACAAUAACCGGAACCACUCCCGGUGAUGACCAUAGUUUGAGGAGUUCAUGUGUUCACCAAGUGCUAAUGCGUUGGUCCGGUUCUUUAUUAAAAGGAGAACCUUAAUAUCCCGUAGUUUCCUUUUGGACCCCGCUGCCACGGGAGGGAUGGACAAUAGAUGUCAUGCAAGUUCUUUUCCCUAAGCACGUAUGACGACACACGGAAUGCAUGCCUACAUCACAUUGACGAACGGGAGCUNNNNNNNNNNNNNNNNNNNNNNNNNNNNNNNNNNNNNNNNNNNNNNNNNNNNNNNNNNNNNNNNNNNNNNNNNNNNNNNNNNNNNNNNNNNNNNNNNNNNNNNNNNNNNNNNNNNNNNNNNNNNNNNNNNNNNNNNNNNNNNNNNNNNNNNNNNNNNNNNNNNNNNNNNNNNNNNNNNNNNNNNNNNNNNNNNNNNNNNNNNNNNNNNNNNNNNNNNNNNNNNNNNNNNNNNNNNNNNNNNNNNNNNNNNNNNNNNNNNNNNNNNNNNNNNNNNNNNNNNNNNNNNNNNNNNNNNNNNNNNNNNNNNNNNNNNNNNNNNNNNNNNNNNNNNNNNNNNNNNNNNNNNNNNNNNNNNNNNNNNNNNNNNNNNNNNNNNNNNNNNNCUACUGUUGCUACUACCAUCGCUUGCUACUGUUGCUACUUGCUACCGUUGUCACUACUGCUGUUCCUUGCCACUGCUAUUGCUCGUUACACUGCUGCUACCUGCUACACUGUUGGUUCACGUACCGUUGACAGGAAUUGACAACUUCCGUCGACGCGGCAACGAAGGCGCCAUUGAUACAAUCGUUAGGAAUAGUCUGCCGUCAACGGAUCGUUUCUGACACCGUUGUUAUCAUAUUACUUUGUUGUUACUACUGUGCUUGCAUAUACUAAUCUUUCAGGUGUGGUUGAAUCUGACAAAUUCAGCUGCUAAUACUCGAGAGUAUUCUCUCACCUCCUUUAGGCGAUCUACAAGUUUGGGUCGAAUACUCUACCCUCAAAAACUCCUGCGAACCCACGCGCUGGUGGGUCAUCAACAACAUUCUUCUAGUUUCAUUACUCGGGGGUACUAUCAGCACUCUUCUGGUGCCAUUGUAGGAGAAGGUUUGUUGUCAUAAGCAUUCGUCUAGCUAAUGCCAGAGAUUGCACGAUCAACAUUUUUCUGGCGCCGUUGCCGGGGAGGUAUUGCUAUAUUCUCUGAGUCACUUGGGAUUUAUAUCUGCUGAUCACUAUGAAGAAUCUGAAGGAUCCGAAGACCAAAGUCUUGCCCUCCACUACGAGGGGAGGUAAGGAAUUGCCAUCUAGCUCUGCACUUGAUUCACCUUCAGUUAUGAGUAAGUUUGCGACUUCACCUCCUGCUAGAAAUCUUGAUCCAUCGCAUGUGCUUGAUGAUGCUUUUGAUACUACUUCUAGAGAUGCUAUGCUUGAUACUGGUAGAGAUGCUGUGCUUGAUACUAUGCCUGAUGAUACUAUGCUUGAUACUAUGCCUGAUACUGCUAGAGAUGUUAUGCUUGAUACUAUGCCUGAUGAUGCUAGAGAUGCUAUUUUGCCUGAUGAUGCUAUGCUUGAUACUUCUAGAGAUACUCCUUUGCCUGAUGUUCCACUAGGAGUGUUCCUUGAUGCUCAUAUUGCUAGAGUUACUGCCAAUGCUCGUGAUGCUCCUGAAACUGCCAAUACUAUUGAGAUAGAACCUGCUUUUGCUCCUGCUAGAUCUAGCUCUCCUAGAUAUGAAUUGCCUGAUAUACCUGAGGGUUACGUUAUGGAGGGAGAGAUAGCUGAGGAUUUUCUUGCGUGUAAGGAUGCCUAUGAUGCUGAGAAAUUACUUCUCAAGUGGAAGGAGAAAUCUCGUGAAGCUAGGAUGAAAAAUGACCCGAAGUUUGCCACUUCGCCUAUCUUUGUCACCGAUAAGGAUUAUGAAUUCUCUGUCGACCAUGAGAUAAUCUCUUUAGUCGAAUCUGAUCCUUUUCACGGUUAUGAGUCUGAGACGGUCAUAGCCCAUCUUGCCAAACUAUCCGAAAUAGCCAACCUUCUCACUAAUGAGGAGAAGAUCCGCCACUACUAUAUCCUUAAGUUGUUUCCUUUCUCUCUAAAGGAUGAUGCUAAAGCCUGGUUCACCUCCCUCUCUCCUGGAUGUGUGCGUAGUCCCCAGGAGAUGGUCUAUUACUUCUGUGAGAAAUAUUUGCCUGCCCAUAAGAAGCAAGCUGCCUUGCAGGAAAUAUACAACUUUGCUCAACUCCAAGCAGAGAGUCUUCCACAAGCUUGGGGGAGGCUCGUCCAGCUAUAGAAUGCUUUGCCUGAUCACCCUCUUAAGAAGAAUGAGAUACUUGAUAUCCUCUAUAAUGGACUUACCGAUGCCUCUAGGGACUACUUAGAUAGUUGUGUCGGUUGUGUUUUUAGGGAACAAACUGUAGAACAAGCUGAGACCCUACUGAAUCACAUCCUGAUCAACGAUAAUGCUUUGACUAUUCCCGAACCACCUCCUAAGCCAACUCCUAAGAAAAGAGGUAUUGUAUUCCUCGGUCUCGAAGAUAUGCAAGAAGCCAAGAAAUCUAUGCAAGAGAAAGGCAUUAGAUCCGAAUAUCUCAAAAAUCUACCACCUAUCGAAGAGAUCCAUGGUCUCGAUAACCUUAUACAGGUAGUAGAAGUGAAUUCUCUGCGUAGGUUUGACGAGAGUGAUAUUCCUUUUGAUAAACCUGCUAGCCUAUGCUUUGAUGAAUUUGAAAACUUUGUUGCCAAACAACAGAGUUUCAAUGAUUAUGUUAGCAGACAUUUGGAACGAAGUACUCAUAUGCUUAGCCAUCUAAGUGCUUGUGUAGACAGAAAAAAUCAACGAUCUGAAGCUUCUGAGUAAACAUGCCUCUAUGAUUACUACUCAGGUAGAACAAGUACUUAAAGCUUAGAAUGACCUGCUCAAUGAAUUAAAUGACAACUCUGUCAAAAUCAUUACUAGAGGACGCAAAAUGACUCAGGAACCUUUGUAUCCUGAAGGUCAUCCUAAGAGAAUUGAUCAAGAUUCUCAAGGAAUCAAUGCUGAUACACCUAGUCAUCCUAAGGAGAAGAAGAAGGAUGAUAGAAGCCUACACGCCAGUUCACCAAAUACUAUCACACCUGAAGAACCUAAUGAUAUUUUUGCGUCUGGUGCAGAAACACAAUCAGGUGAUGAACAUGAACCUGGUGACAACAUGGACAGUGAUGUUCGUAAUGAUGCUCAACAUAGCAAUGACGAGGAUGUGGAGAUUGAACCUAUGGUUAAUCCUGAUAAUCCACAACCUAAGAGAUACGACAAGAAUGACUUCUCUGCUAGGAAGCAUGGUAAAGAAAGAGAGCCAUGGGUUCAGAGACCUAUGCCCUUUCCUCCUAAACCAUCCAAGAAAAAGGAUGAUGAGGAUUUUGAGCGCUUCGUUGAGAUGAUAAGACCCGUCUUUCUGCAGAUGCGGUUAACUGAUAUGCUCAAGAUGUCUCCGUAUGCCAAGUACAUGAAAGAUAUCGUGACUAAUAAACAGAAGAUACCACAUCUUGAGAUCUCCACCAUGCUUGCCAACUACACUUUCAAAGGUGGAACUCCUAAGAAACUUGGUGAUCCCGGAGUGCCCACUAUACCUUGCUCCAUUAAAGGAAACUAUGUAAGAACUGCCUUAUGUGACCUUGGAGCCGGUAUUAGUGUUAUGUCGCUCUCUCUUUAUCGUAGACUUGAGUUGGAUAAGUUGACACCCACUGAAAUUUCUCUGCAAAUGGCCGACAAAUCAACUGCUUUCCCUAUCGACAUUUGCGAGGAUGUGCCUGUUGUGGUUGCUAAUACCACUAUCUUAACAGACUUUGUUAUCUUGGAUAUUCCCGACGACGAUGCCAUGGCUAUCAUCCUCGGAAGACCCUUUCUAAAUACUGCAGGGGCUGUUAUAGAUUGCAACAAAGGCAAUGUCACUUUCCAUGUCAACGGUAAUGAGCACACCGUGCACUUUCCGAAGAAACGAUAUCCAGUACAUUGCAUCAAUGCUAUCGAAAAGACUUCAUCGAUUCUCAUUGGGAGCUUUGAAUGCCCUAUUCCUCGUGUCAAGAUGAAGUAUGAUUUUCUUGUUGGGGAGAUACGUAUCCCCAUUGAGGUGACUUAGUGGCUAUUCGAAAAUUCUCCGUUCUCUCUUGCGACUCGAGAAGGUUUUUUCAUAAGGACUUGAUCAAUCCCAUUGACGGAUUUCUUUCGAUGACCAUGAAACGGAUGAAUCAAGGAGUCACAUACCUCUGUUUUGAGUUUACUUUUUCUGUUGCUUAGAAGAAAAAUGAUAGAACUAGUUUAGUUUUUCCUGCUUUCUGUUUUACCGUCCCGGAGAAAAAUACCUCAAAACUAAAAGUUCUCCGAUGGUCCUAAAAAUUUAGUAUGAUUUUUUCUGGAAUUUUUGAAAAUUUCUGGGCCUGAGAGCUGGCCUGGGGGCCAGACCAGUGGGCCACAAGCCCCCCACCGCCACCUACCCCCCUGGUGCCGGGGUGCAAGCUUGUGGGGCCCACUGGCACCCCCUCCACUCAUUCCAGCUCCCAGCCUCUUCUUCUACCUCCAGAAAAAAAAUGUUUCGCAUCUCAAACCCGUGUUCUUGCUCAUUUGGCUGUGAUUUUCGAUCUCCUUGCUCAAAGCACCACUCUCCGAACUGUUUUGGGGAAACUACUCCUUGGUAAGUGACUCCUCCAUUGGUCCAAUUAGUUUUUGCUCUAGUGCUUUAUCCUUCGUGUAUUCUUGCUACCUUGGUGACCCUGUUCUUGAGCUAUAAAUGUUGAUUUUAGCUGGUCCCAAGUAGUUUUAGCGCGUGAUACGGUCUCUAGGCACUAGUAGGAGUAGUUGCUACAAGUUGGGUUAAUCCUUAUUCACCUUUCUUUCAAAGUCUCUAAAAAUUUCAGAAUUUUUCAGAGCUAGAAAAGGGAAAAGAUGAGGAGGUUCUUGAGAGGCUCUUCAAGUCGUAACCCCAAGGAGGACGAGAAGAAUCACCCCAAGUACGCACUCCCUCGAGUCACAGAAGUUCGAGCGUGCGAGUGGCCAAGUGAUGAAUUUUUGCGCGCCGCCGGACUUUAUGAAGACUUUUAUUACUUGGUGGAGAACGGAGGUCUUACUGCGUUCUUUGAAGAUAAGUUCCCACAAUAUCUCCUCCUAACCAAUAUUUUCGUUCAAAGCUUCAACUUUUAUCCAAGAAAGAAUCCUCCCAUGGUUGAGUUCAUGAUAUAUUUUCGUGCAAAGCUUUAAUUUCUAUCCAAGGAAGAAUCCUCCUAUGGUUGAGUUCAAAUUAUAUGAUAUCCCCCAGCGCAUGUCACCUCAAGAUUUUUGCAAUGUAUGCAAAUUACCUUAUGUUGGGGAUAUCCGUGACCCUCGUCCACGGGACUUGGAGGAUUUCAUUGGUUCUAUUGUUGUUGGAGAGGAGAGAGGAGUGUCUCGCGCUAGAAUUGCUAGUAUACAUUUUCCUGUGCUUCGGUACUUCUCACUAUUUGUGGGAAAAUGUUUGAUUGGCCGUGGGGAGGCUGUAUCACUUAGUUCUACAGACCUUGCGGGUUUGCGCGAAGACCUUUAUAACGAUAAGACUUAUAGCUUGGGCGCUAUAGUAGCUCAACGGUUGAACCUGAACCAUUCUAAAGGUGUUGUCUAUGGAGGUAUCUAUGCUACCCGUCUUGCCAGACACUUUGAGAUACCGAUUAGACUGGGAGAGGAAGGAGAGAUGCUUCUCCCUGAGAGAUAUCUGGAUUAUGACAGCAUGGUUCGCCAUGAUUUUCUGGAUAGAGAUGCUAGUAGACGGAUGAUUUAUAACCUGGUGUUUAGUCAGGGUACUCGAGAGACUAGUACUUUGCCUGCUCCUUCUUUGUUCGAUCUUCAUGCAGGCAGGUACACUAUUAUGCCCGCGGACAUCUACGCAUAUUGGGGCUUGGCCCAACCACAGGCGCCCGUGCCCGAGCCGCCAAUCGAGUACCAGACGCCAGUUUAUCAGUGGGAGCCAGAGGAGCUCGCACAGUAGUGGCAUCCACAGUCUACUCCAGAGUAUCCUGGAGCUGGUUAUUUCCCACCAUGGGAGUAGACCAAGCUAGGCCAAAAGCCUAAGAUUGGGGGAGUACGUGUUCUCACCGACUUUAGAUUCAUGCUUAUGCUUUCACUUUGUUAGCCGGUGUUUACACUUUGCCACUGUAUUAUCCAUGCUAAUUUCUUUUCGUUUUCUUGUUUUCUCGUUUUGUGUCCUUUUGAGAAAACCCAAAAAGAUUUUUCUUUCUUCUUUUGCUUGUUGGGAGCUUUCCCGUGUAAAUAGCUUUCUUUUUCUUUGUGUCGAGGUAGAAGAUAUUGGUUACGAUGUUUAGUGGUUCUUACAUGCUUACCUGUUUAGCUUUCAAAGAGCCAUAUUACUUUGUCUUCUCCUUUGUGUUUGCCUGCAGAUUCAGCUUAGUCCAAUGCGCUUAUUAUUGUUCACAUCGUUCGAUCGUGCAAAUGAAAGGCAACAAUGAUGAUAUAUGAUGAAGUGACUGAGACUGAAAAGCUGGUAUGAACUCUAUCUAUUUUGUUUUUGUAAAUAUGACUAGCUUGUUGACCCAGAUUUAGCUUUGUUGUGAGAGAACCAUGUUUGCAAUGACAACUUAGAGAUCAUAGUUUCUGAUGCCAUGCUUAUUUAGCUGAGAGCUUAUAAUGAUUUGUCUUGAAUGCCAACAUAGAUUUUGAGAUGACUAUGAUGUAGUGUGAUAGGAUGGUAUUCUCCUUUGAAUGUUUCAAGUGCCUUGACUUGGCGCAUGUUCAUGCAUGUAUUUGAAACAAAAUCAACAUAGCCUCUAUGAUGUUCGUGUUCAUGGUGAUUUAUAUCAUGUUCAUGCUUGCAUUCGAUGUUAGUCAAACUCAUUGCAUCUUGAUGACUGUUGUCGCUCUCUAGUUGGUCGCUUCCCAGUCUUUUGCUAGCCUUCGCUUGUACUAAGCGGAAUACUGCUUGUGCAUCCACUUCCAUAAACCCAAAAGUUUUUCCAUGAGUGUCCACCAUACCUACCUAUUUGCGGUAUCUACCUGCCGUUCCAAGUAAAUUUGCAUGUGCCAUUCUCUAAACCUUCAAGAAAUAAUCUGUUUUGCAUGCCCGAACCGCUCAUGUGGUGACAGAGAGCUAUUGGUAUCUUCCAUGCUAGGAGUGUUAUCCUCGACAUGUGUUUAUUCACAGUCAUUCACAAGAAAGGCGUCGGUAUUUGGGAUGCCCAGUUCCAUGCUUAAAUCGAAAACAUAACUGUAAAACAAGACUCCCCCCAGAUUGAUGUUAGUAUGGACGGUACCCGAGGAUUCGGCUAGCUGUGGAGUCUGAUUGAUUGGCGGUGGGGGGUUAAAACUUUACUUUUCUAUUUGGGAACCGCCUAUAGCAUGAGUAGCAUGGAAGAUAUUGAGAACUCUUGGUCAUUGCGUUGACAAUGAAAGCAUGCCACCCAAAAUUAUUAUCUCUGUUUUCAAAGCUUGAGCGCUGGCACCUCUGCAAAUCAAUGCUUCCCUCUGCGAAGGGCCUGUCUAUUUAUUUUCCUGUCGAGUCAUCCUCCUCUUAUAUAAGCACCAAUUAGAGAGCACCUCUGUCAUUUUUAUGCUUUGCUUUUGACUGAUAUUGAGUAUGACUAUGACUGGAUCUUCGUUGCUAUGAAUUACAAUGUUUAGUCAGCCCUUGAUCUUUGAAAGUGUUCUGCAUUUAUGUUUUGCGAUCUCAGAAAGAGCUAGCGAGAUACCACCUAUUCAUAUUGCUUCAUGCUUGUUUUGAUUGAAGUGUUGGUAUUUGAAACUCAUUAUUAUAUGCUCGUUAGCUGAUUAUGCCAUUGAUAUUAGUUUACCGUGAGACCUUUGUGUCAUUUGCUUAUGUGGUUAACUUGUGAUCUUGCUGAAAUUCUGGUUAUGAGUUAGACAUAGUUGCAACAACAAGAUCAAACAGAGUUUGUCAAAGUUUUUCUUUCUCUCACAAUUUGUCAACUGACUUGCUUGAGGACAAGCAAGGUUUUAAGCUUGGGGGAGUUGAUACGUCUCCAACGUAUCUACUUUUCCAAACUCUUUUGCCCUUGUUUUGGACUAUAAUUUGCAUGACUUGAAUGGAACUAACCUGGACUGACGCUGUUUUCAGCAGAAUUGCCUUGGUGUUAUUUUUGUGCAGAAAUCAGAGUUCUCCAAACGUCUUGAAAAUUUACGGGGAGCAGAUUUGGAAAAUAUCAAAAAUAUUUGCGCCAAGUUCCACCUCAGGGGGUGGGCCAGUGGGCCACAAGCCCCUGCUCCGCCACCACCCCCCUUGGUGGUGGUGGGCAGGCUUGUGGGGCCCACGGGCACCUCCGCCCCCAACUCCAGCUCUAUAAGUUGCCUUUCGUUCCAGAAAAAAUAAAAAGAGAAGUUUUCGUCGCGUUUUCAAUACGGAGGCGCCGCCACCACCUGUUCUUCAUCUGGAGGGCAGAUCUGGAGUCCGUCUUGGGCUCCGGAGAGGGGAAAUCGUCGCCAUCGUCAUCAUCAACCCUCUUCCCUCUCCAAUUCCAUGAAGCUCUUCGUCGUUCGUGAGUAAUCUAUUCGUAGGCUCGCUGGGCGGUGAUGAGUAGGAUNNNNNNNNNNNNNNNNNNNNNNNNNNNNNNNNNNNNNNNNNNNNNNNNNNNNNNNNNNNNNNNNNNNNNNNNNNNNNNNNNNNNNNNNNNNNNNNNNNNNAUCCAUGCUAUAAUUGUAUUGAUUGGAAACACAAUACUUGUGUGGAUACAUAGACAAAACAUUGUCCCUAGUAAGCCUCUAGUUGACUAGCUCGUUGAUCAAAGAUGGUCAAGGUUUCCUGGCCAUAGGCAAGUGUUGUUACUUGAUAACGGGAUCACAUCAUUAGGAGAAUCAUGUGAUGGACUAGACCCAAACUAAUAGACGUAGCAUGUUGAUCGUGUCAUUUUGUUGCUACUGUUUUCUGCAUGUCAAGUAUUUGUUCCUAUGACCAUGAGAUCAUAUAACUCACUGACACCGGAGGAAUGCUUUGUGUGUAUCAAACGUCGCAACGUAACUGGGUGACUAUAAAGAUGCUCUACAGGUAUCUCCGAAGGUGUUAGUUGAGUUAGUAUGGAUCGAGACUGGGAUUUGUCACUCCGUGUGACGGAGAGGUAUCUCGGGGCCCACUCGGUAAUACAACAUCACACACAAGCCUUGCAAGCAAUGUGACUUAGUGUAAGUUGCGGNNNNNNNNNNNNNNNNNNNNNNNNNNNNNNNNNNNNNNNNNNNNNNNNNNNNNNNNNNNNNNNNNNNNNNNNNNNNNNNNNNNNNNNNNNNNNNNNNNNNNNNNNNNNNNNNNNNNNNNNNNNNNNNNNNNNNNNNNNNNNNNNNNNNNNNNNNNNNNNNNNNNNNNNNNNNNNNNNNNNNNNNNNNNNNNNNNNNNNNNNNNNNNNNNNNNNNNNNNNNNNNNNNNNNNNNNNNNNNNNNNNNNNNNNNNNNNNNNNNNNNNNNNNNNNNNNNNNNNNNNNNNNNNNNNNNNNNNNNNNNNNNNNNNNNNNNNNNNNNNNNNNNNNNNNNNNNNNNNNNNNNNNNNNNNNNNNNNNNNNNNNNNNNNNNNNNNNNNNNNNNNNNNNNNNNNNNNNNNNNNNNNNNNNNNNNNNNNNNNNNNNNNNNNNNNNNNNNNNNNNNNNNNNNNNNNNNNNNNNNNNNNNNNNNNNNNNNNNNNNNNNNNNNNNNNNNNNNNNNNNNNNNNNNNNNNNNNNNNNNNNNNNNNNNNNNNNNNNNNNNNNNNNNNNNNNNNNNNNNNNNNNNNCGUUCUCUAACGCUUCUGCUGUAUGGUCUACAAGGGUACGUAGAUCACUCAUCCCCUCUCGUAGAUGGACAUCACCAUGAUAGGUCUUCGUGCGCGUAGGAAAAUUUUUGUUUCCCAUGCGACGUUCCCCAACAGUGGCAUCAUGAGCUAGGUUCAUGCGUAGAUGUCUUCUCGAGUAUAACACAAAAGUUUUUGUGGGCGGUGAUGUGCGUUUUGCUGCCCUCCUUAGUAUUUUCUUGAUUCCGCGGUAUUGUUGGAUUGAAGCGGCUUGGACCGACAUUACUCGUACGCUUACGAGAGACUGGUUUCAUCGCUACGAGUAACCCCGUUGCUCAAAGAUGACUGGCAAGUGUUGGUUUCUCCAACUUUAGUUGAAUCGGAUUUGACCGAGGAGGUCCUUGGAUGAGGUUAAAUAGCAACUCAUAUAUCUCCGUUGUGGUGUUUGCGUAAGUAAGAUGCGAUCCUACUAGAUACCCUUGGUCACCACGUAAAACAUGCAACAACAAAAUUAGAGGACGUCUAACUUGUUUGUGCAGGGUAUGCUUGUGAUGUGAUAUGGCCAACGAUGUGAUGUGAUAUAUUGGAUGUAUGAGAUGAUCAUGUUGUAAUAGAUAAUAUCGACUUGCACGUCGAUGGUACGGCAACCGGCAGGAGCCAUAGGGUUGUCUUUAUAACUAACGUUUGUGCUUGCAGAUGCGUUUACUAUUUUGCUAGGACGUAGCUUUAGUAGUAAUAGCAUGAGUAGCACGACAACCCCGAUGGCGACACGUUGAUGGAGAUCAUGGUGUGACACCGGUGACAAGAAGAUCGUGCCGGUGCUUUGGUGAUGGAGAUCAAGAAGCACGUGAUGAUGGCCAUAUCAUGUCACUUAUAAAUUGCAUGUGAUGUUAAUCCUUUUAUGCACCUUAUUUUGCUUAGAACGACGGUAGCAUUAUGAGGUGAUCUCUCACUAAAAUUUCAAGACGAAAUUGUGUUCUCCCCGACUGUGCACCGUUGCUACAGUUCGUCGUUUCGAGACACCACGUGAUGAUCGGGUGUGAUAGACUCAACGUUCACAUACAACGGGUGCAAAACAGUUGCGCACGCGGAACACUCGGGUUAAGCUUGACGAGCCUAGCAUGUGCAGACAUGGCCUCGGAACACNNNNNNNNNNNNNNNNNNNNNNNNNNNNNNNNNNNNNNNNNNNNNNNNNNNNNNNNNNNNNNNNNNNNNNNNNNNNNNNNNNNNNNNNNNNNNNNNNNNNCUCCAACACCUCCGGCGGUCGAGGCCCUCCCGGGUUCCUCCCUGGCCGGUCGACCCAGGGCAGGGGCCUUCCCCCCGUCGCGCCCCCUUCCUCCCGCUCGGUCCAGGAGGGACCGGGCAGGGAGACAGGCCCCCUCGGCCCCUUCACCCCGUCGGCGAGCCCCUCCCCCACCGGGCUUCCCCUACACCUCUUCCUCGCUGGAACGGCCGUCACCGUCCUCACCGGAACCGCGCCGUCACCAUCACCGCCUCGUCCUCCUCCUCGCCGUCACCUCUGCUUCCCGCGAACUCCGGCUUCAUCGGGCCGUCUCGUCAACGUUGGUGAGCCCCUCCUCGGGCUCCUCCCACCAUCGCGUUCCCUCACCGUCCCGGUUCCGUUCCGGCAAACGGGACCCCGAUCCGUCGAUGGUAGACUCCGGUAGGAAGGAUUGAACAUUUAGUUCUUCUAUGUUGAGUUAGCAGAGAGUUGUGUUCUUUGUCUUUGUGUUAACAGAGAGAGAGAGAUGAGAGUGUUGUUGAGUUAAAAGAAAAUAAAAACAAAUGUUGUAUUCCGUAUGUAUGUAUGUAUGUAUUUGAUACCCGUAUUUAUGUAUGUAUUGCGUAUAUAGAUAUUGGAGGAAUACGAUAUUUGCACGGUUAGGUAUCUAUAAAAAAAUGAGUAAAUAGCCUUAGGCCACUUACCGGUGGGGCCAACGCACCCGCUGUCUAUGACAGGGAGGCCCCACGCAAUAGUUAAUAUCGGUAAUAAAAAUAUAUGUUUUUAUUAAAUAAACAAAUAAAUAGAUAUAAUANNNNNNNNNNNNNNNNNNNNNNNNNNNNNNNNNNNNNNNNNNNNNNNNNNNNNNNNNNNNNNNNNNNNNNNNNNNNNNNNNNNNNNNNNNNNNNNNNNNNCUCACGGGAAGAUAUCACAACACAACUCUAGACACAAAUAAAAUAACAUCAGCUUCAUAAUACAAGCCAGGGGCCUCGAGGGCUAGAAUACGAAAGCUCGAUAAACACACGAGUCAGCGGAAGCAACAAAUAUCUGAGUACAGACAUAAACAUGGGGUGCCUUAGAGAAGGCUAGCACAAAAGAUACAACGAUCGAACGAGGCGAGGCCUCCUGCCUGGGAACCUCCUAACUACUCCUGAUCAUCAGCGGCCUCCACGUAGUACUAGGCACCGUCGGGGUAGCAGUCGUCGGUGGCGGGGACCUCCAUCUCCUGGGCUCCAUCAUCUGGUCGCAGCAAACGGAUCAAGGGGACAAGGGGGAGCAAAGCAGCGGUGAGUACUCAUCCAAAGUACUCACAAGUCUUACAUCAGAACUAUUCUAAAUAUGCAUCAGUAUCAAAGAAGGGGGUUAUAUGUGGACUGACUGCAGCAAUGCGAGAAUAGAGAGAGAAGAUCUAGUCCUAUCGAAGACUAGCAUCUUCAGGGUCUUGCAGCAAAAGACAAGAGUAGAACAGGGGGGUAAAACAUUAAUAGUCAUAUUGUUGCAGCAAUAAUAAAGUGAGGUCACGCCUAAAGAUCCUCCCUCGACUCCCUGCGAGGAAGCAAUCCCGAGCCAAACUAAUUCCAGUUAAGUAACAAUUGUAGUUGUAUAAGAUCGGGGCACAACUCCAAGUCGUCCUGUAACCGUGGACACGGCUAUCCGAAUAGUUAAUUUUCAUCCCUGCAGGGGUGCACCACAUGUCCCGUCACGCUCGAUAACACUCUGGCCGGACAUACUUUUCUGGGUCCUGCCCGGCCUCGGAAUAUCGACACGUCGCAGCCCCACCUAAGACUAAUCAGAGAGGCAAGCCCGCCGGUCUAACUCCUAAGCACAAAGGGUUCGUGGGCCCAGUUCCCCUUCACGCUCCUGCACGUGGCGUGGGCGGCCGACGUCAGUCCUAGCAUCCCUUAAUCACAAGCGNNNNNNNNNNNNNNNNNNNNNNNNNNNNNNNNNNNNNNNNNNNNNNNNNNNNNNNNNNNNNNNNNNNNNNNNNNNNNNNNNNNNNNNNNNNNNNNNNNNNUNGGGGGCGGUGCGAGGGAGGUGGGCGACGCGGGGAAUGGGCCGGUGAGGGGGAGGUGGGAGACGCGGGGAGGGGGCCGACAGGGGGGAGGAGAUCGGCAUGGGAAGGGGGCCGACACGAGAAGGGGCGGUGUCGGGAGGGGGUAGCCGCAGUGAUGGGGGCGACGUGAGGGAGCCGAUGUGGGGAUGGGGGCCGCACGGGGUGGAGGCGGUGUGGUGGUGGGUGUUGCNNNNNNNNNNNNNNNNNNNNNNNNNNNNNNNNNNNNNNNNNNNNNNNNNNNNNNNNNNNNNNNNNNNNNNNNNNNNNNNNNNNNNNNNNNNNNNNNNNNNNNNNNNNNNNNNNNNNNNNNNNNNNNNNNNNNNNNNNNNNNNNNNNNNNNNNNNNNNNNNNNNNNNNNNNNNNNNNNNNNNNNNNNNNNNNNNNNNNNNNNNNNNNNNNNNNNNNNNNNNNNNNNNNNNNNNNNNNNNNNNNNNNNNNNNNNNNNNNNNNNNNNNNNNNNNNNNNNNNNNNNNNNNNNNNNNNNNNNNNNNNNNNNNNNNNNNNNNNNNNNNNNNNNNNNNNNNNNNNNNNNNNNNNNNNNNNNNNNNNNNNNNNNNNNNNNNNNNNNNNNNNNNNNNNNNNNNNNNNNNNNNNNNNNNNNNNUGUGGUGGUGGGUGUUGCAUGGGAAGGGGGUGGCGUCGGGAGGGGUAGCCGCGAUGAUGGGAGUGGUGAGGGGGAGCCAACAUGGGAAGGGGGGUGCGCGGGGUGGGGGCGACACGGAGGAGGGGAAGCCACCGGGAGGGGGCGGCACAGUCGUGGUGGUGUGGCGGCGCGGGGAGGAGAGGCAAGUGGAGAUGAGGCACGGGGUGGGGGCGGCGCGAUGGUGGGGGCGGCGCCGGUGGCGAUGAGAGUGGGGAUCGGGGGAGAGGGAGAGAAAGAGUGGGGAUCGGGGUGGGGAGACCUAGGUGAGGCGCCGUUAGUGGAGAGGUGGGGCGCCGUCCCCCUUUGCCGUCCGUCUGGGAAUCAUGCAGACGACAAAGAGUGUUUGGGCGGACGACACAGAGGCCCGAGAUGGCAAAGGUGACGGCUCAAGCCGCGUUGACUCUGUGACAACCCGAUACUGACGUUCUAGAAGAUUCCCCUUCUAUNNNNNNNNNNNNNNNNNNNNNNNNNNNNNNNNNNNNNNNNNNNNNNNNNNNNNNNNNNNNNNNNNNNNNNNNNNNNNNNNNNNNNNNNNNNNNNNNNNNNAUCCUACUCAUCACCGCCGAGCGAGCCUAUGAAUAGAUUACUCACGAACGACGAAGAGCUUCAUGGAAUUGGAGAGGGAAGAGGGUUGAUGAUAAUGAUGGCGACGAUUUCCCCUCUCCGGAGCCCAAGAUGGACUCCAGAUCUGCCCUCGAGAUGAAGAACAGGUGGUGGCGGCGCCUCCGUAUCGAAAACGCGACGAAAACUUCUCUUUUUAUUUUUCUGGGACGAAAGGCAACUUAUAGAGCUGGAGUUGGGGCGGAAGGUGCAUGUGGUCCCCACAAGCCUGCCCACCACCACUAGGGGGGUGGUGGCGGAGCAGGGGCUUGUGGCCCACUGGCUCACCCCCUGAGGUGGAACUUGGCGCAUAUAUUUUUGAUAUUUUCCAAAACUACUCCCCGUAAAUUUUCAGGACGUUUGGAGAACUUUGAUUUCUGCACAAAAAUAACACCAAGGUAAUUCUGCUGAAAACAGCGUCAGUCCAGGUUAGUUCCAUUCAAAUCAUGCAAAUUAUAGUCCAAAACAAGGGCAAAAGAGUUUGGAAAAGUAGAUACGUUGGAGACAUAUCAACCAUCUCCUGUUUUUUGUCUCACAACCACCACCACACUCUAUUCCACCUAUAGUGCUAUAUCCAUGUCUCAAGCUCAUGUAUUGUGUGAUAGUUGAAAAUAGGUUUGAGAAAGUAAGAGUGCGAAAACAAUUACUUGGCCAAUACCGGGGUUAUGCAUGAUUUACAUUAGUUGUGUGGGGAUGAUGGAGCAUAGCUAGACUAUAUGAUUUUGUAGGGAUAACUUUCUUUGGCCUUGUUAUUUCGAAAGUUCAUGAUUACCUUGCUAGUUUUCUUGAAGCAUUAUUGUUUCCAUGUCAAUAGCAAACUAUUGUUUUGAAUCUUACAGAUCUGAACAUUCAUGUCACAUGAAAGAAGUUACAAAGGACAACUAUGCUAGGUAGCAUUCCACAUCAAAAAUUCAGUCUUUAUCACUUCCCUACUCGAGGACGAGCAGGAGUUAAGCUUGGGGAUGCUUAAUACAUCUCAAACGUAUCUAUAAUUUUUGAUGGUUUCAUGCUAUUAUCUUGUCAAACUUUGGAUGUUUUGUAUGCCUUUUAUAUCUUUUUUGGGACUAAAUUAUCAACUCAGUGCCAAGUGCCACUUCCUGUUUUUUCCGUGUUUUUGACCCCUUUCAGAGGAGGAUUUUAAACGGAGUCCAAACGGAAUGAAACUUCCAAAAAGAUUUUUUCCGAAACAGAAGACGAUCGGGAGACUUGAGAACCAAGGCAGAGGGUCAACAGGGACCCCACAAGCCCCCUAGCCGCGGCCAGGGGGGUCGUGCCUCCCAGGCUUGUGGGCUCCCUGGGCCUCCUCUACCCUAGGUCUUUCGCCUAUAUAUUCCCUAAAAUCCCAGAAAAAAUCAGGGGAGCCACGAAAAUAAUUUUCCGCCGCCGCAAGCUUCUGUCUCCGCAAGAUCCCAUCUGGGGCACGUUCUGGUGCCCUGCCGGAGGGGGGAUUCGGAUACGGAGGGCUUCUUCAUCAACACCAUGACCUCUUCGAUGAUGCGUGAGUAGUUCACCAUAGACCUACGGGUCCAUAGCUAGUAGCUUGAUGGCUUCUUCUCUCUCUUGGAUCUUCAAUACAAAGUUGUCCAUGAUCUUCAUGGAGAUCUAUCCGAUGUAAUCUUCUUUUGCGGUGUGUUUGUCGAGAUCCGAUGGAUUGUGGAUUUAUGAUCAGAUUAUCUAUGAAUCUUAUUUGAGUUUCUUCUUAUCUCCCUUAUGCAUGAUUUCAUACCCUUAUAAUUCUCUUCGAGUUGUGGGUUUUGUUUGGCCAGCUUGAUCUAUGAUUCUUGCAAUGGGAGAAGUGCUUGGUUUUGGGUUCAUACCGUGCGGUGACCUCAUCCAAUGACAGAAGGGGUAGCGAGACACGCAUCAUUUUGUUGCCAUCAAGGGUAAAAAGACUGGGUUUUCAUUAUUGGUUUGAGUUUAUCCCCCUACAUCAUGUCAUCUUGCUUAAGGCGUUACUCUAUUGGUCAUGAACUCAAUACACUAGAUGCAUGCUGGAUAGCGGUCGAUGUGUGGAGUAAUAGUAGUAGAUGCAGAAAGUAUCGGUCUACUUGUCUCGGACGUGAUGCCUAUAUGUAUGAUCAUUGCCUUAGAUAUCUUCAUGACUUUGCGCGGUUCUAUCAAUUGCUCGACAGUAAUUUGUUCACCCACCGUGAUAUUUGCUAUUUUGAGAGAAGCCUCUAGUGAACACUACGGCCCCCGGGUCUACUUCACACCAUAUUUUCAGCCUUACACUUUUACUUCGUUGCACUUUCCGCCUCCAGAUCUCACUUUGCAAUCAAUCUUGAAGGGAUUGACAACCCCUUUAUAGCGUUGGGUGUAAGCUCUUUUGUGUUUGCGCACGUACUCUGGACUUGACAAGAUUCUCCUACUGGAUUGAUACCUUUGUUCUCAAACUGAGGGAAAUACUUACUGCUCCUGUGCUGCAUCACCCUUUCCUCUUCAAGGGAAAAACCAACGCAAGCAAGUCUCCGUCAACGUGUCAAUUUCUCGCGUUGUUGUUUGAGAAGUAGCAGGGUUUUCCACUAAGGAGUCCGACGAGAUCGCGAGUUUCGUGAUCGAGGAUUUCUAUGCGGCUUGUGGUAAUUUGUGAUUGAUUAGUUGAAGCACCCCUGCAGGGUUUAGUCUUUUGGAAAGCCAUCCCCGCGGUUAUGUGGCAGCGUGGAAACUUUGUCUAACACUGGUUCUAGACAACUUGAAGUUAACUUAAUUAAAACAUGCCAACUGAGUGCGUAACCGUGAUUGUCUCUUUCGUGGGUCCUUCUCCGAUCGAGGACACGGUGGGGUUAUGUCUGACGUAAGUAGGUGUUCAGGAUCAUUCAUUUGAUCAUCAGUAGUUCACGUCCAUUAUGCGUUGAUCAUCCCCCUCUUUAUUCUUGUACUCGUAAGUUUUAGCCACCUCAUAUAAUGCUUAGUCGCUGCCGCAACCUCACCACUUAACCAUGCCUCACCCAUUAAGCUUUGCUAGUCUUGAUACCUUUGGAAAUGAGAUUGUUGAGUCCUUGUGGCUUGCAGAUUACUACAACACCAGUUGCAGGUACAUGUAAAGGUUACUUGACGCGAGCGCGUUGAUUGUUCAUUUGGAGUUGCUUCUUCUUCUUCUUCUCCAUCGAUCUAGGAUGGGCUCCAGGCCGACAGCAUGGGAUAGCAAGGAUGGACGUCGUUCUUCUUUUCUCGUUUGUUUUCGUCCGUAGUCAGACCCUGCUCUUCUUCAUGAUGAUUAUGUAUUGUACUGAUGUGACUCUGAUGUAGCUUGUUGCGAGUGUAAGCCAAUACCAUAUAUCUCAUCUUUUCAGUACAUGUACUUGUAACGAUAUCCAUUCUUGCAAAACGACGAGAUGCGCUUCUAUCCCUGACGAGGCCCUCGUGCCAAAUUGAGGAUAGAAUCGCAUCUUGGGCGUUACAAGUUGGUAUCAGAGCAGUACCGACCUAGGAGCCCCCUUGAUUGAUCGAACUUGGCCGAGUCGAGUCUAGUGAAAAAUUUCUUUGAGUCUAGUUAUAUAUCGGAGAGUAGGAUUCUUUUUUUCUCCUCUUCUAUGCUCUGGUGAGGAAUCUUGACGUAAUAAUUUAAUUCUACUCCUCUUCUCACUCAAAAAAAUUUAGGAUCUCGCGGAUAUUUUUGGAAUCUAAAUGAUGUCGAUGUGACGGAGUUCUGUCUUGGUGCCUCGUGUCUGACUUGAUUUCUUCGAGAGAGUUGAGCUCCAGGGGAUUUUUGAGCACAUCGCUAUCAUUCAAACUUCUUAGUAUCUCAGGACGAAGGAUGUUCGAAAUUGCUUCAAUACUAGUAGUGGCGAGAAGAGUCUGGCUUCCCCAGUACUGGUGCAUAGAGUUCCGGAUGUAUAGCCAUACUUAGUAUCGUUGUGAUCACGAGUGUCUGUGAUAGAUGAGUUUCCGAAAUUCUGGUUAUGUGUUGAUGUAUGUGAUACACUGGACAGGUUAGUAUAGGAGUUGAGUGAUAUAUUACUCCUUGUAUCCGUGGACCAGAUUGCAUGACCAGAAAUUUCGGGAGUUCUUAGGUGGGAAUUCAAGUAGUUGCUUAUAGGACAAUCUUCCAACCAAUGCAUGAUGUUAGGUUGGGGUUCGACAUCUAGUGGAUUCGUUUGUUCACGGUCGACUUAUAGCGGUUCUCGUUGUGUCUUAAAGAUUCCUUGUAGCUUGCUACGACUCAGGGAUGCUUCGUAUGUCGUGUGCACUGCCUUGCACAAGAUGGCUACUAUAAGGAUCGAGCCCGUGCGAUCCUGUUCACGAAAAUAUCGAAUGGAAAUCUAUCUCUUGAAUUUGUUCUGGCUUGUUUCAUAAGCCUCAUCCUUUGUUUUGUUGGAGUAUGGUAAUUCGAGUUGCUUCGAUGUCAAGUGGUGAUUUCAUAUAUUUCCUAAGCAGUGUUCUCAUAUUCAUAUGAGAGUGUUAAUUCUUUUGCUCUAUCAAUUGUCUUAUCAAUUCUUGUCAACCGGAGUUGUGGUGUCAGUUCUUCUUCAACCGGUGUGCUUCUCUUCAAUCAAUUUUAUCCUCUCCAAUUCUGCAAAGAUCAGUCUCUCUUUCCUUUCCGGAGUUUCUCUCAGUUGUCCCAAGUUGUCUUUGUUUUCCCGCCCUCCCGCCCUUUUUCUUCAGUGAUUAGUUUUUAUCCAAGAGUUUCUUUUCAUUGUGCUUCCUCUAUCUUUUCUUCCGUGUCCUAUCCGGUGAUUCUUUGUGAAGAUUCUCACGAGUUUCAUGUUCAUCAUUUUUGUCAUUCUUGUCACCUUUCCGGUGAAUCCAGUUUAGUUAUCCGUGUCAUCAUAUCCUUUUCAUCUUUCAAUUUUUCCCAUGUUGGAAAUUCUUGUUCAUCCUAUCUUGUUUAUUCAUUCCUCUCUUUCCUAUCCGGAGUGUUGAAGUUAUCUCAUAAGUUUCUUGUUUUCAAAUCUUUCAAUUAUUUCGAGGUGCUCACCUCAUUUAGUUUUGUUUAUACCAGUGCAAUAUCUCUUUCUUAGCAAUCUUUCACUGUGGUUUCUUUGAGUGGGCCCAUAACCCACAGGUUCUUCCCAGGAUCUUAUAUAGCUUUUGUAAUCUUUUCUAGAGAUAUCUAACUAUGAUGUAAGUAUGAAUUUCAUCAGUCAUAUUCCUUCUUCAAGAUCAAUUUGAAUUAUUUCUCGUCUUUGGCUCAACCUUUCAUUCUUUAUUAUUCCGGAGUGUCGCAGUUAUUCUUGGUGGUGUUCUCCUCUUCAUUUUCAGCUUGGAAGACCGACGGGGUGUUUCUCUCAAAUCUUGGUUCAUUCUCUUGCAGAUUCAUCAUUUCAGCUUUGUGUUAUCAUCUUGAAUUUUUCCCAAUCAUGAGAAUCUAUUUCUUGCCAUCCGGUGCAUUUCUGAAUUGUUUUCAUUCUCGAUCCUCCGAAGGCCAGCAUUUUAGAAGAUUCUUCAUUCUCAGCUUUCAUCUUUCAUCCUCAAUUCUUCUCAAUUGUUGUCUCUUCGUUCGUCUCUCAAUUAUUUCGGUGCCUUGCUCAAGUAUUUCUCUCAGGUGGCUCAUGAUCUCUUCAUUCUCAUGUAUCUCCAUUCAUUCAUGGUUGCCUCAUUCAUUUCAAUUCUCACAGGUGUCUCCUUCAAGACUUCUUAAAGUUUGUGCUUAUAUUUCUCCUCAAUCAUUUCUAGAAGAAUAAGUGGUACGCUAAAUCCGUUGCUUGUCAUCAAUUAAACUUGAUGAAGAAUAAACAUAACAUAAUUCUUAUUCUUGUUCAUAGUGAUCUGAAUUCUUCUUCCAGAGUGGCUCAUGAUAUCAAUUCUUUGUCUCAAGAUGUUCUUCAAGAUUCUGGUGGUAGUAGUGCUCAUUUUCUUCUUCGUUCCCUCUUUCAAAGAUCUAGUUUAUAUUCUCUUGUUCUAGAGUUGUGGUGAUGUUGCUCAUUUGGGUCAUUCAUGUUGUUCUAUCAAGAUCAUAUUGUUCCCUUGUUCAAUUUAGUUAGUUUGUUGUAAAUUUUCUCAAGAUCUGUCCAUCUUAUCGAAUUUUUGUCCCCUUUUCCUACCGAAGUGCUGUUGAAUUUUCCGUGAAUUCUUGCUUGUUUCUCAUAUCAUUCCUCAUCGCUUUGCAACCUUCAAGGAUCGUUGGCUUCACUCGUUUAUCAAAGAAGCGACUCUGUUUACCUCUUGCUUUCCCUUCCUCUUCCCCUUUCAUUCUUGGAUCUCGGGUCGAGAUCCUCUUGUAGUGUAGGAGAGUUGUGACAACCCGAGACCGACGUUCCACAAGAUUCCCCUUCUAUUCCAUUUUCAUCGUGUUUUUAUUUGGCGCAUCAUCAUCGCAUCAUGCGCAUCAUCACCAUUGCAUCGGCAUCCCGUUGCCACCAGUUUUCAAAAGUUGCAUCCGUUAGUAGUUGCCGGUUCUCGUCGUUGUCCGUUCUGAGCCCGACCACACUCGCACGCGCCCGCGGCACCGUCAAAACCCUGUUUUUAAAAGUGUGUAUAAAACUUUCUCCGAUUGAGUUGAAACUUGGCGUGCGGUCUUAUUUAUAUAUAUGUAGGCUGCCUCUCAAUUUUCGUCGCAAUCGGAGUCCGUAUGGUACCCGAAUGGUCAACCAUAGUGGCACCGUAUUCGGUCUAUCGUCGGACAUUUUAUCGGCCGGGUGCCCACUUCCCUCUCAUCUUAGCCAACACCCCUCUACAUGGCCUAAACCUAAACCACCUAACCCUAGGAUGUUUCGGGAGCGUCCGAUCUCAACCGGAAGGUCCGAAGACGCCUGAAACCGCUAAACCUAGCUUGUUUUUCUAUAAAUAGGAGUCUCCCCUCUCUCCUCCUCGUUUUCUGUGCCGCCAGCAACCCUAGCCGACACAUGAGACAACCUCUCCCUCCUCUCACCUCGAGCCAGGCCCGCCUAAGCCCAUUUGGGCCCAGAUCAGCCGCCACCAGCAUCUGCCCAAGCUCCCUCCCCAUGGCGCGUUGUGCUCCCGCACCCCUGGUGUCGCGCGUCGGCCGCCUCCCGUCGCCGGACCCGCAUGUCGCCGUGCUCAGCCUCGUGCCCCGCCGCCGUCCGGCCCGGAUCCGGUGAGAUCUGGCCAGAAUCCCGCCGGCCUUGGCCUUCCUCGCCAACCUUCAGUGCCCCGCCGCCGGUCCCUGGAGCCGCCACCGCAAGCUGAGGUCGCCGCCGUCCCGUCGGGUCCCGUCCCCGGCGGAUCCCGCACCCUCCGCGCCUCCUGCCGGCACCGGAGCUCGCCUCCAAGCUGCCGCCGCCGCCGCCUCCUGUCCAGGUCAGGACGAGGAGCACGACGAGGCGCUCGCUCGCUCGCUGCCUGGCCACAUUGCCCCGCUAGGCCGGCCUCCCGUCGCGCACUCUCGGCCCAGCUCGCCGCUCCACCCGGCCUCCUCCAGCGACCAGGCCAAGCUGCCUCCGCCGACCGAGCCGGCCCAAGGUGAGGCCCUCCUCCGCCCGCGUUAUUGUUCACCCGAGGCGUGUUUUAGUAAGAAGCGCCGCUGCCACUAAUUCGGCCAAGAUUCUAAUCCGGCCCAAUAGUGUUUUUUAGGAUUUAGAAUUUAAUUCUAUUACAGGAAGUUAUAGAUUUUUAGAAUGCCCGUAGAUUUUAAACCAAGUGUCGGAUCGAAAUGAAUUAUAUAUGAAACUCGAUUAGUUUUCCGCGUAGAUUAAUAUUUUGCAACUUGCAUGCACGUUUGAAGUGUUUUGACUUGCCGUAUGCCUAGUUUUGCAUGCUGUCCCAAUAGGAAAUUAUCCCGUAUUAAUUUUCGUGAGUGUCCGGAUUGCUCGAACUCCGUAUGUAAAAUGCUCAUGUUUUUAGGGCCCCUUUGCCAUGUAUUUUAGAGUAGUUGGUUGUAUUUUUGCAUGUAGGAUUCCGUAGAUAGUUUGUUAUACCGUGUUUAGGACAUAAUCUCGCAUAUACGUGUGUGGAUAUUUUUGUGUUGCAACCCCACAUGUUAUAUAUGUUUUCGGGGUAGAAAAAUCCAUAGGAUUUAACUGUGCAUUUAAUUUUAGCUUUUGAGCAAGUUAGUGUGUGUGAUAUUUUGCCAUAUUGCCCUUUUGUUUAUUCUGUGGGAUUUAAUCCGUGCAUGAUAUGAUUGACUUGUCAACUUGAGAUAUGCCCUUGGAUGUGUAGACUAGCCUCUGGUAAUUUUGGUUGCAAUAGAAAUCCAUGUUUAGGUGUGGUUUACUUGUUCUCAACUUGCUAGGAAAUAGUGUUGUUCUAGAGAUGCUGAAAUAUUUCUAAGUCUGAAAUUUGUUAUAUUUUGUUGUUGUCUUGUCAUGAGUUCAUCAGGUAAUCUUUAGCUCUUUUGAGGUUGGUGCAAUGGAGUUAGUUGUAGACUUUCGGAUUCUCUAGCAUGCUGUCAAUUUUCAUGCCAUUUGGAUUCCUGUAGCUUACGGUUUUGCUACUGUCAAAAUGCCUUCAGAUCAAAAACUGCACUGUCAUAAACUGACAUUUUCACUAAGUCGGAAACAGUGUGUGAGAUGCCAUUUUGUUACUUAUUUUCCUUGUGUUCCAUGCUUCCAUGCUAGGUGGUGUUGGUUGUAUGUUGUAGUGCAUCUUGCCCUCUACCGCCUCAUGCCUUGGUUGAGCAUAUUGGAUUUGUGUAGCUCGUAGUUGUGGGGUGUAGAAAAUGCUAUGUGGCUGAUUUUGGCAGAUUGUAGUAAUUUCUUGUUUAGUCCGUAGUUGUUGAACCAUAGCUCCGUUGGGGAUGUUCUUUAGGUGUAAAUUGAUUGUAACGACGCGUAGAAUCACGUGAAACUAAUUUUUUUUUGUUUAACCAACAUUUAAACAUGUUAGUUCAGAUCUGGACAGAAUUAUAAAUUAACGUAUGAGGUCAUCUCGGAGAUGCUAUAUGCCAUUUCCAACCUCAUUUAAAAUGCGUAGAUAGAUAGUUUAAUUACGCUUCACCUCUUGCCAUGAUUAACCACAUUUAAUAUUGCCGUGUAACUAAUCGAGAGUAAACUAAAUAAUUCAUAUGUGGAGUUUCGUCAAUAUGCAACUCGUUGCAUAUUGAACUUCACUUAAUGUGUAGUGUUUGAUUGUUGUGAAUUGACACGCCAUGUCUUGCAUAUGUUCAACCGUUCAUGCAUCAUAUGUGCUGUGCAUCGUGUGGGGAAUAUCGUGUGUUGAUGCUUGUUUUCGGUUUCCUUCGUCUCGAUAGAGUUCCACAAGCGUGUCAAAAAGUGAGGACCCGUUCGACUACAUCUGUUCGCUGCUUCACGGAGUCAUUCUUCCUCCAAGCGGGAUCUCAGGCAAGAUGACCAUUUCCCCAGAUACCAUUACUAUCAUUGUCAUGCUAGUUUUACCAUUUCUAUCGUUAUGUCUCGUUGCCUACCACUUGUUAAAUAUCAGCCUCCCAACAAUGCCAUGAAACCUUCAAACUUGUUCACAACCUAGCAAACCACUGAUUGGCUAUGUUACUGCUUGCUUAACCAUGUGUUAGCAUUGCUAGUUGCAGGUGAAGUUGUUUCCAUGUGACAACAUGGGUUCCUUGUUAUAUCACCAUAUUAAAUGCUAUUUAAUUUAAUACACCUAUAUACUUGGUAAAAGGUGGAAGGCUCGGCCUUUUUAGCCUGGUGUUUUGUUCCACCUUUGCCCCCUUAGUUUCGGCUACCGGUGUUAUGUUCCAUUUUUGAGCGCUCCUAACACGAUCGGGGUUGUUAUGGGGACCCCCUUGAUAAUUCGUUUUAGAUUAAAGCAGGUCUGGCAAGGCCCAACACUAGUACUACAUUUGCCCAACAUAAUAAUUUUUGUUAAUACUGAAAGCAUAGGGUGUCAUGAACCCAAGGAGUAAUUCUACAUAAUACAGGGGGGCAGUGCUGAUGGUUUCUAUUGCAACAAAAGACCUUCCAACGGCACCAGAAACAAGCGUGUUGACGGGAGACUAUUCUUGUCUUGAUACUCCUCAGCAACGACACCAGGAAUCCUUGUGCUAUGGCUACGCCUUUAGGGACUUCCUUGGCAAAUAUGCAAAGGAUUCCCCCGUGGCCUUGGAGCCUUGCGUUGGUGUUCCCUCGAAGCGGAAAGGGUGAUGUAGCACAACGGCGGUAAGUAUUUCCCUCAGUUUUGAGAACCAAGGUAUCGAUCCAGUGAAGGAUUAUCACCAGUACCUGUACAAACACAAAGAGCUUGCACCCAACGCUGUGAAGGGGUUGUCAAUCCCUUAUAGAUUGUUUGCCAAGCGAGAACUGAAAGCAAAAAGAAACAAAGCAAAGUAAAAGCGAAAGUGGAAAUGAUAGGUGUGAAUAGACCCGGGGGCCGUAGUGUUCACUAGUGGCUUCGGUCAUGAAAGCAAGUAGACGGUGGGUGAACGAAUUACUGUCGAGCAAUUGGUAGAACCACUCAAAGUCGUGACGUUAUCUAUGGCAAUGAUUAUAUCUAUAGGCAUCGCGUCCAAAACAAGUAGACCGAUACUUUCUGCAUCUACUACUAUUACUCCAAACGUCGACCGCUAUCCAGCAUGCAUCUAGUUUAUUAAGUUCAUGAGAACAGAGUAACGCCUUAAGCAAGAUGACAUGAUGUAGAUGGACAAUCUCAUAUCUACGAUAAAAGCCCAUCUUGUUGCCCUUGAUGGCAACAACAAGAUGCGUGCCUUGCUGCCCCUUCUGUCACUGGGAAAGGUCACCACACGGUAUGAACCCAAAACCAAGCACUUCUCCCAUUUCAAGAAUCAUAGAUCUAGUUGGCGAAACAAAACCCAGGACUCGAAGAGACUUACAAGGAUAUCAAAUCAUGCAUAUAAGAAAUCAGUAAAGACUCAAAUAUAUAUCAUAGAUAAUCUGAUCACAAAUCCACAAUUCAUCGGAUCUCGACAAACACACCGCCAGAGAAGAUUACAUUGGAUAGAUCUCCAUGAAGAUCAUGAAGAACUUUGUAUUGAAGAUCCAAGAGAGAGAAGAAGCCAUCUAGCUACUAACUAUGGACCCGUAGAUCUGAAGUGAACUACUCACGAGUCAUUGGAGGGGCGAUGAUGUUGAUGAAGAAGCCCUCCAACUCCAAAGUCCCCUCCGGCAGGGCACCGGGAAGGGUCUCCAGAUGAGAUCUCGCGGAAACGGAAGCUUGCGGCAACGGAAAAGUGUUUUCGUGGAUGCCCUGAUUUUUUCUGGAUUUUUAGGGAAUUUAUAGGCCAAAGACCUAGGGCAAGGGAGCGCCAGGGGGCCACAAGCUUGGUUGCCGCGGCCUCCCCCCUGGUCGCGGCAACAGGGCUUGUGGGCCCCCUGUGGGCCCACUUGCUUGUCCCUCAAGCCUCCCGAUCUUCUUCCGUUCUGGAAAAAUUUAUUUCGGGGAUAUUAUUCCGUUUGGACUCCGUUCCAAAAUCAGAUCUGAAAAGAGUCAAAAACACAAAAAAAAAGGAACUGGCACUUGGCACUGAAUUAAUAAGUUAGUCCCAAAAAGAUAUAAAAGGUAAACAAAACAUCCAAAGUUGACAAGAUAACAGCGUGAAACCAUCAAAAAUUAUAGAUACGUUUGAGACGUAUCAAUGGUGCUAUUCCAAAAGAGAGCACCGUGCGGGGCCAACCUGGGGCAACUCGGGAGAUGUCUAUCAGGCCACCGUACGCUUCAAUUAUCCAUCGUGUCCUGAGAAUAAGAUACGCGGCUCCUAUCGGGAUCGUCGACACGUCGGGUGGCCUUGCUGGAUUAGUUUUACCUUUGAUAAUGUCUUAUGCAUCUGGAAUUCGGUGAUGCUUUGGGUAAUCUCAGAGUUAAGGUUUUCCACUAAGGAGUCCGACGAGAUCGCGAGUUUUGUGAUCGAGGAUUUCUAUGCGGCUUGUGGUAAUUUGUGAUGGAUUAGUUGGAGCACCCCUGCAGGGUUAAAUCUUUCGGAAAGCCGUGCCCGCGGUUAUGUGGCAAUGUGGAAACUUUGUCUAACACUCGUUCUAGACAACUUGAAGUUAACUUAAUUAAAACAUGCCAACUGAGUGUGUAACCGUGACUGUCUCUUUCGUGAGUCCUUCUCCGAUCGAGUUCACGGUGGGGUUAUGUAACGACUAAGAUGCGUCCCUUUCCGAUCUGGGGAUCGAGGCCCCGAAUUGGAAAGGAGCGCAUCUAAGCGUCUCGCAAAGAAGGUAUCACAGCACAUACAUAAUAAUAACAGAUAGACAAUCAGGGGUUCAAUUGCCUUCUCAUAAAUAUAUCAGAGUACAUCACGCAUACAAUCAAAGUAGUUCCGAUACGGACUACAAAACAAGGGGAAUGGCUAUGCUACCCUGCCUGCUGGCCCACGAUCAUGACCACGCCUCAAUCUUCUCGAUAGUUCACGUACAGGCGGUCGUUCUCCUCGUUGUACUGCCACGCCAGUUGCGUGCCGUCGGGAUCACCUGCCUCUGGGGUACCUGAACAUGUUGGUGUUGUGAAGGAAUCUGUGAGCCAUGGGGACUCAACAAUCUAUGACCUCGGUGCCAGAACUAGUCAAGUUAUUAGGUUGGAUAGGGUAGGGUGUUUAAGGUUGCACAUCCUAAGCUUGAUAUGGUGGCUAACUUACGUAGAACAUUUAUGAAGGUGGUCUAUGCAAGCGGCCGAUUAUACUUGAUCACUAAGUGAUCCUGAACACCUACCUGCGUCAAUCAUAACCCCGCCGUGUUCCCGAUCGAAGAGAGAUCUUCGAGGGGACACUCACGGUUACGCAUACAGUUGGCAAUUUUAUUAGCUUAUGUUUAAUUUAUCUAAUACCAAAUGUUAACAAAAUAUUCCAAGUUGCCACAUAACCACGAGCACGGCUUUCCGAAAGAUUAAACCCUGCAGGGGUGCUCCAACUAGUCCAUCACAAACGUACACUGGCCGCAAAGUAAUCCUCUAUCACGAAUCUCGUGAUCUCGUCGGAUUCCUUAGAGGAAAACCUCAACUCUGGGGGAACCAAAGCUUCACCGGGAUUCCUAUACGCAAGAUAUAUCACUAAGGUAAGACAAGACUAGCAGGACCUCCCGACGUGUCGACGACCCUGAUAAGAGCCGCGUAUCUCAGUCUCAGGACACGCCGGAUGAGCCACACUACAGGUAUACCAAACCUCAGGUUGCCCUGUGGUGGCCCCAUAGUCUGCCUAGUUUGGACCAACACUCAUGAGGAUCACUGGCCCGGGUUGUUGAUUAAAUUCCUCCGGGCAGCUAUUCCCUAUGCAUAUUAUUAUUAAGUGAUUAGAAAAUUAAUACCAAUGUUGGGUCCUGCCGGACAAGUCUUAACACUACACGAUUUAUCGAGGGGGUCCCCAUAACAACCCCGAACGUGUUAGGAGCGAUCAAUAUGGAAUCAAACACCGGUAGCCGGUAACUAUGGCGGCAAUAACAUAACAAAGCACCCGGCAAAAGGCUAGGCCUUCCGUUAUUUACCAAGUAUAUAGGUGCAUUAAUUAAAUAACAGAAUUUAAGAUAAUGAUAUCAAGCUCAUGUUGUCACAUGAGACAAAGCACCUGCAUCUAGCAACACUAACAUUAGUAGCUGAGCAAAGCCUACUUAGCCAUUCAAGUUAUGUUGCCGCAGUCCCCUAGGGUUUAACCUAGGGUUCUCUAGUCCUCCGACGACCCCUGCCGUGAGUCCCCCCCGAUCGAUUAUCGUUUGUUCCCCGUGAGUCCCCUUACCCUCUAUGUCCCCCGGCCCGAUAUCUCUCUGGUGUCUGUGAUUGGGGUGUUGGAACUAGGGUUUUAGGAUUUUUCAAGGACCCGAAGUGAUCUAAAUCUUGCGAUGGCUGAUCUGUCCGAUGCAAGUGGUUCCAAGGCGCAGCAGGAGGAUCCCAGCAGCCUGAUUGCGCUUCUAACCCUGCAGGACGAUGAGAUCGAUGACCUUGUCUGGGAAGACGAGGUGGAUGCGGCAGAAGUUCAAACAAAGUGGCUGGCCAUCGGGCGCCUGUUGUCUGGGAAAACUUUUAGCCAAAGUGCCCUGAUUGCUGAUAUGAGGGCUGCGUGGAAUCCUGCUCAACCGGUGAUGUGGAGAAGGAUUAACCCCAACCUGUUUUCGAUUCAGUUCAAUUGCCUGGCUGAUUGGAAUAAGGCUAUGCACCAAGGACCUUGGGAUUUUAAUGGAUAUGCCCUAAUCCUGGCUGAGUACGAUGGUUUCUCGAACCUAGAGAAAGUUAAACUGGAGAGGCUGGAGACGUGGUGUCAGAUCCAUAAAUUGCCUGAUGGUGCUCUGAAGAAUAAGAAGUUUCUUGAAAAUCUGGCGAGAAGAAUAGGUGAAGUACAGGAAGUGCAAGUGAUGCUACCAAAUGGCUUUGUUGGUGAGUUUGUCCGGGUGCGUGUUAAACUCGACGUGGGUAAGAAAUUGACUCGGGUAGUGAGCUUCACAAAAUCAGGGGUGACAGACCAAUACCUGGUGAAGUAUGAGAAGCUUCCUAUUUUUUGUCAUGCCUACGGAGCUAUGGGACACUGGUAUGAGGAAUGUGGAACUGGGGAGCAUGACACCUCAAAGUUUGAAUGGGGUCCCUUCAUAAUGGCUGCUCGCCGAGGAAGAGGAGGCGGUUGAGGGGGACGAGGUAAUGGCCGUGGAUACAAUGCUGCGAAGGACUCCAACGAAUUGGGAGGACGGGGUCGUGGUAAACGAGGUGGAAGAACUGGGGGACAAGGGAAUGCACACCCUAAUGAUGAUGAUCAUGAUGUGAACGAUAUGUCGGGAAAGGAUGAGCCAUCGACGAGGACAGAUACUGAGGUGUAUGACCCAAGUAGGAAUUGGCGUUUUAACGCACAGGUUGAUCAGAACAAUGCAAACAUGGAUUCCACGUCGACUCUGCUAGGGAAAAGGAAUGCUACAUAUCUGGUGCAGAAACCAAAGGAGUCUAGAGUUCCUUUGCUCACAGGACCUGGCUUGGUGGCAGGGAGAGUUGAUCAGUUUGACGGCAACAUAGGAAGUCAUAUUUCAGCUAGCUCGUCGGGAGGUAAGGAGGUCAACACACCACAGAAAUCUAUGAAUAAGAAGAAACUGAGAAUUGAUGGUCUGGAAGUCGUACAAUCCCUAGAUGAUAAAAUAUCGGCGGCCUCUAAUAUGGAGGCUGACCAGACAUCAUGAAAAUCUUAAGCUGGAACUACCGUGGACUCUUAGGAGGCCCGACAGUGCGCUCGCUUCUGGAUAUCCAGAGGCAGCACAACCCAGAUGUGUUGUUUCUGUCUGAAGCACAUUUGGAUGUUGACAAGGCAGAAAAUUUGAUGAGAAAACUUAAGCUAGACCACAGCCUGGUGGCUCCUAGCAAUGGACGAAGUGGAGGUAUAAUGCUAGUCUGGAAGAAGGAGGUGAUGAUCUACUCCCGGACUACGACUUCUGAUUUCAUCGAUGUUGAUAUUGAGGAGGAUAAUGGGAACCUCUCGCGCCUAACUAGGAUCUAUGGGGAACCUAGUUGGGACCAAAAAUAUAGGACCUACAACACUCUGCGAGAUCUACACAGCCGAGGCAAUGGCCCGUGGGUUGUGUUGGGGGAUUUUAAUGAGAUAUUAGUGUCUUCAGAGAAGGAGGGUGGUGCUCCUAGACCACGAGCAAGAAUGAAAGCAUUUCAGGAUGCUCUGGUGGACUGCUCGCUUGAGGAUAUGGGUUAUGAGGGAGAUCAGUUUACUUGGUUCCGAGGUGUAUUAAAGGAGAGACUAGACCGAGCAAUAUGUAAUGGUAUGUGGACGCAGAGGUAUCCCUUCGCUGGGCUCCGAAACCUUGAGCUAGGGAAAUCUGAUCAUCGGCCUAUUCUGUUAGAUACAGAACACCUGGCAAAUAUCCAAAAAACCAAUAAUAGACACAUGAAAUUUGAAGCAAGAUGGCUUAGUGAGGAGGUGGUAGAGGAUAUCGUCCGAUGUGCUUGGCAUAAGGCCAUGCAGAAUGGGCUAUGCCCAAAGUCAAAAGAGAAACUGGGCCUUGUGCAUAAAGAAUUACAUGUAUGGGAUAGAAAAGUGCUCAAAGGGCUUAGAGCCCGGUCAGGAAGGCCCAACGGGAAUUCAAAAGUUUGGCGCGCAAACCAUCUUCGAUGCAGAACAGAAUGAAAAUGAAAGAGCUCACAGUCAAGAUUGAAAGUCUGUUGGAACAAGAAGAGAUGUUCUGGGUACAGAGAGGGAGAGCAAAUUGGUUGCGGCAUGGAGACCGCAACACCUCUUUCUUCCACAAUUUCGCUUCUGCCAGGCGGAAAAGGAACAUCAUUAAGCGCUUAAAGAAUGAUAGCAAUGAUUGGGUAGAAGGUAACGAUAACAUAAAACCUCUCGUUUAUGACUAUUUUGCCAGCUUGUUUUCUAGUGAAGCAGGCAUGCCCGACCCGACGUUGUUGGCAUCAGUAAGAAGGACGGUUUUCGAAGAGAUGAAUGAUAUUCUCAUAGCCCCAUACACUGCCACAGAAGUCAAACAAGCUUUAUUCCAGAUUGGUGAUCUAAAGGCCCCCGGGCCGGAUGGAUUACAUGCUAUUUUCUUUAAGCGCUUUUGGCACAUUAUCGGGGAGGAACUAACCAAAGAAGUACUUGAAGCUGUUAACUCCAGAAGAAUUCCUGAAGGUUGGAACUCUACAAACAUCGUUCUUAUUCGGAAGGUUCAGGUACCGGAAACAAUUAUGCAGUACCGUCCCAUAAGCCUUUGUAAUGUUGUUUAUAAGAUCAUAUCCAAGAUGCUCGCUAAUAGGCUGAAAAAGAUUCUUCCAGAAGUCAUUUCACCAACACAAAGUGUGUUUGUUGCUGGGAGACUUAUCACUGAUAAUGUUCUUGUGGCAUAUGAAUGCUUCCAUGCCAUAAAGAAAAAAACACAUGGAUCUGCUGGUUUAUGUGCAGUCAAAUUGGAUAUGCACAAGACAUAUGAUAGGGUUGAAUGGGGCUUCUUGGAAUCAAUGAUGCAACGAAUGGGGUUUCAUGAGCACUGGGAGGAGUUAAUGAUGGAAUGUAUGUCUUCAGUACGGUACAAAAUCAGAGUAAAUGGUGAUGAAACAGAGGAACUGAUACCAUCCCGGGGUUUAAGACAAGGGGAUCCAUUAUCCCCGUAUCUAUUUCUAAUUUGCUGUGAAGGUUUAUCUAGUAUGCUCUUGCAAGAAGAAGAAAAUGGGGGACUGGAAGGAGUGAAAGUGUGUAGAAAUGCACCUUCAGUUUCACAUUUGCUGUUUGCAGAUGAUUCAUUAAUUUUAAUGAAGGCAAAUCAGGAAAGUGCUCUCACCUUGAAAAAGGUACUUGAUAUGUAUUGCCAAAGUUCUGGCCAGAUGGUAUCCACGGGAAAAUCCAGUAUCUUCUUUAGUCCCAAUACAGCAGUUGUAGUAAGAGAAAACAUUUGUGGUUCACUCGAUAUAUUAACUAAGGCUUUAACUGACAAGUAUCUCGGGUUGCCAGCAAUGGUUGGAGUUGACAGAAGUGACUGCUUCCAGGAUCUUGUUGAUAGAGUAUGCCAGAAACUAAAGGGAUGGAAAGAAAAACUCCUAUCAUUGGGAGGUAAAGAGAUCUUAAUCAAGGCAGUGGCACAAGCAAUUACAUCUUAUGCCAUGUCAGUUUUUAACCUACCAAUGAACAUUUGCAAGGCUAUAACACAUGAAAUUGUGGGCUUCUGGUGGGGAGAUGAUGAGCUGAAAAAGAAAAUGCACUGGAUGGCGUGGUGGAAGAUGUGUGUUCCAAAGAGGAUGGGAGGACUUGGGUUUAGGGACCUGCAUAGCUUUAACCUUGCUAUGUUAGCAAAGCAGUGUUGGCGCCUAAUCCAAAACCCAGAAUCUUUGUGUGCCCGUGUUCUUGGUGCAAAAUAUUUCUCAGAUGGUGAUUUGUUAAAGGCUGGUCCAAAGAGUGGCUCUUCAUACACCUGGCAGAGCAUUAUGGUGGGAAUUCAAACCUUUAAAAGGGGGUGUAUCUGGCGAGUUGGUACAGGACAGAAGAUAAAUAUAUGGACAGACCCUUGGAUCCCUACAAGCAACAACCGAAAGGUUAUAACACCUAGAUGAUGUAUGUUACUAUCAAAAGUGGAGGAGCUCAUUGAUCCUUAUACUGGACACUGGGACGAAGAAUUGAUCUAUGACAACUUCUUCCCUGUUGAUAUAUAUCACAUCCUACAGAUUCCACUAAAUGUGCAUGGACUGGAUGAUUUCGUGGCAUGGCAUUACAACAAAUCUGGCACCUUCUCUGUCAGAUCUGCAUACCAUAGAGCAUGGGAACACAAAUUUGGACAGAAGCUACAUGCAAGUAAUGGUCAAGGUAGUAUGCAGGUUAAUGAAGCUUGGGGUGGUCUUUGGAAGCUUAAAGUUCCGGGGAAGAUUAAACAUUUCCUAUGGAAAGUCUUGCAUGGUAUCCUCCCAUGUAUGGGUGUUCUUACAAAUCGGCAUAUUGCAACACAAGCGCAUUGUCUAAACUGUAACCAGGGGCUGAAGAUAUCAGCACUGCCUAUUCACUUGCAAACGGGUCAAAGAGAUAUGGAAGGAGUUGGGUCUGUUGGACAAUAUCAGGAAAGCAACCUGCAGGGAUAGAUCGGGUUCAGUUAACAUGGAACAACUGUUGUUUGAUAAACCAGAAGCUACUGCCUCGGUAGACUUGCCGUUCCUUGAACUUGUUGCGGUGGCGGCAUGGUACCUGUAGUGGCAACGAAGACAGCUAAAAAAGGAGAACAUAUUCAGCCAGUAGGGAGAGCUGCAAUGACGAUCAAAGCUUUGACUACCAACUUCUGGCAUGCAUCUGAUAAAAGGGUUGAAAGAACAAAAGAAGAGCAUAGAUGGGUUAAGCCCGGACAUGAUUUUCUGAAAGUAAAUGUGGAUGCAUCAUUCAUUGAAGAGGAUAGUGCUGGGGCAACAGGAGCAAUCAUCAGAGAUGAAUGGGGACAUUUCAUAGCAGCAGCAACACAUUACAUCCCAAAUGUAUCUCAUGCUGCAACGGCCGAGUCACUAGCCCUUCGGAAUGGGCUCAUUGUCGCGACUCAUAUUGGAUGCUCAAAACUAGAAGCUGAAGUUGAUUGUCAGCUGGUGAUUGAAGCAGUUAAGGAUCCGGUUGGUUUCUUAGGAUCUCAAUAUGCAACCAUCUUCGAGUGCGGGCAGAUUGCCAGCGAGUUUGGGCAGAUACAAUUCGGUCUAUGUAAACGGGAAGCUAAUCAGGUAGUUGAUGCCUUAGCAAAGGAAGCUUAUAAAACUAGAAGCUCUAGUACUUGGGAUAAUGACCCUUCUAGUUUCAUUACAUCUCUAAUUGUAAAGGACCUCUCUAUUAUUUGAUGAAUGAAAUGAUCACACUGUCAAAAAAAAAUACUUAGCCAUUCAAGUUNNNNNNNNNNNNNNUACUUAGCCAUUCAAGUUUGCUAGGAAGGGAUCAGUGUUUGGGUUCAUGGCAUAACAAGAGGCAAAUAUUUCAGUGGUAGGCAGCAAGCAUAUGACAAGGAAACGUAAUUUAGCAUAACAAGUCUAGAGAUGGAAUCAAAGUCAUAUCAUCUUGCCUGUGAUAUCCUCAGCUUGGAAUGGUUCUUGUUCGUCCUGCACGUACUCUCCUGACUCCACGUAUUCGUUGUCCGAUACCGGUGCUACCCAACAUAAGAAUAACAUCCAAUGAACAACAGCACCUCAAGAUGCAACAAGCACAUGAUGCAUGAGAUGAAUAUGAGCAUGCAUCACUAUUUCUAUCUCUAACACAAGCAUGAGAAGCAAAUACAUGUUCCUGGACAGAACUGCAUCCUAAGAUAUUUUGACAUGCAUGAGAAUGAAAUGAUCAGAUGCGUCUCGUGAAAACGAUGCAAAAGCAUAUAAAGAACUUUACAAUCGGAGCUACGGAUCAACGGGAAUCAACGAAACAAGAUAUGAAGCCCUACAUGACAAAAUCAUCACCACACACUCAAAUGGCACAACUCUAGUAUUUCCAGGUUGCCAAGACAUAAAACAAACCAUAAUGGAAGGGGUGGAGCAAAGAAGAACACCACAUCAUCAACUAAGCACUCACAAACAUCAAAAUGACAAAACUACACAAUCUGCCAUAAACUGCAUCAUAGCACUUUGUGAGCUACAUGCAAAGCACCUACAGCCACCCAAAUACGAAAAAUAAUAUAUGUGUCUGUAGCUAUUCAAGAAUACUACAAGCACAAGCAAGAAUCACACAAAAAGGAAUUAAACACAGAAAGUUACAAGGCUGCAAACUUGCCCAAAAACAUCAGUUUUCAGGGACUUAGUGAAAAUUCCAGAUUCUCACUUUGUGUCUAUGCUCUGAAGCAUUUUGACAGCAGGCAAAACAAUACCAACAUGACUCCAACUGAAAUGAAAUUUUACAGGGAGCUAGACAAACAUAUCAGGUCCAACUUUCUAGUUGAAAGCUAAGGCUAUAUCACAACACAUUGACCUGCACAACCUCAUCAACGUUGAAGAAAAUAUAAACAGAUUCUCAGAUUUUCACAUCUCAGAUUUUCAUUAAUCUGGAAUUUCAGCCACAUGCCUACUUUGAGUGGGCAUAACUUUCACAUAUGGAAUCCUAAUCGUGAGAUGAAACCAACAUGAGGUAGAGGGGGUCACCCUCUACUAGCACAACCAAGAAGCAAACCUUCGUGCUCAACAAAUCACAUGGAACCAAGCUCUAAACAUACAACAAAAUGAAAUAUGUCAUCUCCAGAAAAUGUUCCAGUGGCAAAACUGAGUUCACCAAUGGAUUCCUUGGGAGAUUCUACCCCAAAAACAUAUAUAAUUUGCGUGCACUUACUUGGAGCAAGUGACUACAAACUAGGGAGGAAGAAACUACAAGAAAUCAUGCAUAGUGAAUAGUGCAACAAUUCAUGUGCUAUUCACUAGAUCAACUCCUACAUAGCUAAGCUCAUGUGCACAAAGACAAUAGAGACAUGAGGGUUUGAACCCCAUGUAUGUGUCAUGCACAUCAACAUCACAAGCUCUACUAUCACUAGAUCCACACACACACACACACAUCAUGCCCUCUUUCAUAUGUACAUGAGGAGGUGCACAAGUGUUGCAAGUGGGGUUGUUUUCACCACACACACACCCAUCUUCACAAUAACCACAUCACAAGCUCUCAAUUCCAACAACAUGGAAGGGAACUACUUAAGCAAGAAACCAUGGAAGCAUCACAUCACAUUCACUCCUACUAAGUACCACAUAACCACAAGUCAUAUAUUGUGUGCACCACUUACACACAUAUCUUCAUACCUACACCAUCAUCAUCACUNNNNNNNNNNNNCAAGUGACUACAAACUAGGGAGGAAGAAACUACAAGAAAUCAUGCAUAGUGCAUAGUGCACAAUUCAUGUGCUAUUCACUAGAUCAACUCCUACAUAGCUAAGCUCAUGCGCACAAAGACAAUAGAGACAUGAGGGUUUGAACCCCAUGUAUGUGUCAUGCACAUCAACAUCACAAGCUCUACUAUCACUAGAUCCACACACAAACACAUCAUGCCCUCUUUCAUAUGUACAUGAGGAGGUGCACAAGUGUUGCAAGUGGGGUUGUUUUCACCACACACACCCAUCUUCACAACAACCACAUCACAAGCUCUNNNNNNNNNNNNNNNNNNNNNNNNNNNNNNNNNNNNNNNNNNNNNNNNNNNNNNNNNNNNNNNNNNNNNNNNNNNNNNNNNNNNNNNNNNNNNNNNNNNNNNNNNNNNNNNNNNNNNNNNNNNNNNNNNNNNNNNNNNNNNNNNNNNNNNNNNNNNNNNNNNNNNNNNNNNNNNNNNNNNNNNNNNNNNNNNNNNNNNNNNNNNNNNNNNNNNNNNNNNNNNNNNNNNNNNNNNNNNNNNNNNNNNNNNNNNNNNNNNNNNNNNNNNNNNNNNNNNNNNNNNNNNNNNNNNNNNNNNNNNNNNNNNNNNNNNNNNNNNNNNNNNNNNNNNNNNNNNNNNNNNNNNNNNNNNNNNNNNNNNNNNNNNNNNNNNNNNNNNNNNNNNNNNNNNNNNNNNNUACACCAUCAUCAUCACUCACAACUCCUAUGCACACAAGCUAGCUGCAAUUACACCACCAACACAUACUAGCAAGAACACAUACACACACACAUCAAUUAAGCCACAUACACACAUACACAUGCACUUCUACUAGUGUGUGCAAAACACACACACAACAUACAACCUGCAUCUAGCUACACUAGCAGGAACAAGAAAUAAAAAGGCCACUUUGAUGUCUAUAGAUUAGGCACAAGUGGAGNNNNNNNNNNNNNNNNNNNNNNNNNNNNNNNNNNNNNNNNNNNNNNNNNNNNNNNNNNNNNNNNNNNNNNNNNNNNNNNNNNNNNNNNNNNNNNNNNNNNNNNNNNNNNNNNNNNNNNNNNNNNNNNNNNNNNNNNNNNNNNNNNNNNNNNNNNNNNNNNNNNNNNNNNNNNNNNNNNNNNNNNNNNNNNNNNNNNNNNNNNNNNNNNNNNNNNNNNNNNNNNNNNNNNNNNNNNNNNNNNNNNNNNNNNNNNNNNNNNNNNNNNNNNNNNNNNNNNNNNNNNNNNNNNNNNNNNNNNNNNNNNNNNNNNNNNNNNNNNNNNNNNNNNNNNNNNNNNNNNNNNNNNNNNNNNNNNNNNNNNNNNNNNNNNNNNNNNNNNNNNNNNNNNNNNNNNNNNNNNNNNNNNNNNNNNNNNNNNNNNNNGAUUAGGCACAAGUGGAGUAGGGAAAAGCAAAAUAAAUAAAAUAAGAGAGAAGUGGAAAAAUGCAAGUGACAGGCCUAGGAAUCGAACCCAGGGCCUUUGUCACGCCACUGCACCGCGCUACCACCACACCACUGCCACUGGUUCGAUAGAGUAUGGUGGUUAACCAAGGUAACUAGGUACCUUGCUACUGUGCCGAGGCAAAAUAAGGAAAAAAGGAUGCCGAGGGGGGGACUCGAACCCACGCCCUCCUGACAGGCAUCGGAACAAGCUACAACUGGGCUACGAAUCGGUUAUUGCUAGAAAGGGGGGAUCUACUCAGUUAAGCUAUCCCUAGCACAUCUACCUGUGCUCUACACGCCGGCGACAGAGAAGGUGCCGGAGCAGAACAACUGCUACCGCUUCCCACGAGGGGAGCCACCACUACAAUGAUGAUGCACGAAAGGAAGGAGUCACUGCUACCCCACACACCACCACGAACCGCGCCUGACAGAGAAACACACACACGCACAUACAUAUCAAAGUUGCCGCUCUGCUCUGCUCUGCUCGACAGAGAGCAUGGCGACAGGGAAGGUCCCUGGCAUGUCCUGCUGCUACUGUUGCGCCACAAGGAGAUGCACUAUGCUACUGCUGCGAGAAGGCCCAAGAGAUCCACUGCUACCGCACGGUACUCACUGCAGAGACUACACCACACACACAAACACAUACUGGCGAACUCCUCUACAAACAGAGCAUGCAGAUCAUCGGCCGGAGCUACUGCUACGAGGAACCUAACCGAAGGAAGGAGGGAGGAAGGAAGGGGGUGAUGCUCCUCACCUUGGGGAAGGAAGGAGAGGAACCGAGCUGCGGAGGAAGAGGCGCUGGAGGGAAGAAGUCGAUCUGCUGCUGCCGAACCGAUGAAGGGGAAGAAGAGCUCCUGGUCCGAGGUGAUGACGAGGUCCUGGCUGUCGUUGAGGUCGCUCCUCGACCUCAGUGUUGGCGGGAAUGGAGUGCGGGGCGAUCUCCCGUUCCCCUGGACAUGGCCGCCGGCGCCGGAGACGACGGGAGGCACGGGAUCGACGCUGUACUCUUCUCUGCUGCUCUAUCUACCGAGAUCUUACCUGACGAGGAAGGAGCUUACCUGACGAGGAAGGAAGAAGGAGAGAGAGAUGGCGGCGCUGGAGGGAAGGAGAGGGAACCCUAGCUGCCAGAGGACUCGCCUGCGGCUUAAAUCACCUCGGGGAGGGGAGCUCGAGCCACAGGAUCGAGGGGAAUACGAUCGGGAGGCUGAGCUCUGGUCGUACCAUGACUGACGUCGGCAGGAGGAAGGAGAGGGACGUCGAGCGGGCUGCCGCUGCGAUACAGAGGAGAGAUGGGCCUCUCUGGUGGGAGGAAGCCCACCAGAGCGUUACUUAAAGGGAAAAGGCCACUCCCUGCAAAUUCCUAUUAAAUAAAAUCACACCGAAAAGGAAAAUGCCACAGAGAAAACCAAAGAAGAUAAAAUAAAAGAAAAAUGUUCCUCGGCCUGAAAAAUAGUAAGCUAAUUAAACAAAAUACUAAAAGGAUUUUUUGGGGCAUAUAAAAUAAAUACAAAACAGCAUAUUAGUGUAUGUUUUGUGUUUAUUCAUGCACCUUUAGAACACCUAACAAAACACCAAAUCUUGCACACCAUAAUAUCCACAAUAUUUACUAAAUAGAGGACAUUUUAAAACCAGGUAAAUAGCAAGUGGAAUUUUGAACUUGGGAACAAAAAGAGAAAAGGUUUGAGACUAAAAAGGGGGUUUGAAAAUAAUGCCAAGCACCACACUCCACUACUACACACCACAUCAUCAGAUGUGCAUCAACACAUGAAAUCACAAGUCUCCACACUAAGACAUGGCAAGGUAUAGAUGUAAGAAAAACAAGGCAUGGUAAGAAUGGUAUGGCAUGGAUGCAUGCAUGCAAAAGAAGAAAUACAAGGUGACACAUGAAUUCAUACAUGCAUAGAUAGCUCUCAUGACAAUGUCAAGGUGGUCCCACAUGGAAGAUUACAAAAAGGGAAAGCUUUACACUUGGGGCACUACAAAUUCUCCCACACUACAAACAAGAUCUCGCCCCGAGAUACGCUUGAAAGAAUUCUGGAAAUUCAGAACGGAGGUGGUCCUCGCGUUCCCAUGUAGCCUCUUUGUCGGAAUGGUGUGACCACUGCACUUUGAGAAAUUUGACGGUCUUGUUGAGGGUCUUACGCUCAGUCGCCUUGAGAACCGCAACUGGAUGCUCACGAUAAGAAAGGUCAGGCUGAAGGUCGAUGUCUUGAAGAUGAACAGUGCGCUCGGGGGUCUUGAAAUACCUCCGAAGCUGAGAAACAUGGAACACAUCAUGGACAUUUGCAAAGGUUGACGGAAGCUCGAGCUGGUACGCAAGGUCGCGUCUCUUGCCAACCACUCUAAACAGACCAACGAAACGAGGCGCAAGCUUUCCUUUGAUGCCAAAGUGCUCCAUACCCUUCAUUGGCGACACCUUGAGAUAGACGAAGUCAUCAAGCUCAUAAGACAUGUCAUGGUGCUUGCUAUCAUAAUAGCUCUUCUGACGGGACUGAGCUGCUCCGAGGUUGUCGCGAAUGACUCGACACAUCUCCUCAGCUUCUUCUAUCAAAUCAUUCCCAAGGAUCUGACGCUCGCCGGUCUCGCACCAGUUGAGUGGGGUACGACACUUCCUGCCAUAGAGAAUUUCAAACGGAGCCUUGCCAUAACUAGCUUGAUAACUGUUGUUAUACGAGAACUCCGCAAAAGCAGACAAUCUUCCCACUUCAUGCCAAAAGAGAUAACACAGGCUCUCAGCAUGUCCUCAAGAACUUGAUUCACUCUCUCCACUUGACCACUAGUCUGAGGAUGGAACGCUGUGCUGAAGAGGAUCUUCGUGCCCAUAGCAGACUGAAAGGAGUCCUAGAACUUGGAAGUGAAGAUACUUCCGCGAUCCGAAGAGAUCAUCAUAGGCACGCCGUGCAAAGAGACAAUCCUGGAGGUGUACAACUCUGUCAGCUGAGCUUCUGAAAUGGACUCCUUGACUGGAAGAAAAUGAGCCACUUUACUCAACUUGUCGAUGACGACGAAGAUGGCAUCAUUACCCUUCUUGGACUUCAGGAACCCGGUGAUGAAAUCCAUCUCAAUGUGAUCGAACUUCCACUCGGGAAUGGGCAAUGGAUGCAAAAGACCUGUUGGACGUUGAUGCUCUGCUUUCACCCUUCGACAUACAUCACAUUCAUUUACGAACUGAGCAAUCUCACGCUUCAUACGAGUCCACCAGAAGAUCUGUUUCAAGUCGUGGUACAUUUUGGAGCUUCCAGGAUGAAUAGAGAGCAGAGAGUUAUGAGCUUCCUCCAUGAUUACCUUCCUGAGAUCACCUUUCGGGACAACAAGGCGAUCCUCGAAGAACAACGUGUCUCUAGCAUCAACAGUGAAGCACUUAUACUUGGGGAGACUCUUUCCCACGCCAAUCUUGACCUUCUUCACCAUAGCGUCAAGAAGCUGUGCUGCUCGGACCUGAUCUUCCAAGGUAGGAGAGAUCUGAAGGUUUGCAAGAAAUCUCUGAGGUACUAGCUGAAGGUUGAGCUUCCUGAAAGACUCACAAAGACCAGGUUGGAGAGGUUGUAGAAUCAGACUAUUGCAAUAUGCCUUCCUGCUCAAAGCAUCCGCCAGGACAUUAGCUUUGCCUGGCGUGUACUCAACACUCGGAUUAAAAUCCUGGAGCAUUUCCACCCAACGUGUUUGUCGAAGAUUCAGGUUAGGCUAAGUGAAGAUGUACUUGAGACUCUUGUGAUCGGUGAAAACUUCAACCUUACGUUCCAACAAGAGGUGUCUCCAAGUCAUCAGAGCGUGUACCAUAGCUGCUAGCUCAAGAUCAUGCACAUGAUAGUUCUUCUCCGCUGGCUUCAACUGCCUAGAGGUAUAAGCAACCACCUUCUUAUCUUGCAUCAGGACUGCACCAAGACCCUGGAGAGAAGCGUCGCAGAAGACCUGGUACGGCUUGGAAUCAUCUGGAGGGACCAAGACUGGAGUGGAUGUAAGCUUCUCUUUGAGUGUAUCGAAGGCCAGUUGACACUCUGGAGACCAAGCAUACUUAACACCCUUUUGAAGAAGACUUGAGAGCGGCUUGGCGAUCUUGGAGAAGUUCUCAACGAACCUUCUGCAAUAGCCAGCAAGCCCGAGAAACCUUCGAAGCUGCUUCACAUUCUGCAGAGGCUCCCAUUCAACAAUGGCCUGAACCUUGGACGGAUCAACUUUAAUGCCCUCGGCAGAGAUAAUGUGCCCAAGAUAAACCACUUCUUUCAGCCAGAACUCGCACUUGGAAAACUUGGCAUACCGCUUGUACUCUCUCAGCUUAUCAAGCACCAAUCUGAGAUGUUCUUCAUGUUCUUCCUUAGUUUCAGAAAAGACCAGAAUGUCGUCGAGAUAGAGCAAGACAAAGUCAUUCUUGAACGGAGAGAAUAUGUAGUUCAUCAAUCGACAGAAUGUUGGAGGAGCAUUUUCCAGACCAAAAGACAUGACCGUAUACUCAUACGAGCCAAAACUAGUCCAGAAGGCAGUCUUCGGAAUAUCUUCCUCGCGAAUGCGAAUUUGAUGAUAGCCCAUUCUGAGAUCAAGCUUGGAGAAGACCUUAGCACCUUUCAACUGUUCGAACAACUCAGUUAUGUUCGGAAGUGGAUAUUUGUUCCUGAUUGUCUUCUUGUUCAAUGGACGGUAAUCGACACACAACCGAUCUGUGCCAUCCUUCUUCUUGACAAACAGAACACCACAGCCCCAUGGAGACGAGCUCGGUCUGAUCAAACCCAAACGCUCCUGCUCAUCGAGUUGCCUCUUAAGUUCCUUCAAUUCUUCUCGACCCAGCUUGUACGGCCGUUUGCACACGGGCUCUGUGCCUGGCUCUAGCUCAAUCACAAACUCAACUUCUCUGUGCGGAGGCAUGCCCGGCAGCUCUUCAGGAAACACAUCUUCAUAUUCGCAGACCAAUGGGACUUGCGAAAUAAGAUUGAUCUCACCCUUUUCAUUCAAAGAGAACAGACGGAUUGUAUCAUCGUGCGUCGCGAAUAUAAUCACAUCCUCCAAAGAGUGGGUAAGCUUCACUUCCUUGGCUUCACAAUCAAUUGACGCCUUGUUCAUGGCCAGCCAGUCCAUACCAAGAAUCAAGUCGAUGUCGAAAUUGCCCAAGAUAUACGGAGAGGCCAGAAAAGAAUAACUUCCUAUCUUGACAGAAGCAUCCGGAACAACCCAACGAGAACUCAUAAGCAUACCCAGAGAAACAAUGUCCAAUGACCUAGCCAACUCUUGAAUAUGGAAAUCAUGCUUUGCUGCAAAAGGAUAUGACAAGAAAGAAUGUGAUGCACCAGAAUCGAAUAGCACUUUGGCAGGAAUAUCAUUGACAGGGAGGUUACCCAUGAUCACAUCUGACGAGUUUUCUGCCUCAGCUGCAUUCACCAUGUUGACUUGAGCUGAUCUGGGGUUGAACUUGACAAGAGCGUUGCUUGGAGGUUUGCCUGGAGGAGGAGGCGACAGUCUGAGAUGAGAAGUACACUUGUUGGCAUAGUGACCCUUCUGCCCACACUUGUGACAAGUGACAUCUGCUGGCUGCCGGUACGGAGUCUGAGGAGGCCCUUGCUUCUGAUGCUGAAAUCUCUGCAGGAAGACAGGGUUGGGUGGGUGGGAAUAAGCACGACCACCGGAGUGCUUGAGCUGCUGCGAGUGCCGAGGAGGAGGAGGAGAAACCCAAAACUUCUGUUGCUUCUGAACCACCUGAGUCGAGGAAGAGCCGGAAUCUCUGAAGCGCUUCUAAGAAUUCUCCACCCUGAGCAAGGUUGCCUCUGCUCAGAGAGCUAGAUUGUAGAACUUGUCGAACUCCUCAGGAUCGUGCAACGCAAGAGGUAACUGCAAAUCUUCUUUCAAGCCACCUCUGAACUGAUAAAUCUUGCUCUUCUGAUCCGGGAUAUCCUGCAGCGCGUAUCGGGCCAGCUCGUGGAACUCAACGUUGUACUUGUACACGGAAUUGCCGCCCUGCUUCAAACGCCUAAAAUUCUCACGCAUAUCCUCCACAAAGCUGGAAGGGGUGUAGUGGGACCUGAAGUCACGACAGAACUCAUCCCAAGAAAUCACCCUAGCGCCUCUGGAGUCUUUCAGCUGUUGCCACCAGAUAGAAGCUUGCCCCUUCAACUGAAACGUUGCAAACUUGACAUAAUCCUCCGGACGCACAUUGCUACACUCGAAAUGCUUGUUCAUAUCACGGAUCCAGUCUUCUGCAUCAAAUGGCUGGUCGCAAGAAGAAAGUCUUUGGCUGGUUCGACAGGAACUGACUCAGACUAGCAAACUGAUUGCCACCAUGCUGGAAAUUGCCUUGCUGCUGGUUACCCCUCUCUUACAGCAACUGUAGCAGCAUCUGAGUGUUUGCAUUAGUAGCAGCCAUCACUUCUUGCCAGGCCUUUGCAGGAGGAGGCGGCGGCAGCGGAGGAUUCUCCGGAGGAGGAGGUGGAGGCGGCAUAUCCUCACGCCCUGGGUUCUGACGAGUUGGUGGAAACAUCCUGAAGACGGACAACAUAUUAGCCCACAGAAUAAAUAAAGAUAUUGCUGAAUCAAAAGACAGGAAUAUCUGAACAGGAAUAAGGCAAUUGCAUUCGAACAAAAUAGUAAGAAUGCUUCCUCAAAGUGACGGACGACAAAAUUCCGAUUGAGACCACUGCAAACAAGUAUGAGCUAGAACUGCUCGGAACAAACAUAUGAUCGAGAUUUCCCCAACCUCAAUCAUGCAUCUGUAGGAAGAUAGUCCUAUAAGAAACUACUUGAUAUCCCACCUAUGAAUUCCCGAAAUAACUAGUCAUGCAAUUUGGUACACGGAUACAAGGAUUAAUAUCACACAACUCCCAUACUAACCCGUCACCUGUAUCACAUCCGUCAACACAUAACUAGCAUCUCGGACCUUCAUCUACAACAGACCCUCGUGAUCACAACGAUACUAAGUAUGGCAGUACUACCGAACUAUCUGCACCAGUACUGGGGACAUCGGGGUUAUCUCGCCACUACCAGUAUUGAAGCAAUUACGAACAUCCUUCGUUCUUAGAUACUCAGAAAUCUGAAUGAUGGCAAUGUGCGCAAGAAUCCCCUGGAGCUCAACUUCCCGGAAGAAAUCAAAGCAGACAGGAGGCACCAAGACAGGACUUCGUCAUAUCAAAAUCAUAUAGAUUUCACAAAUACCCGCGUGGUCCUACAAAUUUUUUUUGAAUGAGAAGAGGAGUAGAAUAAGGAUUUCCUAAGUCGGGAACCUCACCAGAGCAUGGAAGGGGAGAAAAAAGAAUCCUACUCUCCGAUAUAACUAAGACUCAAAACAUUUUACUAGACUCGACUCGGCCAAGUAUGAUCACACAAAGGUUCCUAUGGUCGUAAGGCUCUAUUUACCAACUUGUAACGACUAAGAUGUGGCCCUUUCCAAUCUGGGGAUCGAAGCCCCGAAUUGGAAAGGAGCGCAUCUAAGCGUCUCGCAAACAAGGUAUCACAGCACAUACAUAAUAAUAACAGAUAGACAAUCAGGGGUUCAAUUGCCUUCUCAUAAAUAUAUCAGAGUACAUCACGCAUACAAUCAAAGUAGUUCCGCUACGGACUACAAAACAAGGCGAUUGGCUAUGCUACCCUGCCUGCUAGCCCACGAUCAUGACCACGCCUCAAUCUUCAGGAUAGUUCACGUACAGGCGGUCGUUCUCCUCGUCGUACUGCCAAGCCAGUUGCGUGCCGUCGGGAUCACCUGCCUCUAGGGUACCUGAACCUGUUGGUGUUGUGAAGGAAUCUGUGAGCCACGGGGACUCAGCAAUCUCUGACCUCGGUGCCAGAACUAGUCAAGUUAUUAGGUUGGAUAGGGUAGGGUGUUUAAGGUUGCAGCAUCCUAAGCUUGAUAUGGUGGCUAACUUACGUAGAACAUUUAUGAAGGUGGUCUAUGCAAGAGGUCGAUUAUACUUGAUCACUAAGUGAUCCUGAACACCUACCUACGUCAAUCAUAACCCCACCGUGUUCCCGAUCGAAGAGAGAUCUUCGAGGGGACAGUCACGGUUACCCACACAGUUGGCAAUUUUAUUAGCUUAUGUUUAAUUUAUCUAAUUCCGAAUGUUAACAAAAUAUUCCAAGUUGCCACAUAACCACGGGCACGGCUUUCCGAAAGAUUAAACCCUGCAGGGGUGCUCCAACUAGUCCAUCACAAACGUACACAGGCCGCAAAGUAAUCCUCUAUCACGAAUAUCGUGAUCUCAUCGGAUUCCUUAGAGGAAAACCUCAACUCUGGGGGAACCAAAGCUUCACCGGGAUUCCUAUACGCAAGAUAUAUCGCUAAGGUAAGACAAGACUAGCAGGACCUCCCGACGUGUCGACGACCCUGAUAAGAGCCGCGUAUCUCAGUCUCAGGACACGCCGGAUGAGUCACACUACAUGUAUACCAAACCUCAGGUUGCCCUGUGGUGGCCCCAUAGUCUGCCCAGUUUGGACCAACACUCAUGAGGAGCACUGGCCCGGGUUGUUGAUUAAAUUCCUCGGGUAGCUAUUCCCUAUGCAGAUUAUUAUUAAGUGAUUAGCAAAUUAACACCAAUGUUGGGGCCUGCCGGACAAGUCUUAACACUACGCGAUUUAUCGAGGGGGUCCCCAUAACAACCCCGAACGUGUUAGGAGCGAUCAAUAUGGAAUCAAACACCGGUAGCCGGUAACUAUGGCGACAAUAACGGAACAAAGCACCCGGAAAAAGGCUAGACCUUCCGUUAUUUACCAAGUAUAUAGGUGCAUUAAUUAAAUAACAGAAUUUAAGAUAAUGAUAUCAAGCUCAUGUUGUCACAUGAGACAAAGCACCUGCAUCUAGCAAUACUAACAUUAGUAGCUGAGCAAAGCCUACUUAGCCAUUCAAGUUUGCUAGGAAGGGAUCAGUGUUUGGGUUCAUGGCAUAACAAGAGGCAAAUAUUUCAGUGGUAGGCAGCAAGCAUAUGACAAGGAAACGUAAUCUAGCAUAACAAGUCUAGAGAUGGAAUCAAGGUCAUAUCAUCUUGCCUGUGAUAUCCUCAGCUUGGAAUGGUUCUUGUUCGUCCUGCACGUACUCUCCUGACUCCACGUAUUUGUUCUCCGAUCCCGGUGCUACCCAACAUAAGAAUAACAUCCAAUGAACAAUAGAACCUCAAUAUGCAAUAAGCACAUGAUGCAUGAGAUGAAUAUGAGCAUGCAUCACUAUUUCUAUCUCUAACACAAGCAUGAGAAGCAAAUACAUGUUCCUGGACAGAACUGCAUCCUAAGCUAUUUUGACAUGCAUGAGAAUGAAAUGAUCAGAUGCGUCUCGUGUAAACAAUGCAAAAGCAUAUAAAGAACUUUACAAGCGGAGCUACGGAUCAACGGGAAUCAACGAAACAAGAUAUGAAGCCCUACGUGACAAAAUCAUCACCACACACUCAAAUGGCACAACUCUGGUAUUUCCAGGUUGCCAAGACAUAAAACAAACCAACAUGGAAGGGAUGGAGCAAAGAAGAACACCACAUCAUCAACUAAGCACUCACAAACAUCAAAAUGCCAAAACUAUACAAUCUGCCAUAAACUGCAUCAUAGCACUUUGUGAGCUACAUGCAAAGCACCUACAGCCACCCAAAUAUGACAAAUAGUAUAUGUGGCUAUAGCUAUUCAAUAAUAAUACAAGCACAAGAAAGAAUCACACAAAAAGGAAUUAAACACAGAAAGUUACAAGGCUACAAACUUUCCCAAAAACAUCAGUUUUCAAGGACUUAGUGGAAAUUCCAGAUUCUCACUUUCUGUCUAUGCUCUGAAGCAUUUUGACAGCAGCCAAAACAAUACCUACAGGACUCCAAAUGAAAUUCAAUUUUACAGGGAGCUAUACAAACAAAUCAGGUCCAACUUUCUAGUUGAAAGCUAAGGCUAGAUCACAACACAUUGACCUGCACAACCUCAACAACAGGAGAAGAAAAUAUAAACAGAUUCUCAGACUUAGUGAAAAUCUCAGAUUUUCACAAAUCUGGAAUUUCAGCCACAUGCCUACUUUGAGUGGGCAUAACUUGCACAUAUGGAAUCCUAAUCGUGAGAUGAAACCAACAUGAGGUAGAGUGGGUCACCCUUCACUAGCACAACCAAGAAGCAAACCUUUGUGCUCAACAAAUCACAUGGAACCAAGCUCUAAACAUAGAAGAAAAUGAAAUAUGUCAUCUCCAGAAAAUGUUCCAAUGGCAAAACUGAGUUCACCAAUGGAUUAUGUUGGGGAUAUUAUCUAUUGGGUAACCUGCCCUAGUUGGGCCGGGUCACCUAAGCUGGCGACUCAUCUCCAAAUGGUUUUGGCCUUGGCCCAGCGAGGCCGGAACUCGUAUGGCAGUUCAGGACCUUCGGGAGGAGUCCAUAGUAGAGAAGGUCUCCAAGUCUUGGAAAGAUGGCGACUUAGUGAUGGGAAGAGUCACGAUNNNNNNNNNNNNNNNNNNNNNNNNNNNNNNNNNNNNNNNNNNNNNNNNNNNNNNNNNNNNNNNNNNNNNNNNNNNNNNNNNNNNNNNNNNNNNNNNNNNNNNNNNNNNNNNNNNNNNNNNNNNNNNNNNNNNNNNNNNNNNNNNNNNNNNNNNNNNNNNNNNNNNNNNNNNNNNNNNNNNNNNNNNNNNNNNNNNNNNNNNNNNNNNNNNNNNNNNNNNNNNNNNNNNNNNNNNNNNNNNNNNNNNNNNNNNNNNNNNNNNNNNNNNNNNNNNNNNNNNNNNNNNNNNNNNNNNNNNNNNNNNNNNNNNNNNNNNNNNNNNNNNNNNNNNNNNNNNNNNNNNNNNNNNNNNNNNNNNNNNNNNNNNNNNNNNNNNNNNNNNNNNNNNNNNNNNNNNNNNNNNNNNNNNNNNNNNNNNNNNNNNNNNNNNNNNNNNNNNNNNNNNNNNNNNNNNNNNNNNNNNNNNNNNNNNNCUGCCGUGACAAAACCACGACAGUUGGCGCCCACCGUGGGGCCUCCGCAUGGUGGAGUUGAGUUCUCAAAGGGAGCCCUACCAGGGUCCGGGAGCUACGCGGCGGGGCUCAUGACUCGGAGCCGCCGCGGGAAGUACUACAUCAACAACUUGCUAUGGGGGCCCGAGGUUACAGGGUCCCCUUCGGCAAGAUUAGCGUCUUCGUCGGCAUGAUUGGGUCGCCCAUGCCUGAGCCGGACUCCUCCUCCGACAUCAUCGAGACGGCCAGGUACGUCCGCCCUGUCAUGACGCCAAACCUAACCCGCCCGGUCUUUGUUGGGUUCACGCAGGGAUCUGAGGAACCAGAACAAUCAGCGACCUAGGAGACCACGCCGGUCAACACUGAUGACGAAUCGUCCAUGGGCGAUUCAGAUUCAAUCCAGUCUUUACACGGGGGCUACCUUGGGGGCUUGUCACUGGCCAUGGACCCCGAAGUUCUUGACCGGACUCGUCGUCAGAUCGUCGUUUACAUGACGGGGGCGACUUAACCCUCGCCAAACCCGGCAGACGGAGAUGGAACUGGCGAAACGUCUAGAAGCCCGGUCGCGAUCUUGGUGGAUUUACCAGCAGAAAUAACAAGGCUCAUGGCGACCCCCAUAACACCGGAAAACCAGGACGCGAUAAACACGGAACUGACGAAGCUAAGAGAAGGGGUGGCAAAGGCUCAGCGGGACGCCGAGGUGGAGGCCGCCAGGAUCGAGACCCGACAGUCUCAAAUUACCGCUGAGAUAGCUCGCUUGAAUACCGACAACUGGCGGCUCGAAAGGCAUCAACGCGCAUCUGACAUCGUCCAUCAGCGGAGGCAUCAGGGUCACUUGCCCCCUGAUCUCAACCCGACCCGCCUGUUCGACACUCCACGAACUCCCGGGGCAGGAGCCGCCCCGGGGGGAGGGCCAGGCCAGCCACCGAACCCGCCGCUUCAGCCAGCUGUGGAUCACGCUCCCCGAUUCCAGACACCUCAAGGUCACUUUUCCAACCCGGUGGACAACGUCCUCGCCGCAACUCGCCAUUUAGAGUCCCUUCCAAUUCACAGCAAUACUCCAUCCGAGAUAGAGGCAAGGAACGCCAUUGAGAUGUUGAAGACGGCGGUGGUUCAAAACGCCCAGUUCUCACACAGCCUAGAUCGGCUGCACUCCACUCCCCAGGCAAGCCACACCAGGAGUCGACCAGAGGACUAGCCCGCUAUAACCAGCGGACCGCGACCCUUUCCCCAGGUCAACUCGCCUGAUCAUCGAGACCCGCCAGGUCGGGAUCACCCGGACACCCAAGUCGCCCCGGCGCCUCUUGUUGGAAGCGGCAGACAAGUGGGGGUGUCGUGUUUGGCCCCCGCCCUUCGCAAUGAGCGAAUGCCCAAGGAUUUUAAAGGAGUGCCUAACUACACUCCGGACCUUGAGCCGGCGUCGUGGGUCGAGAGUUACGAAAUCGCCAUGGACAUGCUUGAUGUAAGCGAAGCAGUUUGCGCCAGAUACUUCACAAUGAUGCUCGAAGGGACGGCGCGUACUUGGUUAAAGAACUUGCCCCCCAACUCCAUCCAGACUUGGGCUGAAUUAAAAGAACGUUUCGUCAAAAACUUCCGAGGGACCUGCAAACGCCCGAUGACAAUAGUCGAUUUACAGCACUGUGUUCAACGCCCGGACGAGUCGGCCCACCACUGGGCGCGGCGGGUCGCGGAAAUCAUUCACUCGUCGGACGGUAUUACGGCGGCGCAGGCUGUGCUGAUCCUAGAGCAGAAUUGCCACUACGAGCCCUUGGUGCAGAAGUUGGGGCGACUCAAGCGAAAGGUCCAAGACAUGGGAGAGCUAAUGGACACCCUCACUAGGUACGCUGAGGUGGACGACACCAAAGAUCCCGAAGAGGAUGGUGGUAAAGCCAAUUCGCCAAGGAAAGGCGAGUCAUCCAAAAAUCACACCCGGUUCCAGGGACGCGCCCGCCAUAAUCAUGGAGCGAAUGGCAAGGGAAGGCAGUAGGAAGAGUCUCCGGACUUAGUCGCCAACACCAACAGCAAUAAUGGCAACCAGCGUUAGAAAAAGAAUAGGGGUACAGUGGCAAAAAUCCGCGCAACUAUAAUGAGUUACUCAAGGGCCCCUGCCCGCACCACGCCAUGGCAGACGGACCGACGACUCAUUCCUGGGAAGACUGUUACGUGAUGCGGGAGUUUCGGGCGGAGGCGAUCAAAAAAAAGCAAAGCGGUGACCCGGACCAACGGUAGGAACAGUUCGGCGCACCUAAUCAACGCCAGAACCCCUUCGGCGGCUUCCCCGAACCCGGGGCUCAGGGUGGCUCGCAGCCAAGCAACGGCCAGUGUCCGGUGCAAAACCAGCGACGGUAUAACCCGCCUGGAGUUUUUCAACAACCACCCCCAUAGGGGGCUUCGCAGGGGUAGGACGACAAUGGCGGCUUCCACAACAACCCCAAGCAGUUAAGCAAUCGGCAGCACCACGUUUUCACAACCAAUGCCUGCAGGCGUGAUAAAAAGGUGAGUCACCGAGCGUACAGUGUAUCUGAGCCGACACUCCCCCGAUACCUCCACUGGUCCGAGCAGACUAUAUCAUGGAGUAGGGAGGAUCGCCCACCAAGAGUUGACAAUCCCGACGAAUUAGCGUUGGUUGUGGCACCCCAAGUUGGAGGAUAUACUUUAUCGAAGGUACUGAUGGAUGGUGGCAGCAGCAUCAACAUAUUAUACUUCGACACCUUCCAAAGGAUGAACCUGUUGGAGAAACAUUUGAUGCCCUCAACCACGGUAUUCCACGGGAUUGUCCCAGGUAAAUCGGCUUAUCCCAUAGGCCGAGUUAGGCCCACAGUUGCGUUUGGAAUAGCGUCUAACUACAGGAGUGAGUCGCUUAUGUUCGAGGUGGUCAAGUUAAAGAGCCCCUAUCAUGCGCUGUUUGGGCGACCGGCUUACGCCCGGUUCAUGGCUCGCCCUUGCUAUGUUUACCUUAAACUCAAGAUGCCUGGUCCUAAAGGACCCAUCACGGUUGAUGGUGAUAGGAGGUUUGCAAGAGAGUGUGAAGAAGGGGAUGCGGCUUACGCAGAAGUCGCCUGUGCUGCGGAACAGCUUAAAUAUCACCAGGCCAAUGUUGAUCCGGCCGAUAUGUCACCUUUAAAGAAGCCAACAACAGACGCUGAGUCGCCCCUCAAUUUCAAGCCAACAAAUGACACUAAGACAGUGGAUUUCGUCCCUGGCGACUCAACCAAGCAGUUCACUAUUGGGACGAGUCUGGACCCCAAAUAAGAAAGCGCGCUCAUCAAAUUCAUCCGUGAGAAUCGGGACAUCUUCGCAUGGAAACCUUCUGACAUGCCUGGUGUGCCGAGAGAAUUUGCUGAGCACCAUCUUAAUGUUGACCCAAAAGCAAAACCGAUUCAGCAAUAUCUUCGUAGGUUCAAUGAGGAACAACACAAGGCAAUCGGGGAGGAAGUUGCCCGCCUCUUGGCCGCCUGAUUCAUCAUGGAGGUCUUCCACCCCAAAUGGUUGGCUAACCCGGUCCUUGUGCUCAAAAAGAACGGUACCUUCCGUAUGUGCAUUGAUUACACGGGUCUUAAUAGAGCUUGUCCAAAGGAUCCUUUCGCCCUUCCCCGCAUCGAUCAAAUUAUUGAUUCAGUGGCGGGAUGCGAGCGUUUGUGCUUCCUGGACGCUUAUUCCGGAUAUCACCAAAUCAAGAUGGCCGUGGAAGAUCAGGAGAAAACGGCUUUUAUAACCCCCUUCGGGGCUUUUUGCUAUGUGUCCAUGCCAUUCGGACUCAAGAGUGCAGGGGCGACUUAUCAGCUCUGCAUCCAAAAUUGUCUCCGUGGCCAAAUCGGGCGCAACGUCCAUGCCUAUGUUGAUGACAUUGUGGUUAAAACUCACAGGAAGGAAACGCUGUUGGGAGAUCUCAAGGAAACUUUUGAUAAUCUGCGGGUAUAUCAGAUGAAGCUUAAUCCCACCAAGUGUGUCUUUGGUGUUCCUGCAGGGAAAUUGUUGGGUUUCUUGGUGUCUGAGCGCGGCAUUGAAGCUAACCCAGACAAGAUCGAGGCGGUUACUUCCCUUGGGAAACCAGUGAAUAUUAAUCAAGUCCAACGGAUGGCGGGUCGUAUUGCGGCUUUGAGUCGCUUCAUAAGCCGUCUGGGAGAAAAAGCUAUUCCCCUUUAUCAAUUGCUUAGGAAAUCUGACCAUUUUGUUUGGACAGAUGAAGCCAAUGAAGCCUUCGAAGCCUUAAAACGGCAGCUGGUCAACCCGCCGGUCUUGUUCGCCCCGACUGAGAAAGAGCCCAUGCUUUUGUAUAUUGCGGCAAACUCCAAAGCGGUGAGUGUGGCGGUGGUCGUCAAAAGGAAGGAGGAAGGGAAGGAAUAUCCUAUGCAGCUCCCGGUGUAUUUCAUCAGCGAGGUGUUAACUCUUUCCAAGCAGCGAUACCCACACUGGCAGAAAUUAGUUUAUGGGGUCUUUAUGGCAAGCCGAAAGCUCAAACAUUAUUUCCAAGAGCAUCCCAUCACGGUGGUUAGCUCCGCUCCCCUCGGGGACAUCAUCCAGAAUCGGGAGGCGACAGGGCGAAUCGCCAAGUGGGCGAUCGAACUUGGGCCGCACCACGUGCGAUACACCCCUCGCACGGCUAUCAAGUCUCAGGCCUUGGUUGAUUUCGUCAAUGAUUGGACCAAGUUACAGAUCCCGGAAGACAGGCCUGACCUUACAUACUGGACUAUUUAUUUUGACGGAUCUAGACAGUUGGAAGGCUCGGGGGCUGGCGUGGUGCUGAUAUCGCCUCAAGGAGACAAAUUCUGCUAUGUCCUCCGACUCAUGUUUCCAUGUACCAACAACGCUGCGGAAUACGAAGCUUUGCUUCAUGGCUUGUGACUCGCCAAGGAGAUGAACCUUAUGCGGGUCAGAUGUUUUGGCGAUUCUGAUUUGGUGGCCCAGCAAGUUUCAGGUACUUGGGAUUCUCGGGACCCCUUGAUGGAGGCUUACAGGAGGGUUGUGUCUAAUGUGGUGGGUCACUUCCAUGGCUAUCAGGUCGAUCACAUCGACCGGCGCCUUAACGAAGCAGCUGAUGCCCUUUCACGUCUCGGUUCCUAGCGUAAGCCGGUUCCCCCCAAUGUUUUUCUAGAUACUCUGCAUAAUCCUUUCGUAAGGUUGCCCUCGGAGGAAGAGUUGGCAAUACCAGAUCCUGAGUCCCAGUUCGUGGCGGCUCUCCAUGUUACGCCGGAUUGGGUUCUUCCGUAUCUGGCCUAUCUCGCCCGAGGCGAGUUACCUACGGAUGAAGUGUUGGCUCGCCAAAUCGUUCGGCGAAGCAAAUCCAUGGUGAUCAUCAAUGGCGAAUUAUAUAAACGAAGCACUUCCGGGGUUUUCCAAAAAUGUGUUUCCUCCGAAGAAGGGUGCAUAAUUCUAAAUGACAUUCAUUCCGGAGAUUGUGGGCAUCACGCCGGGUCACGCUCCUUGGUUUCAAAGGCUUUCCGUCAUGGUUUCUUCUGGUUGACGGCCCAUGCAGAUGCAGAGGAGAUAGUUCGUCGAUGUGAUGGAUGCCAUCGUUACGGGCGACAGGCCCAUGUACCGGCUCAAGAACUAAGGAUGAUACCCAUCACUUGGUCUUUCGCGGUCUGGAGGUUAGACAUGGUUGGCCCCUUUAAGAUGUCGUCCAACAAGAAAACUCAUUUUCUGGUGGCGGUUGAUAAGUUCACCAAGUGGGUUGAAGCAGAACCUGUUGGAGCUUGCGAUGUGGAGACAGCAGUCAAAUUCUUGAAAAAAUUGAUCUUCCGGUUCGGAUAUCCACACAGCAUCAUACUGAUAAUGGCACUAAUCUAUCUCAAGGGGCGAUGCAGGAGUUUUUCCAUCGUGAGCACAUUCGGCUUGAUGUUUCUGCGGUAGCUCACCCGCAAUCUAAUGAACAGGCGAAGCGGGCGAAUCAGGAAGUUUUGUGAGGAAUAAAACCCCGACUCAUGAUUCCCUUGGAACGUACCCCGGGGUGUUGGGUUGAGGAGUUGCCUUCAGUACUAUGGAGCAUCCGGACCACCCCGAACCGUUCUACGUGUUUUACUCCCUUCUUUCUGGUAUAUGGAGCAGAAGUCGUUCUUCCCACUGACAUUAGGCAUGACUCGCCCAGAGUUGCCGCUUAUGUGGAACAGGACUACGAGCUGGCGCGUCAAGACUCUUUGGACGCCUUGGAGGAAGCACGUGAUUUGGCUGCAGCCCGAUCGGCCAUUUAUCAGCAGGACUUACGGCGUUAUAACAGCCGCCGGGUCAAGAGCCAAACUUUUCAGGAGGGCGACUUAGUACUUCGACUGGUACAAGAUCGUACUGGCAUGCAUAAGUUAUCACCACCAUGGGAAGGACCGUUCGUCAUCAGCAAAAACCUUCACAACGGGUCCUACUAUCUGGUGGAUCUACAGCCUGAUCGGCCAACCACGGAGGCUGAGUCAACUCGCCCCUGGAACAUAGCCCACUUGCGGCCUUAUUACACUUGAGCUAUUAGCUCUACGUUUUGUAAGUUUUUCAUUUCUUAUAAAGAAAUAAAAUUAACGCCUCCCGACUUGGGGGCUUUCCUGCUAAUUCAUCUUAUUAAAAGGUAUGGAUCUUUAUUUUUUCAUCAACAAGUCGCCCAAGCAUGGACGCUAUCCAUACCAAAGAGCUUAAGUCGCCACGAUGCGCUUAUUACAAAACUGGGUAUCGAUAAGCCAAAGAGGAUCGAAGUCGCCACAAGCGCGUGAUUCAAACAUAUGCGCCUUAUAUGAUUAUGUGGAUUAGGCCGGCUUACUUGAGGGCACUUUGUUCUCAAGUCGUUUUGUGGUCAUAGCGUAUACGCUUCUACAAUCCUAUGACGGUCUUUCCCUUAAUCAUAGGUCACAUGGGGGCUUCCUCUCACUGAGAUCAGCCUUACUACCCAUUUGGCCUGCGAACAAUUACCGCAUUACAAAUGGUUAUACUGGACUGUGUGUUGGCCGAAUCGCCAUAUGGACCCGUGAACUAUUGGCGAGUUAUUCCGCUCAUGGACCUUGAACUCGCCUUGGUUAAAACAUGUCUGGUACCGGCUAGCGCCUCACAUGGAAAAUAGAGAAACCAUUGGUUCAUUGAACCCACUUCACUGAAGCUUGACUCGUGCCUGAUCAGCCGGUCUAAAUACUUGAGCUUUUGAUACAAAAGUCUCCCUCGGGUAGCACUUGAGUUUAUUUAACUUGUCCUAUCCUGUCGCGACCUGAUGAGCCGACGAAAUUGCUAUUUUUUACCUUCCUGGCACUGCCACAAGGUCUUUCAGACUUUUUUUCUGACUCGCCUCAAAUAUCUUGGGCCGAUUGUUAUUUAUUAUCAUCCAUUACUCACUGAGAUGGUUUGAUAUAUGUUUUCAAGCUUAACAGGUUGAUGAUCAAAAUCAUUCUAGCCAUGGCGGGUCAAGCAUCAUAAAAACGCCUCAAUGGCGGGUCAAGCAUCAUAAAAACGCCUCAACGGCGGGUCAAGCAUUUAAAAAAACUCUUUAAGGGCGACAUAAGGAUUUUUCAAGAUAUCACAGAAGCAGUUUGAUCUCUAAAAAGACUUAUUACAUGGCUCUUAUGGCCAAAUCUAUCAACUUUUUUUCUGCUGAUGUCCUUGGAUCAGCCUGCUGCGAGCUUUGGCCGACUUCAAUUUGCAAGUCGCCCAGUACCCAAUUACACUUGGAUAACACGGUGAACUCAUCUUCAUCGUCCAUCACUGAUGAGAGAUCCACCUCCAAGUCAAAAGGAUUCUUGGGUCGACGCGGAGUUAAGCUGGUUGUUACAAAGGUUGGUGGGUUAACUUUCUUGUUCUUGUUGUCAUAGGCGGCUUGGUAUUUUGAUAAAUCCAAGCUUGCAGCAAGCUGAGUCGCUGCCAAACGGGAUUCUUUGACAACACGCUGGUAAUCUUCUUCAGCAAAUUCUGACCCGUCAUCCUUGAGCUGGGGAAAGCCCGCCGCUACUUCUUCCGGGUUUAUUUCUGGAGCAUACGCCAAACGCCGACUCAACGUAGUCAGUGCUCCUUUUCGGGCGGCUGACCGAGUUAGCUCACCAAUUUGAGGAGGAAGAGUAGAUAAGCAGCCUAACAUCUUCUUUAUUGAUGUUAUGGGUUCCUUGGCACCCAUCAGUGCUUUCACGGUCAGCACACUUCCGGUAUACAGUUGCUCCGUCAGCGUAUAAAUCGCUUUUAGCAUCAGGACACAGUCAUCCUGAAGAUUGGCGACUCUCGGACCUGUGUAAGAGGUAAUGAUGGUCAGCGAUUUCUACAAGCUAUUUAUUUACAAAGUGCAAGGUCAAGGGUUUGGUUUUUACCAAAGACGGCUUGCGCCAUGUUGGAGAUAUGUCGCUUUAAGCCGGCCAGCUCUUGUUGCACAGUAUCCAAUUUAGCUUCAGCUUUUUCUGCUCGCUUUAUUAAGGCAUCUUGAUCAGCUUGAGCCUUUUUUAAGUUGGCUUUUAGCUUCUCCAUCUCAGACAAGAUCAGUUGACUCUUCUCUUCUGAUUUCGCCCGGGCAUCCUGCUGAUCGGUUAAAUUUUUCUUCAAGUCGCCAAAUGCUGAUUCAGUUUGGGCAAGUGAUUCCUGUUGAAAUAUAUAGUCAAGGGGCAAGUCUCAGAAUUAUUGCAAGCAACAUCCCUGACACUUGGGGGCUAAUGUAUAAAUUUUUAAGACAAAUUAUACAGUCUCAAGACCCGGCUCAUCUUUUUAUAGAUGACCCGGCCCUUGGGGGUUACAGGUCGAGAGUUUUCUUCUAUUAUCAAGACCCGGAUCAUCCUUUUACAAAUGACCCGACCCUUGGGGGUUACAGGUCGAAAGUUUUCUUCUAUUAUCAAGACCCGGCUCAUCUUUUUAUAGAUGACCCGGCCCUUGGGGGUUACAGGUCGAAAGUUUUUCUUCAAUUAUCAAGACCCGGCUCAUCUUUUUACUGAUGACCCGGCCCUUGGGGGUUAAUGAGGAUAAUAUAGUGUGCAAUAAGACAUGCCUCAUGUUUGUUCUUCAGCAAUCGAAGCAGACUUUUUUCCAUCUCAUAACUCGCCUCUAGGCGACUUGCAAAGCCAGAGCAAAGUUCUUUGAAGUCAAGAUUCUCAUACUGGGAGAGCUUAGCCUUGGAAAGUUCAUGCUCAAAAACAGUUUGAGCUGAUGAUGAUACAUGCUUCGAUAAAACUUUUGUGGCCGGCUUACAGAAGCGAGUACCGGUGAUAACUACAACGUCUGGGUCUUCUGCUGUUCUCAAUGGACUUGGCGGCUUAGGCGUUUCCAUGGUUUCCUUGGGCGAGCUGGGGAGAUCCACUUGAUCUUCAGGUUUGUCUUGGUCCGGGUUAUCCUGGAUCGGCGCCGAUUUUUCAAUAGGCUCUGAAGCUGUAAUGGGAGUUGACCCGCCAGUUUUCCUUUUCUUCACCUGCGCCCUAAGAGGAGAAGGGGGUGCGUUUAAAAGAACAGAUAUUACCACCAUCAGAACAAAGGUAAAUGUUGUCAAAAGGCUUACCCAGGGACACGGAUCAUCGGUGGAAGUGCCGACAUCACUGAGUCGCCGGAUGUGGGAGGAGAACUCUGCAAAAGUAAUACUUCAAAUAUAUGAGCGAGUUGCAAACGUGAUCCAAAAGGACAUGAAGAAGUGUCAUUAAAAGAUACCUCAUUUUGCCUCUUCUUGGUUCUUGUUGGUAACCCGGACACCAAGUCUCCAGAAUGACUCCGAGUUUUCCGAUUUGAAGUAUGUUGCGCUUUCUUCAAAAGGAAAUUUGGAUCCAAACAAGCAUUUGGGUGUGAGAAGGGAACUUUCCCACAAAUUCGCCUGGCCGGCUUAGGUGGAGGAGAAGAUGAGUCGGAGGAAACAGAAAUUACCUCUACGGAGUCUUCCUGGCUUUCAUUGUCCUCAUUCUACACAAGAGAUACAGAGGUGUAAACACAAAACUAUCGGUAAUGGAUGGCGAGUUAAAGAGGAUGGAUUUUUUACCUCUGAAAGUAUGUCGCCGACUUGGGAUUCAUCGGCUUCAGAUGGCUCAAUGACGGCGGCUUUGCCCUUUCCCUUGGACUUCUUCUUUGGAGGCGGCCUAGCUUGCUUAUGGCCAUCUUUUUUGGCCUCUUGGACCAGAAUUUAUCACCUUUCUGAAAUGGCAUAUUUUAUAAGAGGUCAUAGUUCAAGUAAGACGGAAAGAAUAAAGCAAAAAUGGGUUAAGUUAUUUACCUUUGGUGUCGGGUUGAUCUUGCAGAAUGGCUUAAGACCUAUCUGGCCGCAUUUUGCCGCGGGUUCGCCGGUCAACUUCUUGAUGAUGGUUACAAUAUCACUUUCUGUUAGAGCCGUGUGGAAGUAGCACUGUGGGUGAUCCAGGGUGCUGUCAAAAUCACACAUUAAUCCGUCCCGACGACUUAAGGGGAGGAUACGCCAUUCCACCCAGCAGCAGAUCAAGUCAACCCCAGUAAGGCCGUUGUUUGUCAAAGAUCUUAACUCGGACAAUACUGGGAUAAAGUCUGAAUCCUCUUCUUCGGUGAGCUUGUCUGGGAGUUUGAAAUUUGUUGCAAGCCGAUCUUCCCUAUAACCGAGAAGCUUGUUCUUGCCCUCACGCGAAGUCUCCCGGCAGUAAAACCAAGACUCGCCCCAGCCUUUGGGAUGGCUUGGCAUGGCGAGUGACGGGAAUGAACUAUCCCUACGGCGUUGAACAUUGACACCUCCAAGCUCUAAGCUAGGGCCAUUGUGAAAUUCUGUUUGGCGAUUCAAAUGGAAGAAGUACCAGAAUAAAGGAACUGAGGGUUCCAAUCGCAAGUAGGCCUCACAGAACACUUGGAACUGGCAUAAAUUGCUUAUCGAGUUGGGCCCUAAAUCUUGGAGGCGGACAUUCAUAAAGGUCAUGGCGUCUCUGAGGAAUUUUCGAUCCAGGCGGCUUAAAUCCCCGUUCAAGGUGUUCAACAAAAACAACUAUAUCCCCUUCCUUCGGGUUGGGGAUUUCCUCUCCUAACCCGGUACACCAACCGAUGACCUCUUGAGGGUCCAGAUUCCCUGUUUUUACAUAGUUGUUAAGGAGAGCAUCGUCAACCUUGGUUGGGAGCCAAUCACUUUUGAAAACGGUGCCCAUGCUACAAAGGGAUAAAAUUACGGGUAAAUUAACACGCCAAGCAUCUACUAAAAAUGGUGAAACAAGUUCAUUUGACUCGCCAAACAAUUUGCCUGAUGGCUGAGGGAGUUUUUUGACCUGCCGAUAAAGGUCCGGGUCAGGUUGCCAGGGCGACUUAUGAAACUUUUACUACUUAAAGGAGAGGUGUUUCAGAGCUUCAGUAGUAUUUGCCAAGAUGGUGAAGUACGAGAUUAUAAACAGGUUUCACUCGACAAGCGAUAAAUUAUGGAUCUACUGGACAGACAGAAAUGAAUGUGAAAAGGUCUGGAUAAAACGGCCUGUGACUAAGGUGGGAACAGUAGUGUUGAUCUGGUGAAAUCUUUACUAAGUAUGCAAAUCAAGGCCGAACAACUAAAGGUAUGGAAAACAUUGUUGUAUUCGCUACCAUCACCGCCCUAAUCGGGGAUUACGAAGCCGUCCGAGAUGUUCCAAGAACACAGUGGGCAUGAACCUCGAGAAACUUGGAUCUGCCUUCAAUGGGAGGAUGCUGACCUGGUAAAUGCGGCUGGAGGUGUACGAAGAGGGAUUCGCCGCGAGCGUUGCGCGGACGGCGGCAAAGAUCUCGGACGGUCGCGAAGAUCUCGGGCGGCGACGAGGUGCUCGACGGCGACAAGGUGCUCGACGGCGGCGAGGCGUUCAACGGCGACGAAAUGCUCGGCCACGACGAGGUGUUCGGCGGCGACGAAGUUGUCGAACAACGUCGAAGUCUUCGGGUGGCGGCGGAGCUCUCGGGUGGCGAUGAGGCUCUCGGUGCAACGGCGAGGAAGAGAAGGGCGACAAGAUGGGUAGGUGAAAUGUGCCCUAUCCCUUCCUCCCACCUAUUUAUCAGGUCAGGCGCUAAGAUCGAGGCGCCACGAGCGGGAACUGCCAAAAGAUAAAGAUUCGCCAUGAUGGCGCCCCGAAAUUUUUGGGAUAACGAUACCGAAGGAUCCGUUGGAGAUUACGUCAUCAUCUCUUCCGAGAUUCAAGGGAUAAGAAGGCGCCAACAAGAAGUGGUUUGGUGACUUGAGUUUUUCCGCAGCAGAUGGCGAUUUAAGUGUAUGGUGCAUAAGAAGAGUGAGAUGAAUCGCCCCUAACUGAAUAAGGAUAUUGGCAUGAAAGAAAUUCAAGUCAAUCUGGGGCCUAAUGUUGGGGAUAUUAUCUGUUGGGUAACCCGCCCUAGUUGGGUCGGGUCACCUAAGCUGGCAACUCAUCUCCAAAUGGUUUUGGCCUUGGCCCAGCGAGGCCGGAAGUCGCAUGGCGGUUCAGGACCUUCGGGAGGAGUCCAUAGUAGAGAAGGUCUCCAAGUCUUGGAAAGAUGGCGACUUAGAGAUGGGAAGAGUCACGAUUUGUGUAAAGGAAAGGACCCUUGUAAACCCUAAGGACUCGACCUGUAUAUAAAGGCGAGUCCCAGGGAAGGAGAGGGCAGGUUAGAAAUCAUCGAGUGCUAGGUCAGGCGAGUUANNNNNNNNNNNNNNNNNNNNNNNNNNNNNNNNNNNNNNNNNNNNNNNNNNNNNNNNNNNNNNNNNNNNNNNNNNNNNNNNNNNNNNNNNNNNNNNNNNNNNNNNNNNNNNNNNNNNNNNNNNNNNNNNNNNNNNNNNNNNNNNNNNNNNNNNNNNNNNNNNNNNNNNNNNNNNNNNNNNNNNNNNNNNNNNNNNNNNNNNNNNNNNNNNNNNNNNNNNNNNNNNNNNNNNNNNNNNNNNNNNNNNNNNNNNNNNNNNNNNNNNNNNNNNNNNNNNNNNNNNNNNNNNNNNNNNNNNNNNNNNNNNNNNNNNNNNNNNNNNNNNNNNNNNNNNNNNNNNNNNNNNNNNNNNNNNNNNNNNNNNNNNNNNNNNNNNNNNNNNNNNNNNNNNNNNNNNNNNNNNNNNNNNNNNNNNNNNNNNNNGAGGGGCCGAACCUGGGUAAAUCUCUGUCUCGCUCCCGUUCAACCCCUUUGAGUCGCCACCAAGGUGCGAUGGCUCCAACACUAAGUCCUUUCACGAGGACAUCUGCCGUGACAAAACCANNNNNNNNNNNNNNNNNNNNNNNNNNNNNNNNNNNNNNNNNNNNNNNNNNNGAUUAGGCACAAGUGGAGCAUGGCAAAGCAAAAGAAAUAAAAUAAGAGAGAAGUGGAAAAAUGCAAGUGACAGUUCUAGGAAUCGAACCCAGGGCCUCUGUCACGCCACUUGACCGCGCUACCACCACACCACUGCCACUGGUUCGAUAGAGUAUGGUGGUUAACCAAGGUAACUAGGCACCUUGCUACUGUGCCGAGGCAAAAUAAGGAAAAAAGGAUGCCGAGGGGGGGACUCGAACCCACGCCCUCCCGACAGGCAUCGGAACAAGCUACCACUGGGCUACGAAUCGGUUACUGCUAGAAAGGGGGGAUCUACUCAGUUAAGCUAUCCCUAGCCCAUCUACCUGUGCUCUACACACCGGCGACACAGAAGGUGCCGGAGCAGAACAACUGCUACUGCUUCCCACGAGGGGAGCCACCACUACAACGACGAUGCAUGAAGAGUAGGAGUUCCUGCUACCCCACACACCACCACGAACCGCGCGUGACAAAGAAACACACACACACACAUACAUAUCAAAGUUGCUGCUCUGCUCUGCUCGACAGAGAGCAUGGCGACAGGGAAGGUCGCUGGCAUGUUCUACUGCUACUGCUGCGCCACAAAGAGAUGCACUAUGCUACUGCUGCAAGGAGGCCCAUGUCACGCCCAAGAUGCGACCCUAUCCUCAAUUUGGCACGAAGGCCUCGUCAGGGAUAGAAGCACAUCUCGUCGUGUCGCAAGAAUGGAUAUCAUUACAAGUACAUGUACUGAAAAGAAGAGAUAUAUAUACAGAGCUGGCUUACACUCGCCACAAGCUACAUCAGAGUCACAUCAGUACAUUACACAAUCAUCAAGAGUAAGAGCAGGGUCCGACUACGGACGAAAUCAAACGAGAAAAAUAAGAACGACGUCCAUCCUUGCUAUCCCAGGCUGCCGGCCUGGAACCCAUUCUAGAUCGAUGAAGAAGAGGAAGAAGAAGAAGAAGAAUCAACUCCAAAUGAACAAUCAACGCGCUCGCGUCGAGUAACCUUUACGUGUACCUGCAACUGGUGUUGUAGUAAUCUGUGAGCCAUAGGGGACUCAGCAAUUUCAUUUCCAAAGGUAUCAAGACUAGCAAAGCUUAAUGGGUGAGGCAAGGUUAAGUGGUGAGGUAGCGGCAGCGGCUAAACAUGUAUUAGGUGGCUAACUUACGAGUACCAGAAAUAAGAGGGGGAAGAUCUACGCAUAACGGACGUGAACUACUGGUGAUCAAAUNNNNNNNNNNNNNNNNNNNNNNNNNNNNNNNNNNNNNNNNNNNNNNNNNNNNNNNNNNNNNNNNNNNNNNNNNNNNNNNNNNNNNNNNNNNNNNNNNNNNNNNNNNNNNNNNNNNNNNNNNNNNNNNNNNNNNNNNNNNNNNNNNNNNNNNNNNNNNNNNNNNNNNNNNNNNNNNNNNNNNNNNNNNNNNNNNNNNNNNNNNNNNNNNNNNNNNNNNNNNNNNNNNNNNNNNNNNNNNNNNNNNNNNNNNNNNNNNNNNNNNNNNNNNNNNNNNNNNNNNNNNNNNNNNNNNNNNNNNNNNNNNNNNNNNNNNNNNNNNNNNNNNNNNNNNNNNNNNNNNNNNNNNNNNNNNNNNNNNNNNNNNNNNNNNNNNNNNNNNNNNNNNNNNNNNNNNNNNNNNNNNNNNNNNNNNNNNNNNNNNNNNNNNNNNNNNNNNNNNNNNNNNNNNNNNNNNNNNNNNNNNNNNNNNNNNNNNNNNNNNNNNNNNNNNNNNNNNAUCCAGCAAGGCCGCCCGGCGUGUCGACGAUCCCGAUAGGAGCCGCGUAUCUCGUUCUCAGGACACGACGGAUAAGCAUAGCGUACGGUGGCCUGAUAGAAAUCUCCCGAGUUGCCCCGGGUUGGCCCCGCAAACGGCUCUAGUUUUGGACCAGCACCAACAGCACUGCCCCCCCUGUAUUAUGUAGAAUUACUCCUCGGGUAGCGCUAACUCCCUAUGCAUUUCAAUAGUAUCAAGUUAUUAUGUUGGGCAAAUGUAGUACCAAUGUUGGGCCUUGCCAGACCAGCUUUAAUCUAAAACGAAUUAUCAAGGGGGUCCCCAUAACAACCCCGAUCGUGUUAGGAGCGCUCAUUUAUGGAACAUAACACCGGUAGCCGAAACUAAGGGGGCAAAGGUGGAACAAAACACCAGGCUAGAAAGGCCGAGCCUUCCACCUUUUACCAAGUAUAUAGGUGCAUUAAAUUAAAUAGCAUCUAAUAUGGUGAUAUAACAAGGAACCCAUGUUUUCACAUGGAAGCAUCUGCACCUGCAACUAGCAACGCUAACAACAUGGUUAAGCAAGCAGUAACAUAGCCAAUCAGUGGUUGCUAGGUCGAACAGGUUGAAGGUAUUCAUGGCAUUGUUGAGAGGCUGAUAUUUAACAUGUGGUAGGCAACGAGACAUAAUCGAUAGAAGCGAUAAAACUAGCAUGGCAAUGAUAGUAAUGGUAUCUGGGGAAAUGAUCAUCUUGCCUGAGAUCCCGCUUGGAAGAAGAAUGCCUCCGUGAAGCAGACGAACCGACGUAGUCGAACGGGUCCUCACAAUCCGGCACGCUUGCGGAACUCUGUCGAGACGGAGGAAACCGGAAACAAGCACCAUCACACGAUAUACACCACACGAUACAAGACACACAUGAUGCAUGAACGGUCUAAUGCACGGCAUGGCAAUCACAACAAUCAAACACUACACAUUAAGUGAAGCUCGUUAUGCAACGAGUUGUAUAUCGAUGAAGCUCCACGUUUAAUUAUUUAGUUCAUUCCCGUUUAUUAACACAACAAUAUUAAAAAGUUGUUAACAUGACACGGGGUGAAGCACAAAUUAAUCUACCUAGCUAGGCAUUUUAAAUGAGACCGGAAACGGCAUAUAGCAUCUCCGAAAUGACCCCACGUGUUAAAACUUAAUUCUGUCCAGAUUUGUCCUAAUCACAUUUUAGGUUUGUUAAACAACAAAACAAAGUGGAGCAUGAGAUUCUACACGUCGUUCUACUCGAUUUACAUAUACAGAACAUCUCCAACGGAGCUACGGUUAAAUAACUACGACCUAAACCGUUUUCAACACGUUGACACGCAAACCGACACAAACAGCAUGCUAACUGCCUUAAACAUGCAUGAGAGUUGGAAAUUGUUAAUCUACGCAAAAUUCUAGUCAAGUUUCAUAUAUAACUUGUCUCGAUCCGAUGCACGGUUUAAAAGCUACAGGUGUCUCGAUCCGAUGCACGGUUUAAAAGCUACGGGUGUUAGAAAAUCGAUGUUUAUUUUCUGAAAUUCACAAAAUCCUAGUGCAGAAAAAAGGAGAAACAAAAAAAGGGCAAGCUGGGAUUCGAUCCCAGGUGCCCUUGUAUAAGAGUUGGCUGCGCUAGCCACCUUUGCUAGCAAUGUGUUCUGAUAUAGCACAGGAUUCUUUCCAAAAGAAGUAGCAGCACCAUGGCGCAUGCACAUCAACAAGAAAAACAGAGCAAAAAUAUAUAGCCACUGGUGGGAUUCAAACCCCAGACCUAAGCGUCUUGCUUCACAUGGUUUACCAGCUGGGCCAGGAGGAUGGGACAGAUCAGGCCUAGGGUUUACGACAUAUAGAUAACAUGUUUGGAUGGGUUAGACCCUCCGAUCUUCAUCGGACGGUCGGGAUUAAAUAGGUUAGGACGUCCAAUGGACAAACCGAUGACGGUUUGCGGUAUAACGGGGUUGAUCCGGACCCAACGGUUACGACCGUGUGUUUCGCGUACCAGGAGGUUUUCGGACUCGGUUGCGCGUAGGGUCGGUGCACCGUGUAGAGGGGCUAGGCGGGGAUGAGCGGGAAAACGGGCGGCGCGGCAACGCGAUUUAAAACACCUGGACACGUCCGGCGAUAGACCGAAUACGGUGCCGCUACGGUCGACCGUUCGGUUACCAGACGGACUCCGAUCGCGACGAAAUUUGACAGGCGACCUACCUAUAUUAAAAUAAGACCGCAGUCAAAUAUCAACCCAAUCAGAGAAAGUUUUAUGCACACUUUUAAAACAGGGUUUUGACGAUGCCGCGGGCGCGUGCGUGUGUGGUCGGGCUCCGAACGGACAACAACGAGAACCGGCAACUAACACGGAUGCAAGUUGAAAACUGGCGGCAACGAAGAUGCCGAUGCAAUGCAGAUGAUGCGCAUGAUGCGAUGAUGAUGCGACAAAAGAAAAAUAGACACAUGACGAAAACGGAAAGAAAAAGGGGAAUCUUCUGGAACGUCAGUCUUGGACUGUCACAGCCCAAGAGAUCCACUACUACUGCACGGUACUCGCUGCAGAGACUACACCACACACACAAACACAUACUGGCGAACUCCUCUACGAAUAGAGCGCGCAGAUCAUCGGCCGGAGCUACUGCUACGAGGAACCUAACCGAAUGAAGGAGGGAGGAAGGAAGGGGGCGAUGCUCCUCACCUUGGGUAAGGAAGGAGAGGAACCGAGCUGCGGAGGAAGAUGCACUGGAGGGAAGAAGUCGAUCUGCUGCUGCCCAACCGAUGAAGGGGAAGAAGAGCUCCUGGUCCGAGGCGAUGACGAGGUCCUAGCCGUCGUUGAGGUCGCUCCUCGACCUUAGCGAUGGAGGGAAUGGAGUGUAGGGCGAUCUCCCGUUCCCCUGGACAUGGCCGCCGGCGCCGGAGACGACGGGAGGCAGGGGAUUGACGCUGCACUCUUCUCUGCUGCUCUGUCUACCGAGAGCUUGCCUGAUGAGGAAGGAAGAAGGAGAGAGAGAUGGCGGCGCUGGAGGGAAGGAGAGGGAACCCUAGCUGCCAGAGGGCUCGCCUGCGGCUUAAAUCACCUGGGGGAGGGGAGCUCGAGCCGCAGGAUUGAGGGGAAUACGAUCGAGAGGCUGAGCUCUCAUCGUACCAUGGCUGACGUCGACAGGAGGAAGGAGAGGGACGCCGAGCGGGCUGCCGCUGUGAUACAGAGGAGAGAUGGGCCUCUCUGGUGGGAGGAAGCCCACCAGAGCGUUACUUAAAAGGAAAAGGUCAUUCCCUGCAAAUUCCUAUUAAAUAAAAUCAUAGAGAAAAGGAAAAGGCCACAGAGAAAACCAAAGAAGAUAAAAUAAAAGCAAAAAUGUUCCUGGGCCUGAAAAAUAGUAAGCUAAUUAAACAAAAUACUAAAAGGAUUUUUUGGGGCAUAUAAAAUAAAUAGAAAACAGCAUAUUAGUGGUUGUUUUGUGUUUAUUCAUGCACCUUUAGAACACCUAACAAAACACCAAAUCUUGCACACCAUAAUAUCCACAAUAUUUACUAAACAGAGGACAUUUUAAAACCAGGUAAAUAGCAAGUGGAAUUUUGAACUUGGGAAUAAAAGAGAGAAAAGGUUUGAGACUAACAAGGGGGUUUGAAAAUAAUGCCAAGCACCACACUCCACUACUUCACACCAGAUCAUCACAUGUGCAUCAACACAUGAAAUCACAAGUCUCCACACUAAGACAUGGCAAGGUAUAGAUGCAAGCAAAACAAGGCAUGGUAAGAAUGGUAUUGCAUGGAUGCAUGAAUGCAAAAGAAGAAAUACAAGGUGACACAUGAAUUCAUACAUGCAUAGAUAGCUCUCAUGACAAUGUCAAGGUGGUCCCGCAUGGAAGGUUACAAAAAGGGAAAGCUUUACACUUGGGGCACUACAGGUUAUGUCUGGCGUAAGUAGGUGUUCAGGAUCAUUCAUUUGAUCAUUAGUAGUUCACGUCCGUUAUGCGUGGAUCAUCCCCCUCUUUAUUCUUGUACUCGUAAGUUAGCCACCUCAUAUAAUGCUUAGUCGCUGCCGCAACCUCGCCACUUAAUCAUACCUCACACAUUAAGCUUUGCUAGUCUUGAUACCUUUGGAAAUGAGAUUGCUGAGUCCCUUACUACAUUAAGGUACAGGUAAAGGUUACUUGAUGCGAGCGCGUUGAUUAUUCAUUUGGAGUUGCUUCUUCUUCUUCUUCUUCAUCGAUCUAGGAUGGGUGCCAGGCCGGCAGCCUGGGAUAGCAAGGAUGGACGUCGUUCUUAUUUUCUUGUUUGUUUUCGUCCGUAGUCGGACCCUGCUCUUCUUCAUGAUGAUUAUGUAUUGUACUGAUGUGACUCUGAUGUAGCUUGUGGCGAGUGUAAGCCAAUACCACAUAUCUCAUCUUUUCAGUACAUGUACUUGUAACGAUAUCCAUUCUUGCGAAACGAUGAGAUACACUUCUAUCCCUGACGAGGCCCUCGUACCAAAUUGAGGAUAGAAUCGCAUCUUGGGCGUUACAGACUCUUUGUCGUCUGUCUGGACCAUCUUUGUCCUCAGCUAUUUCUUUGUCGUGUGUCUGGUCCAUCUUUGCCGUCCGCCAGCAGACGACAAAGAAUGCAAUGACGGCAAAGAGCAUCUUUCCAUUAACCAGUUCUUUGUCGUCUAUUUUUCGGCAGCUAAUGGCAAAGUCUAUUUGCCAUCAACCAGCAGGCGACAAUGAUCAGACGUAUGACAAUUUCAUGAUUCCUAUAGUGUCACGGGGUAGAAGGCCUUCUUCUUCAAGCUCUUCCAACGUGGACAAUUCCAAACAAAGCUCUUCCCUCCUCCGUUUUCAUGGCCAUAUUUGUUGGACCCCCGUCCUUUGAAGUAGGCUUUGAAUCUUUUCAAUUUGAUAUUGAGUGCAUCAAUAGGGUCUAUAGCAUUCACCUUUCUACUCCAAAUACCCCUAGACAGUCCGAGGAAUUCCUCAUUUUUAAGCGAGGAAAGUUCGAAGCGAAAGUCACGAGCUUUAGGGGCUUCCCUCUCAUCAUCCCCCGAGGAAACAGUCAAAGGGUUAUGAUCAGAAAUCUCUUUGACAAAUUCUCUAACAGAUACUAAGGGGAAUAAUUUUUCCCAGUCAUCAUUAAUAAGGAUACGAUCUAAUUUUUCAAGAGUGGGAUGAGCCUGUGUGACAGCCCGGUGCCGACAUUCCAGAAGAUUCCCCUCUCUUUCCGUUUUCUCAUGUGAUUUAUUUAAUUUGUCGCGUCAUCAUCGCAUCAUGCGCAUCAUCAGCAUUGCAUCGGUGUCUCCGUUGCCGCCCGUUUUCAAACUUGCAUGCGUUGAUAGUUGCCGGUUUGCGUCGCUGUCCGUUCUGAGCCCGACCGCACACGCACACACCCGCGGCACCGUCGAAACCCUGUUUUAAAAGUGUGUUUAAAACUCUCUCUGAUCAAGGUGAGACUUGGCACGUGGUCGCGAUUAGAUGUAGCUAGGCCGCCUGUCGAAUUUCGUCGCGAUCGGAGACCGACUGGUACCCGAACGGUCGACCGUAGCGGCACCGUCUUCGGUUAUUCGUCGGACGUCUGCCGGUGUUUUAGAAGUCGACGCUGCGCCGCACCACUUCCUCUCAUCUUAGCCAACGCCACUCUACACACCUAACCCCAUCCCGCCUCCCCGAACGGACCGCACGAACGUGUCCGGAGGGUCGAAAAACCCCCAGAUACCCUGCACCCUAGCCCAUUUCCCUAUUUAAGCACCCCUCCCUGCCUAUUUUGGGCGCCCCCCUAAUCCUCCUCGGAAUCCGCGCCCCACCUAGACCUAACCCUAGCCGCGCCGCCCCACUCCCUCUCCUCUGCCAGCGCCGCCGGGCCCGCGAAGCCCAUCGCAGGCCCGCCCGAGCCCGAAUCGCGCCGCCGCCGCGCAAGCCCAGCAGCUCCCCGUUGGCGCCGAGCUUCCCCUGGCCGAGGUGCUCCUCCCGAGCCCCGACCCCGCUACCUCCAUCGCCGGCUCCUUCCCCGCCGAACGUCGGAGCUCCGGCCACUGGGUGGACGCCGCUGGCUGCUGCCCCUCGCCGGCUGGAACCACCGGAGCCUCCGCCGACCCCCCUGCCUCGCCGUGCAGCCCGAGCAAGCUCGCCGUGCGCCGCCGCCGCAUCCCCAUCGUCCGGCCGCCGCCUUGCGCCGCCGCCGCCGGGAUCAGUCUCGCCUCGACCGGAUCCGGCGGAUCCCGCGGUCUCCCCGCCGCCUGCGCCCCUGUGCCAGGCCGACGAGCCGCCGCGGCCAGCUCUGGCCGCCGGUUGCCCGUGCACGACGGGAGGCAACCGCCUUGUCCGAGCGUGGGCCACGUGGGCCGCCUCGCCCCUCCCAGGCCUGCCAGGCCGCUCGCCCCGGCCCUUCUCCAACCGGCCCGCAGGCCUCUACUCCAACCGCCGGCCCAGGUGGGCUUUCCCCGAAGGUGAGCUAACCCCCUGCCCCCCUAUUCCACGCCUAGGCGGCAUGCAUCUAAGUUGCGCCCCAGCUCGGGCCGUUAGAGAUUAGGUUUUUCUUUUUCUUUGUCGGUUUAGUUAAUUUCAGGUUUUAGCUUUUUAUUUAAACCCCCGUAACUUUUAAACCGUAAGCCGGUUCGGGACGUGUUAUAUAUCGUUUUGGGGUGGCUUCGCGAGUAGAACACGAUUAUCCAACGUGCAUAUUUGUUUAACGCCGUUUAGAGUGCCUACUGUGUAGAUUUACGUGUUGUCUCCAUAAGUAGGUGCCCGCAUUUAUUUUCCUCGCGUGUUUGUUUUGCUCGUACGUCGUAGAUAAAAUGUCCAUGCUCUAGGGAGCUAUUUUCCUUGUAGUUUAGAGCGGUCAAGUGUAUUUUUGCGUGUAGGGUUUGCCCGUAAGAUUAUUUUUCGUGUCUAGGUUUAAUUCUCCCGCAUUAUUGUGUAGCGUUUUUUUGUGUUGCAAACCCCACAUAUUAUAUAUGUUUCCGGGGUAGAAAAAUCCCAUGGAUUUUUCUGUGCAAUUAGUUUUAGCUUUUGGGGAAGUUAGUUUGCGAGAUAUUUUGCCGUGUUGCCCUUUUGUUUAAUUCGUAGGAUUUAUUCCGUGCGUCGUUUGAAAUAGUUGUCAACUAGAGAGUUGAUCUCGGAUGUUUUGAUUAGCCCCUGGUAUUUUUGGUUGCAUUAGAAAUGCAUGUUUAGGUGUUGUUUGCUAGCUCCCAAGUUGCUAGAAAUAGUCCUGUUUUAGAGGAGCUGAGAUACUUCUAAGUCUGAAAACUGUUAUAUUUUGUUGUUGUCUUGUCUUGCUUGCAUCUUGAGAUCUGUAGCUCUUAUGAGGUUGGUCCAAUGGAGUUAAUUGUACCCCUUGUGUUUCUUUAGCAUGCUGUGAAGUUUCAUGCCAUUUGGAGUCCUGUAGCUAUAGGUUUUGCUGCUAUCAAUAUUUCUUCAGGCUGAAAAUUACACUUUCAUGAGGUGUAAUUUUCACUAAGUCUGAAAUAGUGUGUGAGAUGCCAUUUUGUGCCUUCUUUUCCUAGUGCUCCUUGCUGCCAUGCUAGUAGUUGUUAGUUGUUUGUAGUAGAGCUUCUUACCCUCUUCCGUGCCAUGCCUUGCUUGAGCAUACCGGAGUUGUGUAGCCGUAGUUGUGGGGCGUAGAAAGUGCUAUGUGGCUGUUUUUGGCAGAUUGUAGUGUUUUCUUGUUUUGCUCGUAGUUUUCGAACCGUAGCUCCGUUUUGAUCGUGUCCUACAUGAAACUUGCUUAGAAUCUCGUGUAGUUUCAUUUUUCUCUUGCUGUUUGUAUGCCUUGAAGUGCUCGUCGCCGCCGUUGCACACAUUUUGCAUUCAUGUCAUCAUAUCUUGCGGUGCUUGUAUCUGUUGAACCGUAGCUCCGUUGGAGAUGUUUUCUAUGUGUAGAUUGCUUGCCUUGACGCGUAGAAUCACGUGAACCUAUUUGUUUUGCUAUUUAACAACUAAUUAAAUGCAUUAGAUCAGAUCUGGACAGAAUUUUAAAUUAACAUGUGAGGUCGUUUUGGAGGUGCUAUAUGUCAUUUCCGACCUCACUUAAAAUUCCUAGAUAGGUAGUUUAAUCUCCGCUUCACCUCUUGCAUGUUUGACAACAUCAAUAUUGCCGUGUAGAUAACCAGGAGUGAACUAAAUAAUUAACGUGGAGUUUCGUCAAUAUGCAACUCGUGCAUAUUGAACUUCACUUAAUGUGUAGUGUUUGAUUGUGUGAUUUGACAUGCCGUGACUUGCAUGUAUUCAGUAGCUCAUGCAUCAUAUGUGUUGUGCAUCGUGUGGUGAAUUUCUUGUGUUGAUUCUUGUUUCCGGUUUCCUUCGUCUCGAUAGAGUUCCGCAAGCGUGUCGGAAAGUGAGGACCCGUUCGACUACGUCGGUUCGUCUGCUUCACGGAGUCAUUCUUCUUCUCAGCGGGAUCUCAGGCAAGAUGAUCAUUUCCCCAGAUACCAUUACUAUCAUUGCCAUGCUAGUUUAUCGCUUCUAUCGUUUAUGUCGCGUUGCCUACCACAUGUUGAAUAUCAGCCUCUCAACAAUGCCAUGAUUACCUUCAACCUGUUCGACCUAGCAAACCACUGAUUGGCUAUGUUACCGCUUGCUUAAUCCUGUUGAUAGCGUUGCUAGUUGCAGGUGCAAUGCUUCCAUGCAAAGCAUGGGUUCCUUAUUAUAUCACCAUAUUAAUGCUAUUUAAUUUAAUGCACCUAUAUAUUUGGUAAAAAGGUGGAAGGCUCGGCCUUUCUAGCCUGGUGUUUUGUUCCACCUUUGCCCCCUUAGUUUCCGGCUACCGGUGUUAUGUUCCAUAUUUGAGCGCUCCUAACACGAUCGGGGUCGUUAUGGGGACCCCCUUGAUAAUUCGUUUUAAAUUAAAGCUGGUCUGGCAAGGCCCAACAUUGGUACUACAUUUGCCUAAUCACCUAAUAAAAAUUGCAUAGAGACCCGCCGGCACCCGCGGACUAUUUUAAUCAACCCCCGGGCCAGUGCUCCUCAUGAGUGUUGGUCCAAAACAGAGCAGCUUAUUAACGCUACCCGGGGCAACUCGGCGUUUGGCGUGGUAACCAUCGCUCAUCCGUCGUGUCCUGAGAACGAGGUACGCGACUCCUAUCGGGAUCGUCGACACGUCGGGCGGCCUUGCUGGAUUAGUUUUACCUUUGACGAGAUAUCUUGUGCAUCGGGAUUCCGGUGAUGCUUUGGGUAAUCUCAGAGUUGAGGUUUUCCACUAGGGAAUCCGACGAGAUCGCGAGCUUCGUGAUUGAGGAUUUCUAUGCNUUAAAAUAUGCCAACCGUGUGCGUAACCGUGACUGUCUCUUUCGUGAGUUCCUUCUCCGAUCGAGGACACGGUGGGGUUAUGUCUGACGUAGGUAGGUGUUCAGGGUCAUACAUUUGAUCACCAGUAGUUGACGUCCGUUAUGCGUAGAUCUUCCCCCUCUUAUUUCUGGUACUCGUAAGUUAGCCACCAAAUACAUGUUUAGCCGCUGCCGCUACCUCACCACUUAACCUUGCCUCACCCAUUAAGCUUUGGUAGUCUUGAUACCUUUGGAAAUGAGAUUGCUGAGUCCCCUGUGGCUCACAGAUUACUACAACACCAGUUGCAGGUACAGGUAAAGGUUACAUGACACGAGCGCGUUGAUUGUUCAUCUGGAGUUGCUUCUUCUUCUUCUUCUNNNUCUUCUUCUUCUUCUUCGAUCUAGGAUGGGUUCCAGGCCGGCAGCCUGGGAUAGCAAGGAUGGACGUCGUUCUUCUUUUGUUGUUUAUUUUCGUCCGUAGUCGGACCCUGCUCUUACUCUUGAUGUUUAUGUAAUGUACUGAUGUGACUCUGAUGUAGCUUGUGGCGAGUGUAAGCCAACUCUUUAUAUAUCUCUCCUUUUCAGUACAUGUACUUGUAACGAUAUCCAUUCUUGCGACACGACGAGAUGCGCUUCUAUCCCUGACGAGGCCCCCAUGCCAAAUUGAGGAUAGGGUCGCAUCUUGGGCGUGACAGCCUGGUUAUUAGUCCACGUGAAUUUGCCUCCAUUGAUGCGUACAUCUCUCAGACCCAAUGAAUUAAUAACAGAGUUAGAUGUCUCAGAGGGUUUGUGAAAAUGGACUUUUUAAUUUUCUCUCUACUGUGUCUCAGAAUAUUGAAAUUCCCCGAUUAUAUAGGGACCGUUUACGCUGCUACAAAAGAAGACCAUCUCAACAAGGAAUUCCUCCUUGAACUCCUCGUGAGGAGAACCAUAAGCAACUAGGAGAUUCCAGUCAAUUUUUUUUGUUAAUAUCAUGAACAUAAAUCAACAGGAUGUAUUUUCCUUUUUUAGCUAUCUUUCUUAAGACCACAUAGGAUCCCACCAGACCUGUCAUUAGAAGGAGUCCACUCCCAUUUGAAAAGGUCAAAGGGAUCAAUCGUAGUCAUGGUAGAUGUAUGCGUCUAACGUUGGAUGUCCUUCUUUCAUAAAUAUAAGUUGAGUAAAUGUAUGCGACUAGCGUUGGAUGUUAUUUUUCUAUAAAUAUGUCCGCGGAUUGAUCCUUUGUUUGCAGACGGAUGCAGAAGAAAAAUUUACAGGUUGAUAGUUGAAGAUGCCUGUUCUCGAGCCAAUAUCAACAACCAUAUUCUUCCGGCGAUGUGCUUUCAGUGAAAGAAGACGUUGAUGAGACGUUUCCAUCGACAACGAAGGCGUUAGUUGCGACUUCGUUAAUCUCAAGAUGAUGUGCGUGCUUAGUAUCUCAUAGAUGCUCAUAGGAUAGGGUGUGCGUGCGUGCGUUUAUAGGAAUGAUUGUACGUUCGUGUAUGUGAGCGACUUUGAUUGUACUCUGUUUAAAAGAAGGAACUAUUGAAAAAUUAAAAAUUAAAAUAACGAGCACAUUUUUGAUUUCUUAAACACGGCAGCUGAUUUGGCGGAUCACGUUUAGGACCAGGACAACGAACCACCCCCACCGCACCCGCCUGUUCCACGUUCUCAUCCACGAGCUGGUCGUGGCUCGCGCUCGCGGACACGGGCAGCCACACACGGCACCGAGCAGCCCCCAGAAAGUUCCCGGCUCCGUCGGUCCCAACCCUCGCUGCCGACCUGCCACUGCCAGCCGCCCACCCGAACCAAACCAAACCAAGUCCGGAUCCAGCCCGAUCCACUCGAUUUUGAUUUGAUUUCCGCCGCCCACCCGUCCCCGCAAAACCACCGCCAGCGCGGCGAAGAAGCCUUGUCCGGUAAGGAAUCGGUUGGCGGGCGCCAGGCCGGCCACCGCCUCUGCUCCCGGCUAUAAAAGGCACCCAGGUGCGCCCUCUCCACCCCGCGCGCUGGCCUCCUCCCUCUCUGUUGGAGCUCUCGUUCGGGCCGGCCGCGCCGCCGGUGUCGAUCGCCUGAGUCGCCUCCUCGCGUCUCCGCGGCUGUUCCCUUCCCCUUAUCCAUCAAAUCUCGAUUCGUUUCGAAUCGCGUUUGAUUUAUCUCCUCGCCGGCUUUGUUUCCUGUGCGCUCGCAGGGGAUCCGGCCCGCCUCCGCGCGACCUCGGGGAGCGAUCCAUCGAUCGAUCGGGGGAUUCCGUCGAUUUUGCUCUGAUUUCUGUGUGAUGAGAGGGCCGAAGCAAGGUCAGUUUCCCGUGCUCGAUCGGUCAGAUCGGUUCCUUGGUUCCGUCACCUGCCUGCCUUCCUCGGCGAUUUCAGAUUUGGAUCCAAUUGGACGGCUCUCGCCCGUGCGGCCUGCCCCCGAUCCAGCCCUCUCGUCACGGGUUCCGUCGUCAUCGGUUAAUAAUACGAGGUGGAUUCGACGCCCUCGUGGAUUCUAAAUUUUACCGGCUGAUCCCGCUUUUGGUAUGUGUUUGUGCUCUCAUCCUAGAUGCAGCAGAAAGCAGAGGCAAGGGACGCUCGGUAGUUCGCAAGAGAUGAUAGAUAAAAAGGGUGGAGGUUUGGUUUCUGUUAUGGUUAUUUUGAUUCAUUGGUCACGGUUCAGCGGUUACUCUGAUUGAUAUGGACAGAUGAUCAAGCUUUGGAUCUCACCAGUCUGCAAUUGGAUGAUAAUAAUAAUUCAACCCCUCCCGAUUUAUUUCUUUGGUUUGCACAGCACAGUUAAUCUACAACUCAUCUGAUUUAGAUUCGUUCCUUGAUGGUUCUCCAGAAAAUGGGAUGACACGGCUUAGCGGGACCACCUAUCUUCGGCUGAUUUGUGUUUGGAUGAACAUUACUACUAUCUCUAUUUAAUCCCUUCCUCUCCACCGUUUAAUUUUAGCCUCCAACAAUUCUGAUUUCGAUUUGGUCUUCAUUGUCCAGAAAUUGGGAUUACUCGGCUGAGUGCGAGCUGACUUAUUAUCUUCUUGUGUUUGGAUGAUCAACUCUCUCUCUCUCUCUCUCUCUCUCUCUCUUCAAUUUGUUCGCCUCCACAGUUCAAUUAUUCUCUCAACAAUUCUGAUUUGGAAUGGUUGCUGGUUGUCCAGAAACUGGAAUUACACGGGCCUAGCGGGUGCUCCUAUGUUGCCUCAGCAUGACGCUGCUUCUUUCCUGGCUUGAACUUUCUGGACCUUUCUUACUCAAUAUUAAUUAGAACUCAGCAGACAUUAGUUUUCCCUGUCUUGGUCAUUCUCAGCUCUUGCAGAUAGUGUCUUGCAAAGGAUAUUUAAUUGGAACCGGUGUUGUCUACCUGACCUUCCCAGUCGAGACAGGCUUACUUAUUCUCUGCCUCCUCGUCGUUUUAUCCUAGUUUUCCCUAACUGAAGCAUUUAUGGAAACGUAUCUUGCUUGUUGCAGGUCGUAGUUUACAAACUCAAGGCCACCAACCUGAUGCUGACUUUGCAGUUCUUCUAAAACCACUAUCUACUCAAUUCCUUAACUGAGAUAAUGUUAAUAAGAUCUCUUACUAGGCAGUAUUUUAAAUUCAGAUUUAGCUGCGAAAGGUGCAAGAAUGAAGCUUCAAACUAGUGGCAUAUCCUACAACCGGAAAAAUAAUCAUCUUCUACCCUCCUAUUUUUAUUUCAUUCAGCUACAUUUUCUUGUCUUUGAUUUAUGCUUAUGCCCUCCAUGUCGUUGCAGAUCUGUUUUGCCUAAGACAAUGCUUGUAGCGAGUCAAAAAUCUUCUGGUUUGCUAUCUAUCUCUUUGUUGUUUGAUUGGUUAUAUCUGUACUCUUGAUCCCUGUGUUGGUCUUCCUAUACGUGUGUGGGUUGCACUGCAGGAUAUAUUUAGGAAGUCUGCCUACAUAUGCAAACCUUUGCUGUGUGCGUGUCGCGGUGUCAGGUCAGUGACUGUUGGUUCAUUUGUGUUCCCAUGCUGGAUGGGAUCUGAUGUGGAGAUCACUAUGAUGGUGUUUGUUGAAAGGGAUUUUAGGUAGGUCAGAUUACAUGCCUAUUGCCCGUGUGGUCUUCUAGUUCUCAUCACGAGUUCCAUCAUAAUCAAUAUGAGGUGGAUUAGAGGUAUUGGUGGAUUCUUAUUGUAGCAGUUGAUCUCGCUUUUGGUCUGUGUUUGUGCUCCUUCAGAUGCAGCAGAAGCAGGAAGUGGUUCCGCAUAGAUGAACCGAAAGGAUGGAGGCUUGGUUUCUGAUAUGGUCAGAGGUCUCCAGGGAUGAUGUUUGGUGUUGGACUGAAGUUUUGGAUCGCACAUCAACCUGGAACUUGAGAUCCGUGUUCAGAUGAUCCCUCUGAAUUUCACUUCAUUUGAUUUGGAUUCGUUCAGUUUUAGCCUCCAACUUCAAUUUGGAUUCAUUGCUCAUUGUCACGAAUUGGGAUUACCCGCUUAGUGGGAGCGGCGUACUAUCUUCUUGCUGACCGACCUGUGUUUGGAUGAUCAAAAUUCUGUUCAAUUUGUUCUUCUCCACGGUUCAAUUAUUCUCCCAACAAUUCUGAUUUGGAAUGUUUGCUGGUUAUCCAGAAUCUGGAAUUACAUGGGCCUAGCGGGUGCUCUUAUUUUGGCUCAGCAUGGCGGUUCUUUUUCUGUGGCUAAACUUUUUGGACCUUCCUUAUUCAAUACAGUAUUAAUUAGAACUCAGCAGACAUUAGUUUUCCCUGCCUUAGUCAUUUUCGCUCUUGCAGAUAGUGUCUUGCAAGGGAUAUAGUUGGAAGCCAUGUGUCUACCUGACCUUCACAGUGGAGACAGACUUACUCAGCCUUUACCUCCUCAUUCGUUUGUACCUACUUUCCUAAUCCUAGUUUUCUCAUGACUGAAACAUUUAUAGAAACGUAUCUUACUCGUUGCAGGUCGUAGUUUACGAACUCAAGUCCACCAACCUGAUAUUGAGUUUGCAGUUCUUCUAAAUCUACUAUCUUCUCAAUUCCUCGACUUAGAUAAUAAUAAUAAGAUAUCUUACUAGGUAAUAUCUUAAAUUCAGAUUUAACUGUAAAGGUGCAAUAAUGAAGCUUCAAAACUAGUGUCACAUCCUACAACCGGAAAAAACUUAAUCUCUUAUCCUCUUAUUUUUAUUUCAUUGAGCUACAUGUCUUCUCCGCCUUAGUCGGUAAUUCUCAGCUCUUGUAGAUACUGACUUUAAAAUGAUAUAACAGCAGUUUGGAACCGGUGUUGUUGUCCUCCGUCAACCAUAUCUGAACUUCCUAGCUGAGACAGGCUUACUUGUUCCCCAUCCAUCUUUGAUCCAUGCUUUAGCUAUUUAUAUAUAAAAGUAGCAUUUUCCCCUAACUGAAAAUUUAUAGAAAGGCCUCUUGCUCGUUGCAGGUUGUAGUUGAUGAACUCAAGUCCAACCUGAUGAUGAAUUUGCUUGCAGAUCUUCUAAAUCUAUGAGUAUUGUCUCAAUUCAUCAUAACUUUCAUGACCUACAUAUUAUCUUACUAGGUAAUAUUUUAUAAUACAGAUCCAUAUGCAACGGUGCACGAAUCUAAUGACAAUCCUGGCACAUCCUACAACCGAAAUAGACUCUUGAACUUUCUGGACCUUUCUUAUUUCAAUAUUAAUUAGACUCAGCAGACAUUAGUUUUCCCUGUCUUAGUUAUUCUCAGCUCUUGCAGAUAGUGUCUUGCAAAGGAUAUAUAAGUGGAACCUGUGUUGUCUACCUGACCUUCCCAGUCGAGACAGGCUUAUUUAUCCUCUACCUCCUCAUUGUUUCAUCCAGUUUUCCCCUAGCUGAAACAUUUAUAGAAAGGUUAUCUUGCUCGUUGCAGGUUGUAGUUUACGAACUCAAGGCCACAAACCUGAUGCUGAGUUUGCAGUUCUUCUAAAACCACUAUCUACUCAAUUCCUUAACUGAGAUAAUGUUAAUAAGAUCUCUUACCAGGCAAUAUUUUAAAUUCAGAUUUAGCUGCAGAAGGUGCAAGAAUGAAGCUUCAAACUAGUGGCAUAUCCUACAACAUGAGUACCAUUAUCCCUCGGUACAAGGUGCAUUCUCGUUGGUUCUCGUUGUUACAGCUGAUCUCUGCUUGUGGGGUAUGUGUUUGUUCUCCUUCAGAUGCCGGAGUGUGAUGGUUGCUGAGUGAUGAAUCAGAGGGUGGAGGUUUGUUUUACUGUUCAUGGUUAUUUGGAUUGGUUAUGGCUCAAUGCCUUGCAUGAUAUAAGAUAGCAUCUUGUGUGCUGAAGUUUUUGUUUUGGAUUGAAGUCGGAUUGGAUCAUUAACCAUGGAAUGGAGAUCAGAGAAUUUGCGAACUGAGUUUGGAUAAUUGAUCCUCAAUUUAGUUUCUUUGUUUGCACAGUCGAAUUUAGCUUACAACAUCUCUCAUAUGGAACUGUUGGUUCUCCAGCUAUUGGACUUAUGGGGCUUUCUGGAAGGUGCCUUGCUUUGACUGUUGGUUUACAUGGGGUUUCUUCUCUUGACUUCAUCUUUCCUGAUUUGCUUUGAACAUUGCACUUCCUAGACAUUGUUUUCUCUGGCCUUGGUAACUACAUGUCCUUCCAGAUAUUUACAUCGAUGAGAGAUAAUAUAGUUUGCUAUCUGGAACUGGUGUUUCCCUAACUGAUAGCAGAUAUUUACAUGGAUGAGAGAUAAUAUAGUUUGCUAUCUGGAACUGGUGUUUCCCUAACUGAUAUCUCCCAGCCAAGUAGGCUUAUCCUAUCCCCUCACUGUUUGAUGCAUCAUUUAGCUGUUCAUAGGCAGCUUCGUUUCCCCAAAGCAGAAGUUCAAACGGAGGUUUCUUGGUCAUUGCAGGUCCUAACUGACGAUUUAGGUCCAACCUGAUGAUGAGUAUGUUAGAAGAUAUUCUAAACCCUGCACCUUUCCAAUUCGUCGUAAUUUUUGAACAUAUAAUUUAUCUCAUGGAGACAAAAUUUGAACAUUCAGAUUGGAUUGGUGGAUGUAGAAGGUUCGAAGGUUGCUACAGGGCAUCAAUCUAGACGGGCCAUCCUACAACCGAAAAAACCCAGUGCUCUCUAUUUGAUCUCUUGAAGAAGCUUCUGUUGUCUUAGAUGCUUUGUGCUUGUAGCAUUGAUUGUGUUUUUUUGCUUCCGCCUUCUUGUGGUUGCAGAUUGUUUAGCCCAAGCUAUGCUGGUAGCCAUCAAAAUAUGUCGUAUUUUUGGUUUCUGAUCCUCUCCUGACUUCUAUAGUUGGGUAAUGUUGAUGGCUUGAUACGCAGAAAGAGGUUAGGGAUUAUUGCUAUAUAUACAAAAAAUAUGGAGAGUUGAAGCUUCUCGACUCGAAGCUUGAACAAACAGUUUGCCAUGGACACUACUACUCGUCAUGUCUUUGAUUAGUGUCAUUUCCACUGAAUAUGACUCCGAUGAUCCCGACUUAUUGGUAUGGAAUUGAUUUUCAGAAGUGAUGUUCUUACCAUUGGUCGUUCUCCAGUGGGAUCUGGACUACGAAUCUUCAAUGCAUCUUCUCGUUUUGCUGGGAGCUUCCUAUUUUAAUUUGACAACUUGUAAAAUAGUUGGGCUAAGUUUGAUGGUUUUACUGCUGAUUGUAUACUUUCAAGUAGCUUGUACAUAUGUCAGUUUGUUUCGUUCUGCAUUCGUCAUGGAUUUGAAGACACAAAGCCUCCACACAUCUUACGGUCCUCUAAUGGUUAAUUUGAUCUGGAUUAUGGAAUCUUCAAUUACAUAUUAUUGGUUUUCCCGGAGCUUCCUAGUUUUAAUUUAGUUAACUAGCAAAAAUACUAAUUUGAUGAUUCCUGCCAAUUGCACACUCUUAAAUCAAGCUUAUAAUAUACUAGAUUUUUAAGACACACAAGUAUCUGUUGACACAUCUUAUGGCUGAAGGACUCUAUUACGGGCUAAAAGUGUGAAAGCUUUCUCUGUGCCUACUGAUGAAGAUAUUCAAGAUUAAAGAUUUGAAUCACCUUGCCACAUUAGAGAAAUUAGUAGGUUCUAGAAUUUAUAGCUUUCCUUGUUUGUGCCCCUAUGUUUCUGUCUUACGAUCUUGUGCAAAUGUUGUGAAUAUUUAUUGCCUUGGUCAAUUCGUUUGUCGGGACAAUGCUGCCUUUGGUUGACGGUGUGGCUUGUAUGCUUAGCUGAAUAAUUGGUUGUAGUGUUUGCUGGUUUAUGCGUUUAGUAGUUUCGUAGUUUAACACUGCCUUUGCCGGUCCCAAGCCCGGAUGAGAAAAUGUGGAGGGAACUGCAUCGUUUCCACUAGAACUUGCAUGAUCUCUAAAUAUUUUAAUUUGAGUGGACAGGGAAUGAAGUGUGUAGAUGUUACAGAGUUACUGUCCUUAAUGUCCUAUAACAAGCACUGACUUGUAGCAUGCUGCGGUAAGCAUAUGAUUCAAGCUUUGAAAUGCAAUCCUUGCUAUGACGGGGUCAAUAAAAAAUCUAGGCAACUUUAAUUGUAGUUAGAACUUUCUUGACCUCCGAGAACUUACUUGAUUGCUUGAUGUAGUUGCACAAGAUGUUUUUGUUAGAGUUUAAUUAACAUGUGUUAAUUAUGGGGUAAUCUCCCCUUGUAACUGCCAUCUCUCCUAAAUAGGUGCCUCUUCAUUGCAUCUCUUCUUGUAUAUAUAUCCAUAUUCAUCUAAUGAAGAAGGAAGAGGAUUCAUUCUAACACGUUAUCAACAUGUAGUCUUUAUCCUGAGAUAGACAGGAAUGGGCGAGACGGUGGUUCCGCACAACGCCGGGGAGAGAAGAUCUUUCGCGCCGUGCCCGCGCCCAGCCGUGCGCCCGCGUCGACGCCCGUCCGCCAGGCCGUGGCUGCGCUCGCCCGUGCCCGGCCGUGCUCAUCCGCGCCCGCUCGCGCCAAGCCGUGGCCGGACACGCCCGCUCGUGCCCGCGUCUGGCCAUGGCGGCGCUCGCACUUGCCCGCCGACGCUGUGGUCGGCAGCGCCAGAAUCUGGCCACCGCGCUGCAGAAUGCGGCCGCCGCGCCCGCCCGUGCCCAGCGCCCGUCCGCCAGGCCGCUUGCGCUGCGCCAUGAGGCUCGUCCCGUGGCAGCGGCGGCGCACGGCCCCAGCCUCGACGGCUUCCCAACACGGCCUCCCGCAAAACAGCCGCUGGCAUGGCCGCAGCGGUGACAACCUUCGGCCUCCAACUCGAGGUACGAAAGCGCUUCCUCCGGAUCGGGGUGAAUGCGGCUCCAACCUAGGGCCAGCGCGCAGCGGCGCACGAUGCGACUGUCUCCCGGCGGCGACCGUUAUCACGGAUGGACCAAGCCUAACUACGGGAGAGAAAAAGGAAGAGAACCUUAUCUCUUCGGCUGUUUUCGCAUCAGCCCUUGUGGUUUUUCAUAAUCACGAAUGAGUUUCUGCAAUUUUUCCCACAAUCACGAUUGAGUUUCAAAUUCAAGAAUUAUGUGGCUGCUAAUGCUUAACAUGUUGAUUUGUGAUUGAGAAUUUUAUUCUUUCGCAAAACAAUCUCAUUGCGAUCGAGAUUAAUUUUCUCUCGCAAAAUAUUAAUUCACCUCGCUGAAUUAUCUUGCAACUUGCUACAAGAUCAUCUCAUUUAAUUUGAGGUCUAUACAAUUCAAGUAUUUCACUUGAGCAUCAAGUUUGCAACAUCAUUACUAUUCUUUGCAAUAGUAGUAUAUAUGUGUUGAGUACUGAGAUGUAUUCCAGAUCUCAAGUUGACGUAAUAUAUGUCCACGUUUAUCACGUGUCGAGAUUAAUUAUGUCCAUUUGCAAUUGAAAUUUUAAUCUCUUGCAAAGAUAAUAUGAGUACCUAUGCAGUACUAUUAUUUCGUUGAAUACGAGAUAUUCUGGAAUAUUUCUAUGAUGUAUCUAAUUUCAUGUUAAACACAUGUUGAGAUUAAUACGUCUUUUUGCAAUUGAGAUUUUCAAUUUCUUGCAAAUAGAAUCAAUUCAUCUUCAUUGAGCCUUUGGCUUGAUACAAGCAAGAAUUGAUGUGCAAAAUCCCAAGUGUUGUUUUUCAAAUUGAUGUUUUUGGGACCAUAAGGUAGUGUGUAGAUCUACUGCUUUGCAGAUUAUCACCAGUACUGAUAAAUCCUACAUUUUGUCGUUUUGAUAUUAUGUUUGCUUUACAAAGUGCUCUCUCACACAUUUUACUAAUUCAUGACAUAAGGCAUUACGAGUAACUAUCUACUGAUUUCAUCAGAUUAUACUCUCACUGCUGCGAGAUCUACUCCAUUUUGGAGAUUAUCUUCAAGGUGUCAUAUUUAGCAAUUUGAGAUUCACACUAAUGGUUUCAAGAUAAUUUCUUGGAAUACCCAUUGAUUUUGUUAAGUUCAUUACAACAUCAACCAUGAUGGUCUUUAAUUUACUAACCGUAAAUUGAUUAUCCCUGGUUUACCCAUAGCGGUAAAAUAUAGCUAUAGAAUUUGAGGCACUCGCCCUCAAUGGCCACCAUUGCCCUAUCUGGGCCAUAGACAUCAUGAUCGCUCUUGUCUCUCGUAGGAUAAAGUGUGCAAUCCAGGCCUCUGGUAAGGAUCACACCGCUAACAGAAAAAUGGUGUCUUAUAUAUCAUAAGGCAUUAGAUUCAGAUUUUAGCAUCUGGGUAUUAUGUAUUAGCAGUUCCUGGGAUACAAUGAACUCAAGGGAAAAGGGUUGAAGCUCACUUCAACCUUCAACCUGACAUCACUAAUGAUGACGGGACCCUAUGGGCAUGGAGAACGUGUGGUUGAUUAUGCCUCAACUGACAUGUUUGGAGACUAUGAGUAGUCUCUCAAUCUCUUGAGUGCUCAAUAUUUAUUUAUGUCCAUUUAUGAUGUUGUAUCAACAACAUAAGUAUUGUUGUCAUCAUAUAUUGUAUAUCACAAUAUAUUGUAUCAACACUUUGGUACAAUACAUUUAUAUGUAUUAUAUAUAUCUGACUGUGAUUUUCAUAUUGAGAAUCUGCAUGUCUAUAUACAGAUUUCUACGGGCGUUAAUCCAAUGAAAAAUGAUAUGUGCCUUGUGGACAUAUGCACCACAAACUCUAUACUCAGGGAAGUCCAAUGUUUUUCACCCUCGUUGAGAGAAAGGAGAUACUUUAAAAUCGCCAGACGCGAUAAGGUAUUUGUUGGCUCAACUCAAAUCAUAUUUACUAUCCCUGUGGGUACUCGAGUAAUGUCAGGAUGCUUUAUUCCUUCCCGGUUUAACUCGUACCCUACUAAACUAUAGAGAUAUGCGUCAAAACAGUUUUCAUAGAGAAACUUAUGAUGACAAUAAAGAGAAAUGACUUCUCUUUACCAUAUGCAACGGAUAUGGCAAGCACAUUCUCUAUGUAUCAUCUGGAUUGUACUACACAUACUACACAGCCCGUAGCACAUGUUGCGUCCAAGACAGUUCCCCAAAAUGUCUUGUACAUGACAAACUUGGCAUACUCGCCUUGGUCAUCGAGAUAUUGGGUUGAAACCAGAACUAUCGGCAAUUUCAAUAGUUUAUGAUUAUUAUGAUGCUAAAUUCUAACAAUAUUGGAUUUUAUGUGUACUACAAGUGACACAGGGAAGCUAAUUUUAAGGCUCACGCACCUUAAAAUCUACGCUGAACCACCCAGACUCCUUGAACGCAUCAAGUCGAGGUGAGUGGCUCUUCCCAUCCAUUGACUAGACCAUUCAGGUAUUCCAUGGUUUUAAAAGACAUAUCUAAUACGAUUGUCUCAAGUGUGAUUUAUCCACAUGAAACCAUUGGCUCAUUAUCCUGACAUCGAUUUCAAGCAAAUCGAAUGGAUAACAUUGCAGAAUUCUCCUUGAGUGCCUUCUCUAUGAUCCUUGGAUUGAAGGUUAGCAAUUUGUCCUAUUUGUCUAGACUCAAAAUGGUUUGGUAGAAUCUUAUCCAAAGAAUUAAGCUCAUUGCAUGAUCUUUACUUUGGAAUUGCAACUUACCAACUUUACGUUGGAGUCAUGCAGUUUUACACGCUCAUGAGAGAACUGCAUAAUAUUAUUCCCCUCUAUCUUUGAUACGUGGAAAUCUACCAAGUAUUUCCCAUCUGCGAUAAUUCGGUUGCAUACCGAUAUCACCACCCGGCAUACAUCAUUGGCCCCUCAACAUAUAGUUGGGAUCUAUGUGAGGAAUAACUGUAUUACCGUCAAUACCUCAAACCCCUCACAUGGGGAGUUAUUCAAGGCCAGUAUGCUGAUUCAAUGAGGAAUAUUUCCAGGCAUUAGGGGGAGAAUUCAAGUACCAUAAAGAAUGCCAGGAAAUUAGUGGAAUGUUCAACACAUUUCUGCCUGAAAUUCACGUAUUCAAAGAUCUGAACCAUGCGUUCAGAAGAUUUGUAGCUUAUUGAAAAUAACCUGCCAGAUUCAUUUACUCGAUAUAAAGGUGUCACACAAUCCUACGAUCCUUUCAAAAGUACGUCUGAAAGAGUGGAGGUACCAACAAAAACCACUCCACUCCCCAUUCGAUGCAACAUGGGGAGAUGUAUGGAAAAAGUACAUUAGGAUUAAGCUUCUUGCAAGCAAGGAUAUCAAGGCCUAUGAAUCAGUAAAUGCAAGUCAACUUCACAUUGACAGACACCUAAUGGGUGGUAUACCCAGUGGAUGGGAAACCUCCACUAACCCAGGUCAUAGUGCACAUAAUGACUUGGACAUCGGAAUACCCGACUCAAUCGCAUUGGGAAAUCGCGAGCAGUCACCAUGGGUAACGAUAUUUCCAUCAACUAUAUAUUGAUAUAUAGAUUCUGAAGAAACAUAUAAUCGAAAGUCUACAAUUGUCGACAUACAUUUCUCAACUAGAUUGCAAAACCUUGCAAAUGAUUCAGAUCCAAAGACCAUGGCCAUGGCAAAGUGUGAAGAACACUCGGACUGAACUCAAGCAAAGGGUAUAAUCUAGGUAGAAAUGAUCUUGCUCAGUAGUGAGAAGGUAUUCAUAAGAAAUACCUACACCAGUUUUCUUCUGGAAACAGAAUUGAGAACAAUGAGGUGGUGAAACAUAGAGCAAGUAUUGUAGCACAAGGGUUCACGCAGAUACCCAACUAUUCUCCAGAGGUGGAAUAUCUUUCCGAUAAUUUAUAUCAUUGGCAGUACAUAAUCAUCUAUCUUUGCAGUUGAUAGAUGUAGUGAUCACAUAUCCAUGUGGUUCACUAGAUUCAGACAUAUAUGAUUGAUUGCCGAUGAAAUCUCACUUCUGAAUUGAAAUGCAAAAUGCAACAUACAUAGUGUAAAAAUCAGUAAGUCACCAUACGACUUAUUGUUGUCGGUACAUAUGGUACAACCGACGUAGUGAGUUCCUUAUGCAUAAGGAUUACUCCUACAAUGAUGAUUAUCCAUGUUUGUAUGUGUGCAAUGACGACACAUGUAAUCAUCUAAAUGACGGAGUUUAAAAUGAAGGAUUCGGGAAAACCAAAAUACCGCUCGUUGCUACAACUUGAGCACCUUCAUUUAUACACUAUGGUAUACUAUGUUGUCUAUAUCCAUAAUAUAUUAGGGAAAUUCAUUAUGGACAAAUAUUAUCCAUCCAUAGCUCUCAUGGUAGUUCAUUCUCUAGACAUAGACCAAGAGAUGAUGGAAAUGAGAUAUUGGGACUCAACGUUCCAUAAUGCCAUUGGAUCCACCAAACACAAUUGGUUGGUACUCAAGAAUAUCUUUCGAUAUCUGCAAGGCAUCAAACAUCCUGUCCUGGGUUUUCAGUUUCACAGAAAUGUGAGCAACGAUAUUAUUGGAUACAUCGAUCAGAUCCCCACUAUGUCAGAUCGUAGACAAGCUUAGUGUUCAUACUAGGUGUGGUAGCCCUCUCAUGAAGAGUCUUAAAAACAGACCUCAUGGCUACAUCCACCAACCAUUAUAUCAAAGAUAAUGUUGCUUGUGUUGCCCGGAUGCAAACAUGUUACGUAAUAAGCAAUAUCGCUAUAUUGCAUUUCUUGUAAAUCAAAUCAUGUGACUGAUUUGGUCACAGAAUCUCUACCAAGUUUUACAUUCCAGAAACAUGUUCAUGGAAUUGGUAUGUGACGACCGGCUUCGAAAUUUGCAAGAAUCAGGGGGAGUAUCUUCCUGAAUUGUUCCUGUUUAAUGCAUCAUAUUAUACUCUUUUUCCCUCAAUGAGUUUACUAUAUAGGUUCUCAUGAAGGUUUUUAACGAGGUAAUAUCAAACACAAGAUCAUAUAUCAUACUUUCAGUUUUCCCCACCGGGGUUUUUAGGAAAGUAUAUACGCAUAUUUAUUGUUCUCUUGAUUCUAUGAGUUUUCUCGUAUUGAGUUAAAGGAGACAAUAACCAUAUAUGUUGCGACAUUUUCUCCUUAUUUCCCCACUGGGUUUUGAAGGAGUUUUGGCAACAUAUCAAACACUAUACUCCUCAUAUUUUUCCCACAGGGUUUUUGGAGGAGCCUCUAAUCAAGAUGAUGAUUCUGGAUGGACAAGGAUAGAUUAGGGGGAGUGUUAGAGUUUAAUUAACAUGUGUUAAUUAUGGGGUAAUCUCCCCUUGUAACUGUCAUCUCUCCCGAAUAGAUGCCUCUUCAUUGCAUCUCUUCUCCUUGUAUAUAUAUCCAUAUUCAUCUAAUGAAAGAGGAAGAGGAUUCAUUCUAACAGUUCUUACGGUCCUAAGAGCAUCUCCAACAUCCACGCUUCGCGCCGCGCCCAAAAAACCUGUUUGCCGCACGUCCAUCGCCUGGUUUGGCGUGUCGCGCAGCGCUGGCUCCAGCAGUCGCGCUAAAGUGCAGCGCGCGCGCUCCUCCAGCAGCGCGCAAAAAUGCAGCGCGCGCAUAACAUUUUCAACUAGGAUAGAUUGCAAAAUGGGAAAAAUAAAUAGAUUGCAUAAAAUAAAAAAGGAUACAAAGUUAUUUUACAUAGAUUGCAAUUAGAUAGAUAGUUUGAAAAUAUAGAUAGAUAGUUCGGUACAAGUAGAUAGAUAGUUCGAAAACAUAAAACUUUUAAUCCCAGUCGCUCCAAUCAUCUGCACCAUCAUCAUCGUCGUUGGUGUCGUCAGAGGUUGACAGCCAGAUGUCCAACCAACGCUCAUCUUCUUCAGUGAAGAAGGACCUCCCGCCUGCUGCGACGAUGUCGGCCUGCGCACUCGCCAAUGCCUUUUUUCCGACGCCUGUCCAACUGCUCCUUGCGGUGCCGGCGCGUGUCCUCCUCGCGGCGGCUUGCCCAAUAAUCCUGCUCGUAGGCGACGUCCUCCGGGUGGCGUCGGCGCCACUCCGCCAUGACCCGCUCGUCCUCCUGAGCGACGAGGAGGCGGCGCUGCCGCGCAGUGUGCUCCGCACGGUCUUGUGCGGAGUUUAGACGAGGCGGGGGGCGACGUCCAGCGCCUGCUGGAGCGUGUGGACGUCCUGGAAGUUCAUCUGGCGGCACGGCCUGCCUAGGCGCCACGCCGUCGCGUCGAACGCGUGGGCGGCCUCGUGCGUUGUGUCAUACGUGCCGAGGCUGAGCCGGAGAUCGCCGGAGCGUAUCUCGGCGUAGAACCCGCCGUUGGGGCGCUGGCGGACGCCGUGGUAGCCCGACGCAGAACGGCGGCGCGGCGGCAUAGUGGCGCGUCGGGGGCGGUGGCGCUGGGGCGGUGGCGGCGCGCGAGGUAGAGGAAGAGAGAGAGCAGUGGCGGCGCGCGAGGGAGCGGUUGAGCGCUGCGUUUUAUAGGCGCGCGGGAAGCGGCACGCGAGCUGCAGCCUUUUCGCGCGCGCGCGGUUUUCCCGCCGCCGCUGGAGCGCGCCAAACUGUCCCGCACGCGCUAAAAUGUCGGUUUACCGCGUGCGCGCCUUUUUGCGCGGCUGUUGGAGAUGCUCUAAGAGCAUCUCCAACGGCAGCGCAAAAAAUCCGCGCCCAAUAAAUUUUUUACCGCGCCACUGUAGCAGUUUUGAAGCGCAGGGAACGGAGCAUCUCCAACAGACGCGCGCUAGUGCGGCGCCCAAUCCAGUCCGAUCCAGCGGUCCCAUAUGCAGCAGCUCAGAGUUUGCUUCGCGCGCAAGCCGGCGCACCAAAUAUGCUGCGCUCGAUAGCGUAUUUGAGCGCGCGCCCAAAAGUUUUUAGCGCGCGUAGUGUUUUGCAGCUUCCGCUGGAGCAGUCCGGCGCCCAAAAAACGGAUCUUUUAGCGCGCGGAGCAGUUUUUGGGCGCCCGUUGGAGAUACUCUAAAGAAAUGUGAGUGAAUUUCCUCGUGUAGUGUUGUUGAACAAUACAUUCUCUAGAAAGAGCAAUGAUUGCGUUUCGGUUGGAUGAUGGGAUAACUGCAGUGAGGGGAUUGGCAUGGACGUCAGGUAAUUCAUCUCCAAAGGCCUUUAGAGCAACUUCAACGGGCUGAUCCAAAAAUACGGUGAAUUUGUUUGCUUUUUGUUCAUUUGGGUAGAUCGCCGGCCCAGCGUCCGUCCUGUUUUAGAUUUAGGUCGGCAGUGCGUCCAGGACGCCAAUCCAUUUCAUGUCCGCGAUCAACAUUUAAAAUAAAAAGGUCCGCGACUGAUCAUGCCAGCGGCCAUGUCUCAUGUCGGCACCAUGCCAACAAUGGCAUACAAUGUCGUCUUAAAAAAACACCACAGUUCAUGCUGGCGCAUUCGCCACCGACCGGCACACAUGCCAGCACACAAAAAGGGUGAGACUUGAGUUCGACCACGACAUCGCGGCCACCGUGGUUAUGUCAGCAAACCUGCCGACAUCCAAAAAAGAUGGCGCUUGCCGCCAUAGACCACUCCUCGGCAAACUUGAGCAUGUCGGCCUACAUCUUCUCGAAGCACAGCCUCUUCCUUGCCGACACGGUGUUGAGAUCCACCUUCAUGAUCUCCAUCCCGGUCAUCAUGCUUGCGAGAGCCACUUCUUUUGGCCUUGCUCUUGCGUUGGCGGCCUCGAUCUCUAGCAUCUUGACUUGCUUCUCCGCCUCUAUCUCAAGCAUCCGUGCUUGCUUCUCCGCCUCCAUGUCCAGCCUCCUCCUUUGGAUCUCUAAGAAGGCGUUCAUUUGCUCUUCUCUUUCUUGCCUGUGCUUCUCUUCCCUUGAGUCCUUCUUAGUGAUCAUGCCCUCCAAGGUUGCGAUCAAAGCGAUCGAUGCUGCAUCCCGCUUGUGCUCCUUGGAGUUGGUCUUCCCCCGCGGCUGAGCCUUCUCGCCGUCCCCAACCUCCUCCACGGCUUGGUUCCCACCACGCAACUUGAGGGCGGCAUAUUGCGCCUUGAACUUCUCCUCGUCUUUGAUCACCCUAAAGCAAUGGGAAAGAUCGAAGCACUUGCCAUAGUGUUGGACCUUCAAUGCCUUCAAAGCUUGAAAUGCCUACAAAUGUAUUUCAUGCAAGCAUAUUGGCAAAAUGAUGUGCAAACGAACACCCAAAGCAUAAACUUGAUGACACAAAAAGAAAGUGGAUUGCUAGCAUACCAUGUCUUGCACGCCGAUGCCGCUCAUGGGGCGCGCCUUGACACUUUCAAGAGUGGCACAAAACUUGUUGCACUCUUGUUGGAUCACCCGCCAACGCUUCGAAAUGGACACCCACCCGCACGCGCUUACUAUUUGGUAUGGCGGAAACUUCUUGCGCUUAUGGAACUCACGGUGAACACGAAUCCAAAAGGUUGAAUGAUUUUGUUCGGCGCCCGUCUUGGGGUCUUGCCCAAUGUCUCUCCAACACUCGCAAAGAAGCUUGUCCUCGCCCGCCGUGUAUGCCUUGGUCCGCUUGCUCUUGCGCUUCGUCUUCGUCCCGUCGGCUUGGUUGGUGAGCUCAUCCUCAAACAAAGGCUUCACUAUGAUGUCGCACUCGUCCUCUUCCUCUAACUCGUAGUCCUCUGGGAACUCAUGGUCGAUAGGGAAGCCGUCCAGGUCCAGGCCAACUUGAUCACGCAUGAAGGCGGCCUGAUCUUCAUUGUAGCCAGCGGACGACGUGAACGCCCCUCGGCCAUCCUGGCUUUGUGUCUCGUCGGGAUCGAAGCCAGCGGCCUGCGCACCACCCUCGAAGAUCAUGUUCUGCAUGUAGUCGUCAUCACCGGCGGUCGGCAUUCCGUUGAACAGGUUGCACGCGCCCGAUAGCUGGUCGGCUGACGUUUGCCGCGCGCGUUUCCCCGCGCCUCCGGCUGACGAGCCAGCGACCACCGGUGUGGCAUUGUGGCCGAUGGUCGCGGGCGCCGGCGUGGAAGGUGCGACCACGCUCACCUCGGGCGAGCACUCCCCCAAGAGGCGGGAGGCCUGCGGGUAGAUGUGAAAGCCGGUGUAAUGCCUCAAAUGUAACCCUUGCCAUAUUUGGAAACCUUUCCUAUUUGGAACCUUGAUGUUAAUGCUAUGAGUAUCAUUUCAUGUGGCCAUUUCAUGUGAUCACUUUUGCAUCAUGCCAUUCAUUGCAUUCAUGUCACUUCACUUGUGUUGUUGUUGUUUGAUCCAUAUUGGUGCAAGUGUGGGUGUUGAUGUGAUGAGGGGUGAAUCUCAAGCUAUGAUCAAACUUUGAUAGUUUUCAAACUAGGUUUCAAAAAUAAACCCCUUCUUCUUUAUUUACUUGAGCUCAUGUUUUACUUGCUCCAAACCUGUUUUAAAAAUGUUGUUAUUUUUGUGUGUUAUCUUAUGAUUGAGGGGCAUGGUUUUGGAGUUUUUAAAACUAUAGAUAAGUGGGGUUUAUUUACAAAACAGCAGUGGAAAUCCCUGUUUUGGAUUUGAUUUAAAUCCUCCAAAAAUAUGUUUUGUAUUUUAUUUAAUAGGGCAUAAUUCCCUUAUGCCCUAUGUUCCUUAGUUUUAUUUUUCUAAACCCUAAGGAGCACUGGGCUUUUUGCUUUCUGUCUGGUUUAAUUAAAAUAGGAAAACCCUUGUUUUAUUUUUUUCCCUGUCCUGCACUAGAUAGGGGUGGGCUCCCCUUUUCUCUCCCUGGGCCGCCUCCUUUUCCCCGAGCCACGACCAACCGGCGUCCCUCUUCUUCCUCCUCACUGUCGUCACUGUGUACGACCACAUCACAGCCACAGAUCCUCCCCCCUCUCGAUCUUGCGGCUCCAAGCACGCGGCCUCAGGCCAUUUAAGCAGCCAGAACCCUCCCCGCAACCCUAGGGCAUCCGCUUUGCCCCUCCUCUCAUCUCUGGCGCCGUCGGGGGCGUUCUCGAGCAGAGCAUCCGCCAUGGCCGGCCCCUGGUAAGCUCGCCGCCGGCAGAUCAUCGCCCCUUCUUCUUCCCCGACCGGUCCAGGAGCACGCGCUGGCUGCGAGAGUUCCAUCCUCGACAAGAUUGAGCGUAGGGAGCCUCAACAUCGACGGCGCGACGACGACCCUCUUCUUCCUCUCCGACGAGAUCCUUCUGUAGCACCUCUUCGUCACCUUCUUCCUCUUCGACGAGCCCUUCCUCCUCGACACCCUAGGUGAGCGUGCCCCGCUCCCCCGCCUCCUCCUUCCCUCUGCAGCGCCCGGAGCUCGUCGCCAGCGUUGUCUGGUCGCGCGGGCAGUAGCAGCACCUGCCGUAGCUAGGUGAUCGUGGAGCCGCCGUAGUAGUGCACCUCCCGAUGAGCUUAGGGCGGGAAUGGAACCCUGGUGGUUCCCUCUUCCUCCCCGCAAGCUCCCCCCUUUCAAUUUUGUGCGUAGUGUCGUCGGAGACGUGCCCCUGUUCCGGCUGCCGUCGUUCUAUAGAAGGAACAGAGGGGGAUACUCAAAAGAGUAGCGCCCCCCUCUCUGUUAAGUGUCGUUCGCAUAGCCGAGUGGUAGGGGUUGGUUUUGCGCAGGUGUUGUCGUGGGUUCGAUCCCGAAGGCUCCUCCUUUUUGUUUUCUGUUGUUGCGGUGUAGUGGAUCUACAGGGGAAGGAUAGCCUGCCCCCUUCCCCUUAUCUGUCGAGCCGAGGGCAGUAGCCCAGUGGUAGUGAUGUGCUGCUGUAGACCAGGGGGUCCUGGGUUCGAAUCCAGCAACCCCCCUUUUUAUUUUUCUCCUUGUUAUUUUUUUGCUAGCCUAGUUCUUUUCUUGGGCAGCAAGCUUGAUUGCUUUCUUUUAGCUAGAGCUUUGGUGUGUAUUUAAUUUUACUGCCUAGCAUACUAUAGUGUGUGUGUGUGCAAGUGCUUGUGUAUGCACUAGUGUGUGUAGGGUGUGUGUGUAGAUAUGAGUGUGUGUAUGUGUGUAGUAUUGUGUGUUUGUGCACAUGAGAAGAGGUGCACAUAUGUGAGUGUGUGUGUAUGCAUGUGGUGGCACAUGCAUAUGUGCAAGAGGGCAGCCCCUCUUGGUGCACCUCUUGAUGGUGUGUGUGUGAUAGCACACGUAAUUAUGUGUAGGUGUGUAUGUGUUCAUGCAUGUGUGUGUGGGCAUGAGUGCACAUAUGCAAUUGUGCAUGAGGGCUAACCCCUCAUGCUUGCCACUAUGGUGUGAUGUAGUGGUGUUUGGGCUUGUUGGUGUGCAUGGUGUAGGUGUGGGUGAUGCUUCAUAUGCUUUAUUCACAUGUGAUGAUAUUCCUAUAUGGUCAUAUAGGAUUCUGUGUUGUUUUUUGAGCUAGCUUUGUGCCUACAUGUUACAUGCAAGUACCCAUCACUACAGGAAUCAAGCAUUUUGCCGUCAUGACGCUACAGACGGCAAAGAGCGAAUUACAGUCGGCAAAAUUUUUGCCGUCAGCCCAUGACGGCAAAUAAUGUCGUCAGACCAUGUGCCCGCAAAGGACGUCUUUGCCGUCAGCGGCCGGGACAGCAGACGGCAAAAUGUUUGCCGUCAGUGGAAUUAUGUUGCCGUCAGCUACUUUGGUAGACGGUAAAAAAAUGGUCAGAAGACGGAACGGCCUAGCUAACGGACGACGUUAGCCUUUUUUGCCGUCUUCCUCACCCCGUACAUGACAGCAAAAUAUGGCAUUUUUUUUGCCGUCUUCCUAACCUAUACAUGACAGCAAAAUAUGGUCUAUUUUUUGCCGUCUUCCUAGCCUGUACAUGAUAGCAAAAUAUGGUCUAUUGUUUGCCGUCUUCCUAGCAUGUACAUGACAGCAAAAUAUGACAUUUUGUUUGCUGUCAUGAACAUGACAGCAAAGAGCAUAGAUAGACAUAAUUCAUACAUCAUAUAUAUAUAUAUAUAUAACAUAAUCCAUACAUCAUAUGUAUAUAUAUAACAUAAUCCAUACAACAUAUAUAUAUAUAUAUAUAUAUAUAUAUAUAAAACAUAAUCCAUACAUCAUAUAUAUAACAUCCAUAAUACAUACAUCAUAUAUAUAACAUCCUUAAUCCAUACAACAUAUAACACAUCCAUAAUCCAUACAUCAUAUAUAUAACAUCCAUAAUCCAUGUCAUAAUAUUUGGCAUUACUACAUAUAUAUACAUCAUAUAUAUAACAUCAUAUAUAUAAUCCAUGUCAUAAUAUUUGGCAUUACUACAUAAAAUUUGGCAUUACGAUAAAUGUCUUCAUGUCAAUAUCGUAGUCCAAAGAACAUCCGUAUGACAACCUACAAGAUGAAGUCAUGCACAUAGUCAGAUUUUGGCACACAAUAAAUAAAGGUUAUCCAGUUCUUGGCACACAAUAAAAUUUGAGGAACACAUAGAAAAUCUUCAAGCAGGGAGACUCACAAAUAAAAAACAUAACUGACAACUGCAUGGUGAUCGGACAUGUUUCAAUACAAGUAGGAAUAGAUUGAUAACGAUGACAAAAGAAGAAACAAAAAUACUGAUGAACCCAUACAAAGAGACCCGCCACACACGAAGGGAGAACCUGCAGGCGUAGGCAUGCACGAGGACGCAACCAUGAGUGUGCGUCGCAUGCGAAAACCAAGAAACAAUCUAGGAAUUCAUCAUGCAGGUGAACUAUCAAUCGCUUAUCAGGGUGGGCGUUCGGUUCCUCCCGAACCGAACGGUUCGGUACUUUGGUGUUUAAGCUUUUUCGGUACUUCGGUGUUUAAGUUUUCUCGGUUCUAAGAAAACAUGGACCGAUCGGUCUGUUAAAUGGUGCACCGUGCAAUCAGUAUCGAGUUAGACUGUCGGUUGUUGGUGCAGGGUCUGAAAGAAGAUAUGACUAAUAGGUCCAUGAUGCUCUCUGUUUUUUUCUGACACUAAAGAGGCCCUGAAACACUUGCUCACAAGCUUGGAUCGGUAGGGACCAGAACAAGCUUGCUCACAAUCUUGUUGAUAGAGCUAGAAUACAGGAGAUCUCUUAUGUCUACCGGACGUGGAAUUAAGAGAGCUCUUACAUGCUGAAUGUAAUCCGGGUCAUUUUGUGUAUGAUUUUUUCAACAACAAGCUUAUCGGAUCAGCUACUUCUGCCUAAAUCAACCAAAUAAGUACAGAGUUAUCUUAUGGUAUUUCAAGGUAGAACCAAGGAGAUUAUUAAAUUAUUUCCUCCUUUAAUAACAGAACACGCAGAAAACUAUUUUUCGGUGCAAAAAAAGGUAUGUUGAUUAUCUAGGCUUCUCCUGAAGGAUAUCUAUCUAUUAUUCUAUCACUCCUUUGAAGUUAUUUCUUUUACUCAGUGAUUCUGCUGUAUAUCAAAUUAUUUUUGAAUUCCAGUAGUUCUUACUUAGUAUAUGUUCCUUUUUGCUAGACUGGAUUGGUGGAAGGCCAAUCGUGCUAAGAGCAGACCCAAUGUUUGUCAUAGAACAAACUUCAAUUCAAGACCAAGUUAUAACUUUGGUUUGCUUUUCAGAGUUUAAUUCUAGUGGAAUAUACCACAAAAUGGAUCCAACAAUGUUUGUGUCACCAAAGCUAGAAAAUUUCAAGGUAAAUAUAGACUAUGUGCUAUCUUGAAAGUUUUAGAUAUUCUGUUUUGCUUUUCUUAUUACAAUAUUAUUGUACUGCAGGAAGAUAAUGUUGUGAGAUCAUACAUAGAAGUGAUUCUUGUUCCCUUGACAAACUCCUAAUUUCAUCAUGUCCUAUAAUCGUAUCACUUUCACUUGCACUGUCUUAGCUCUAUAUUUUGGCUCACUACUUAAUGCUUUGGCAUGAAGAAUUGGUGACGAAGAGCGUGGAUUGAGAAAAUCAGAUAAUUACAUACUCUGUUUGUGUCUAUGUUCUACGAAGCAGGUAUUCAUGUAAGUAUUAUUUGUACAGGGUUUGAAGACAGAUUACUCCUCUAAAUAAAAGGCAGCUAGAUUACUCAUCUAAAUAAAAGGCAGCUAGAUUACUCAUCUAAAUAAAAGGCAGGUACUCAUCUAAAUAAAAGGAAGGUAUUCAUCUAAAUAAAAGGAUCAUGUGUAAGUAUUCUUUUUUUUAUCACAAGUAGUUGUUAGUUGUGCUAAAUAAAGGACAGAACUUGAGAAGGUCUCCCCAUCACUGGGCCGGACUACUAUUUACACAAGAGAGUCGAGAAUAAAUGAGUUGCCUAGGCAAGAGCACAAUUCUCAUUCAUCAUUUUUCUCAUCUUAGUCAGAUUAUUUCUAAACUGAGCCGAGAGAAAUCGAAGGCCUCCCACUCCUCCUAUGUUUAUUAUCUAUUAAACGAGGUGCAAACUCUCUCCUGAUUAUUAAUCUGAUUACUAGGCAUUUAAGGAUAGGUCAUUAGCUUGCAUUUCGCUGGUUUGUGAGUAUGUUCUUCCAGCCGUCGUCGUAGUGGUCUAACUGAUGACUAGGCAUUUAGGUUACAUGAUCGUAUGGUAUGGCAUGGUUGCUUGUCAAUACAGGAGGUGUCGUAGUGGUCUAACUGAUGACUAGGCAUUUAGGUUACAUGAUCGUAUGGUAUGGCAUGGUUGCUUGUCAAUACAGGAGGUAGUUAUACUCUACAGACUGCUACAUCACCUAGCAUCCUGGAGAGGCCGAGAGGACUUGUGUGCAAGGCAUGGCUGCAUGUAUUGAGCGGCCGUUUUUGCACGCAGAUCAGUCCCUUGAGGUUAGCUCAUUUAGGUGCAGUCAGGUUAAAACUACAGUAAAACUACAAUUACCAAAUGAACCGUUGGUUUUGGCAAAACAGAGAAAACUGCAGUUUUGAGAAACCAAAGUAUUGAUUGGCAUGCCUUGAAAAACUGAGGUUUUGAAUUACCACAAUUUAAAAAAAACUGUGUUGCCAAACUAGGCCUUAGUCUAUUUUGAUACUGCAAUCCGACAUCCUGCACCCGACCUCUUUUGUCAACAUAUCUUGCAAUGCAUGUUUCUGUUCUUGCCAGAAAGUGGAUUACCCUCUGGAGCUUGAUGUCUAUGAAUUCUACUCGGAUGAGCUGAAACUAAAACUUCAAACUCCUCGACAGGUAGCUCUCUGGUCAUUAUUCAAAUUUUAAUUUACCAGCUCCUGUUCUAGACAUAGGGAGUUAUCUUUUCCUGUGAAGAGUGCAAGCAUUUUUUUCUUGUCGGAAGAUGAAUGGUUUACAAUUCCACAAGUAACUAACGACGGUUCAUAAUUACGACAGUCCACAUCCUAGAAAUAAGCAAAGUACCAAACUGACAACACCAGCAGAUGCUAGAUAACACAAGUACUACACCUCCGUCCGGAAUUACUUGACGCUCAAACAGAUGUAUCUAGCACUAUAUGUUUGAGCGUCGAGUAAUUCCGGGCAGAGGGAGUAGAUAGAUAACUAUCAAACAAAGAAGCAACUACCAUGAGAGGUAAAUAUUAUGAAGAGAAAUGACCUUGAAAAUAUGAGAGAUAGAGGGAGAGAGAGCAACCUGCAACACCCAUGUUGGGUUGUACGUGAUGGUCAAAGGAGUUGUGCGACAAAGUAGGCGACCACAUCCAGCGCCACCGGUAGCUAGUCAGAAGAAACAAUAAUUAGGCUAAGAGGUUCAUCACAGUUACUCAUUUUUGUAUCAGUAAAUUAGAUAAACACCAUAUGGCAAAAAGACAGGUUAAUGAUCAUUAAAGUCCGGUAAAUACACUAUCGGAACAGGUCAUUGAUUUGCAUUCGUAAAUCAUGAGUCACCCACACCACAACAGACUUGUAUGAAAUAAACACAGAAAAUGCUGAUUAAAUAAAAUAUAGACAGCCCUCUCGAAGUUUAGAUUGCACAGAACUAUUUCAGCAAGUGAUCUAGCAGGCUAACGUUACAAAUUUCUGAUUAGGUAAACUAGUCGCCAACCCGUGCGACCUGCACGAGCUAGUUACUUGGUUUAAAUGACGAACUAUAUUGGAUAUACAAAGAAAUAUUAUAUAUAAAUAUAGAUAAAAGAUGGAACCAUUUUUCUUGUAUUAGACCCAUGUGGUACAUAAAUAUACAUGCGAUGCGCUUUUUUCGGAGGCAAAAAUUCUUACUUUAUUUGGUAGUAGCAUAAUGCGUAUAAAAAUCAACCAAAUAGUUUUCUUUUUGUGAUGAGAUUCUCCUGCAAAUCAUGUAACGGAAAGACUUGGUUUCCGAAUUCUAUUUUAACUUCACUGUUAUCUUAUAAUAACCAAUUCAACAUUUAUGAUACAUGUAACAAACCUACUCAGGUUUGAGCGUUUGAUGAUAUCCCUUUUCCAAGAGAAGUUAUCUGAAGUCCUACGGAAAAUACAGUAUGCAAGAAUGAGAUGUGGAAAUAAUUCUUAAAUCAUUGACGUUAGCAAGAGCAGCAACCUUCAAAAAAUGACCCCGUAUAUAGAGCAUAUGGACAGCUCGUUCGGCAAGAAACACAUAUAAAAACAACAUGCGAGUCAUUUAAUUGAUUAUAUAGAAACACAUAUAAAAACUUACAGUUUUCAUGUGGAAUAAAGGACAACGCCAAUAGUUGCAAAUGUUCAUGGUUAAAUAGUUUAUUUUCACCGAAUAAAUUUUACAUAAUACAUUAGAAAAUGUGCAGGUUCUUUUGGAAACUGAAUGGAGAUGUAGAGCCUCAAAUCUUCAUCAUUCUAACAAUGGCUCAGUGUCUCACAUCAGUUUAUCGGCUCCUCUAGCACCUCUAGCACACAGAUUUUCCCAUUUUUGUAACAAUAAAUUCUGAAAUGUGUUUUUAUGCAUUUAAAAAGUAUUCUCACAUUUAUGCGAUCAUCUCCUGGACUGUAAUGAAACAUUUGUUUUUCUAAUUUAUCUAAACAUGGUUCAUGUCUAUUGUAACAAUGAAACCCACAACUAUAUAUACUACUGGCACCAUUAUUCAUGAACCAUGUCUUACACGUGAAUAGUUUUAUUAUUAUUAUUCUUCAUGAUGUUGCGCGUGGAUCUUAGUAACUAUAAAAUCUUCCCUCCUCCACCUAAGUUGCUGCUUCUUUUCAGAAGACCCGAUUAAUCUGUUUAAUUCGGUGUGGCUAAUGAUUGAAUACAACAUUAAUAUGUUUUUUGACUCAUUGUUAUUAGUUUAUAAGCUUUGCUUGAUAUUUUUUAUUAGUACUUGGGAUGAAGGCCUGUAGUACAAAUAUUUAGUGAAUGAAGAAGACCCACCAAAUAAGCUCAAUUUACUUCAUGCAUGUAUUAUCCAAAAUCCAGCUACUUUAUAUGGUAGGGCCCUGUAUCCAGCUACACUAGUGGUCAACAAUCCACUCCCAGCACUCCCCCUUAUCGACACACCAUCUAGGAGUAACCUAAUUGAUCAUUUGCAUCUCAUAUACGCCAAAAAGAAAUUAAGUGCCAACCAGUUGAGGAAAUAACAAGGAUGAACAUGAUUUAUUUACCUCCAUAUGCCUUAUAAGAACGGACGAUAAUAAUGCGCGUAUCAUAGAACAUAUUUCGCACAAGAUUCUUACAAUGAAUUUUGACAUUCACUUGUGCCUCCUCCAACUUUCCAUCCUCGCAUCUAUAGAAAUCCUGGAAUAAACGUGAUCAAACAAGAUUAGAAAUUAACUAGCUAUGGAUUAUAUAAAAAAAUGUGAAUUAAACUUAAUAGUUACCCAAAUUCCAUGCUUGAUGUUUGUGAAUUUAACUUAACAGGAGGAGGAGGACUACUAGGGCAACACUUGCCCGCCCAGCCCCAGCAGCAGAAGCUACGCCAAUGAGCGGGAGAGGCAGCAUCGCCUCCAACACCGGCGCUUCCUGCAGCAUCGAGGAGCUCAGAUCCCCUCCCCCUGGGUCGGUUGAUCCUCUGCAACGUCCUACUCCUGCUGCUGCAUCGAAAGUCAAGAAUGUCUUGCUCCUGCUGUUGUUGAUGCUCCUCCGCCCGGAGCUCCCCUGACCUGUCCAGGACCACCUCUAAAGAACUGAUAGUCUUGACCUCUCGCCGAUGCUCCUCCCGCUAUUGUGCUGCUGCUGAUCAUCUCUGAAGAAGGUACAGUGUAAACUACUGUAAAGUUGACAGUUCUUGGUAUAAAUAAUUGUAUCAAGAGGCUAGAAAAAUUGUAAACUUCUCUGAAUUUGUGCAAAUCUAUAUUCACUGUACGCUAUGGAAAUUUUUUGGCAAUAGAUCUAUAAAAAUGCAGUUAAAAACUGUCAAAAUUCAUUUGUGGAGAUGUUGUGUGUCAAAAUUCAGAGACUGACAUUCCAGAAUUUGAGUCUCGAUCUUGAGCUUCGGCCUUGAUGAAAACAAUUCAGAAUUUGAUUACAACUUAAAUUGCUCCUGGAUGCAGGGGUGGAGGGCGCGUCCUCCAUGGCAGAUCAAGGGUGGAGCAGCGUCGCACUACUUUCUUCUUGCAUUUGUCGCUUUUGGAGAAUUCAGACUUCAAGUGUUGUCUAGAUGGUGGUUCAUGCUGCAGCUACAAGGAAUUGAUCACUAACGAGAUCUUUUUUUUUCUUCUUCUUUUUUAUUUUGGUUGUGUGCAUCCGUAAUAUUUUUAGGACAUUGUUUUGUUGUAAAGCCCGGAUGUAGUAAUUGAUAUCUUUGUAAUAUUAAUAUAUUCCUUUUGUCCAAUUUGUUUUUUGUAUUCACUAGAGUAAAUUCCAAUUGACUAUUUUGAUCAUUCUCAUUGUUGUAUGGUUUCCGACGAGGCCACACAGGGAAAUACUCGCGUGAACCACAUUUCCUGUUUAUGUGGGUUGCGUAUACACGUGUUUUAUUUAUUUCCCUCCUCUUAUUUUGGAACGUUAAUCACUAAAUAAAUAAGCCAUAUUAUGUGAGUUGUAUUGGCUUUUAUUUGAGUUUCGCACCGAAUCAAAACCUUGUGAUACUUGCUUAAACAGUGGAUAAGCAAUUAUCCAAGAAAUAUAAAUCUUGCUUAUGAAAGGUUCAUUCAAACUCAAAAUGAUUUAUUUAUUUCAGAACUCAUUUUGAAGUAUUUGCGAAACCAUUUCAACCAUGUUGAGUGAGAACUCCCCUAGGAUUGAUGUUGGUAUGGACGGUACCCGGGGAUUCGGCUAGCCGUGGAAUGUGAUUGAUUGAUGGUGGGGGAGUCAAAACUUUACUUUUCUGUUUGGGAACCGCCUAUAGCAUGUGUAGCAUGGAAGAUGUUGAGAACUCUUAGUCAUUGCGUUGACAAUGAAAGCAUGCCACCCAAAAUUAUUAUCUCUGUUUUCAAAGCUUGAGCUCUGGCACCUCUGCAAAUCAAUGCUUCCCUCUGCGAAGGGCAUGUCUAUUUAUGUUCCGUUGAGUCACCCUCCUCUUAUAAAAUCACCAAUUAGAGAGCACCUCUGUCAUUUUAUGCUUUGCUUUUUACUGUGUUGAGUAUGACUGUGACUGGAUCUUCUUUGCCAUGAAUUACAAUGUUUAGUCAGCCCUUGGUCUUUGAAGGUGCUCUGCAUUUAUGUUUUGCGGUCUCAGAAAGAGCUAGCAAGAUACCAUCUAUUCGUACUCCUUCAUGAUUGUUUUGAUUGAAGUGUUGACGUUUGAGACUUAUUAUUAUUUGCUCGCUAGUUGAUUAUGCCAUUGAUAUGAGUUUACCGUGAGACCUAGAUGUCAUUUGCUUAUGUGGUUUGCUUGUGAUCUUGCUAAAACUCUAGAUAUGAGUUAGACAUAGUUGCAACACCAAGAUCAAACAGAGUUCGUCAAAGUUUUUCUUUUGUCUCUUUCAGUUUGUCAACUGAAUUGCUUGAGGACAAGCAAGGCUUUAAGCUUGGGGGAGUUGAUACGUCUCCGUCGUAUCUAGUUUUGCGAACUCUUUUGCCCUUGUUUUGGACUCUAAUUUGCAUGAUUUGAAUGGAACUAACCCGGACUAACGCUGUUUUCAGCAAAAUUGCCAUAGUGUUGUUUUUGCGUAGAAAUAAAAGUUCUCGGAAUGACCUGAAAAUUUACGAAGAAUUUUUCUGGAAUUAAUGAAAAAUACUGGCGCAAGAAUCAUCAGAGGAUGUGGAGCGUGGAGCCCACAAGCCCACUAGGCGCGGGCCCCCCUGGCCGCACCUAGCAGGCUUGUGGAUCGCACGUAGCUCCACCGCCUCCAAUCUGAGCUCUAUUCAGUCCGUCUCGCCCGGAAAAAAUCAAGGAGAAGAGUUCAUCGCGUUUUACGAUACGGAGGCGUUGCCACCUCCUGUUCUUCAUCUGGAGGGCAUAUCUGGAGUCCGUUCUGGGCUCCGGAGAGGGGAGAUCAUCGCCAUCAUCAUCAUCAACCUUCCUUCAUCGCCAAUUCCACGAUGCUCUUCACCGUUCGUGAGUAAUCUCAUCGUAGGCUUGUUGGACGGUGAUGGGUUGGAUGAGAUCUAUCAUGUAAUCGAGUUAGUUUUGACGGGGAUUGAUCCCUAGUAUCCAAUAUGUUCUGAGAUUGAUGUUGCUACUACAUUGCCAUGCUUAAUGCUUGUCACUAGGGACCGAGUGCCAUGAUUUCAGAUCUGAACCUAUUAUGUUGUCGCCAAUAUAUGUGUGUUUUAGAUCCUAUCUUGCAAGUUGUAAUCACCUACUAUAUGUUAUGACCCGACAACCCCGGAGUGACAAUAUCCGAAACCACUCCCGGAGAUGACCAUAGUAUGAGGAGUUCAUGUAUUCACCAAGUGUUAAUGCGUUGGUCCGGUUCUUUAUUAAAAGGAGAACCAUAAUAUCCCGUAGUUUCCAUUAGGACCCCGCUGGCACGGGAGGGAUGGACAAUAGAUAUCAUGCAAGUUCUUUUCGCUAAGCACGUAUGACUACAUACGGAAUACAUGCUGAUGUCUACUACGCAACCUUCUCCUUGUAGACGUUGUUGGGCCUCCAAGUGCACAGGGUUGUGGGACAGUAGCAAUUUUCCCUCAAGUGGGUGACCUAAGGUUUAUCAAUCCGUAGGAGGCGUAGGAUGAAGAUGGUCUCUCUCAAGCAACCCUGCAACCAAAUAACAAAGAGUCUCUUGUGUCCCCAACACACCCAAUACAAUGGUAAGUUGUAUAGGUGCACUAGUUCGGCGAAGAGAUGGUGAAACAAGUGCAAUAUGGAUGGUAGAUAUAGGUUUUUGUAAUCUGAAAUUACAAAAACAGCAAGGUAACUAGUAACAAAAGUGAGCACGAACGGUAUUGCAAUGCGUGGAAACAAGGCCUGGGGUUCAUACUUUCACUAGUGAAGUUCUCUCAACACAGAUAACAUAAUUGGAUCAUAUAACUAGCCAUCAAUCAUGCAACAAAGAGUCACUCCAAAGUCACUAAUAGCGGAGAACAAACCAAGAGAUUAUUAUCGGGUACGAAACCACCACAAAGUUAUUCUUUCUAAUCAAUCUAUUCAAGAGUUCGUACUAGAAUAACACCUUAAGAUACAUGUCAACCAAGACCUUAAUGUCACCUAGAUACUCCAUUGUCACCUCAAGUAUCCGUGGGCAUGAUUAUACGAUAUGCAUCACAUAAUCUCAGAAUCAUCUAUUCAACCAACACAUAGGACUUCAAAGAGUGCCCCGAAGUUUCUACCGGAGAGUCAAAACAUGUGCCAACCCCUAUGCAUAGGUUCCCAAUGUCACAAACCCGCAAGUUGAUCACCAAAACAUACAUUGAGUACUCACAUGAAUCCAAGUGUGCCAACCCAUAUGCAUAGGUUCCCAAUUGUCACAAACCCGCAAGUUGAUCAGAGCAGAUAGACACGUGCAAGACAUACAUCAAGUGUUCUAAAAGACUCAAUCCGAUAAGAUAACUUCAAAGGGGAAACUCAAUUCAUUACAAGAAGGGAGAGGGGGAAGAACAUCAUAGGAUCCAAAUAUAGUAGCAAAGCCCACGGCACAUCGAGAUCAAGACAUCUCAAGAACACGAGAGAGAGAGAUCAAACACAUAGCUACUGGUACAUACCCUCAGCCCCGAGGGAGAACUACUGUGACGCCCUCGAUUUAAUCGUACGCUAAUCAUACACGCAAAUGCGUACGAUCAAACCCAAGGGCUCACGGGAAGAUAUCACNNNNNNNNNNNNNNNNNNNNNNNNNNNNNNNNNNNNNNNNNNNNNNNNNNNNNNNNNNNNNNNNNNNNNNNNNNNNNNNNNNNNNNNNNNNNNNNNNNNNGUAUUUAUAGGAAUUUAUGGCGGUGGAAUUGUGUCAGUUGGGCCCACGAGGAGGUCACAAGCCUCCACGGUGUGACCAGGGGGGUAGGCCGCGCCCCAUGGGCUUGUGACUCCCUCGUGGCUCUUCUGGCCUUCUUCCAAAGCUUCGGGGGUCUCUUUUCGUCCAAAAAAAUCAUCGUAAAAGUUUAAUUCCAUUUGGACUCCAUCUGAAAAAGGGUCAAAAACACGGAAAAAACAGAAACUGGCACUUGGCACUGAGUUAAUAGGUUAGUCCCAAAAAAGAUAUAAAAUAGCAUAUUCAUGCAUAUAAAACAUCCAAAGUUGACAAUAUAAUAGCAUGGAACCAUCAAAAAUUAUAGAUACGUUGGAGACGUAUCAGGCAUCCCUAAGCUUAACUCUUGCUCGUCCUCGAGUAGGGAAGUGAAAAAGAAUGAAUUUUUGAUGUGGAAUGCUACCUAGCAUAGUUGUACUUUGCAACUUCUUUCACGUGGCAUGAAUGUUCAGAUCCGUAAGAUUCAAAACAAUAGUUUUCUAUCGACAUGAAAACAAUAAUACUUCAAGCAGACUAGCAAGGCAAUCAUGAACUUUCAAAAUAACAAGGCCAAUGAAAGUUAUCCCUACAAAAUCAUAUAGUGUGGCUAUGCUCCAUCAUCCCCACACAACUAAUUUAAACCAUGCACAACCCCGGAACUGGCCAAGUAAUUGUUUUUGCACUCUUACUUUCUCAAACUUUUUAUAACUAUCAUGCAAUACAUGAGCGCGAGCCAUGGAUAUAGCACUAUAGGUGGAAUAGAGUGUGGUGGUGGCUGUGAGACAAAAAGGAGGAGAUGGCCACAUUGACUCGGCAUAUCAAUAGGCUAUGUAGAUGCCCAUUAAUUGAUAUCAAUGUGAAUGAGUAGGGAUUGCCAUACAAGAUAUGCACUAGAGCUAUAAGUAUGUGAAAGCUCAAAAGGAAAACUAGUGGGUGUGCAUCCAACUUGCUUGCUUACGAAGACCUAGGGCAAUUUUGAGGAAGCCCAUCAUUGGAAUAUACAAGCCAAGUUAUAUAAUGAAGAUUCCCACUAGCAUAUGGUAGUGACAAAGCAAGAAGCUCUCAGUCAUGAAGAACAUGGUGCUAUCAUGAAGCACAAGUGUGGAAAAGGAUAGUAGCAUUGUCCCUUCUCUCCUUUUCUUUUUUUUAUUUGGGCUCUUAGACCUCUUUUUUGUUUUAUUUUUUUUCUCUUUUUUUUUGUUUUUGGGCUCUUUGGCCUCUUUUUUUUAUUUCCUCACAUGGGACAAUGCUCUAAUAAUGAUGAUCAUCACACUUUUAUUUACUCACAGCUCAAAGCUUUAGAACAAGGAUGACUCCAUAGGAAAUGCCUUCGUGCAAUGAUCUAGCGUAGCAAUGACAUCAAAAAACGGACAAGCCAUGAAAACAUCAUGCUAGCUAUCUUACAAUCAUGCAAAGCAAUAUGACAAUGAUGGCACAAGUCAUGAGAUGGAACGGUGAAAGUUGCAUGGCAAUAUAUCUCGGAAUGGCUAUGAAAAUGCCAUGGUAGGUAGGUAUGGUGGCUGUUUUGAGGAAGGCAUAUGGUGGUUUGUGCACCGGCGAGAGUUGCGUGGUACUAGAGAAGCUAGCAAUGGUGUAAGGGUGAAAGUGCGUAUAAUCCAUGGACUCACAUUAGUCAUGAAGAACUCACAUACUUGUUGCGAAAGUUUUUAUUAGUAAUCGAAACAAAGUGCUAAACACAUACUCCUAGGGGAAGGGUUGGUAGGUGUUAACCAUCGCGCGAUCCCGACCUCAACACAAAGGAUGACAAUCAAUAGAUAAAUUAUUCUCCGACUUCCUAACAUAGCGGUUCACCAUACGUGCAUGCUACGGGAAUCACAAACUUCAACACAAGUAUUUCUAGAUUCACAACACCCUACUAACAUAACUCUUAAUAUUACGGAAUCCAAGUCUCAAAACUAAUUAAGAGAAAUCAAAACUUCUCUUUCUACUCAAUGCACAUGAAGAUGGAGGUUUUUGCAUCCUCUUUGGGUACCUAUCACAUUUGGGACUACUUUCAUAGCAUAAGCCAACUACCAAAUCACGCAUAGCCGUGCUCUAAAGAUAUAAGUGAAGCACACGAGCAAAAGUAUCUAGCUCAAAAGAUAUAAGUGAAGCACUAUGAGCAUUCUAGCAAAAUCACGAUGAGUGCAUGUCUCUCUCUCUCAAAAAGGUGUGCAGCAAGGAUUAUUGUGACACAACAAAAAGCAAAUACUCCUAGAUACAAGACGCUCCAAGCAAAAGCACAAAACACAUAUCAUGUGGUGAAUAAAAAUAUAGCUCCAAGUAAUGUUACCGAUGGAUUGAAGACGAAAGAGGGGAUGCCUUCCCGGGGCAUCCCCAAGCUUAGGAUUUUUGGUGUCCUUGAAUUUGGCUUGGGAUGACUUGGGCAUCCCCAAACUUGAGCUCUUUCCACUCCUUAUCUCUUUGUCCAUGAGAACAUCACCCAAAACUUGAAAACUUCACAACACAAAACUUAAACAGAAACUCGUGAUAACAUUAGCACAAGAAAACAAACUACCACUUCUUUUGGUACUGUAGAAAACUUGCAUUCUAUCUAUAUUGAUAAUGUGCUACUAUAUUCUCACUUUUCCAUGGCUAUUACCCCCUGAUACUAACCAUAGUUUCAUCAAAACAAGCAACCAACUCAACAAAAACAGAAUCUGUUUUUUCCUUCCCAUCAUACUCACGAAAGACAUUGAAAAGAUGGAGCAUAUGAGGCAUCCUCAAUUCCAUUUUUUUAGUUUUCUAGCGAAAGAACAAGAAACAAAAAGAUUCGAUUGCAAGAUCUAAAGAUAUACCUUCAAGCGCUAACCUCCCAGGCAACGACGCCAAAAAAAUGCUUCGUUGACGGGAUAUUAGUGCCGCUUACCUAGCCUCCCCGGCAACGGCGCUAGAAAAAUGCUUGAUGUUUACUACGCAACCUUCUCCUUGUAGACGUUGUUGGGCCUCCAAGUGCAGAGGCUUGUAGGACAGUAGCAAUUUUCCCUCAAGUGGGUGACCUAAGGUUUAUCAAUCCGCGGGAGGCGUAGGAUGAAGAUGGUCUCUGUCAAGCAACCCUGCAACCAAAUAACAAAGAGUCUCUUGUGUCCCCAACACACCCAAUACAAUGGUAAGUUGUAUAGGUGCACUAGUUCGGCGAAGAGAUGGUGAAACAAGUGCAAUAUGGAUGGUAGAUAUAGGUUUUUGUAAUCUGAAAUUUUAAAAACAGCAAGGUAACUAGUAACAAAAUUGAGCACGAACGGUAUUGCAAUGCUUGGAAACAAGGCCUAGGGUUCAUACUUUAACUAGUGAAGUUAUCUCAACAAAGAGUCACUCCAAAGUCACUAAUAGCGGAGAACAAACGAAGAGAUUAUUGUCGGGUAUGAAACCACCACAAAGUUAUUCUUUCUGACCAAUAUAUUCAAGAGUUCAUACUAGAAUAACACCUUAAGAUACAUAUCAACCAAGACCUAAUGUCACCUAGAUACUCCAUUGUCACCUCAAGUAUCCGUUGGCAUGAUUAUACGAUAUGUAUCACACAAUCUUAGAAUCAUCUAUUCAACCAACACAUAGGACUUCAAAGAGUGCCCCAAAGUUUCUACCGGAGAGUCAAAACGUAUGCCAACCCCUAUGCCUAGGUACCCAAUGUCAUGACCCCGCAAGUUGAUCACCAAAACAUACAUAGAGUACUCACAUGAAUCCACGUGUGCCAACCCAUAUGCAUAGGUUCCCAAUUGUCACAAACCCGCAAGUUGAUCACAGCAGAUAGACACGUGCAAGACAUACAUCAAGUGUUCUCAAAGACUCAAUCAGAUAAGAUAACUUCAAAGGGGAAACUCAAUUCAUUACAAGAAGGGAGAGGGGUAAGAACAUCAUAAGAUCCAACUAUAGUAGCAAAGCCCAUGGCACAUCGAGAUCAAGACAUGUCAAGAACACGAGAGAGAGAGAUCAAACACAUAGCUACUGGUACAUACCCUCAGCCCCGAGGGAGAACUACUCCCUCCUCGUCAUGGAGAUCGCCGGGAUGAUGAAGAUGGCCACCGGAGAUGGAUUCCCCCUUCGGCAGGGUGCCGGAACGGGCUCCAGAUUGGUUUUUGGUGGCUACAGAGGCUUGCGGUGGCGGAACUCCCGAUCUAGGUUUCUUUCUAGAGGUUUCUGUAUUUAUAGGAAUUUAUGGCGGUGGAAUUGCGUCAGUUGGGCCCACGAGGAGGUCACAAGCCUGCACGAUGCGACCAGGGGGGUAGACCGCGCCCCAUGGGCUUGUGACUCCCUCGUGGCUCUUCUGGCCUUCUUCCAAAGCUUCGGUGGUCUCUUUUGGUCCAAAAAAUCAUCGUAAAGUUUCAUUCCAUUUGGACUCCGUCUGAAAAAGGGUCAAAAACACGGAAAAAAUAGAAACUGGCACUUGGCACUGAGUUAAUAGGUUAGUCCCAAAAAAGAUAUAAAAUAGCAUAUUCAUGCAUAUAAAACAUCCAAAGUUGAUAAGAUAAUAGCAUGGAACCAUCAAAAAAUAUAGAUACGUUGGAGACGUAUGACAUGCCUACAUUAGAUUGACGAACUGGAGCUAGCUACUUAUCUCUCCGUGUUAUAACUGUUGCAUGAUGAAUCACAUCCGGCAUAAUCAUCCAUCACCGAUCCAAUGCCUACGAGUCUUUUACUACUGGUCCUUACUACGUUACUUUGCUGCUACUGUUGUCACUGCUGCUAGUGUUACUCUUCUACUACUACUGAUACUUUCCUGCAUAUACUAAGUCUUUCAGGUGUGGUUGAAUUGACAACUUAGCUGCUAAUACUUGAGAAUAUUCUUUUGCUUCCCCUUGAGUCGAAUCAAUAAAUUUGGGUUUAAUACUCUACCCUCGAAAACUGUUGCGAUCCCCUAUACUUGUGGGUUAUCACGUAUCAAGCAUCCCCAAGCUUAACUCCUGCUCGUCCUCAAGUAGGGAAGUGAUAAAGACUGAAUUUUUGAUGUGGAAUGCUACCUAACAUAUUUGUCAUUUGUAACUUCUUUAUUGUGGCAUGAAUGUUAACACUACUGGAAUCUGCUAGUUUGCCGACAGCUUUAAGCUUUGCCGUCAGCAAUUUUAUGGGGCUGACGGCAAAGAGACUUUGCCUUGAGCCAAAAUAAAUGCUGACGGCAUAGGAGGGGCUGACGGCAAAUAAAAUUUAUGUCGUCCGCUUUAUCUAAGCCGGUAGCCAGCUGACGACAAAGGACAAAAAAGCGGUCGGCAUAGGAAGGCUGACGGCAUAGGGGCUAACCCAGUCGCCGCCUCGGCCAGAAAAAAAACGGGGGCCUUCUUUGCCGACAGCCAGCUGAGGGCAAAGACUAACGGCUGUCUUUGCCGACAGCUGGCUGAGGGCAAAGAGGCUAACCCCAUACACCUGCCUUAUCCCCCCGUGCCUUCUCUCUCUCACCGCGCCUUCUCUCUCUCACCGUCCCGUGCACGCGCGCCUUGCUCUCCCACGCCGCCCAUCGCCCGCCCCGCGCCGCNGCCCCCACCGCCCCCCGCCCGACGCCGCCGGAGUCCCCUCCUCCUCCCCUCCUUCGCGGCCCCCGCCUCUCCCUCCCGCCGGUCCGUCCGCGCCAGGUUCGGUAUAAUACUUGUACGUGAAUAUGCAGGGAAACAGAAUACAUGAAGUUAGGUUAGAUUUUGUUUUGGAGUAUAAAAUCUCAGGUUAGAGUUUGUUCUUACUAUGUUCUGUAUACCAAAAUCGGUAUAUUAAAUCGGGACAGUUAACGUAGGUUGAUCGAACAAACCAAAAGUUUUUUUAAGCUAAUAUAUGGGUAGUUUUAGAUUGAUGGAGAUAAUAGUUAAUUAAAAUCAAGGUUUUUAAUAUGAAGGAUGAGCUGGUCGUUCCAUAUUAUACUCGCCUGCACUACUAUACAUUAUAUAAAAGCUAUGGCCGUGGCAAAACAGAGAAGAUUGACUCAGAGGGGAAAAAAUUCAGAGAGCAGAAGGUAAUUAAUUUUGUUUCCUGGUACUACUGAGAUGAAGAAAUAAUUAGCUUUGAGAGCCUACCCAGUGUACAUGCUCACAUGUCGCAUAUAUGAUCUGCAUCAUAGUAGAGCACAACGCAUCAAUGAUCGAAUUGCCGAAAUUCGCAUCCAUGCAUUAUGAAGUGUGAUCUAAUCAUCUAAAUAGGAAUAAAGCAAGGAUAAAAUUAUAAGUAGAUCAAACCUGGAUCAAUCUUUCCCUAUCCCAAGGUGACAGCCAGCCUAGGAUAGAAUGUGUGCUGGAGAGGAGUGUGUGAGGCGGAGGAUCAGAGCAGCCUAUAUUUGUUUCCAGGACAGAGAAGGCGCUAUUGUACUGGCUGGACUAUGUUUGAUGUAGAACGUGGUGCAGUUGUAAAAAACUUGGACUAUAUGUUAAGAGAGAGAGAGAUACGUUAGAGAUAUUAUUUUUUGAGAUAGAGAUACGUGAGGGAUGCGUAACUGACAAAAACGGAUAUGUGAGAGAUUGAAUUGGAAAUAUCUGGUAUUUCCAUAGUAUAAAAAUAACAUAAUAUAUAUUGCAAACUUCAUAUUAUAUAGAGUAAUCUACACCGUAAUAACUUGGUCCCACCAGAUUAACGGCUCCUAAUUUCUAAUUAAUGUAGGAAUUUCUUGGGAGCCCCUAAUUAGUAUAAGUAUAGAUUACUCGAAGAACUUUAUUAAUCUACAAAAUAGGGGAAGUAAUAUUAGCUCUACACAACAAACCUGAAUGCAUCACACUCAAAGUAGUUUUGGAGAACUCUAUGAAUUAUGCCCCCGAAGAUCACAAUUUAGCAGUGAAAUUUAAGUAUUUCGCAUGUAAAGAUAUGGAGAUUCAGAGUUUUAGAAAAAUGCAUUUAAAUGAUAGAUGUUAGUAUUAGUUAGCUUAAUUACCGCGAGUGCGUAUUUGUGUUGAUUGAGUGCAUUUAAAUGUGCAGUAGCUUCUCCGCGAGGGAUUGGUUUUCGACGACCUCCCCUGCAUUCGAAAGUGAGCACAUUUGUUAACUCCUCCUCCACCCCCUUUAUUUUGCUCUGUUCCGGCCUUCGUGCUGAUGACACUAUCUAGCUAGGUAUUUUUAGUAUUAAAAUGCAAAGGUGUUGCGUAACCAAUAUGCGUCUCCCGUUCGAAAGGGUUCUUGUCAUAAAUAUGCAUGCAUUUGCAUAUUUAUAACGGUCAUUCUUUCAAAUUGUCCAACGUUAUCCAUGGACAGCCCGGGUAUGUGUAGAUUGGGUCGUUUCCCACGCUUUGCUCCGGAUCCCAUCCAGAGUUUCGUCAGCUCCUCCUUGUUGUUCUCCGGGUACACAUCCUCUCGGUUAGUUGCCGAGACGUGUAUCAGGAGAACAGCGGGGAGGUGCUGCCGAAAUUUUGCGUUGGGUCGGGAGCAGAGCAGUGGGAAAUGACCCAAUCUACACAUACUCGGGUGGGAUUAGGACCCAUCUUUACCUAGUAGCUGGUAGGUGUGCAUGCCGUGCAUCCCAAUGUAUUAACCAUGAUUAAAAAAUGUCCAUAAUUAAUUUAACAUACUUGAUGAAUUGAUAUUUUAUAUUGUUUUAUAUGUGGAUACUUUGUAGAAAGCUUGCCAGAAUGACUGAUCGUGAAUGGAUGUGCACCGGUCACCAUAGUCAGAGAGAUAUGACCGAUGAAUGGUUGAGCAAAACCUAUGAAUUCAUGGAAACGGCGUUUUCUAAAGGCCAUCCAAAACCAUGGUGCCCCUACACUAAGUGCAAGAAUUAUUCGCGACAGACAAAGGAUGUAAUGGGUAAACACCUGCAGAUGCGUGGUUUUACUCCCGGCUAUACCUUGUGGACAUUUCAUGGUGAGUCGGCCCAACGUAACAGAGACGAGGUGUUGCGUCGGCGCACCGAUGAUCAUGGUACAGGGAUUGAAGACAUGGUGAAUGACUUUGAUGAUGCUCGGAACAAGGACGAAGAGAUGGAGGAAUCCGCGAAAGCCUUCUAUGCCAUGUUGGAGUCUUCAAAACGUCCUCUUCACGAGCACACUAAGAUUUCUCAGCUAGAUGCCAUCGCACAAGUAAUGGCUCGGAAAGCCCAGUUCAACAUUGGAAGAGAUCUGUUUGACUCAGUGAUGACCCUAUUUGGGCGCUUUCUACCAAAAGGUCAUAUUAUGCCUUCAAACCUAUAUGAGUCAAACAAAAUCCUUAGUGCACUCAAGAUGCCGUAUGAGCAGAUACAUGCUUGUGAGAAGGGAUGUGCCUUAUUUAGGAAAGAGUAUGCGGAGGAAACAUAUUGUCCAUUUUGCAAGUCCUCCAGAUAUGUUGAGGUAGAAAACGGUGAAGGUGAGAAGAAGCAGAGCAAAAUCCCCGUGAGUGUCCUACGGUAUCUGCCGAUCCUACCAAGACUUCAACGACUUUACAUGCUCGAAGAAAUAGCAAAACAGAUGACAUGGCACAAACAUGGAAUUAGGAAAGAAUUAGAUGAACACGGAGUUCCGAUGUUGGUACACCCUUCAGAUGGUGACGCAUGGAAGGCAUUCGAUAGUAUACAUAAGGAAAAAGCUAAAGAACCAAGGAAUUGUCGAAUCGCCAUCAGCCUCGAUGGGUUCAAUCCUUUUGGUAUGACGGCUACCCAAUAUAGUUGCUGGCCUGUAUUUGUCAUUCCUCUCAAUCUUCCACCAUCAUCCAUUAUGCAAAGAAAGCACAUAUUUCUGACGUUGAUAGUUCCAGGGCCAAAAUACCCGGGGAAGAAUAUGAGUGUGUACAUGCAACCGCUGAUGGAUGACUUGAAAGAAGCUUGGGUGAAUGGGGUCAACACAUACGACGCAGCUAAGAAAGAGAACUUUCAAAUGUAUGUUUGGUACCAAUACUCGUUGCAUGAUCUGCCAGCAUUUGCGCUUUUCGUUGCCUGGUGUGUGCAUGGAAGGUUCCCAUGCCCACAAUGCAAGGCAGCUCUUAAGUUUCAUUGGUUUCCGGCGGGUGGGAAGUAUUCCUGCUUUGACUUGCAUAGACAGUUCUUGCCUAUGGACCAUCCAUUCAGAAAAGACAAGAAGAAUUUCAUGAAAGGUAAAGUUGUCAAACACUCUGCACCACCUGCGUUGACGGGGGCAAAAAUUAAUGAACAGUUAAAAUCUAUGGAGCCUGAUCCAUACCGUCUAGGGUAUUUCUUGGGUUAUAAUGAGGAACACGCCUGGACCCACAAGCCAUGCAUCUGGGAUCUCCCCUACUUCGAAGACCUCUUACUUCCACACAACAUUGACAUGAUGCACACUGAAAAGAAUAUCGCCGAGGCCCUUCUUGGCACAUUUUUUGGCACUGAUAAGGGCAAAGAUAAUACAAAGGCUAGAGUUGACCAGGAGACUCUGUGUGAUAGGCCAUCACUAAACAUGCGAGAACCGAAAGGAAGAAAAAUUGGUCCAAACCACCUGCCUGGUACAAUCUUGAGAAGGGAGCAAUAAGGUAAAUCCUCUUGUGGGUGCAAAAAAAGUUGUUGUUGCCCGAUGGGUAUGCUGCGAAUCUAGCGAGGGGAGUGAGCAUUGAAAAAAUGAAAAUUUUUGGGCUCAAGAGUCAUGAUUGGCACAUAUGGCUUGAGCGGAUAAUGCCGGUGAUGUUGCGUGGCUAUAUCCCCGAGGCUGAAUGGCUAGUAUUGGCCGAGUUGAUCUAUUUCUUUCGUGUUCUUUGUGCUAAAGAGUUGUCGCGUGCCUUGAUAGAUGACAUGGAAGAGUUGGCGCCUGAGUUGCUCUGCAAGUUAGAGAAGAUUUUUUCACCGGGCUUCUUUAAUCCGAUGCAACACAUGAUUUUGCAUCUCCCAACCGAGGCAAGAUUGGGUGGACCUGUGCAAAAUUGUUGGUGCUACGCAACUGAAAGAAUGCAGAAGACACUUCGAGGAAAAUGUAAAAAUAAACGUAGAACUGAAGCAUCGAUGGCCGAGGCAUUCAUUACCGAGGAGGCGGCAAAUUUCGUAACAGCACACUAUGAUGCCACUAUGCACAGCUUGCAUAAUCCAAAGCCUCGGUACAAUCUGGGCGACCCCAAACGACGUGAAUCCAAUCUCAGCCUUUUCAAAGGGAAGCUCGCACCUUCUGGUGUGGGAAAACCAAAGUUGCUGUGCAUCGAGGAGUGGCGCACACUAACGAUGUAUAUAUUGAACAAUUUAACAGAAGUUCGGCCAUACAUCGAGUAAGCGCUCUGUACAUUGUUUCGCAACUUUUAACAAGUUUUGUGUCUAACAACUAUUAUUAAUUGAUACAGUCGAUACGUCGAACAAUUCUCGAAUGGUGUUGCAAUCGAGAAAGAAUCCAUUCUUGAGUAUGAAUUUCUUGAAAAGACAGGAGGCGGCUAUCCCGGUUUCAUCUCUUGGUUCAAAAAAACGGUACCUCCCUUAUAUAUAAUAAGUGAUUUCCUUUGUUGCUAUUACUCAUGAGUAACACACCAAACUCUAUCUUUUCUUAACUUCUAGGCUAAUUCAGAUGAGCAAGUCGACGAUGAAUUGAGACAAAUAGCUAAUGGUUUUGACUUUAAGGUCCGUACAUUUCAGAAGUACGACAUCAACGGGUAUCGCUUUCGUACUGCUAGCAAAGAGCUUUCAAUGCCCGGUCGAAAAACAAACAAUUCCGGUGUCUCUGCUAUAGGCGAGGGAGGUGUCGAGUAUUAUGGAAGACUUGAAGAAGUCUACGAACUUCAUUAUUAUGGUGAAAAUCCUCCGAACGUUGUUGUGUUCAAAUGUCAUUGGUUCGAUCCUACUAAGACAAGACGGACUCAUGAACAUCUUGGGAUUGUCGAAAUUCGACAAGACAGGCAGUUAAGCGGUGCCGAUGUCUAUAUUGUGGCUCCAGGCCACCCAAGUUUUCUAUCUGCCAUAUUGUCGUCAAAGUGUUAAGAACCUAGAAGGUUGGUAUGUCGUGUUCGAUGUGCCGCCACAUCUUAGACCACCUCCCCCAAAUGAAGAAGAUUAUGAACCUCAAAUUGACCCAAUAACAUAUGAUGGAGAAUUUUUCCAAGAAUCACGUGGUGUCAGACGUCGUACCCGAAACUCCUCUACGUCCACCCUGAACACGGAGGAACAAGACUCACGUGAUGAUGAGGAAGAAGUGGAAGUAGAAGAAGUUACCAAUGCCGAUGAGCUAUCAAUGCUUGAUCGGUUACAAAAAGGCCUUCCACAUGAUGUCCUUGAACCCGAUGACGAUAUCAGUCAUGACGACACGUGUGAUACUGAUGAUGAUUUUGCUUCAAUUGACCAUGGAGAAGAGACAGAUGAUCCAGACUAUUAGUACUUUGUAUGCAUCCAAACAUUGUUGUUUAAUUAUUCAAUUAUUAGUUGAAUUAUUCAUGUAUUUAUUAUUGUUCACUUAAUUAUUGUCCUUGAAUUUGUACUAAUUAUUUAACUAUUUAUCGUUACAGCUGGUGAGACAUGGCAGGCGGGGAUAAGUUGAGGAUAGCACCUGGGCAGCUACGGAGAACUUUGUUGCAGAGCUUUGCCGAGGAGCCCCGUGGGAGAGGCGUAGGAAAGAAGAGAGGCAGAGGACGUGGUCGUGGGAGAGGGAGGCUGCAUGAUAGGAUCCAGUCGCCACCACCCUCGGCCACUUCACCCUUGCAGACGAGGGUGUCACCGGUGCGGGAUCCUACCGUCCAGGAGGAGACACCGAUGCAGGGGGCUGAGGCGGAGGGUGCUGAGGCGGAGGCUGAGGCGGAGGGUGCUGAGGCGGAGGGUGCUAAGGCGGAGGCUGAGGCGGAGGGUGCUGAGGCGGAGGCUGAGGGGGCUGCCAGCAAGUCGGUCUACCAACGUGGUAUGACACGAGUUCCAGACCGAUUGGACUUGCAGCACAGGCCGUUAAUUAAGCCAGAAGGCGAGAAGUAAGUUAAUAUAUAUUGUGUACCUUAUAUCAUUAUAUUUCACCAAGUCGCAAAUGUCUUUGCCUUAUCAUUAUGUAGGGGGUGGGAUUACCCGCAGAAUACCCGGAAUCCAAACUGCCUCCUUGGUGCUUUACUUAGGGAGCACUUCCCCGGGAUAGUGCAGUUGCCCGGUGAGGGUAUGGUUCCCGAGCCAGGACUCAACUGGGAGCACUACCAAGCCGCUCUGCUCCCGGAAAACACACAUAUCAAUGGUGUUGUUUGCGUGAGCGUGGCCGACAAGGUGUUGGCUGAUUUUUGGGUAACUAUUAUUUUACCCAAUAAAAAGUAUACAAUGUUAUAUAUUGUUAUUUCCUUCCAAAUCAUUUAACUAUUCAUCUGUGCAUCUAUUUGGCAUAAUUGCAGAGUCACUUUAGGGUCGAGGAGGGGACGGAGGAGGCGGCCAAGAAGAACCUCGUGAAAGAGUGCAAGAGUUUAUUGAAUAACACGAGGCACGAAAUGCAUGUUCAGGUUGUUCGAGAUUGGUACGCCAAGCAAGGGGAGCCGAAGACAAAGACUGAAUGUCGAAAGAUUUUCCUUGAUAAGACCGAGUACAUGGAGGUAUGUACAUUCCAAAGAUCAAUUCUUAGGGCUAGUUAGGUCUAUUUAAUUAUAAUACUUAGUUUCAUUCUUCAUUAACUUACAUUCAUAGGUGCCCCCGAGAUGGUUGGCCGAUAAGAUGGAUUGUUGGGAGAUGAUAGCGGACAGGUGGUGCACAGAGGCUUGGUUGAGCACCCACACUAUGGCCAAGGACCGUCGUGCCCAAUUGGUUGGUGUGCCACACCACCAAGGCAAUGCCAACAUCAAGCAAUACGCCAAAAAAUGGGUAUGUGUGCCUUGUUUUGUUUCAUCAAUAAUUCGUUCGUUCUUGAUUUUUGUUGUACUAAUUCUUUGUCUUUUCGUGUAGGCCAAACACAAUAACCAGCCCGAGCCUGAGGGAUACGCCGCGUUUAGCAUGGCCCAUAAGGGCUCGUACAAGACGGCGAAGGCAUAUUCUGAGGGGGACGGGCCGUCGGCGUACACAAGCCUGUCCGCCUACAGCAAGAUGACGUCUUAUUCUGAGGUGGUCAAACAGCUGCACGGGCCUGACUUUGACCCGAGCUAGAAUCCUAUCGAUCUAGAGGCGUUAAUGAUCUCUGGUGGCGGUAAGAGUCAUGGCACGCUGGCCAUGUGUGAUGGCUUCGUCCCUAUCACUGAGACUCUAUCUCAGAUCAAGUCGAGGCAAACGAGCUCCGCUCCUGCAAUACGGAAACGCGCGAGGCCAGUUGAUCUUGCCAUCGAGGUUAGUUUUCUUCAUUAGUUCUUUCGUUCUUUUGUCCCUGGAUGGAUGAUGAAAAUUCCUUUUGAGGAGUGGUUGCAGGCCGCACUUAUGAGGAGAGGGAGGCCACCAGGCUCUUGUUGGAGGAGAGGGACCAGAAUACGCAGAGGUUGCUUGACGAGGAGAGGGCACGCAAUAAUGCCCAUGCAAAGGCCAUGCACGACUUCGUUGCGGUAAGUCAGUUGUGUGAGAAGCAAGGCCAUGUGUGAGACGCAACAAGGCUAUUUCUUUGACUCCUCGAAAACUAAUUUGCAGGCUAUGUGUGAGAAGCAAGGUUUGCCGCCCCCUCCGCCGAUGCCUUCUCCGGUGGGAACGGUGAGUUCCCUUUCAAUGACCAACCUUGCACGGUCUUAUACCAUUGUCUGUUGACGUGAAAACCACAUAUUUUAACUCUUGCCUUGUUGCAACAUCAUUCAAGAGUUGAAUCCCACGAUCCCUUUACUUCUCCUGGUGAGAGCCCUAGCAACCCAGCGACCAACGGAGAUGCAGCUUCUCCUUCGUUUCCUGGCAUUUGGUAAGUUAUUCCUCUCCUUCUUAUUCUUCUUAUUGUUUAGAUCAACUUAGAUUAUGCCAGGCUUUAGUUAGCUUAGUAAAUUCUAGUUGAUAUUAGCCAUGGUUUAGUUAGCUUAGUAAAUUCUAGUUGAUAUUAGAGCUCAAAAAUGACAUAAUUAGUUUAGAAAGUUUUAAAAGAAACCAGAAGAGAAGAACAAACAAGAGAUGAAGAAAUAAGAGAAGAAGAAAGAGGAGAAAAAGAUAACUUCUCUUCUUUCUUUUUCUCUAUCUUCUUCUUCUUCUUCUUCCAUUUCUUCCACUUCUUUUUCUUGUUCUUCUUCUUCUUCUUCCACUUCUUCUUCUAAUUGCUUAGCUUAAUUUAGAUAACUUCUUUCUUAUUGUAUUCUUCUUCUAAAUUCUUUCUCAUUAUGCAGAUUUUGAUAAAGCAGCAUGGCAUAUGGAUGGCUGCUCGAGACUUUGUAAUGCACUUGUGUAGUCCUAGAUGAACUUUGUAAUGCAAUUGUAUUUGUGGAUGCACUUGUGAUGCUUUGUAAUACUUUGUGAUCUUGUUUGCACUUUAAUGACAUAUAUUCGUGUUGUGCUGUUUGCACUUUGUGAUGCACUUGUGGUGCUGUUUAGGGGCAGAUUCAAUAUAUAUAUGUUGUUGUUUGUAUCUAUGUUUUGCAAAUGCAGGGAAUUAACAGAAAACAAAUAUGAAAAAAAAGCAAAGAGGGUCUUUGCCUACAGCUCACUGACGGCAAAGGCUUUGCCAUCGGUGGGCUGUCGGCAAAGAAGACACGUGGCGGCAGCCUGUGCAUUCUCGCAACUCUGGGAAUACCAAUUUUUCGGCUUUGCCGUCAGCUGGGACAAAGCUGUCGGCAAAGAGGCGGCCAAGGGGACCCAGGGGUAGGCUUUGCCGUCAGCUGGGCUCUAACUGUCGACAAAGAGGCGGCCAAGGGGACCCAGGUGUUUGGGCUUUGCCGUCAGCUCUGCUACGGCUGUGGGCAAAGAGGGGAGGCUUUGUCGUUAGCUUUGCUACGACUGUGGGCAAAGCCUGCCAUUAACCUUCUAACGAAGCUCGGCCUGCGUCAUUGCCGCCACUGGUCUUUGCCGUCAGCCCGUGCUACAAAGCUGAUGGCAAAGUCUUUGCCGUCGGUGGAGCUCCGGCUGUCGACAAAGAAGGUGAUUGCCGAUAAAAUCUUGGCCGACACCUUUGCCGACAGCUCACUGACGGCAAAGCCUUUGCCAUCAGUUAAACUGUCCUUUGCCGUCAGCUCUGGCUGUCGGCAAACUAGCAGAUUCCAGUAGUGUAAGAUCUGUAAGAUUCAAAACAAUAGUUUACUAUUGACAUGAAAACAAUAAUACUUCAAGCAUAGUAGCAAAGUGAUCAUGAACUUUUGAAGGAACAAGGCCAAAAAAGUUAUCCCUACAAAAUCAUAUAGUCUGGCUAUGCUCCUUCAUCCCCACACAACGAAUUUAUAUCAUCCACAACCCCGGUAUUUGCCAAGUAAUUGUUUUCGCACUCUUACUUUCUCAAACUUUUCCAACUCUCACGCAAUACAUGAGCGUGAGCCAUGGAUAUAGCACUAUAGGUGGAAUAGAGUGUGGUGGAGGUUGUGAGGCAAAAAGAAGGAGAUGGUCACAUGGACUUGGCGUAUUAAUGGGCUAUGGAGAUGCCCAUCAAUAGAUAUCAAUGUGGAUGAGUAGGGAUUUCCAUGCAAUGGAUGCACGAGAGCUAUAAGUGUGUGAAAGCUCAAAAGGAAAACUAGUGGGUGUGCACCCAACUUGCUUGCUCACGAAGACCUAGGGAAAUUUUGAGGAAGCCCAUCAUUGGAAUAUACAAGCCAAGUUAUAUAAUGAAAAUUCCCACUAGCAUAUGGAAGUGCCAAAACAAGAGACUAUCUAUCAUGAAGAACAUGGUGCUAUUUUGAAGCACAAGUGUGGAAAAAGAUAGUAGCAUUGUGCCUUCUCUCUUUUUCUCUCAUUUUUUUUGUUUGGGCUCUUUGGCCUCUUUUCAUUUUUUUUUGGUGGGCAUCUUUGGCCUCUUUUUUUAUUUCCUCGCAUGGGACAAUGCUCUAAUAAUGAUGAUCAUCACACUUUUAUUUACUCACAACUCAAUACUUAGAUCAAUGAUGACUCUAUAGGAAAUGCCUCCGGCAUUGUACCGGGAUGUGCAACGAUCUAGCUUAGCGUAUGACGUUGAAACAUCUCGCUAGCUAUCUUACGAUCAUGCAAUGGCAAUAUGAAAGUGACGGCACAAGUCAUGAGACAGGACGGUGGGAGUUUCAUGGCAAUAUAUCUCAGAAUGGCUAUGAAAAUGAAUUAAUAGGUAGGUAUGGUGGCUGUUUUGAGAAAGGUAUAUGGUGGGUUUGUGCACCGGCGAAAGUUGCACGGCACUACAGAGGCUAGAAAUGGUGGAAGGUGAAAGUGCAUCUAUACCAUGGACUCACAUUAGUCAUGAAGAACUCAUAUACUUAUUGCGAAAGUUUUAUUAGUAAUCGAAACAAAGUGCUAAACGCAUACUCCUAGGGGAAGGGUUGGUAGGUGUUAACCAUCGCGCGAUCCCGACCGCCACACAAAGGAUGACAAUCAAUAAAUCAAUUAUGCUCCGACUUCCUAAAAUAGCGGUUCACCAUACGUGCAUGCUACGGGAAUCACUAACUUCAACACAAGUAUUUCUAGAUUCACAACACCCUACUAACAUAACUCUAAUAUUACCAAAUCCAUAUCUCAAAACUUAAUUGUUAGGAAUUAAACUUCUCUUACUAAUCAAUGCACUUGAAUAUGGAAGUUUUUAUUAUAUCCUCUUUGGAUGCCUAUCAUAUUUAGGACUAAUUUCAUAGCACACGCCAAUUACCAUGUUACUGAGAGAGAGAGCACUCUCAAAAAGAUAUAAGUGAAGAUUGAGAGUUUUUAUUUAUACAAAAUAUGACACCGCCGUGCUAUAAAAAGAUCUAAGUGAAGCACUAGAGCAAAGUUAUCUAGCUCAAAUGAUAUAAGUGAAGCACACACGAGCUAAAUUACCUAACUCAAAAGAUAUAAGUGAAGCUCAUUGAGUAUUCUAGCAAAUUCACGAUGAGUGCAUGUCCCUCUCAAAAAGGUGUGCAGAAAGGAUGAUUGUGACAAAACAAAAAGAAAAGACUCCUAUGAUACACGACGCUCCAAGCAAAACACAUAUCAUGUGGUGAAUAAAAAUAUAGCUCCAAGUAACGUUACCGAUGGAUUGAAGACGAAAGAGGGGAUGCCUUCCCGGGGCAUCCCCAAGCUUAGGCUUUUUGGUGUCCUUGAAUUUGGCUUGGGAUGACUUGGGCAUCCCCAAGAUUAAUCUCUUUCCACUCUUUAUCCCAUUGUCCAUGAGAACAUCACCCAAAACUUGAAAACUUCACAACACAAAACUUAAACAGAAACUCGUGAUAUCAUUAGUAUAAGAAAACAAACUAUCAACUCUUUAGGUACUGUAGUAAACUUGAUUUCUAUUUAGACUGAUGUUAGAUUACUGUAUUAUCACUUUUCCAUGGCUAGUCACCCCCGAUACUAUCCAUGGUUUUAUCAAAAUAAGCAAUCAACACAACAAAAACAGAAUCUGUCAAAAACAGACCAGUCUAUAGCAAUCUGUAUACUUCGUAUACUUAUGUUAUCCCAAAAAUUCUGAAAAAUUAUGAAAAUUAGGUAAAUUUUCAUAUCAACCAGCAGCAAAAAGAAUCAACUCAAAAUCUCUUUCUGGAUAGGAAUUAAAAAUAAUUUCGUGAGAACAAAGUUUUUGUCUUUUUCAGCAUGAUCAAACAACCAUCACCAAAACUAAUCAUAAAGGUUUUACUUGGCACAAACAAAAAAAAGAAACACAAAAAACACAAUCAUGACAGAAUUAUGAUGGUGUGGACACAACAAAAUAGAAAGCAAAAAGCAAAAAUAAAUUCAUUGGGUUGCCUCCCAACAAGCAUUAUUGUUUAACGCCCUUAGCUAGGCAUAAGGCGAUAGAAUCAAGUAUCGUCGUCUUUGGUGCUCAAACCAUAAGUAGGGUGAACACUCAACAUUUUAAGAUCUUCAUCUCUCUUACUAGAUGGUUCACCACUGUGUUUAGGAACAAAAGCAAACUUGGUGGCUUUAUUGUGGGCAAAAUUUGGAGUGUUCUGAACAGCGGCAAAAGCGGAACCCAAGUUGGUUAUAACAUCCUCUAGUUUGCCAAUUCUAGCGGAAUCAUGACCUAGUUUUUCGUUAACUGUGGGUUCCCACUCAUCAUGAAGUUUUCUAGGAAUAGAUAUCUCCAACUCAAGUUUCUCUUAAAGAGAUUUCAUCAUAGCAUCAACGAUAUGAUCGGUAAAGGCCUUAUUUUGGCUAUAAGCAUGUGGAGAGUUUAGCAUGGAUUGCAUCAAGGAAAUACAUUCAAUCAAAGAGCAACUAUCAUAAUUGAAUUCCUUGAAAUCAAAAGUAGUAAUUUCAUUACUACUCAAAGUUUUGAUAUCCUCUACUCCACUUUGAGUGCUUUUAGCAUCAAGAUAAAUAGACUCCGAAUCAUUGGGGUGUUUCUCAACCAAAGUGGAUUCAUACCCAUCCCCAUCAUCAUUAGGAUUGACAUUAUAAAACAAGGAUUCAAUAGGAGUCACACCAAGCACUUUAUGAUCUUCGUGAUUCUCAUCACGAGAACACGCCUUUUUAAGCCAUUCAUGUCUAGCACGAAUUUGGGCGGUUCUUUCUUUACUCUCAUUCAUGGAAAUACGCAUAGCUUUCAAAGUUUCAUCCAUAUUAAUCUUGGGAGGAGCACAUCUCAAUUUCAAAGCAUCAAUAUCAAGAGACAUUCUAUCAACAGUCCUAGCCAAGUCAUCAAUUUUGAGCAGUUUUUCUUCUAUGGAUGCAUCGAAAAUCGUUUGCGAGUUGAUAAACUCUUUAAUAUUACUCUCAAGAUCAGAGGGUAAUUUAUUGUAAUUUCCAUGAGCAUUGUUGUAGGAAUUGCCAAAGUUAUUAAAGGGAUUACUAGGAAAAAGCCUAGGAAUAAAGUUACCUCUAUAAGCAUUGGUGUUGCCAAAAUUAUUCCUACCAACAAGAUUAACAUCCAAGCUUUCAUUGCUAUUCUCAAUCAAGGAAGACAAAGGCAUAUCAUUUGGAUCUAAAGGAGCACCUUUACUAGCAAACAAUUUCAUUAACUCAUCCAUCUUAGCACUCAAAGAGUUAAUUUCUUCUAUAGCAUGCACUUUUUUACUAGUAGGUGACCUUUCAGUGUGCCAAUGAGAAUAGUUUGUCAUGAUAUUAUCUAGGAGUUUUGUGGCUUCUCCUAGUUUGAUUUCCAUGAAAGUUCCACCGGAGGCGGAAUCCAAUAUAUUUCUAGAAGCAAAAUUAAAACCAACAUAGAAGAUUUGAUUAAUCAUCCAAAGACUCAAGCCAUGAGCGCGACAUUUUAUAAUCAUCAAUUUCAUUCUCUCCCAAGAUUGUGCAACACGUUCAUGAUCUGGUUGCUUAAAAUACAUGAUAUCAUUACGGAGAGAGAUAAUCUUAGCCGAUGGAAAAUACUUGGAUAUAUAAGCAUCUUUGCACUUGUUCCAAGAAUCAAUACUAUUUUUGGGUAAAGAUGAAAACCAAGUUUUUUCUCAAUCUCGUAAUGAGAACGGAAAUAGCUUCAAUUUAAUCACAUCAUUAUCCACAUAUUUCUUUCUUUUGCAUAUUGCAUAACUCAAUGAAGGUAUUAAGAUGGGAUGCGGUGAUAACCCACAAGUAUAGGGGAUCGCAACAGUUUUCGAGGGUAGAGUAUUCAACCCAAAUUUGUUGAUUCGACACAAGGAGAAGCAAAAGAAUAUUAUCGAGUAUUAGCAGUUGAGUUGUCAAUUCAACCACACCUGAAAGACUUAGUAUCUACAGCAAAGUUUCAGUAGCAAAGUAGUGUGAUAGCAACGAUAGCAAUGGUAACAAUAGCAAUAGUGACAGCAGUAGCGGUAACAGUAGCAGCAGUGAUAGCAGUAGCGGCAAAGUAACGUAGCAAGGACCAGUAGGGAAAGACUCGUAGGCAUUGGAUCGGUGAUGGAUCAUUAUGCCGGAUGACAUUCAUCGUGUAACAGUUAUAACAUGGGGAGAUAUGUAACUAGCUCCAGUUCGUCAAUGUAAUGUAGGCAUGCAUUCCGUAUAUAGUCAUACGUGCUUAUGGAAAAGAACUUGCAUGACAUUUAUUGUCCAUCCCUCCCGUGGCAGUGGGGUCCUAAUGGAAACUAAGGGAUAUUAAGGUUCUCCUUUUAAUAUAGAACCGGAACAAAGCAUUAGCACAUAGUGAAUACAUGAACUCCUCAUACUAUGGUCAUUUCCGGGAGUGGUUCCGGCUAUUGUCACUCCGGGGUUGCCGGGUCAUAACACAUAGUAGGUGACUACAACUUGCAAGAUAGGAUUAAGAACACACAUAUAUUGAUGAAAACAUAAUAGGUUCAGAUCUGAAAUCAUGGCACUCGGGCCCUAGUGACAAGCAUUAAGCAUAGCAAAGUAGUAGCAACAUCAAUCUCAGAACAUAGUGGAUACUAGGGAUCAAUCUCCAUCAAAACUAACUCGAUUACAUGAUAGAUCUCAUCCAACCCAUCACCGUACAGCAAGCCUACGAUGAGAUUACUCACGAACGGUGAAGAGCAUCAUGGAAUUGGCGAUGAAGGAAGGUUGGUGAUGACGACGACGACGAUUUACCCUCUCCGGAGCCAGAACGGACUCCAGAUCUGCCCUCCAGAGGAAGAACGGGUGGUGGCGACGCUUCCGUAUCGUAAAACACGAUGAACUCUUCUCUCUGAUUUUUUCCGGUGAGAGAGAAUAUAUAGAGCUGGAAUUGGAGGCGGCGGAGCCACGAGGGGCUCACAAGCCUGCCAGGCGCGGCCAGUGGGGCGCCUCCUGGGCUUGUGGGCUACUGGCUCCAUGUCUCCAGGUGAUUCUUGCGCCAGUAUUUUUUAUAUAUUCCACAAAAAAUCUUCGUAAAUUUCCAGGUCAUUCCGAGAACUUUUAUUUCUGCGCAAAAACAACACCAUGGCAAUUCUACUGAAAACAGCGUCAGUGCGGGUUAGUUCCAUUCAAAUCAUGCAAAUUAGAGUCCAAAACAAGGGCAAAAGAGUUUGGAAAAGUAGAUACGAUGGAGACGUAUCAACUCUCCCAAGCUUAAAGCCUUGCUUGUCCUCAAGCAAUUUAGUUGACAAACUGAAAGAGACAAAAGAAAAACUUUUACGAACUCUGUUUGAUCUUGUUGUUGUAAUUAUGUCUAACUCAUAUUCAGAUUUUCAGCAAGAUCAUAAGCUAACCACAUAAGCAAUGACAUUUAGGUCUCAUGGUAAACUCAUAUCAAUGGCAAAAUCAACUAGCGAGCAAUAAUAAUAAGUUUCAAACGUCAACACUUCAAUCAAAACAAUCAUGAAGCAAUAUGAACAGAUGGUAUAUCGCUAGCUCUUUCUGAGACCGCAAAACAUAAAUGCAGAGCACCUUCAAAGACCAAGAGCUGACUGAACAUUAUAAUUCAUGGCAAAGAAGAUUCAAUCACAGUUAUACUCAAUAUCAAUUAAUAGCAAAGCAUAAAAAUGACGGAGGUGCUCUCUAAUUGGUGCCCUUUAUAAGGAGAGGAAGACUCAACAGAAAUGUAAAUAGAUAGGCCCUUCGCAGAGGGAAGCAUUGAUUUCCAGAGGUGCCAGAGCUCAAGCUUUGAAGACAGAGAUAAAUAAUUUUGGGUGGCAUGCUUUCAUUGUCAACGCGAUGACCAAGAGUUUUCACCAUCUUCCAUGCUACACAUACUAUAGGUGGUUCCCAAACAAAAAAGUAAAGUUUUGACUCCCCCACCACCGACCAAUCACACUCCACGACUAGCCGAAUCCUAAGGUGUCGUCCAUACCAACAACAAUCCAGGGGGAUUUUUGUUUGCAAUUAUCUUUUCAAUUUGAGAAUGGAACUGGGCAUUCCAAUUACCGGCCCCUUUCUCGUGAGUGAUAGUGAAUAAACACGUAUCGAGGAUAACAUGCCUAGCAUGGAAGAUACUGAUCGCCCCUUGUCACCACAUGAGCGGUUCGGGCAUGCAAAACAGAUAAUUACAUGAAGGUUAAGAGAGUGGCACAUGCAAAUUUACUUGGAACGGCAGGUAGAUACCGCAUAUAGGUAGGUAUGGUGGACUCAUAUGGAACAACUUUGGGUUUAUGGAAGUGGAUGCACAAGCAGUAUUCCCGCUUAGUACAAGUGAAGGCUAGCAAAAGAUUGGGAAGCGACCAACUAGAGAGCGACAACAGUUAUCAAUACGCAUUGAAAUUAACCAACAUUGAGUGCAAGCAUGAGUAGGACAUAAAUCACCAUAAACAUGAAUAUCAUAGAGGCUAAGUUGAUUUUGUUUCAACUACAUGCGUAAACAUGUGCCAAGUCAAGCCACUUAAAUCAUUCAAAGGAGGAUACCAUCCUAUCAUACUACAUCAUAAUCAUCUUGAAAUUCAUGUUGGCAUCCAAGACAAACCAUUAUAAUCUCCUAGAUAAUUAAGCAUGGCAUCAGAAACUAUGAUCUCUAAGUUGUCAUUGCAAACAUGUUUCUCUCAUAAAAAGCUGAAUCAGGAACGAUGAGCUAGUCAUAUCUACAAAAACAAAAGAGAUCGAGUUCAUACCAGCUUUUCCAGGCUCAGUCACUUCAUCGUAUAUCGUCAUUAUUGCCUUUCACUUGCACGGCCGAAUGAUGUGAAUCAUAAUGAGAGUGUCCGUGCAUUGGACUAAGCUGGAAUCUGCAAGCAAACACAGAGAAGAAGACAAAGUAAUAUGGCUCUUUGACGGAUAAACAGAUAUGCAUGCGAGAGCCACUAAACAUUGUAACCAUGGUCUUCUACCUUGACCCAAAGACAAAGAAAACUAUUUACACGGGAAAGCUCUCAACAAGCAAAAGAAGAACGGGAAAUCUUUUUGGGUUUUUAUUUUUUUAAACACCACUAAGCAAGCUUACAAGUAAUUUGUUUUGUUUUUAUCAAACUAAACAAACACAUGAGAAGAAAGUGAGAAAAAGAAAUAAACUAGCAUGGAUGAUACAAUGGAAAAGUGUGAACACCGACUAACAAAGUGAAAGUGUAAGCAUGAAUAUAAAGUCAGUGAGAAACACGUACUCCCCCAAGCUUAGGCUUUUGGCCUAAGUUGGACUACUCCCACGGCUGGUCCGGGCUAUAUCCAAAAUCAUAAUCGGGGUUAUACGGGAGCGCGGUAGUGAUACGUCCAUUUUGCAUCAUGCUUUUAUGUUGAUAUUUAUCGCUUUAUGGGCUGUUAUUACACUUCACGGUACAAUACGUAUGCCUUUUCUCUCUUAUUUUGCAAGGUUUACAUGAAGAGGGAGAAUGCCGGCAGCUGGAAUUCUGGCCUGAAAAAGGAGCAAGUUUGAGAUACCUAUUCUGCGCAACUCCAAAAGCCAUGAAAAUAAACGAGGAUUUAUUUUGGAAUUUAUAAAAAAUACUGGGUCAAAGAAGUACCAGAGGGGAGCAAGUAGGAGGCCACAAGCCUGCUAGGCGUGGCCUACCCCCUGGUCGCGCCUAGGGGGCUUGUGGGCUCCCUGUUGGCCCUCUGGCCCCCCUCUUUUUCUGUAAGGAGGGUUUCGUUCCAAAAAAAAUCAAGAGGAGGCUUUCGGGAGGAAUCGCCGCUGCCACGAGGUGGAACUUGAGCAGAACCAAUCUAGAGCUCCGGUAGGGUCGUCCUGCCGGGGAAACUUCCCUCCCGGAGGAGGAAAUCGUCGCCAUCGUCAUCACCAACACUCCUCUCAUCGGAGGGGACUCAUCACCAUCAACAUCUUCAUCAGCACCAUCUCAUCUCCAAACCCUAUUCAUCUCUUGUAACCGAUCUCCGUCUCGCGACUCUGAUUGGUACUUGUAAGGUUGCUAGUAGUGUUAAUUACUCUUUGUACUUGAUGCUAGUUGGAUUACUCAGUGGAAGAUUAUAUGUUCAGAUCCUUGAUGCUAUUCAAUACCUCUCUGGUCAUGAAUAUUAUUAUGUUUUGUGAGUAGUCACUUUUGUUCCUCAGGACAUGGGAUAAGUCAUGCUAUAAGUAGUUAUGUGAAUUUGGUAUUCGUUCGAUAUUUUGAUGUGUUGUAUGUUGUUUUUCCUCUAGUGGUGUUAUGUGAACAUCAAAUACAUAACACUUCACCAUUAUUUGGGACUAGAAGAAGGCAUUGGGAAGUCAUAAGUAGAUGAUGGGUUGCUAGAGUGACAGAAGCUUAAACCCUAGUUUAUGCAUUGCUUCGUAAGGGGCUGAUUUGGAUCCACUAGUUUAAUGCUAUGGUUAGACUUUUUCUUAAUUCUUCUUUUGUAGUUGUGGAUGAUUGCGAGAGGGGUUAAUCAUAAGUGGGAGGUUUGUCCAAGUAAGGGCAGCACCCAAGCACCGGUCCACCCACAUAUCAAACUAUCAAAGUAGCGAACGCGAAUCAUAUGAACUUGAUGAAAACUAGCUUGACAGAAAUUCCCAUGUGUCCUCGGAAGCAUUUUACCUCCUAUAAGAGUUUCUCCAGGCUUGUCCCUUGCUACAAAAGGGAUUGGGACACUUUGCUGCACCGUUAUUACUUUUGCUACUUGCUACUUGCUACGAAUCAUCUUAUCACACAACUAUCUGUUACCGAUAAUUUCAGUGCUUGCAGAGAAUACCUUGCUGAAAUCCACUUGUCACAUCCUUCUGCUCCUCGUUGGGUUCAACACUCUUGCUUAUCGAAAGGACUACGAUAGAUACCCUAUACUUGUGGGUCAUCAGGCAGCUACCGCCUGAAUAGCUGCCUCACGGAGGCGAGCAGCCUUUGUGUGACAGCCCGAGACCGACGUUCCAGAAGCUUCCCCAUUUCUUUCCGUUUUCGUCAUGUGAUUUAUUUUAUUUGUUGCAUCAUCAUCGCAUCAUGCGCAUCGUCAGUAUUGCAUCGACAUCUCCGUUGCCGCCCGUUUUCAAACUUGCAUUCGUUAGUAGUCGCCGGUUCUCGUCGUUGUCCGUUCCGAGCCCGACCGCACUCGCACGCGCCCGCGGCACCGUCGAAACCCUGUUUUUAAAGUGCGUUUUAAACUCUCUCUAAUCGAGGUGAAACUUGACACGCGGUCGCGAUCAGUGAUAGCUAGGCCGCCUGUCGAAUUUCGUCGCGAUCGGAGACCGUCUGGUACCCGAACGGACGCCCGUAGCGGUACCGUCUUCGGUAUAUCGUCGGACGUCUGUUGGUGUUUUUAAAACCGUGCCGCGCCGCCCGUUUUCCCCCUCGUCUCCGAUAAACCCCUCUACACGGCCACGUAGCACGCCCCGCGUUCGGAAUCGUCCGAAUCCGACCCCGCGGUUGGAUCCGGAUCGCGAUUCCGGUUAACCGAGCCCCCUUUUCUUUAUAAAUACCCCCCCUCCUCCUUAAUUUUCGGACAACCUCUCUCUCUUCCUCGUUUUCCGCGCAAACCCUAGCCGCCGCCCCACCUCUCUCUCCCCUGCCGCGCCGCCGGGCCCGCGAAGCCCAUCCGGGGCCCGCCAGGCCCGAACCGCCGCCGCCGCCUCCCGAGCCGCCUUCAGCGCCCGAGGUGCCCCGCGCCUCCAGCCACCUUCGCCGCCGCCUGGCCCUCUCGCCGCCACCUCCCUCCGACCGCCGCCGGCGAGCCGUCGGAGCGCCACCCCCGCAGGUCCGGCCAGCGCGUCCCUUCUCCUCUUUUCUUCCUCCUCUCUCCCCCUAACCUCUCUGCUCCUCUCUUCGCAGUGGCCGACCAGGAGCCGCCCCGAGCUCCAUGGCGAGCUCCUGGAUCGAGCAGCCAGAGGGCUUGCCGCAGACCUAGCCACCGGAUCUGCCGGACUUGAGCCUCGCCGUGGCGCUCGCGCCGCCGCGCCGGUCGGCGCCGCCAUCCCCUCGGGCGGCUCGGCCAGAGGAGGACGACGAGGCCGGGCGCCUCUCCCUCCCGUAGCCGCGUGGGCCGGUCUCCCACGUGCCCCGCGCGGCCCACCUCGAGCAGGCCCAGUCCAGGGCGAUUCCCCUAACCGGCCCAAGAGGCUCCCCCCCAAGGUGAGCUCCAGCGCCUAACCCCCGCCCCGGGCGAUAUUUAGCGUGUCGCCCAUUGGCCCAUCUGUAGAUUCGGCCCAUUAGACCUUUUCCUAUUUUGCGAUAUAAUUAAUUCCAGAAGUAGACGUAUUUUAAAACGCCCGUAUCUUUAGUUCCGUUAGUCGGAUCGCAGCGUGUUAUAUAUCGUUUUGGGGUAGCUUCGCGAGUAGAACACGAUUACCCUUCUUGCGUAUUUAUUUGACGCUGUUUAGAGUGCCUAAUGCCUCGUUUUACGUGCUGGUUAUCUAGGAUCCGUUCCGUAGCUAAUUUUCGUGUGUAUCCGGAUUGCCCGUAUGCCAUAGAUUUAAUGUCCAUGUUUUAGGGACCAUAUUUCUACAUAUUUUAGAGCGGUCACUCGUAUUUUUCCGUGUAGAGUUUUGCCGGUAGUUUAUUUUCCCGUUUAGAGGUAUUCUCCCGCUUUUUUGUGUAGCGUUAUUUUGUGUUGCAAACCCCACAUAUUAUAUAUGUUUCCGGGGUAGAAAAAUCUCAUGGAUUUUUCUGUGCAAUUAGUUUUAGCUUUUAAGGAAGUUAGUUCGCGAGAUAUUUUGUCGUGAAGUCCUUUUGUUUAAUUCGUAGAAUUUAUUCCGUGCCUCGUUUGCAUUAGUUGUCAACUGGAGAGUUGAUCUUGGGUGUUUUGUUUAGGCCCUGGUAUUUUUAGUUGGAAUAGAAAUGCAUGUUUAGGUGUUGUUUGCUUGCUCUCAAGUUGCUUGAAUAGUGCUGUUUCAGAGGAGCUGAAAUAUUUCUAAGUCUGGAAUCUGCUAUUAUUUUGUUGCUGUUUUGUUUUGCUUCUAGCUUGUGACCUGUAGCUCUUUUGGGGUUGGUCCAAUGGAGUUAUAUGUACCCCUUAUGUUUCUUUAGCAUGCUGUGAAGUUUCAUGCCAUUUGGAGUCCUGUAGCUAUAGGUUUUGCUGCUGUCAAUAUUGCUUCAGGCUGAAAACUGCACUUUGACGAGGUGUUAUUUUCACUAAGUCUGGAAUAGCGUGUGAGAUGCCAUUUUGUGUCUUCUUUUCCUAGUGCUCCUUGCUGCCACGCUAGUUGUUGUCAGCUGUUCGUAGUAGUGCUUCUUGCCCUCUUCCGUGCCAUGCCUUGCUUGGGCUUAUCGGAGUUGUGUAGCCGAAGUUGUGAGGCGUAUAAGUUGCUAGGUGGCUAGUUUUGGCAGUUUGUAGUGAUUUCUUGUUUUGCUCGUAGUUUUCGAACCGUAGCUCCGUUUUGAUCGUGUCCUACAUGAAACUUGCUUAGAAUCUUGUGUAGUUCAUUUUUUCUCUUGUGGGUUGUUUGUUUUGAAGCGCUCGUAGCCGUCGUUGCACACAUAUCGCAUUCAUGUCAUCAUAUCUCGCGGUGCUCGUAACUUUUGAUCCGUAGCUCCGUUGGAGAUGUUCUCUACGUGUAGGUUGCUUGCCUUGACGCGUAGAAUCACGUAAACCUAUUUGUUUUGCUGUUUAACAACCAAUUAAAUGCAUAAGUUCAAAUCUGGACAGAAUCGUUAACUAACAUGUGAGGUCGUCUCGGAGAUGCUAUAUGUCAUUUCCGACCUCACUUAAAAUGCCUAGAUAGGUAGUUUAAUUUCCGCUUCACCUCUUGCCAUGUUUAACCACAUUUAAUAUUGCCGUGUAUCUAAUCGGGAUAGAACUAAAUAACUCGUAUGUGGAGUUUCGUCAAUAUGCAACUCGUUGCAUAUUGAACUUCACUUAAUGUGUAGUGUUUGAUUGUGUGAUUUGUCAUGUCGUGACUUGCAUGUAUACAACUGCUCAUGCAUCAUUUGUGUUGUGCAUCGUGUGGUGAAUUUCGUGUGUUGAUUCCUGUUUCUGGUUUUCCCCGUCUCGAUAGAGUUCCGCACGCGUGCCGGAAUGUGAGGACCCAUUCGACUACGUCGGUUCGUCUGCUUCACGGAGGCAUUCUUCUUCCAAGCGGGAUCUCAGGCAAGAUGAUCAUUUCCCCAGAUACCAUUACUAUCAUCGCCAUGCUAGUAUUAUCGCUUCUAUCGAUUAUGUCUCGUUGCCUACCACAUGUUAAAUUUCAGCCUCUCAACAAUGCCAUGAAACCUUCAACCUGUUCAACCUAGCAAACCGCUGUUUGGCUAUGUUACUGCUUGCUUAACCCUGUUGAUAGCGUUGCUAGUUGCAGGGCAGUUGCUUCCAUGCAAAGCAUGGGUUCCUUGUUAUAUCACCAUAUUAAUGCUAUUUAAUUUAAUGUACCUAUAUACUUGGUAAAAGGUGGAAGGCUCGGCCUUUCUAGCCUGGUGUUUUGUUCCACCUUUGCCCCCUUUUAGUUACCGGCUACCGGUGUUAUGUUCCAUAAAUGAGUGCUCCUAACACGUUCGGGGUUGUUAUGGGGACCCCCUUGAUAAUUCGUUUUAGAUUAAGACUGGUCUGGCAAGGCCCAACUUUGGUACUACUUUUGCCUAAUCACCUAAUAAAAUUGCAUAGGGACCCGCCGGCACCCGCGGACUAAUUUAAUCAACCCCCGGGCCAGUGCUCCUCAUGAGUGUUGGUCCAAAUUGGCAGACUACGGGACCACCGCGGGGCAACCCGAGGUUUGGUACUCCUAGUGUGACCCAUCCGCCGUGUCCUGAGAACGAGGUACGCGACUCCUAUCGGGAUCGUCGACACGUCGGGCGGCCUUGCUGGAUUAGUUUUACCUUUGACGAGAUAUCUUGUGCAUCGGGAUUCCGGUGAUGCUUUGGGUAAUCUCAGAGUUGAGGUUUUCCACUAGGGAAUCCGACGAGAUCGCGAGCUUCGUGAUUGAGGAUUUCUAUGCGGCUUGUGGUAAUUUGUGAUGGACUAGUUGGAGCACCCCUGCAGGGUUAAAUCUUUCGGAAAGCCGUGCCCGCAGUUAUGUGGCAACGUGGGAGCUUUGUUUAACACUGGUUCUAGAUAACUUGAAGUUAACUUAAUUAAAAUAUGCCAACCGUGUGCGUAACCGUGACUGUCUCUUUCGUGAGUUCCUCCUCCGAUCGAGGACACGGUGGGGUUAUGACUAACGUAGGUAGGUGUUCAGGAUCAUUCAUUUGAUCCUCUCCCNNNNNNNNNNNNNNNNNNNNNNNNNNNNNNNNNNNNNNNNNNNNNNNNNNNNNNNNNNNNNNNNNNNNNNNNNNNNNNNNNNNNNNNNNNNNNNNNNNNNAAAUAAAUAGAUAUAAUAAUUAAUUAAUGAGUUAAUGAAUUAGUUAAAUAGAUAUAUUAGUUAAAUUAAUUAAUUAGAAUAAUUAGAGUAUGACACGGGGUCCCCCACUAAAUUAAUCUGAUUAAUUAAUAUUUAAUCUUAAAUAAAACUUGUGCCUAUGACGUUCGGGACCCGCAGGUCAGUUGACCAGUCAAAUGUUGAUGUCAGCACGACAUCGCGAUGAUGUCAUAAUAGGAUUUUAUUAAAAUUAUUCAAAUCUGUUUUUAAUUCCUAAUUAUUGAAUAAAACUUUAAAAAUUAAUAUUAAAUAAUCCUUAAGUCACAUCAAAAUAAUUUCAACAUGAAAGUUGAUCAGCAAAACGAGACGAACCCGGAUACAAGGCCCGUUCGUCUGUCACGCGUCCCUAGCAUAGCAAAUUUGGAACUUUUCCAUCGUUUCCAGUAUAACCGGUAGUAGCCCGAGACCCGGAAAAUAUCGUCAGAUAUUCUUCCGACCCGUCUAUGACGGAUGUUGCUGCGUUAGCUCAUGUCUAGCCUGCAUCUUGCCAUGUCAUGCUUUGUGUUGCAUCGGUGCUAUUAUUUAUUGUUUCUCCCCCCUCUUCUUACCGGUAGACACCGAGACUGACGCUGCUGCCGGGUACAUCUACGACCCUGCCGAUCAGUCCUUUGCCGCAGAGCACCAAGGCAAGCAAACCCCCCUUGAUCAUUCCUAUAUCGCCUAUGUCUUUCUUCCUACUGCUUGCAUUAGUAUUUUGCUACUGUUGUAGUUAGCUCCUAUAUCUGAUGCAUAGCCUAUUUUUGAUGAACUGCUACUUUCAGUCAUGUACCUUUAAUAUGCCUAGUAUAGGUGGAGCAGUCAUNNNNNNNNNNNNNNNNNNNNNNNNNNNNNNNNNNNNNNNNNNNNNNNNNNNNNNNNNNNNNNNNNNNNNNNNNNNNNNNNNNNNNNNNNNNNNNNNNNNNNNNNNNNNNNNNNNNNNNNNNNNNNNNNNNNNNNNNNNNNNNNNNNNNNNNNNNNNNNNNNNNNNNNNNNNNNNNNNNNNNNNNNNNNNNNNNNNNNNNNNNNNNNNNNNNNNNNNNNNNNNNNNNNNNNNNNNNNNNNNNNNNNNNNNNNNNNNNNNNNNNNNNNNNNNNNNNNNNNNNNNNNNNNNNNNNNNNNNNNNNNNNNNNNNNNNNNNNNNNNNNNNNNNNNNNNNNNNNNNNNNNNNNNNNNNCACAUUCACCCCCCUUCGUUGUACGACGCUAUAGGGAUACUAUCGGGUACCGAGGGUGACACCUCGCUAAGUACUCCUGAUGAUAUCUCUGUAGUAUAGCUAGUCGGUCGUGGUUAUCGAGGGUGAUUCCUCUUUCACCAUUCCCGAUGACGCCUCUGUCGUGCAACCCUGCGAGUGUGGGACCCCCGAGGGUGAUUCCUCUAAGCCCACCUUGACGGGUACAUCGUUCGNGUGAUAUCUUCCCGUGAGUCCUUGGGUUUGAUCGUACGCAUUUGUGUGUAUGAUUAGCGUACGAUUAAAUCGAGGGCGUCACAAGUUGGUAUCAGAGCCAACUGCCUGUAGGUAGCCCCCUUUCCAACUCCUUGGCCGAAGUUGAGUCUAGUGUUUGAAAAACUUUACUAACACUGAUGUUGUGGCUUACGAGCCCACAUCUCAAUUGGGUGGUAUUAGUAUCUUUUACUCCUUUCCUAUACUCUGGGCUCUACUUUCUCUUCUCUUUCGAGUCAAAGAUUUUACUAACUCUAACAUUAGGUUCUCGAAUCACAUCGAUCCGGAGCGCUGGACUAUCUACUCUUUCUCCUGAAUAUAUAUUACACACACUGUCAUUUGACAUCCGUCAAUCUUAUUUUCAGAUGCGUCCCGCAAGACAGCACGUGCGCCUGACACAGGCCACCGAGACGACUGGGUUCCCGGCCAUUUUGGUCGAUCUCCUGACCAGGCUGGGAUAUCGUUGGUACCCCGAGUACGCUGUGUUCGAUGAUUUCCGUGAGUACAACCAGUACCAGUACCAGGCUGAGGUUCGCAUCUUCGACCAGAGGGGCGGCGAGACCCUCGAGCACCACGUGUUCUGUGGUAUUGGAGUGUCGGUCGAGAUGGCCGUCCAUGAUGCGGCCUACAUCGCCAUCACCCGUCUCCGUGGAGCGUACCCUCACCUGGAGGAGAGCCCUUUCAGAUACAUCCCGCAUGCUCCCGCUGGGGAUGAGACUGGGUCUGAUCUCACUGCCAACGCCUCUGACGUUCGGGAGCGCAACGACCGUUACUACGUCGCUGUCUGCGCCCCCUACGUGACGCGUCGCUACGACGCGCGGGUUCUGGUGCAAUACAUUGAGGCAAUGGAUCGUGCUUUCCGAGUUGUGACUGUGGAGCUGUAUGCUACGCGCGCUCGUCUUUACGACGCAUUGACAGAGCUGCAGCCAUCACACUGCCCGAGGGUUCCCCCUAUGCGCAUCCGCGAGCCGAGCAGGACAGAGCUACCAUCAGCUCUCGAGUGGGCAGAUGUUGGGGGUAGAACCCCUGCACUUGGACCUUAGCUCCUCGACUGGAUGCGGUACCGUCACCAGAGUCACAACGGGACACAGGGUCCUGUCCCUACCUUCUAUCACCGCCAGCUACCAGGAUUCGUUCGUCCUCUCCGACGUUGAUGUAGCCUUAUCGCUACAUCUCGUUGUGGUACUCUUCCACCGCGUGCCUGCGCGCCGCCUAGUGAGUCCAGGGUAUCGUCUAAUGCGUCCGGGCUAUCGCCAAAUUUCGAAUUUGUACUCGUUAGUCUGUAAUCGAACUUAUGUAUGGUUCUGUAUGUCGAACUCAACUACUAUGGAGUAUCUAUCGCAUUUCCCUUUCAUAAUGCUUAAUUACUUCAUGAAUGCGUGCGAUGCCUUUGCAAUUACUUUAAGCUAAACUACCCCUGCUAAAUAUUUAACAGGAUGGUUAGACCAGCUGGCCGCCCGCGUGCCCCUGCCAACGAUGCACGACCCCCGCCUCUUGAGUAUAUGGCGGGGAUGAUCCAACAGUUUGAGCUGAACCGCCAGUUUAUGCAAGGGCUCAUGGAUCAGUUCCAAAGGCCAAACAUGAACCAACCGCAAGGCGUGACACUGCAAGACUUCUGCCGUCUCAACCCUGCGAUCUACCGCAGCUCAACUCAGCCUCUUGAUGCUGAUGACUGGCUCCGUGACAUUUCUUAUGAGCUGGAGUCUGCCAAUGUGCCCCUGGCGAGCUAUGUCAACUUUGCCGCCUACUUUCUGAAGGGUCCCGCUGCUCAAUGGUGGGACAGCCACAGGCGCUCUCAGCCCGAUGGGACUAUCAUCACUUGGGCAGAGUUCAAGACUCCUUUCCGUGCUCGAUACAUUCCCCAGGGAAUCAUGGACCGGAAGACGCGUGAGUUCCGCAACUUGGUCCAGGGCAACAAGACUGUGGAUGCUUAUCAGCGGGAAUUUCUGGAAUUAUCUCGCUAUACUGAAGAAGACAUUGCGACUGAUGCACGCAGGCAGGAGAAGUUCCGUGAAGGCCUCCACCCUGAUAUCAAGCUGACACUCCUCGUUCAGGUCUAUGCUGAUUUCGCCACCCUCGUGAACAAGGCUAUUCAGGUUGAGACUGGUCUGCAGGAAUACAAAGAUAGCAGCAAGCGCAACUGUGACAUGGGCUCAUCUUCGGGCUCAUCUGCACAGAAGCGGAAGAUCUGGAUCCCCAACAACAUGUACCAUGCACCUGCUCCUACUCCGAGGCCGUCCUAUGUUGCACCUCGCCUGCCUCCUCCACCACCUAGGCAGCCGAGGCUCCCAGCUCCACCGCCUCGAGUUCCUCCUUCCCGUCCUGAGGACGGGCUGUGCUUCAAGUGUGGCCGUCCAGGUCACCGUGUUAGAGACUGCAGGCAGAAUCCGAAUCAGCUGAGACUUCCCGCAACUGGCAGUGGCAACAACCAGAACCGCAACUUCAACGCUAAGCCUGCUUAUGUUCGUGGUCAGGCCAACAACAUUGAUAUGGGUCAAGCUCAAGACCAGCCUGCUACCGUGAUGGGUACACUUCUCGUUAACUCGGUACCUGCUUCUGUAUUGUUUGAUACAGGAGCAUCGCAUUCUUUUAUGUCGGAAAAUUUUGCAUACAUGCAUGACAUUAGGAGCGAAGAGAUGAACAUCCCGAUAGUGGUAAACACCCCUGGGGGCGAAUGCCGAACCUCUGUGGUUUGCCCCCAUGUUCCAGUUGAAAUUGAAGGAUUAGAAUUCCUUGCCAACCCCAUCCUACUAAAGUCAUCCAACAUUGAUCUCAUAUUGGGGAUGGACUGGUUGAAAGCUCAUACGGCAUCGAUCGUUUGUGCCACCAAAACCGUCCACCUCCUACACCCUUUAGAUGAACUAGUAAGCUACCAUGCUCAUCUCGUCCGUAAUGCUGAGGCACGGCUGUAUGCUUUGAAUGCAUUAAAUGUGUCGCCUCUUGAAGGGAUUGAAAACAUACCAGUGGUCCGAGAAUUCCAAGAUGUCUUUCCAGAAGAACUUCCGGGGAUUCCCCCUGCUCGAGCUGUCGAGUUUGUCAUUGACUUGGUACCCGGUACCACUCCUAUUGCCAAGCGUCCUUAUAAAAUGCCACCACAUGAACUCCUUGAACUUAAGCAAGAAAUUGACAACUCGCUCCGUCUGGGUUUCAUCCGUCCGAGUUCCUCUGCUUGGGGAGCACCUUCUCUCUUUGUUAAGAAGAAGGAUGGGACAAAUCGAUUGGUUCAAGACUAUCGUCCUAUCAACCAGGCCACUAUUCAGAACAAAUAUCUUCUCCCUCGGAUAAAUGAUUUGUGUGAUCAACUUGCUGGUUCCACCGUUUUCUCUAAGCUCGAUUUGAGAUUGGGAUACCACCAGAUCCGCGUUCGCAAGGAGGAUAUUCCAAAGACCGCCUUUGUUACUCGAUAUGGAUCAUACGAGUACACCGUCAUGUCCUUCGGCUUAACCAAUGCACUGGCAACCUUCUCUCGACUGAUGAAUUAUAUAUUCAUGGACUACCUCGACAAAUUUGUCGUGGUAUAUCUGGAUGAUAUUAUGGUGUUUUCGAAGAACAAAGAAGAGCAUGCUGAACAUCUUCGUCUUGUACUGGAUAAGCUUCGGGAGCAUAAACUCUAUGCAAAAUAUUCCAAAUGUGAGUUCUGGCUAGAUGAAGUGACUUACCUUGGUCAUGUGAUUUCCAAGGAUGGUAUUGCGGUCAACCCCAAACGAAUUCAAGCUAUUCUUGACUGGACUCCCCCGAAGAAUGUCAAACAAGUCAGAAGUUUUCUCGGACUCGCCAGCUAUUGCCGUCGAUUCGUCGAGAACUUCUCCAAGAUUGUGAAGCCCUUAACCAACCUCCUUCACAAAGGUGUUAAGUAUGAAUGGACUGAUAAAUGUCAGGAAAGUUUCCAGGCACUCAAGGACAAACUGACAUCCGCUCCAGUACUUGCUCCUCCAGAUACGAAAAGGGAUUUCGUCAUAUACUGUGAUGCUUCUCAUCAAGGAAUAGGUUGUGUACUAAUGCAGGAUCGCAAGGUGAUCGCUUAUGCUUCACGUCAACUGCGUGCUCAUGAAGAGAACUACCCAGUUCAUGAUCUCGAGCUUGCCGCAGUCAUUGAUGCAUUGAAGGAAUGGCGACAAUACCUUGUCGGUAAUCGCUGUGAGAUCUACACCGACCAUCAAAGUCUGAAGUACUUGUUCACUCAACCGGAGCUGAACCUGCGUCAACAAAGAUGGAUGGAGCAUAUAACAGAUUUUGACUGUAGUAUAUCGUAUACCCCUGGCAAGGCUAACGUAAUGGCUGAUGCCUUAAGUCGCAAGUCAUAGUGCAACCACCUCCAGGUUCAUCAGGUUCACGAUCGUCUGCAAGAGGAAUUCCGUAAGUUGAACCUCCACAUUGUUCCUCAGGGUUACCUUGUUCCCCCUCCUGAAGAGUGUCAAAAGAUGAACCUUCGUGUUGUUAAUCACGGUUCCCUCAGUAACCUAGUGGUUGAACCAGAUCUUGUGAGCUCCAUAAAGAAUCUGCAAGACUUUGACGACGAUGUCGACAGGAUUAAGAGCUAUAUUGCGAAGGGUAAACCCUCCUUUUUCACUGUUGAUGAAGGUGGCGCCUUGUAUUUCAAGGGUCGCCUAUUCGUCCCAAAUAAGAAGGAAAAUCUCAGGAUGACUGGGAAGGUGAUGGAAGAAGCUCAUGACACACCACUAUCUAUUCACCCGGGUAGUACCAAGAUGUACCAAGACAUCCGGCAAAGGUUCUGGUGGCCCAAUAUGAAACAAGACAUUGCACGCUAUGUGGCAGAAUGUGAUAUAUGCCAGCGUAUCAAAGCAGAACACCAAAAGCCUGUUGGGACUCUGCAACCUAUCUCUAUUCCCAAGUGGAAAUGGGACCAUGUUGAAAUGGACUUUGUCACUGGUUUUCCCAGAUCUCAGAAAGGUAAUGAUGCUAUUCUUUUCGUCAUUGAUCGAUUGUCCAAAGUUGCACAUUUCCUAGCCAUCAAAGAAACGAUUAAUGCUAGUCAGCUGGCAGAUCUUUAUAUGUCAAGAGUUUUUUUACUUCACGGUAUUCCGUUGGUAAUCAGUUCGGACCGUGGCAGCUUGUUCACUUCAAAAUUCUGGGAAAGUUUUCAGAAGGCUAUGGGGACUCAUCUGUCCUUCAGCACUGCAUUUCAUCCUCAAUCCCAGGGACAAGUUGAACGAGUCAACCAAAUUCUCGAGGACAUGCUUCGAGCUUGUAUCAUUUCUUUCGGUAAGAAAUGGGAGGAAUCUCUCUCGUAUGCCGAGUUCUCUUACAACAAUAGCUAUCAAGCUAGUCUGAAGAUGGCCCCUUUCGAAGUAUUGUAUGGGCAAAGGUGUCGAACUCCUCUGAAUUGGUCAGAAACUGGGGAACGAUCACUCUUCGGUCCGGAUAUUAUUCAACAUGCCGAAGAUCAAGUCCGCAUUAUUCAUGAGAAUCUGAAGGCUGCUCAGUCUCGUCAGAAGAGUCAGUAUGACCGUCAUCAUCAAGAUAUGGUCUAUCAACCUGGCGAAAAGGCUUAUCUUCGUGUCACACCAAUGAGAGGUGCACACCGUUUCGGAAUCAAGGGCAAGUUAGCUCCUCGUUAUAUUGGUCCUUUCACUGUUCUCGAAAGGUGUGGAAGAGUGGCUUAUCAAUUGGAACUGUCGGCGAACCUUUCUCAGGUUCACGAUGUCUUCCAUGUUUCUCAGCUCCGUCGCUGCUUCAAGGACCCUAUUCGAGCAGUGGAUCACCAUAUGCUUGAGCUACAACAAGACCUCUCUUAUAAAGAGCAUCCGGUCCGCAUUCUCGACCAAGCUGAACGUAAGACUCGUCGCAAGGUCACUAAGUUCCUUAAGGUGCAGUGGUCAAAUCAUUCUGAAGAUGAAGCCACUUGGGAACGCGAGGAUCAUCUUCGUGAUGAAUACCCCGAGCUUUUUUCCUUUUAUCUCUUAAUCCUCGGGACAAGAAUUCUUGUUAGUAGGGGAGAAUUGUGACAUCCUCGACUUNNNNNNNNNNNNNNNNNNNNNNNNNNNNNNNNNNNNNNNNNNNNNNNNNNNNNNNNNNNNNNNNNNNNNNNNNNNNNNNNNNNNNNNNNNNNNNNNNNNNNNNNNNNNNNNNNNNNNNNNNNNNNNNNNNNNNNNNNNNNNNNNNNNNNNNNNNNNNNNNNNNNNNNNNNNNNNNNNNNNNNNNNNNNNNNNNNNNNNNNNNNNNNNNNNNNNNNNNNNNNNNNNNNNNNNNNNNNNNNNNNNNNNNNNNNNNNNNNNNNNNNNNNNNNNNNNNNNNNNNNNNNNNNNNNNNNNNNNNNNNNNNNNNNNNNNNNNNNNNNNNNNNNNNNNNNNNNNNNNNNNNNNNNNNNNNNNNNNNNNNNNNNNNNNNNNNNNNNNNNNNNNNNNNNNNNNNNNNNNNNNNNNNNNNNNNNNNNNNNNNNNNNNNNNNNNNNNNNNNNNNNNNNNNNNNNNNNNNNNNNNNNNNNNNNNNNNNNNNNNNNNNNNNNNNNNNNNNNNNNNNNNNNNNNNNNNNNNNNNNNNNNNNNNNNNNNNNNNNNNNNNNNNNNNNNNNNNNNNNNNNNNNNNNNNNNNNNNNNNNNNNNNNNNNNNNNNNNNNNNNNNNNNNNNNNNNNNNNNNNNNNNNNNNNNNNNNNNNNNNNNNNNNNNNNNNNNNNNNNNNNNNNNNNNNNNNNNNNNNNNNNNNNNNNNNNNNNNNNNNNNNNNNNNNNNNNNNNNNNNNNNNNNNNNNNNNCUCCAACACCUCCGGCGGCCGAGGCCCUCCCGGGUUCCUCCCUGGCCGGCCGACCCAGGCCACGGGCCUUCCCCCCCGUCGCGCCCCCCUUCCUCCCGCUCGGUCCAGGAGGGACCGGGCAGGGAGACAGGCCCCCUCGGCCCCUUCAACCCGCCGGCGAGCCCCUCCCCCACCGGGCUUCCCCUACACCUCUUCCUCGCCGGAACGGCCGUCACCGUCCUCACCGGAACCGCGCCGUCACCGUCACGGCCUCGUCCUCCUCCUCGCCGUCACCUCCGCUUCCCGCGAACUCCGGCUUCAUCGGGCCGUCUCGUCAACGUUGAUGAGCCCCUCCUCGGGCUCCUCCCACCGUCGCGUUCCCCUCACCGUCUCGGUUCCGUUCCGGCAAACGGGACCCCGAUCCGUCGAUGGUAGACUCCGGUAGGAAGGACUGAACAUUUGGUUCUUCUAGGUUGAGUUAGCACAGAGUUGUGUUCUCUGUCUCUCUUUUAACAGAGAGAGAGAGAUCAGAGUGUUGUUGAGUUAAAAGAAAAUAAAAACAAAUGUUGUAUUCCGUAUGUAUGUAUGUAUGUAUGUGAUACCCGUAUUUAUGUAUGUAUUGCGUAUAUAGAUAUUGGAGGAAUACGAUAUUUGCACGGUUAGGUAUCUAUAAAAAAUGAGUAAAUAGCCUUAGGCCACUUACCGGUGGGGCCAACGCACCCGCUGUCUAUGACAGGGAGGCCCCACGCGAUAGUUAAUAUCGGUAAUAAAAAUAUAUGUUUUUAUUAAAUAAAUAAAUAAAUAGAUAUAAUANNNNNNNNNNNNNNNNNNNNNNNNNNNNNNNNNNNNNNNNNNNNNNNNNNNNNNNNNNNNNNNNNNNNNNNNNNNNNNNNNNNNNNNNNNNNNNNNNNNNUUUUUGUAAUCUGAAAUUUUAAAAACAGCAAGGUAACUAGUAACAAAAUUGAGCACGAACGGUAUUGCAAUGCUUGGAAACAAGGCCUAGGGUUCAUACUUUAACUAGUGAAGUUAUCUCAACAAAGAGUCACUCCAAAGUCACUAAUAGCGGAGAACAAACGAAGAGAUUAUUGUCGGGUAUGAAACCACCACAAAGUUAUUCUUUCUGACCAAUAUAUUCAAGAGUUCAUACUAGAAUAACACCUUAAGAUACAUAUCAACCAAGACCUAAUGUCACCUAGAUACUCCAUUGUCACCUCAAGUAUCCGUUGGCAUGAUUAUACGAUAUGUAUCACACAAUCUUAGAAUCAUCUAUUCAACCAACACAUAGGACUUCAAAGAGUGCCCCAAAGUUUCUACCGGAGAGUCAAAACGUAUGCCAACCCCUAUGCCUAGGUACCCAAUGUCAUGACCCCGCAAGUUGAUCACCAAAACAUACAUAGAGUACUCACAUGAAUCCACGUGUGCCAACCCAUAUGCAUAGGUUCCCAAUUGUCACAAACCCGCAAGUUGAUCACAGCAGAUAGACACGUGCAAGACAUACAUCAAGUGUUCUCAAAGACUCAAUCAGAUAAGAUAACUUCAAAGGGGAAACUCAAUUCAUUACAAGAAGGGAGAGGGGUAAGAACAUCAUAAGAUCCAACUAUAGUAGCAAAGCCCAUGGCACAUCGAGAUCAAGACAUGUCAAGAACACGAGAGAGAGAGAUCAAACACAUAGCUACUGGUACAUACCCUCAGCCCCGAGGGAGAACUACUCCCUCCUCGUCAUGGAGAUCGCCGGGAUGAUGAAGAUGGCCACCGGAGAUGGAUUCCCCCUUCGGCAGGGUGCCGGAACGGGCUCCAGAUUGGUUUUUGGUGGCUACAGAGGCUUGCAGCGGCGGAACUCCCGAUCUAGGUUUCUUUCUGGAGGUUUCCNNNNNNNNNNNNNNNNNNNNNNNNNNNNNNNNNNNNNNNNNNNNNNNNNNNNNNNNNNNNNNNNNNNNNNNNNNNNNNNNNNNNNNNNNNNNNNNNNNNNUAACAUAAUUGGAUCAUAUAACUAGCCAUCAAUCAUGCAACAAAGAGUCACUCCAAAGUCACUAAUAGCGGAGAACAAACCAAGAGAUUAUUAUCGGGUACGAAACCACCACAAAGUUAUUCUUUCUAAUCAAUCUAUUCAAGAGUUCGUACUAGAAUAACACCUUAAGAUACAUGUCAACCAAGACCUUAAUGUCACCUAGAUACUCCAUUGUCACCUCAAGUAUCCGUGGGCAUGAUUAUACGAUAUGCAUCACAUAAUCUCAGAAUCAUCUAUUCAACCAACACAUAGGACUUCAAAGAGUGCCCCGAAGUUUCUACCGGAGAGUCAAAACAUGUGCCAACCCCUAUGCAUAGGUUCCCAAUGUCACAAACCCGCAAGUUGAUCACCAAAACAUACAUUGAGUACUCACAUGAAUCCAAGUGUGCCAACCCAUAUGCAUAGGUUCCCAAUUGUCACAAACCCGCAAGUUGAUCAGAGCAGAUAGACACGUGCAAGACAUACAUCAAGUGUUCUAAAAGACUCAAUCCGAUAAGAUAACUUCAAAGGGGAAACUCAAUUCAUUACAAGAAGGGAGAGGGGGAAGAACAUCAUAGGAUCCAAAUAUAGUAGCAAAGCCCACGGCACAUCGAGAUCAAGACAUCUCAAGAACACGAGAGAGAGAGAUCAAACACAUAGCUACUGGUACAUACCCUCAGCCCCGAGGGAGAACUACUGUGACGCCCUCGAUUUAAUCGUACGCUAAUCAUACACGCAAAUGCGUACGAUCAAACCCAAGGGCUCACGGGAAGAUAUCACNNNNNNNNNNNNNNNNNNNNNNNNNNNNNNNNNNNNNNNNNNNNNNNNNNNNNNNNNNNNNNNNNNNNNNNNNNNNNNNNNNNNNNNNNNNNNNNNNNNNGGUUGGUGGCCUUGAGUUCGUAAACUACGACCUGCAACAAGCAAGAUACAUUUCCAUAAAUGCUUCAGUUAGGGAAAACUAGGAUGAAACGAUGAGGAGGUAGGAUAAGUAAGCCUGUCUCGACUGGGAAGGUCAGGUAGACAACACCGGUUCCAAUUAUAUAUCCUUUGCAAGACACUAUCUGCAAGAGCUGAGAAUGACUAAGACAGGGAAAACUAAUGUCUGAUGAGUUCUAAUUAAUAUUGAGUAAGAAAGUUCCAGAAAGUUCGAGCCAGGAAAGAAGAAGCGUCAUGCUGAGGCCACAUAGGAGCACCCGCUAGGCCCGUGUAAUUCCAGUUUCUGGACAACCAGCAACCAUUCCAAAUCAGAAUUGUUGAGAGAAUAAUUGAACUGUGGAGGNNNNNNNNNNNNNNNNNNNNNNNNNNNNNNNNNNNNNNNNNNNNNNNNNNNNNNNNNNNNNNNNNNNNNNNNNNNNNNNNNNNNNNNNNNNNNNNNNNNNNNNNNNNNNNNNNNNNNNNNNNNNNNNNNNNNNNNNNNNNNNNNNNNNNNNNNNNNNNNNNNNNNNNNNNNNNNNNNNNNNNNNNNNNNNNNNNNNNNNNNNNNNNNNNNNNNNNNNNNNNNNNNNNNNNNNNNNNNNNNNNNNNNNNNNNNNNNNNNNNNNNNNNNNNNNNNNNNNNNNNNNNNNNNNNNNAUAAUUGAACUGUGGAGGGGAACAAAUUGAAGAGAGAGAGAGAGAGAGAGAGAGAGAGUUGAUCAUCCAAACACAAGAAGAUAAUAAGUCAGCUCCCACUAAGCCGAGUAAUCCCAAUUUCUGGACAGUGAAGACCAAAUCCAAAUUAGAAUUGUUGGAGGCUAAAAUUAAACGGUGGAGAGUAAGGGAUUAAAUAGAGAUAGGAGUAGUGAUAUUCAUCCAAACACAAAUCAGCCGAAGAUAGGUGGUCCCGCUAAGCCGUGUCAUCCCAUUUUCUGGAGAACCAUCAGGGAACGAAUCUAAAUCAGAUGAGUUGUAGAUUAACUGUGCUGUGCAAACCAAAGAAAUAAAUCGGGAGGGGUUGAAUUAUUAUUAUCCAAUUGCAGACUGGUGAGAUCCAAAGCUUGAUCAUCCGAGAAGAUCUGUCCAUAUCAAUCANNNNNNNNNNNNNNNNNNNNNNNNNNNNNNNNNNNNNNNNNNNNNNNNNNNNNNNNNNNNNNNNNNNNNNNNNNNNNNNNNNNNNNNNNNNNNNNNNNNNNUCGGAAAAAUUAUUCCCCUUAGUACGUGUUAGAGAACUUGUCAAAGAAAUUUCUAAUCAUAACCCUUUGGUCAUUUCCUCGGGGAUGAUGAGAGGGCAGCUUCUAAAGCUCGCGAGUUUCGUUUCGAACUCCUGGCUUAAAAUGAGGAAUUCCUGGGACUGUCUAGGGGCAUUUGGAGUAGAAAGGUGAAUGCUAUGGACCCUAUUGAUGUUCUCAACAUCAAAUUCAAAAGAUUCAAAACCUACUUCAAAGGACGGGGUCGAACAAAUAUGGCCAUGAAAAAUGAACGAGGGAAGAGCUCUAUUUGGAAUUGUGCAUGCUGGAAGAGCUUGAAGAAGAAGGCCCUCACCCCAGGAGACUACACGAAUCACGGAGUUUGUCAUGUGCCUGAUCUUUGUCGUCUGCUAGGUAAUGGCAAAGAGACUUUUUGCCAUUAGCUGCCGAAAAAUAGACGGCAACGAAGUGGCUAAUGGGAAAGAUACUCUUUGCCGUCACUGCAAUCUUUGUCGUCUGCUCGCGGACGACAAAGAUGGACCACACAGACGACAAAGAAAUAACUAAUGGCAAAGAUGGUCCGGACAAACGACAAAGAGUCACCGCAGCUUGAGCCGCCAGCUUUGCCAUCUGCGGCCUCUUUGUCGUCCGCCCAAACCCUCAGGCGGAUGGCAAAGGGGAUGGCGCCCCACCUUCCCACUGACGAUACCUCACCUAGGUCUCGCCACCCGGAUCUGUUGGGGAACGUCGCAUGGGAAACAAAAAAUUUCCUACGCGCACGAAGACCUAUCAUGGUGAUGUCCAUCUACGAGAGGGGAUUUCCGAUCUACGUACCCUUGUAGAUCGCACAGCAGAAGCGUUAGUGAACGCGGUUGAUGUAGUGGAACGUCCUCACGUCCCUCGAUCCGCCCCGCGAACCGUCCCACGAACCGUCCCGCGAUCCGUCCCACGAUUCGCUCCGAUCUAGUGCCGAACGGACGGCACCUCCGCGUUCAGCACACGUACAACUCGACGAUGAUCUCGGCCUUCUUGAUCUAGCAAGAGAGAUGGAGAGGUAGAUGAGUUCUCCGGCAGUGUGACGGCGCUCCGGAGGUUGGUGGUGAUCUAAUCUCAGCAGGGCUCCGCCCGAGCUCCGCAGAAACGCGAUCUAGAGGUAAAACCGUGGACGUAUGUGGUCGGGCUGCCGUGGCAAAAGUUGUCUCAAAUCAGCCCUAAUAGCUCCAUAUAUAGGAAGAGGGGAAGGGAGGCUUGCCUUGAGGCUCAAGGAGCCCCAAGGUCUGUACCACCAAGGGGAGGAGUCCUCCUCCUCCAAUCAUAGUCCAACUAGGAUUGGAAGGUGGAGUCCUUCUCUUCUUUCCCACCUUUCCUUUUUUUCUCUUCUUUUGGUUUUUCUUUCUUCUCUUGCACAAGACAGCCUUGGACUGACCCCACUUACUUGGUACGCCACCCCCAAGGUCCUUGGGCCCUCCCGGGUGGGUGGUCCCCCCUCCCGGUGAAGAUCCGGAACCCAUUCGUCAUUUCCGGUACAUUACCGGUAAUGCCCGAAAACCUUCUGGUGACCAAAUGAAGUCAUCCUAUAUAUCAAUAUUCGUUUCCAGACCAUUCCGGAAACCCUCGUGACGUCCGUGAUCUCAUCAGGGACUCCGAACAACAUUCGGUAACCAACCACAUAACUCAAAUACGCAUAAAACAACGUCGAACCUUAAGUGUGCAGACCCUGCGGGUUCGAGAACUAUGUAGACAUGACCCGAGUGACUCCUCGGUCAAUAUCCAAUAGCAGGACCUAGAUGCCCAUAUUGGAUCCUACAUAUUCUACAAAGAUCUUAUCGUUUGAACCUCAGUGCCAAGGAUUCAUAUAAUCCUGUAUGUCAUUCCCUUUGUCCUUCGGUAUGUUACUUGCCUGAGAUUUGAUCGUGAGUAUCCGCAUACCUAUUUCAAUCUCGUUUACCGGCAAGUCUCUUUACUCGUUACGUAAUACAAGAUCCCGCAACUUACACUAAGUCACAUUGCUUGCAAGGCUUGUGUGUGAUGUUGUAUUACCGAGUGGGCCCCGAGAUACCUCUCCGUCAUAUGGAGUGACAAAUCCCAGUCUUGAUCCAUACUAACUCUACGAACACCUUCGGAGAUACCUGUAGAGCAUCUUUAUAGUCACCCAGUUACGUUGCAACAUUUGAUACACACAAAGCAUUCCUCCGGUGUCAGUUAGUUAUAUGAUCUCAUGGUCACAGGAACAAAUACUUGACACGCAGAAAACAGUAGCAACAAAAUGACACGAUCAACAUGCUACGUCUAUUAAUUUGGGUCUAGUCCAUCACAUGAUUCUCCUAAUGAUGUGAUCCCGUUAUCAANNNNNNNNNNNNNNNNNNNNNNNNNNNNNNNNNNNNNNNNNNNNNNNNNNNNNNNNNNNNNNNNNNNNNNNNNNNNNNNNNNNNNNNNNNNNNNNNNNNNUGCGACGUAACCCAACAGAUUAGACACCCUCGAGAUUAGAGGUAGCGAUUCCACACCCUUGUAAUCGAGAUCAUCAUCUUCAUCAAUGAAACACAAGCAGGACAUAGGCUUUUACCUCCAUCGAAGGGGCCGAACCUGGGUAAACUCGCGUCUCUCGAUUCCGACCAACCCCUUCAAGCCGCCACAUGGUUGCGAUGGCCUCACACCUAAGUCCUUGUACAAGGACAUCUACCAUGACAAAACCACGACAAUUAGUAUUCGAGAAGUCGCACAAUUUGGUGUUUUCAGUCAUGGUGACUCAGCAAGCAGACAAGCACACAAGGGAACAUAAAGCAAGAGAAAGAAAAGGGCGAACGAAAAAGGUAAAUAUUUUUGUAAAUUUUGGUUUUUUCAUAAGUGGGGGAGAGGAAAACGAGAGGCAAAAGGAAAAUAAAGCAAAUGCAAGAGAUGAGUUUGCGAUAGUUACUUGGAUAUGCUUCACUUUGAAUACUCCCCGACAACGGCGCCAAAAAUUGGCACGUUGACGGGAGACUAUUCUUGAUUUGAUCCUCCCCGGCAACGACGCCAGAAAUUCUUCUUGCUACCUCUUGAGCUUGCGUUGGUUUUUCCCUUGAAGAGGAAAGGGUGAUGCAGCAUAGUAGCGAUAAGUAUUUCCCUCAGUUUGAGAACCAAGGUAUCAAUCCAGUAGGAGUAUCAAAAUGAGGCACCAAUGUACCUGCGCAAAAACAAACAAAUUUGCACCCAACGCUAUAAAGGGGUUGUCAAUCCCUUCGCGAUUAUUUGCAAGGUGAGAUCUGAAAGUGGAAAGUGCAACAAAGUAAAAGUGUAGAUCUGAAAAUAUGAUGUGAAGUAGACCCGGGGGCCAUAGUGUUCACUAGAGGCUUCUCUCAUGAUAGCAAGUAUUACGGUGGGUGAACAAAUUACUGUCGAGCAAUUGAUAGAAUCGCGCAAAGUCAUGACGAUAUCUAAGGCAAUGAUCAUACAUAUAGGCAUCACGUCCGAGACAAGUAGACCGAUACUUUCUGCAUCUACUACUAUUACUCCACACAUCGACCGCUAUCCAGCAUGCAUCGAGUGUAUUGAGUUCAUAACGAACAGAGUAACGCUUUAAGGCGGAAGAGGUAGGGCAAAGGAGCCACGGAGGUAAGGCGGCGGAAAAGUAUUUUCGUGGCUCUCUCUGGUGGUUUUGGAUUUUUAGAGAAUUUAUAGGCAGAAGAGGUAGGGCAAAGGAGCCACGGGGGGGCCCACAAGCCUGCUAGGCGCCCCCCCCCGGUCGCGGCUAGGGGGCUUGUGACCUCCCCCGAGAUCCUUUGCCUUGGUUCUCAAGUCCCCUGCGUAUCUUCUGUUAUGGAAAAAAUCAUUCCGUGGGUUUAUUCCGUUUGGACUCCGUUUAAUAUUCUUCUCUGAAAAGGGUAAAAAAACACGGAAAAACAUAAACUGGCACUGAGUUAAUAGGUUAGUCCCAAAAAAGAUAUAAAAUAGCAUAUUCAUGCAUACAAAACAUCCAAAGUUGACAUGAUAAUAGCAUGGAACCAUCAAAAAUUAUAGAUAUGUUGGAGAUGUAUCAAGCCCCCUUCACGACACCCCGACCCGACACACCGGUGACACCCCGACACUACACCCCGAUGACACCACAACAUGACAUCCCGGCAUGAGACCAGGCACCUGCACCUGCGUGUGGCGACGGGAAGAUGUAAUUGAUAGAUCGCUAUUACAAUCCCCCACGCAGCUGUUAAUACACCGCCCCGACGCCACUCACCCCAACCCCCGACACCUCUUCGGCCUCGUGUUGACCGUGCCGCUCCGGCGCCCCACCGCCCUCCGAUGAGCUUUUUGUUUUUGUUUUUUCUUCCUUUUUGUUGUUUAAUUGUUAUAUUAGAUUAUAUAUGUAGUUUAGUGCUAGAUUAAAUUAGAUUAGUGAUAGGUUUUAGUUAAUUAGUCAUAAUUAAAAGAAGUAGAGAAAUAAGAAAAAAGAGGAAGAACAAAAGAAGAAUAAGUAGAAGGAAGAAGAAGAAGNNNAAGAAGAAGAAGAAGAGGAGGAGGAGGAGGAGAGGAGAAGUGGAGAAGAAAGAAGAGGAAAAAGGAAAAUAAGGAGGAGGAGGAGGAGGAAGAAUAGAAUAAGAAGAAGAAGAAGAAGAAGAAGAAGAAGAAGUAGUAGUAGUAGUAGAAGAAGAAGAAGAGAACGAAAGAAGAAGAAGAAGAAGAGGAAGAGGAGGAGGAGAAGAGGAGAUGUAAUUAGCAAUAUAAUUUUUUCAUAGUAUGAACUGCCAAUGCUUUAUGUGAUGUGAUGUUCUAUUUUUUUCACUCGGUAAAAUUUACAGGAUUUGUGCUAUUUCGUCUCCUUGGAGUCAUCGUCGUCGAAGUUUUUGGUAUGUGAUCCCGCCGUUGUUCGACUACUUCCUCUACAGCUCAGGGUGAGCUAUGAAUCCACCUUCACCUCCUACGUUGUUUUAAUCAUGUCACUAGAUUUCAUUUUCGUGCUAAGUCGUGUAACCUAGGCGUCUCCCGUCCGAAAGGGUUGCAUCGAUAAAUAUGCAUUCAGUUGCAUAUUUAUCACUGUAACUUAUUCGGAUUGUCCAGCGCUUCCACGGACAGUCCGAGGAUGUGUAGAUUGGGUAUGGUCUCCAUACUCUGCCCCAUUCCAAGACAAAAUUUCGACAACGCCUCCCCAUUAUUCUCCUGACGCACAUUCUCUCAGCUUUUUUCCAAGACGUGUAUUUUGAGAACAACGGGGAGGUGCUGCCAAAAUUUUGUCUCGGAAUGGGGUAGAGCAUGGAUAACGUACUCACUCUACACACACUCGGGUGGAAUUAGGACCUACCUUUACCUAUUAGCGCGUAGGUUGCAUGGAUGUAAUAAAAUUGACAAACUAGAUUAACUAAUGAAUAUACAUGUUGAAUUAUAUAUAUAUAUAUAUAGUGUCUUUAGCAGUCAGACAAGAUGAGUGAUUGUGCGUGGAUGUACACCGGUCACACUAGUCAGAAAGAGAUGACCAAAGAAUGGUUUAUAAAAACCAAGGAGUUUGUGAAAGCCGCAUUUGCAAAUGGCCAGGAAACAAACUGGUGCCCUUAUCCUGGGUGCAACAACUAUAAAAAUAGGACAAAGGAUGUAAUGAUUAAACACCUGCAGAGGAGUGGUUUUAAGCCUAAUUAUACAGUGUGGACAUUUCAUGAUGAGUCUAGAUAAUGCACCAGAGCUGAGGUAGUUUGUCGUUGAUGUAGGAUCGAAAGUAUGUCUAGAGGGGGGGGGUGAUUAGACUACUUGACAAGAUAAAACCUUAGCCUUUUCCCAGUUUUAGUUGAGGGCCAAUUUUGAUAGUUUUGGCAAGUCAAGUACACCCUUCACAUAAAGUUCUAAGAGUAUAGCAGGGGGAAGUAAAACAUGCAAGUGUAAACUAAAGGAGUAAGGUAGGGAGAUCUAACGCAUGAGGUUGACAUGACGAUUUUUGGCAUGGUUCUCAUAGAUGGCGCUAUCGUACGUCCAUGUUAGUGUAGACUUCAACCCACGGAUGGUAACGGCUAUGAGAGUCCACGAAGGGCUCCAUACACAAGGGAUCCACGAAGAAGCGACCUUGUCUAUUCAACCAUGGUUUCCGUCCACACAGGACUAGCCUUACUCACACUAGAUCAUCACGAAGUAGGUUCCCGAUCUAAACAAAGAGUUGCGAUUUACGCACCCCAUAGUAAGUAGUACUAGCUAGUUCCAUGCAUCUAUAAUUGAUUCAAAUUUCAUCAAUAUAUCAUUACCAUGCAUCUAUAAUUGAUUCAAANNNNNNNNNNNNNNNNNNNNNNNNNNNNNNNNNNNNNNNNNNNNNNNNNNNNNNNNNNNNNNNNNNNNNNNNNNNNNNNNNNNNNNNNNNNNNNNNNNNNNNNNNNNNNNNNNNNNNNNNNNNNNNNNNNNNNNNNNNNNNNNNNNNNNNNNNNNNNNNNNNNNNNNNNNNNNNNNNNNNNNNNNNNNNNNNNNNNNNNNNNNNNNNNNNNNNNNNNNNNNNNNNNNNNNNNNNNNNNNNNNNNNNNNNNNNNNNNNNNNNNNNNNNNNNNNNNNNNNNNNNNNNNNNNNNNNNNNNNNNNNNNNNNNNNNNNNNNNNNNNNNNNNNNNNNNNNNNNNNNNNNNNNNNNNNNNNNNNNNNNUAUAUCAAUAUGUGAGUUCAUUCGCCACUCGACCUAUGAGUGGGGCUUCUCUGAGAAACAAUUUGAAGUACGUAAAUAAUAUUCACAAUUUUAUUUUAUAUAUUACCAUCAGUUGUGUUGAGUUUUAUUCAUAUAUAUGCAUGUAUUGAGACCCUUCUUUAAAUUAUAUCUGGCAGAUGCGGGAUGAACUCCUACCAUAUGAUCGCAUACAAGCAAUUCAAGAGGAAUUGGCGGGAUUCUUUCUUGACCACAUCAUACCUAAAGACGGAGAAUAUCAUGUGGAUUUGUGAUUGGAUCUUAGGUAGAUGAUGUUAGGGAUUGUAGAAGAUGUUAUAUUGUAUAUAUGUAGUAUCAUCGGAUAGGUAUACGAAAACUUGUUGUUCGACCAAGCACAGAGAAAGAGAUGUCACUUCUCUCUAUAUAUGUUCAGUAUGACGAUCUUGUGUAAUUANNNNNNNNNNNNNNNNNNNNNNNNNNNNNNNNNNNNNNNNNNNNNNNNNNNNNNNNNNNNNNNNNNNNNNNNNNNNNNNNNNNNNNNNNNNNNNNNNNNNNNNNNNNNNNNNNNNNNNNNNNNNNNNNNNNNNNNNNNNNNNNNNNNNNNNNNNNNNNNNNNNNNNNNNNNNNNNNNNNNNNNNNNNNNNNNNNNNNNNNNNNNNNNNNNNNNNNNNNNNNNNNNNNNNNNNNNNNNNNNNNNNNNNNNNNNNNNNNNNNNNNNNNNNNNNNNNNNNNNNNNNNNNNNNNNNNNNNNNNNNNNNNNNNNNNNNNNNNNNNNNNNNNNNNNNNNNNNNNNNNNNNNNNNNNNNNNNNNNNNNNNNNNNGACGAUCUUGUGUAAUUAAUGGUUUCCUUCAUUUUCUUAUUAGCUAGCGUCGAGUUCUCUUUAUAUGUAUAGUAGCUAGAGCCGACCAAGCACGGAGAAAGAGAGGACACUUCUCUCUAUUAGCUAGCUAACACAAUAUGAAACCCCUAAAUUAACCCUCCAAACCCCCCCCCCCCCNNNNNNNNNNNNNNNNNNNNNNNNNNNNNNNNNNNNNNNNNNNNNNNNNNNNNNNNNNNNNNNNNNNNNNNNNNNNNNNNNNNNNNNNNNNNNNNNNNNNNNNNNNNNNNNNNNNNNNNNNNNNNNNNNNNNNNNNNNNNNNNNNNNNNNNNNNNNNNNNNNNNNNNNNNNNNNNNNNNNNNNNNNNNNNNNNNNNNNNNNNNNNNNNNNNNNNNNNNNNNNNNNNNNNNNNNNNNNNNNNNNNNNNNNNNNNNNNNNNNNNNNNNNNNNNNNNNNNNNNNNNNNNNNNNNNNNNNNNNNNNNNNNNNNNNNNNNNNNNNNNNNNNNNNNNNNNNNNNNNCCCCCCCCAUAAAAACCAAAAACCCAGCUCCUGCCAGAUGCUGAUGCAUGGAUGCCCUUUGGUCCCGGUUGGUGUGGCCAACCGGGGCUAAAGAUCCUCUUGCAUGGGUUCCACGCAGCGGCCACAUGGAGACCCUUCUGUCCCGGUUGGUAAGCGAACCGAGACUAAAGGUUUUGGGAUUUAGUCUCCACCCUUUAGUCCCGGUUCCAGAACCUAGGCUAAUGGGCCUCUGAAACCGGGACAAAUGGACCAUUUUCUACUAGUGCCACCCCGGCCCCUCGGUCCGAUCCGACCAGGUACCCCAUCCGGACGAACCCUCUGGGCGAGAGUCUCCUGGGACAUAGCCCCUGGUACAAGAGUCUCGUGGGCCGAAGCCUCUGGAACCGGAGUCUCAUGGGCGGAAGGCCUGUCGACCCGAGGCUCGUGGUCCAGAGUUCCCAUAGCCUCCACCUCAAAUGGCACCACCCUAGUAGUUCUGUGCUCAGGUGAAUGAGCUGGGGGUGGCGGCGAGGACGACGUAGCAGUCCGCGAACUCUCCCACGACCACGUCNNNNNNNNNNNNNNNNNNNNNNNNNNNNNNNNNNNNNNNNNNNNNNNNNNNNNNNNNNNNNNNNNNNNNNNNNNNNNNNNNNNNNNNNNNNNNNNNNNNNNNNNNNNNNNNNNNNNNNNNNNNNNNNNNNNNNNNNNNNNNNNNNNNNNNNNNNNNNNNNNNNNNNNNNNNNNNNNNNNNNNNNNNNNNNNNNNNNNNNNNNNNNNNNNNNNNNNNNNNNNNNNNNNNNNNNNNNNNNNNNNNNNNNNNNNNNNNNNNNNNNNNNNNNNNNNNNNNNNNNNNNNNNNNNNNNNNNNNNNNNNNNNNNNNNNNNNNNNNNNNNNNNNNNNNNNNNNNNNNNNNNNNNNNNNNNNNNNNNNNNNNNNNNNNNNNNNCUCUCCCACGACCACGUCAUGUACCCUUCGCCUUCUUCCCUACCCGACCUCCUCUCUCGGUGGGCAACACAACCGGCGAAGAAGCACCAACGGGUGUCCCCAGACUGGCUGCCAACACUCUAUGGAGAGAUAGGUGUGGAAUGGAAGGACCCCUCCUGCGGGCCGCCUAUGAAGUAUCAGCCGAGCGAUCUGGACCCGCGCCCACCAUCUUUCAACACAUGCCAUGACAAAGAGUAAAAUAAAGUAGUACAACAUAAAAAAAUUGAAUACCUAACAUGAAUGAUAAUUUGUACAUAUAUAAUUUAAGUUGGGAUGCAUACAAACUAAUAAUAGUCUCGAUCGUCUAUAUAUGCUCCGGGAUUAAUAAAUGCAUCAUCAUCAUCACUAUCNNNNNNNNNNNNNNNNNNNNNNNNNNNNNNNNNNNNNNNNNNNNNNNNNNNNNNNNNNNNNNNNNNNNNNNNNNNNNNNNNNNNNNNNNNNNNNNNNNNNNNNNNNNNNNNNNNNNNNNNNNNNNNNNNNNNNNNNNNNNNNNNNNNNNNNNNNNNNNNNNNNNNNNNNNNNNNNNNNNNNNNNNNNNNNNNNNNNNNNNNNNNNNNNNNNNNNNNNNNNNNNNNNNNNNNNNNNNNNNNNNNNNNNNNNNNNNNNNNNNNNNNNNNNNNNNNNNNNNNNNNNNNNNNNNNNNNNNNNNNNNNNNNNNNNNNNNNNNNNNNNNNNNNNNNNNNNNNNNNNNNNNNNNNNNNNNNNNNNNNNNNNNNNNNNNNNNNNNNNNNNNNNNNNNNNNNNNNNNNNNNNNNNNCUCAUCGGGUUCACCGACAUCAACAUAUUGAAGGCCUUUCUGUAAUCGGUCAAGCAUUAAUAGGUCAUUCGCAGCAGUAACCUCUUCUAGUUCCGGCUCUACUGGUUCCGACUGAAGGGUGAAGUCGAAUUCACUGUCGUUGUCUACUUCCAUUGACCGGUGUACAUCCACNNNNNNNNNNNNNNNNNNNNNNNNNNNNNNNNNNNNNNNNNNNNNNNNNNNNNNNNNNNNNNNNNNNNNNNNNNNNNNNNNNNNNNNNNNNNNNNNNNNNACAAUUAUAGCAUGAACGAUAGACGAUUAUCAUGAACAAGGAAAUAUGAUAAUAACCAUUUUAUUAUUGCCUCUAGGGCAUAUUUCCAACAUAAUCUAUCUCUCUCUUGACUUAUUUGUCUAAGAUCUAACUAUUGAGACCUCUAAAAAACCUAACCCUCUUGGGGUGCCUGGCCCCUCCUUAUAUAAGCUGAAGGGGCGAGUUACAUAUAGAGUCCAAGCUGGAUUUAGGCUUAGCAUAUUAUGACUCCCCAUCACAGUCCUCUCUUCGUGGGCUUCUGAGUCCCGGGCGACUUACGGACGGAUUGCUGAGUCCCGGGCGACUUACAAACAGAUUGCUGAGUCCCGGGCGGCUCAGGACCGGGCUGAUUAGGAUCAGGCUUCUCAGGACCGGACUUCUUAGGACCGGGCUGCUGAGGACCGGGCUUCUUAGGACCGGGUUGCUCAGGACCGGGCUCCUCAGGACCGGGCUGCUCAGGACCGGGGUGCUCAGGACGGGGCUGCUCAGGACCGGGNNNNNNNNNNNNNNNNNNNNNNNNNNNNNNNNNNNNNNNNNNNNNNNNNNNNNNNNNNNNNNNNNNNNNNNNNNNNNNNNNNNNNNNNNNNNNNNNNNNNACACAUCAGGUGCGGUACACAGCAUGGCAUACUUUAGAUUCUACGGCUAAGGCAUAGAAGACGACCUUCUUCUAUUCUCUUUAUUCUGCCGGGGUCAGGUUUUGAGUCUUACUCAAAUUCACACCUCACAACGCAACCAAGAACUCCUUCUUUGCUGAUCUAUUUUGAACUCCUUCAAAAACUUGUCAAGGCAUGCAUUUUGUUGAAACUUUCAUUAAGCGCCUUUUGAUCUAUCUCCAUAGAUCUUUGAUGCUCAACGUUCAAGUAGCGCAAUCCAGGUAUUCCUUUGAAAACUCCUUUCAAACAACCUUAUAUGCUUUACAGAAAUUCUACAUUACUUCUGAUCAACAAUAUGUCUACCACAUACACUUAUCAAAAAUUCUAUAGUGCUCCCACUCACUUCUUUGGAAAUGCAAGUUUCUCAUAAACCUUGUACAAACCCAAAAUCUUUGAUCAUCUCAUCAAAGUGUAUAUUCCAACUUCGAGAUGCUUGCACCAGUCCAUUGAAGGAUCACUGGAGCUUGCAUACUUGCUAGUAUCUUUAGGAUCGACAAAACCUUCUGGUUGUAUCACAUACAAUGUUUGCUCAAGGAAACCGUCGAGGAAACAAUGUUUUGACAUCCUACGUGCAAUAUUUCAUAAAUAAUGCAUCAACAACUAACAUAAUUCUAACAGACCUUUAGCAUCGCUACGAGUGAGAAAGUCUCAUCAUAGUCAACUGUUUGAUCUUGUCGAGAACAUCUUUGCGACAAGUCGAGCUUUUCUUAAUAGUGACUUAUCACCAUCAUUGUCUGUCUUCUUUUAAAGAUCCAUUUUUUUACUCAAUAGUCUUAUGACCAUCAAGUAGUUCUUUCCAAAGUCUACACUUUGUUUUCAUACAUGGAUCCUCUCUCGGAUUUCAUGGCUUCCAACCAUUUGUCGGAAUCUGGGCCCACCAACGCUUUCUCCAUAACUCGUAGGUUCACUGUUGCUCAACAACAUGACCUCCAAGACAGGGUUACCGUACCACUCUGUAGUAGUACGCGACCUAGUCAACCUACGAGGCUUGUAGUAACAUGAUCCGAUGCUUGAUGAUCACCAUCAUCAGCUUCCACUUCAAUUGGUGUAGGCGCCACAGGAACAACUUCCUGCGCCCUGCUACACACUGGUUGAAGUGAUGGUUCAAUAACCUCAUCAAGUUCUACUACCCUCCCACUCAAUUCUUUCGAGAGAAACCUUUCCUCGAGAAAGGAUCCGUUUCUAGAAACAAACACUUUGCUUUCGGAUCUGAGAUAGGAGAUGUACCCAACUGUUUUGGAUAUCCUAUGAAUAUGCAUAUAUCCGCUUUGGGUUUGAGCUUAUUCGACUGAAACUUUUUCACACAAGUGUCGAAGCCCCAAACUUUCAAGAAACGACAGUUUAGAUUUCUCUAAACCUCAGUCUAUACUGUGUCAUCUCAACGGAAAUACGCGGUGCCCUAUUUAAAGUGAGUGCAGUUGUCUCUAAUGCAUAACCCAUAAACGAUAGUGGUAAUUCGAUAAGAGACAUCAUAGUAUGCACCAUACCAAAUAGUGCGUGGCUAUGACGUUCAGAUACAUCAUCAGACUAUGAUGUUCCAGGUGGCAUGAACUGCGAAACAAUUUCCACAUUGUCUUAACUGCGUACCAAAACUCGUAACUCAGAUAUUCAUUUCCAUGAUCAUAUCGUAGACAGUUUAUCCUCUUGUUACGACGAACUUCACUCUGAAACGGAAUUGAACUUCUCAACAUUUCAGACUUGUGAUUCAUUAAGUAAAUACUCCUGUAUCUACUCAAAUCGUCAGUGAAGUAAGAACAUAAUGAUAUCCACUACGUGCCUCAGCACCCAUUGGACUGCAUACAUCAAAAUGUAUUACUUCCAACAAGUUACUAUCUUAUUUCAUCUCAAUGAAAACAAGGCCUUGCUCAUGUGGUAUGAUUUGCAUGUCACUAGUCAUUCGAAAUCAGGUGAGUACAAAGAUCCAUCAGCAUGGAGCCUCUUCAUGCAAUUUAUACUAACAUGACUCAAGCGGCAGUGCCAGAAGUAAGUGGUACUAUCAUCAUUAACUCGUAUCUUUUGGCACCAAUAUCAUGAACAUGUGUGACACUACGAUCAAGAUUCAAUAAACCAUUGAAGGUGAAUAUUCAAGAAAAUAGAGUAACCAUUAUUCUCCUUAAAUGAAUAAUCGUAUUGCAAUAAACACGAUCCAAUCAUGUUCAUGCUUAACGCAAGCACCAAAUAACAAUUAUUUAGGUUUAACACCAAUCCCGAUGGUAGAGGGAGCGUGCGACGUUUGAUCAUAUCAACCUUGGAAACACUUCCAACACGUAUCGUCACCUCUCCUUUAGCUAGUCUCCGUUUAUGCCGUAGCUUUCAUUUCGUGUUACUAAUCACUUAGCAACCGAACCGGUAUCUAAUACCCUCAUGCUACUAGGAGUACUAGUAAAGUACACAUCAACAUCAUGUAUAUCAAAUACACUUCUUUCGACUUUUGCCAGCCUUCUUAUCUACCAAGUAUCUAGAGUUGUUCCGCCUCAGUGACUGUUCCCCUCAUUACAGAAGCACUUAGUCUCGGGUUUGGGUUUAAUCUUGGGUCUCUUCAUUAGUGCAGCAACUGCUUUGCCGUUUCACGAAGUAUCCCUUCUAGCCCUUGCCUUUCUUGAAACUUAGUGGUUUUACAAACCAUCAACUAUUGAUGCUCCUUCUUGAUUUCUACUUUCGCAGUGUCAAACAUCGCGAAUCGCUCAAGGAUCAUUGUAUCUAUCCUUGAUAUGUUAUAGUUCAUCACGAAGCUCUCAAAGCUUGGUGGCAGUGACUUUUGGAGAACCAUCACUAUCUCAUCUGGAAGAUUAACUCCCACUUGAUUCAAGUGAUUGUCGUACUCAGACAAUCUGAGCACACGCUCAACGAUUGAGCUUUUCUCCUUUACUUUGUGGACAAAGAAUCUUGUUGGAGGUCUCGUACCUCUUAACAAGGGCACAGGUAUGAAAUCACAAUUUCAUCUCUUUAGAACAUCACUUAUGUUCCGUGACGUUUUACAACGUUUUCAGCGCCUUGCUUCUAAGCCAUUAAGUAUUUUUGUACUGAACUAUCGUGUAGUCAUCAGAAACGUGUAUGUCGGAUGUUCACAGCAUCCACAGACAACGCUCGAGGUGCAGCACAUCGAGUGGUGCAUUAAGGACAUAAGCCUUCUGUGCAACAACGAGGACAAUCCUCGGUUUUACAGACUCGGUCUGCAAAGUUUGCUACUAUCAACUUUCAACUAAAUUUUCUCUAGGAACAUAUAAAACAGUAGAGCUAUAGCGCAAGCUACAUCGUAAUUCGCAAAGACCAUUAGACUAUGUUCAUGACAAUUAGUUCAAUUAAUCAUAUUACUUAAGGACUCCCACUCAAAAAGUACAUCUCUCUAGUCAUUUGAGUGGUUCAUGAUCCAAAUCCACUAUCUCAAGUCCGAUCAUCACGUGAGUCGAGAAUAGUUUCAGUGGUAAGCAUCUCUAUGCUAAUCAUAUCAACUAUACGAUUCAUGCUCGACCUUUCGGUCUCAUGUGUUCCGAGGCCAUGUCUGCACAUGCUAGGCUCGUGAAGCUUAACCCGAGUGUUCCGCGUGCGCAACUGUUUUGCACCCGUUGUAUGUGAACGUUGAGUCUAUCACACCCGAUCAUCACGUGGUGUCUCGAAACAACGAACUGUAGCAACGGUGCACAGUCGGGGAGAACACAAUUUCGUCUUGAAAUUUUAGUGAGAGAUCACCUCAUAAUGCUACCGUCGUUCUAAGCAAAAUAAGGUGCAUAAAAGGAUUAACAUCACAUGCAAUUCAUAAGUGACAUGAUAUGGCCAUCAUCACGUGCUUCUUGAUCUCCAUCACCAAAGCACCGGCACGAUCUUCUUGUCACCGGCGUCACACCAUGAUCUCCAUCGACGUGUCGCCAUCGGGGUUGUCGUGCUACUCAUGCUAUUACUACUAAAGCUACAUCCUAGCAAAAAUAGUAAACGCAUCUGCAAGCACAAACGUUAGUAUAAAGACAACCCNNNNNNNNNNNNNNNNNNNNNNNNNNNNNNNNNNNNNNNNNNNNNNNNNNNNNNNNNNNNNNNNNNNNNNNNNNNNNNNNNNNNNNNNNNNNNNNNNNNNNNNNNNNNNNNNNNNNNNNNNNNNNNNNNNNNNNNNNNNNNNNNNNNNNNNNNNNNNNNNNNNNNNNNNNNNNNNNNNNNNNNNNNNNNNNNNNNNNNNNNNNNNNNNNNNNNNNNNNNNNNNNNNNNNNNNNNNNNNNNNNNNNNNNNNNNNNNNNNNNNNNNNNNNNNNNNNNNNNNNNNNNNNNNNNNNNNNNNNNNNNNNNNNNNNNNNNNNNNNNNNNNNNNNNNNNNNNNNNNNNNNNNNNNNNNNNNNNNNNNNNNNNNNNNNNNNNNNNNNNNNNNNNNNNNNNNNNNNNNNNNNNNNNNNNNNNNNNNNNNNNNNNNNNNNNNNCACAACGGAGAUAUAUGAGUUGCUAUUUAACCUCAUCCAAGGACCUCCUCGGUCAAUUCCGAUUCAACUAAAGUUGGAGAAACUGACACCCGCCAGUCAUCUUUGAGCAACGGAGUUACUCGUAGCGAUGAAACCAGUCUCCCGUAAGCGUACGAGUAAUGUCGGUCUGAGCCGCUUCGAUCCAACAAUACCGCGGAAUCAAGAAAAGACUAAGGAGGGCAGAAAAACACACAUCACCGCCCACAAANNNNNNNNNNNNNNNNNNNNNNNNNNNNNNNNNNNNNNNNNNNNNNNNNNNNNNNNNNNNNNNNNNNNNNNNNNNNNNNNNNNNNNNNNNNNNNNNNNNNNNNNNNNNNNNNNNNNNNNNNNNNNNNNNNNNNNNNNNNNNNNNNNNNNNNNNNNNNNNNNNNNNNNNNNNNNNNNNNNNNNNNNNNNNNNNNNNNNNNNNNNNNNNNNNNNNNNNNNNNNNNNNNNNNNNNNNNNNNNNNNNNNNNNNNNNNNNNNNNNNNNNNNNNNNNNNNNNNNNNNNNNNNNNNNNNNNNNNNNNNNNNNNNNNNNNNNNNNNNNNNNNNNNNNNNNNNNNNNNNNNNNNNNNNNNNNNNNNNNNNNNNNNNNNNNNNNNNNNNNNNNNNNNNNNNNNNNNNNNNNACGUCCCUCGAUCCGCCCGCGAACAAUCCCGCGAUCAGUCCCACGAUCUAGUACCGAACGGACGGCACCUCCGCGUUCCGCACACGUACAACUCGACGAUGAUCUCGGCCUUCUUGAUCCAGCAAGAGAGACGUAGAGGUAGAUGAGUUCUCNNNNNNNNNNNNNNNNNNNNNNNNNNNNNNNNNNNNNNNNNNNNNNNNNNNNNNNNNNNNNNNNNNNNNNNNNNNNNNNNNNNNNNNNNNNNNNNNNNNNCCAAAGCACCGGCACGAUCUUCUUGUCACCGGCGUCACACCAUGAUCUCCAUCAUCAUGAUUUCCAUCAACGUGUUGCCAUCGGGGUUGUCGUGCUACUCAUGCUAUUACUACUAAAGCUACGUCCUAGAAAUGUAGUAAACGCAUCUGCAAGCACAAAUGUUAGUUUAAAGACAACCCUAUGGCNNNNNNNNNNNNNNNNNNNNNNNNNNNNNNNNNNNNNNNNNNNNNNNNNNNNNNNNNNNNNNNNNNNNNNNNNNNNNNNNNNNNNNNNNNNNNNNNNNNNNNNNNNNNNNNNNNNNNNNNNNNNNNNNNNNNNNNNNNNNNNNNNNNNNNNNNNNNNNNNNNNNNNNNNNNNNNNNNNNNNNNNNNNNNNNNNNNNNNNNNNNNNNNNNNNNNNNNNNNNNNNNNNNNNNNNNNNNNNNNNNNNNNNNNNNNNNNNNNNNNNNNNNNNNNNNNNNNNNNNNNNNNNNNNNNNNNNNNNNNNNNNNNNNNNNNNNNNNNNNNNNNNNNNNNNNNNNNNNNNNNNNNNNNNNNNNNNNNNNNNNNNNNNNNNNNNNNNNNNNNNNNNNNNNNNNNNNNNNNNNNNNNNNNNNNNNNNNNNCACAACGGAGAUAUAUGAAUUGCUAUUUAACCUUAUACAAGGACCUCCUCGGUCAAAUCCGAUUCAACUAAAGUUGGAGAAACCGACACUUGCCAAUCAUCUUUGAGCAAAGGGGGUUACUCGUAGCGAUGAAACCAGUCUCUCGUAAGCGUACGAGUAAUGUCGGUCCAAGCCGCUUCAAUCCAACAAUACCGCGGAAUCAAGAAAAGACUAAGGAGGGCAGCAAAACGCACAUCACCGCCCACAAANNNNNNNNNNNNNNNNNNNNNNNNNNNNNNNNNNNNNNNNNNNNNNNNNNNNNNNNNNNNNNNNNNNNNNNNNNNNNNNNNNNNNNNNNNNNNNNNNNNNNNNNNNNNNNNNNNNNNNNNNNNNNNNNNNNNNNNNNNNNNNNNNNNNNNNNNNNNNNNNNNNNNNNNNNNUGUUUUACGUGGUGACCAAGGGUAUCUAGUAGGAUCGCAUCUUACUUACGCAAACACCACAACGGAGAUAUAUGAGUUGCUAUUUAACCUCAGCCAAGGACCUCCUCGGUCAAAUCCGAUUCAACUAAAGUUGGAGAAACCGACACUUGCCAGUCAUCUUUGAGCAACGGGGUUACUCGUAGCGAUNNNNNNNNNNNNNNNNNNNNNNNNNNNNNNNNNNNNNNNNNNNNNNNNNNNNNNNNNNNNNNNNNNNNNNNNNNNNNNNNNNNNNNNNNNNNNNNNNNNNNNNNNNNNNNNNNNNNNNNNNNNNNNNNNNNNNNNNNNNNNNNNNNNNNNNNNNNNNNNNNNNNNNNNNNNNNNNNNNNNNNNNNNNNNNNNNNNNNNNNNNNNNNNNNNNNNNNNNNNNNNNNNNNNNNNNNNNNNNNNNNNNNNNNNNNNNNNNNNNNNNNNNNNNNNNNNNNNNNNNNNNNNNNNNNNNNNNNNNNNNNNNNNNNNNNNNNNNNNNNNNNNNNNNNNNNNNNNNNNNNNNNNNNNNNNNNNNNNNNNNNNNNNNNNNNNNNNNNNNNNNNNNNNNNNNNNCUCAUGAUGCCACUGUUGAGGAACGUCGCAUGGGAAACAAAAAAAAUUCCUACGCGCACGAAGACCUAUCAUGGUGAUGUCCAUCUACAAGAGGGGAUGAGUGAUCUACGUACCCUUGUAGACCGUACAGCAGAAGUGUUAGUGAACGUGGUUGAUGUAGUGGAACGUCCUCACGUCCCUCGAUCCACCCCGCGAACAAUCCCGCGAUCAGUCCCACGAUCUAGUACCGAACGGAAGGCACCUCCGCGUUCAGCACACGUACAGCUCGACGAUGAUCUCGGCCUUCUUGAUCCAGCAAGAGAGACGGAGAGGUAGAAGAGUUCUCCGGCAGCGUGACGGCGCUCCGGAGGUUGGUGAUGAUCUCGUCUCAGCAGGGCUCCGCCCGAGCUCCGCAGAAACGCGAUCUAGAGGAAAAACCGUGGAGGUAUGUGGUCGGGCUGCCGUGGAAAAGUCGUCUCAAAUCAGCCCUAAAACCUCCGUAUAUAUAGGUGGUAGAGGGGGGGACCUUGCCUUGGGGCUCAAGGAGCCCCAAGGGGGUCGGCCGAGCCAAAGGGGGGAAGGACUCCCCCCCAAACCGAGUCCUACUUGGUUUGGUGGGUGGAGUCCCUCUUUCCUUUCCCACCUCCUCUUUUUUUUUCUUUUCUCUUUGAUUUUUCUUCCAAUGCGCAUAGGGCCCUUUUGGGCUGUCCCACCAGCCUACUAAGGGCUGGUGCGCCACCCUCAAGGCCUAUGGGCUUCCCCGGGGUGGGUUGCCCCCCCCCCCACGGUGAACUCCCGGAACCNNNNNNNNNNNNNNNNNNNNNNNNNNNNNNNNNNNNNNNNNNNNNNNNNNNNNNNNNNNNNNNNNNNNNNNNNNNNNNNNNNNNNNNNNNNNNNNNNNNNAUCCUCUCUCGUAGAUGGACAUCACCAUGAUAGGUCUUCGUGCGCGUAGGAAAUUUUUUGUUUCCCAUGCGACGUUCCCCAACAAGAUGUUGGUGAACUUCUCUGGAUGAUCAAGGUCAGACUCAGAGAAUGCCUUGGCCUUCUUGUAGGAGGCAGUAUGGGCCAUGCCAUAGAGGUCGUACAACUCUCGCACCUCCAUCUUAUUGUGAUGCGCCUAAAAGAGAGGAACAAAGUAUUAGUAAAGGGCUCAAGCUAGCAUGAAGAAUGAAUUUCAUGAAUUAUGAAGAAAACCACAUACCCAGUUCCGUCGAGACUGAAAUAAGUUGGGGCUGCUUUGAUGGUGUGGCACACCAACCAUUUGGCCACGCCGGUCCUUCACAUUGUCAUGGACGGCUCGCCAUUGGCCUAUGGACCAGUCAUCCACCAACGCCUGCCAACAAUCCAUCUGAUCUACACACCAUCUCGGGGGCACCUAUAAGUUAGUAAGGAUAAAUUUGAGCGCUACGCCUAUGAAUUAGAUUAAGAAUAGGUAACUACCUUCAUGUACUGCUCCUUCUUCACAUACUUUCCGCGGCACAACUUCGUGUCCAUCUUAAUACCACACAUGGCGUAGUAGUCUUGAACAGCCUGCGGUCGAGCCACGUGGCAUAAGUUCUGGAAUAGCCGCUUGCACUCGACCUCGAUAACAUUGGUCGCGGCCUCGCUUAUCCCUCCUCACACCUGUAGAAGGUCUCCAAUCAAAUGAGACAACACUGAUUAGUACAAUAACUGGCUAUAUUGUUAACUUUAGAUUGUGUAAAACGAGAAAUUACCCAAAAUCUGUUGAUCACCAUCUCGGCCCUUGUAUGGCACAAGACACCAUCGAUAAUCUCCUCUGGCGGGGCCUGGGCAGCCUCGUAGUGCUACCACCUCAAUCCUAGUGUAGGAAGCUCACCCUCACCGGGCAACGUGACAAACCCCGAGAAAUUUUCCCCACAAAGCACACCAAGGACGGUGUUCUCCUUGUGGACCCCAAGGGGGUGACUCCAACCCCUGCAGUAUGACAAGGUCAACACAUUAGAUAUUUGAAGAAACUUGAAGGCAAAAGGUACAAAAGGAGUAAAUGCACUUACUUCUCCCCUUCAGGCCUAAUCAUCGGCCUCUGCUCGCGGGUCGCCGGCAUGACCGAGAGACGUGUACUACCACGCUGGUACACGGUGAACCCUCAACCACCUUGCCCUCACUAUCAGUAAACUCAUCACCGACCUCCCUGCCACCAUCAGAAUGGCCACUCGGCCCCUCGGUCUGAGACGGCCAGGUAUCCCAUCCGGACGUCUCCGUGUUGGCCGAAGCCUCAAGGGUGUGAUCCUCCUGGGACGUAGCCCCUGGUACAAGAGUCUCCUGGGUCAAAGCCUCAGGAACGGGAGUCUCAUGGGUCGAAUGCCCAUCGACCCAAGGCUCCUAGACUAAAGUCCCCGUAGCCUCCACCUCAAACGGGUCCACCAUAGUAGUCAUGUGCUCAUCUGAAUUAGCUGGGGGUGGCGAGGAGGGCAUAGCAGUCCGCCUACCUCUCCCAUGGCCACGUCAUGUACCCUUUACCUUCUUCCCUUUCUGACCUCCUCUCCCGGUGGCAACGACACCGACGAAGAAGCACCCCUGGGUGUCCCCACACUGUCUGAGAAGACUCUAUGGAGAGAAUGGGGUGGAAUGGAAGUACCACUCGUGCGGGCCGCCGAGCGAUGUGGACCCGCGCCCACCAUCUUUCAACACCUGCCAUGCUAAAGAGUAAAAUAAAUUAGUACAACAUAAAAAUUGAAUACCUGACGUGAAUAAUAAUAUGUAUACAUAUAUAAUUUAAGUUGGGAUGCAUACAAACUAAUAGUAGUCUGGAUCAACAAAUGCAUCAUCAUCAUCACUAUCACGCGUGUCUUCAUGAAUGACGUGCUCAUCGGGUUCACCGACAUCAACUUGUGGAAGGCCUUUAUGUAAUCGGUCAAGCAUUGACAGGUCAUCUGCAGCAGUAACCUCUUCUAGUUCUGGCUCUGUUGGUUCCAGCUCAGGGGUGAAGUCAGAUUCACUAUCGCUGUCUACUUCCAUGUUCUGGGGUGAAGUACAAUGGUUCUUGAAACGUUUCUUCGAAAUACGUGUUUCUUGGAAGAAUUCUCCGUCAUAUGUGUGUGGGUUAAUAUGAGGUUCAUAAUUGUCGGGGGAAUAACCCCGGGGUAGGCUCACCGAGCAUGUUCCUUCAUUUUCGGCCCAAUGGGCAUGAAGGCACGGAGAUUCUAAGGCCCAAGUCUUCUAACCGGCUAGGCAUCUCCUGCCGGCUGGAAGACGAGGCGGCCACCUUUCUCGCCGGCCAGGCAACCCCUGUCGGCUAGAAUCCAGGCGGCCUCCCAUUCAGACCCGGCCUGGUCCCGCCAGCCGGACUAAGGAGGAGGCGGCCACCCUCAAGCCGGCUGACCAAGCACGCUAGCCGGCCGAGGAUCACCAGUCACAUCAGAUCGUAGGUCAGGAAAGGACCUCAUGAUUAAAGUUAGCUACGCGUCAGCAAAGGUACUGAAUCAGGGCGCCCGGCAGGUACGAGCGUCGGCGGCCACGCCGCUGACCUACCCCGGCUCUGAUCCAUCACCUAGCAUGAUGUCGGUCCAUCACACUCCCACUCCAUUACUGCACUCGGCGUGGGGAACAGUGGAGGCGGUCGUACUGCAUUCCCAUGAAGAAUCUCGCGGGGCGACGCUCGACGUACAGCGCGUGCUCAGCGUCAACCUUACGCGGGAGCCCCAUUGGCCAGCCGGUGGGUCCCACCAGCAAUCGAGACCAAGCAGACGGCGGGCCCCUCAUCGAUAAGACAAGACCCUUGUGGGCCCCUGGCCAGCCGGCGAAGCAGCCAGCCGGGUCCCACGCAUGUACCCUUUAUCCAUAUUGUAGGCCGGCGGGUUCGUCUAUAAAACCCCCCGGCCGCCCCCCAUGCAAGGGGGCCGAUCACUUGCCAGUCAUUCAGUACUACACACUCAACAACCAACAGAGAGCAAGGGAGAGUCAAGCCGGCUGCUCCCCUCUUCCUCCUCCCAACACAGCUCCAGGAGCAACAUUGUACUAUGUUCCCAUACAUCAAACACACCAGCGGGAUUAGGGGUAUUAUCUCUACGGAGAGCCCUGAACCUGGGUACAUCGUGCGUCCCAUGCGUGUACCAACCUCGUUCCCAGCACCCACCUUUGUCCCUUCGGUUCUCACCGACUUUAGCCUACCUAUGGCAUAUGUUGUGAGUAUUCACCUACAAUAAUCCUCUUCAUCUGGGGGAGGUGGUCUAGCAUGUGGCGGCACUUCAUAAACAACAUCCCAACCAUUCAGAUUCUUAUUAGUUUGGCAAGUCUACGGUAGAUAGAAAACUUGGGUCGCCUGUUGAGUCAUAAUAUAGACAUCGGGAACAUCUAAAUGGGUGAUUUGUUUUAUUUCGACUAGCCCUAUAUGUUCGUGAGUCCUUCUAGUCUCCUUCAGCUGGAACCAAUAACAUUUAAAGACUACGACGUUCGGUGGGUUUUCACCAAAGAAUUGAAGUUCAUAAAUUUCUUCAACUCUUCCAUAAUACUCGGUACCUCCUUCGUUGGUAGCAGAGACACCACAAUUUUUAGAUUUCCUAUUGGGCAUAGAUAGCUCUUUGCCAAAGGUACGAAAGCGAUACUCGUUGAUGUUGUAUUUCUCAAAUGAACGAACCUUAUAGUUAAAACCAUUAGCGGCUUGUCUUAAUUCAACGUCGAUAGACUCUGAAUUAACCCACAAUAAUACAAAAUGAUUGUUGCAUUAGCCGCAAAUUAGACAAGAAAUGAAAUGGUCCAUUAUUGAUAAUUACCGUUUGUUUGAACCAAGAGAUGAAACCGGGAUAGCCGCCUCCAUGCUUUGCCAGAAGCUCAUACUCUUUGACGGAAUCAAUUUAGAUGACCUCUCCAUCCGAGAAUUUGGCGACAUAUCGACUAUAUCAAAUAUCCGGGAAUAAUAGGAGUUCAAAGGAAUUAGAAUUUGUGGAAAAAUGUACUGAGAACUUACUCAAUGUACGGCCACACUUCUCUUAGGUUGUUGAAGAUAUACAACGAAAUGGUCUGCCAUUUUUUGACAUCCAACGUUAUUGGUUUUGAAGCACCGGCUCGUGCAAGCUUCGCUUUGAAUAGGCUGAGGUUGGAUCCACCUUUUUUAGGGUCGCCAUCAUUAUACCAAGGCUUCGGAUUACGCAAAUGACGAUUUUGGCUUCGUAGUGUGCUAUCAUGAAGUUUGCCAACUCUUCGGUAAUGAAUGCCUCGGCCAUCGAUAUUUCAAUUCUACGUUUAUUUUUAAAUUUAUCUCGAAGCGUCUUCUACAUCCUCUCAGUUGCAAAGCACCAAUGAUUUUGCAUGGGCCCACCCAAUCUUGCCUCGGUCGGGAGAUGUAAAAUCAAAUGUUGCAUUGGAUUAAAGAAGCCUGGUGGAAAGAUCUUCUCUAACUUGCAGAUCAACUCAGGCGCCAAUUCCUCCAUGUCAUCUACCACGUCAGGCGACAGUUCUUUUCCACAAAUAACACAAGAGAAGUAGCUCAACUCUGCUAGUACUAGACAUUCAUCCUCAGGUAUAAAGCCACGUAACAUCAUCGACAUUGCCCGCUCAAGCCAUAUGUGCCAAUCAUGACUCUUGAGACCAAAUAUUUUCAAUUUUUCAAGAUUCACUCCCCUCUUUAGAUUCGCUACAUACCCAUCGGGAACAUCAAGUGCAUUUUGACCCACAAGAUAAUUUCCUUUUAUCAGAUCUUCCAAGAUUGAACCAGACCUUUAGCUUCGACCAGUUCUGCUUUCCUUUCGAUUGUCGCAUGUUUUGUAAGGUCUAUGACAUAGAGUCUCUUGAUCGAAUCUAGCCUUAGGAUUAUCCUUUGCCUUCCCCUCUAUGCCGAACAAUGUAUCAAAAAUGGCCUCUCUAGUAUUCUUUUGAGUGUGCAUCAUGUCGAUGUUGUGUGGAAGAAGGAGGUCUUUGAAGUAAGACAGAUCCUACAAGCAUGGCUUGUGAGUCCAGGCGUUUUCUGAAUUAUACUCGUUGAAAUACCCUCGACGCUGUGGAUUGGGCUCGAGAGCAUUUAACUGAUCUAGGAUCUGUUGGCCUGUCAAGCAGGUGGUGCCAAGGGUUUGGUAAAGUUCUGCUUGUCCUUUCUGAACUGAUGGUGAGGAUCCAGGAACUGUCAAUUGAUACGUCUCAAACGUAUCUAUAAUUUUUGAUGGUUUCAUGCUGUUAUCUUGUCAUCUUUGGAUGUUUUAUGUACCUUUUAUAUCUUUUUUGGGACUAACUUAUUGAUUCAGUGCCAAGUGUCAGUUCCUGUUUUUUCUGUGUUUUUGGCUCUUUUCAGAUCUGAUUUUGGAACGGAGUCCAAACGGAAUAAAAUCCCCGAAAUGAUUUUUUCCCGAACAAAAUAAGAUCAGGGGGCCUGUGGGCCAAGCCAGGAAGACUCCUGGGAGCCCACAAGCCCCCACUCCGCCACCAGGGGGAGGCGGCGGUGGCAGGGCUUGUGGCCUCCCUGGCCGCCCCCUGACCUAGAUCUUUGGCCUAUAUAUUCCCUAAAAUACAUCAAAAAAUCAGGGGAGCCUCGAAAAUACUUUUCCGCCGCUGCAAGCUUCUGUUUCCGCGAGAUCUCAUCUGGAGACCCCUCCUGGCGCCCUGUCGGAGGGGACUUUGGAGUUGGAGGGCUUCUUCAUCAUCAUCAUCACCCCUCCAAUGACUCGUGAGUAGUUCACUUCAGACCUACGGGUCCGUAGCUAGUAGCUAGAUGGCUUCUUCUCUCUCUUGGAUCUUCAAUACAAAGUUCUCAUUGAUCUUCAUGGAGAUCUAUCCGAUGUAAUCUUCUUUGGCGGUGUGUUUGUCGAGAUCCGAUGAAUUGUGGAUUUGUGAUCAGAUUAUCUAUGAUAUAUAUUUGAGUCUUUGCUGAUUUCUUAUAUGCAUGAUUUGAUAUCCUUGUAAGUCUCUCCAAGUCUUGGGUUUUGUUUGGCCAACUAGAUCUAUGAUUCUUGCAAUGGGAGAAGUGCUUGGUUUUGGGUUCUACCAUGUGGUGACCUUUCCCGUGACAGUAGGGGAAGCAAGGCACACAUUAAGUAGUUUCCAUCAAGGGUAACAAGAUGGGCUAUGUCGUUGAUAUGAGAUUGUCCAUCUACAUCAUGUCAUCUUACUUAAGGUGCUACUCUAUUCUUUUGAACUUAAUACACUAGAUGCAUGCUGGAUAGCGGUCGACGUGUGGAGUAAUAGUAGUAGAUGCUGACAGUAUCGGUCUACUUGUUUCGGACGUGAUGCCUAUAGAUAUAAUCAUUGCCAUAGAUAUCGUCACGACUUUGCACGGUUCUAUCAAUUGCUCGACAGUAAUUUGUUCACCCACCGUCUACUUGCUUUCAUGAGAGAAGCCAGUAGUAAACACUACGGCCCCCGGGUCUAUUCACAUUAAUCGUUUACACCUCCGUUUUUACUUUGCUUUGUUACUUUGUUGCUUUCAGUUCUCACUUGGCAGACAAUCUAUAAGGGAGUGACAACCCCUUCAUAGAGUUGGGAGCAAGCUUUAUCCGGAUGUAAUGCAUCGAGGAUGCCUUGGAUCUGCCGCUUUAUCCGGAUGUAAUGCAUCGAAGUCCCCCAUGCUUCCCCCAUCCAUGUGUGUACCGCUAUCUUAUUCCCAUCUGCAUCUAGUUCGGUUGUUUUGCCCAAUUUGUGCCAUGUCAUAUGUCUGGCCGUCUCUUCGACCAUGAAAAGACGUUGAAGCCUUGUUAUGAUUGACAGAUACCGAAGAACAUUAACUUGGAUUUGGGUUUGGCUCUUCUCACCCAUACCGUUAUCUACCACAACAUACGUGGAAGACUUGCAAAUGGGACAAUAGUUCAAGUCCGCAUACUCAAGCCUAAAUAAGGCAAAUCCUUUCUCACAUGCAUGUAUAUUCUCAUAGGGCAUCUUAAGUACACGAAGUAUUUUGUCCGACUGGUACAGGUUUGCAAGCAUGACAUAGCAUUUGGGUAGAAAACGUCCAAAUAGUGUCAUCAUCACGUCGUAGCAUUCCCUUCCCAAGUUGAAGUGAGCCUUUAGAGCGAUUACUUGUGCGAUGGCAUCCAGCUGACAAAGCUCAGUGUGCUCGUGGGGAGGACGUUUUGAAGACUCCAACAUUUCAUAGAAGGCCUUUGCAGAUUCCACCAUCUCAUCGUCCGAAUCCCGAGCAUCAGCAAAGUCUUGCACCAUGUCUUCGAUCCCAGUACCAUGCUCAUCGGUGCGACUGAAAGCACAAUUGCUCCAUAGGGUGGUUUUGAUAAUUGAUCACAACAUAUGCAUCAUUGGACUAAUAGUUUAUCCAAGUAUAUUUCAGAAAAGUUCAAAAGAUGCAUUGGCUAAAGGCUUAUGUGGAUAUGCCCCUUGAUGCAAGAAAGGAAUAAAAUUGGCCCAAGUUUCAAGCUAGAAGCCUCUCAUUUUAUAUUUGUGAGAAAUCACUUUUGAGUCCAUAGGAAAGCCAAUACUAUUAAAAGGGGUGAGGUAUUAAAAUGAACUAUUUGCUCAAGUGCUCAGAGAUAGCCACCAAAAAAUACUCAGACAUUUUCCCACAUAACCAUUCUGUCCAAACCACACACUCAAAAUCGGUGCCACCAAGUUUUCCAUUUCGGCACUACCGAAUUUCAUCUCAGACAGAACCCUGGCCAUAGCCACCAAAUCGGUGCAACCGAAACCAUAUCGGUGCUACCGAGUUUAGGUGACCAACUUUAUGUUGCCUCGAUACACAAAAUCGAAAUUUUCCGAGUUUGAGUAUCGAUGUCACCGAGUUGUAUCAUCUAACCGAUAGCCGCCUUUUCGGUGCCACCGAGUUGUGUAUAUCGAUUCCACCAAGAUUCAAAAGUUGCUACCUUCAGUGCAAAUUGGUACCGCCGAGUUUUUGACUUCGGUGUCACUGGUCACUUCAUGUGUAACGGUUGGAUUUUGGCUGUUGCCUAUAUAUACCCUUCCACCCAUCUCUCAUUCGUGGGAGAAGCACUCAGACCACACACUUCAUUGCCAGAUUCAAUUUUCUGAGAGGGAGCCACCUACUCAUGUGUUGACACCAAGAUAUUCAAAUCCAAUCAUUUGAAACUUGAUCUCUAGCCUCCCCACACUACUUUCCACCAAAUCAAUCUCUCCUACCCAUGCCUAUUAUGUGAGAGAGUGAUUUUGUGUUGAGGAGACUAUCUUUAGAAGCACAAGAGCAAGGAGUUCACUGUUCUACCACAUCUAUUACCUUUUGGAGAGUGGUACCUCCUAGAUUGGUUAGCUGUUGCUUGGGAGCCUCCUACUUCAUGUUGUGGAGUUUAACCAAGAUGUUUGUAAGGGCAAGGAGAUCGCCUACUUUGUGAAGAUCUAUUGUGAGUAAGGCUAGUCCUGUGUGGACGGAAGCCGUGGUGGAAUAGACAAGGCCGCUUCUUUGUGGACCCCUUGUGGGUGGAGCCCUCCGUGGACUCUCGGAGUUGUUACCCUCCGUGGGUUGAAGACUCCACUAACAUGGACGUACGAUAGCGCCACCUAUCGGAACCAUGCCAAAAAUCAUUGUGUCAACCUCAUGCGUUUGAUCGCCCUGCCUUACUCCUUUACUUUACACUUGCAUGUUUUACUUUCCCCUGCUAUACUCUUAAAACUACAUGUGUAGAGUGUACUUAACUUGCAAAAAAGGUCAAAACUGGCCCUCAACUAAAACUAGGAAAAGGAUAAGGUUUUAUCUUGUCAAGUAGUCUAAUAACCCCCCCCCCCACCACCCCUCUAGACAUACUUUCGAUCCUACAGCAAUGACGAACCACCUCAGCUCUGAUGCAUUGUCUAGACUCACCAUGAAAUGUCUGCACCGUAUAAUUAGGCUUAAAACCACUCCUCUGCAGGUGUUUAAACAUUAUAGACUCUAUCCUCUUUUUAUAAUUGUUGCACCUAGGACAUUUGCAAAUGCGGCUUUCUCAAAAUCCUUGGUUUUUACAAACCAUUCUUUGGUCAUCUCUUUCUGACUAGUGUGACCGGUGUACAUCCACGCACGAUCACUCAUCUUGCCUAACUGCUAAAGACAAUAUAUAUAUAUAUAUAUNNNNNNAUAUAUAUAUAUAUAUAACUCCAAGGAGAUAAAUUGUACAAAUCACAUAAAGCAUUCUGAGUUCAAACUAUGAAAAAAAAUCAUAUUGCUAAUUACAUCUCCUCUUAUUCUUCUUCUUCUUCUUUCCUUCUCUUCUUCUUCUUUCCUUCUCUUCUUCUUCUUCUUCUUCCUCUUCUUCUUCUUCUUCUUCCUCUUUCCUUCUCUUCUUCUUCUUNNNNNNNUUCUUCUUCUUCUUCCUUCUUUUCCUUUUUCCUGUUCUUUCUUCUCCUCUUCCUCCUCCUCUUCGUCUUCUUCUUCUUCUUCCUUCUUCUACUUAUUCUUCUUUUGUUCUUCCUGUUUUUUCUUCUUUCUCUACUUCUUUUAAUUAUGACUAAUUAACUAAAACCUAUCACUAAUCUAAUCUAAUCUAGCACUAAACUACAUAUAUAUACCUAAUACUAAAGCGGCUACUGUCGAAAAACCCAUCAUGGCGUUUUUUGCAAAAAAUCCCCUGAUGUUUUGUGUAUUCAACACGCACUCCCUUUUUAAGUGAAAAAAUGUUUCAUUUUAGAAUUUUUCAUUAGAAACCUUGUAGUUUUUUGUAUUCACCCCGCGGUCAUCCUCCUCUGCCCAAACUGCUGCUGCUCGAUGCCACGCGAAGCAGCAAGGGAGGCCGACGGGAUCGACUGGCUCGGGGGUUGGGGACGUGGGGCUCCAGCGACUCCUCGUCACUGGAGACGGCUGGUUGUCCUGGCGCCGAUGCGCGAGAGAGGGGGGUCCGACGUGGCCGUCCAUUGCUCCAUGCAGGAGCAGCUCCUGAAGCUAAGAAAGAGAGAUGGGCGGUGAGGAGGAGAAGAGAGAAAGCGCACGGAAAGGAGAGGGAGAGGGCACGAUGGGGCUGACCUGCAUCUAGGCCAAGCAGAGGUGGCGCUCCUACACUACAGGGCGCGGCGGCGGGGCUGCAUCGGGAGGCAUAGGAGGGGCAUGGCAUUGCGGCUGGAGGAACUUGGAUCCUCCUGAUCCAUCGAGCGGGGCGCUCAGACUGGCUGUAGCUAGCGAGGGAAAGCACCGAGGCACGGGGAUCGAGGAGAGGAAACUAGGAGGGGAUCUGGAGGAGAUGUUGCGGUUGCCCGAUGGGAAAAAUUAGGUGGGAUGUGCAUGCUUAUGUUUUUACUUUUAUUUUAUUUUCAACUAAACGAAACUUGAAGAAAAGAAAAGAUAGGGAAGAAGGAAUUUAGACCAACAAUAGAAAUUUUUAUGGGAUCUAAAAAAUAUGAGGAAAAAUGAAGUGAUUUGGGGAAUUUUAUCGACUUUAAAUUUAAAGAAAUUUAAUUUAAUACAAAAUUAUUUGAAUUUAAAGUCUAACUAAACCAAACCCAAAUGGCUCAAAAUUUAGGAAGCGGCGUUUUGAUGGAACAUCAACCUUACUUUUUCCCGUUGCAAGCACGGGCAUAUGUGCUAGUAUAAUCUAAGCUAACAAUUAAACACCAAAGAAUAAGAAGAAACAAAAGCAAAAGGCUCACCGGAGGGCGGUGGGGCGCCGGAGCGGCACGAUCAACACGAGGCCGAAGAGGUGUCCGGGGUUGGGGUGAGUGGCGUCGGGGGCGGUGUAUUAACAGUUGUGCGGGGAAUUCUAAUAGUGAUCUAUCAAUGACAUCUUCCCGCCGCCACACGCAAGUGCAGGUGCCUGGUUUCGUGCCGGGGUGUCAUGUCGUGGUGUCGUCGGGGUGUCGUGUCGGGGUGUCGUGUCGGGGUGUCGUGAAGGGGCUCACGAAAGGGGCGUCGUGUCGGGAUGUUGUGUCGGGGGUGUCGUGCAGGGGGCUCACCAGAGGGGCGUCGCCGGGGUGUCGUGUCGGGGUGUCGGGGCGUCGUGUCGUGCUGUCGGGGUGUUGUGUCAGGGUGUCGGAGUGUCAUUUUCUUACUAUUCCUAUCCUUCUUUUUUCCUCUUCUUCCUUUUCUUCUUCUUCUCCUUCCUUUUCUUCCUUUUCUUCCUCUUCUUCCUCUUCUUCUUCUUCUUCUUCUUCCUCUUCCUAGUCUUCCUUUUCUUCAUUUUCUUCUUCUUAUUCCUCUUCUUCCUUUUCUUCCUUUUCUUCUUCUUCUUCUUCUUCUUUUCUUCUCCUCUUCUUCUUCUUCNNNNNNNNNNNNNNNNNNNNNNNNNNNNNNNNNNNNNNNNNNNNNNNNNNNNNNNNNNNNNNNNNNNNNNNNNNNNNNNNNNNNNNNNNNNNNNNNNNNNNNNNNNNNNNNNNNNNNNNNNNNNNNNNNNNNNNNNNNNNNNNNNNNNNNNNNNNNNNNNNNNNNNNNNNNNNNNNNNNNNNNNNNNNNNNNNNNNNNNNNNNNNNNNNNNNNNNNNNNNNNNNNNNNNNNNNNNNNNNNNNNNNNNNNNNNNNNNNNNNNNNNNNNNNNNNNNNNNNNNNNNNNNNNNNNNNNNNNNNNNNNNNNNNNNNNNNNNNNNNNNNNNNNNNNNNNNNNNNNNNNNNNNNNNNNNNNNNNNNNNNNNNUUCCUCUUCUUCCUUUUUUUCCUUUAUCCUCUUCUUCUACUUAAUUAUUCUUCUUUUCUUCCUUUUUUUGCACUAAGCUAAUUAACCUAAACUAACAAUAACCUAUUUAACACUAACAGUGACCUAAAUUAACACUAACAGUGGCCUAAACUAACCCGAUAACCUAAACUAACAGAUGCAAUGAAAUGAAAAAAAUUCAAAAAAUAUAUAAACAGGAUGAACUCACCGAUACGGGAGGUGGGGCGCCGCCCGAUGGAGGAGGACCGUGGGAAGGGAGAGGGGUGGCGCCACUGGUUGGCUCCGGGAAGGGGGCUCGCCGCGGGGAGGGGCGCCACGGUGGGGCCAGGGGCGGUGGCUCCGGCGAUGGGGGAAGGGGGGUGGCGCCGAUGGUGGGGAAGGGGUGGCACCGCGGGGAGGGGNGGGGGAAGGGGCGAUGGCGCCACAACGAUUGUGGUGUGUGGGGGCGGGAUAGAGACAGAGGAGGGAGAGAAAGAGAGGGGUCGGGUGAGGAAUGAUGACCGUUAGAUAGGAAAGGCUUUGUCGUCUGCCAACGGAUGGCAAAGCCCCUAAAGGCAGACGGCAAAGCCACAGAGGGGGAGAGAAAGAGAGGGGGCGGGGUGGGGGUUGACGGCCGUUAGAUAGGAAGGGUUGUGUCGUCUGGCAGCGGAUGGCAAAGCCCCUAAAGGCAGACGGCAAAAGCCACAACUCUGUCGUCUGCCAUUAUGGGCUUUGCCGUCUGCUGGGUGACAGCAAAGAAAGGACUCGUGGCAAAGAGUAUAUUUGCCAUUGGUCCUUUCUUUGCCGUCUGUUUUGAGGAAGCGGACGGCAACGCAAGCACACGGCAAAGAGUUGACUGACAGCAUAUUCUCUGAUUCUAGUAGUAAAAUUUCAAAAUAACCUCUAAAUACAAUAUUCAUCCACCAUAUUUGAAAAAAAAUCAAUUUUUUCUCACUCAACAUGGUUGAAAUGGUUUCACAAAUACUACAAAACGAGUUCUGGAAGAAAUAAAUCCUUUUGAGUUUGAGUGAACCUUUCAUAAGCAAGAUUUAUAUUUCUCGGAUAAUUGAUUAUCCACUGUCAUGACACGGUUUGAAUAGUUUAAGCAAGUAUCAAAAGGUUUUGAUCCGGUGUGGAAUUCAAAUAAAAGCCAAUACAACUCACAUAAUAUGGCUUAUUUAUUUAGUGAUUAACGUUCCAAAAUAAGAGGAGGGAAAUGAGUAAAACACGUGUAUACACAACCCACAUAGAACAGGAAAUGUGGUUCAUGCGGGUAUUUCCCGUGUGGCCUCGUCGGAAACCAUACAACAAUGAGAAUGGUCAAAAUAGUCAAUGAAAAAAAAAAGAUCCCGCUAGUGAUCAAUUCCUUGUAGCCGCAGCAUGAACCACUAUCUAGACAACACUUAAAGUCCAAAUUCAUCAAAAACGACGCAUGCAAGAAAAAAAUAGUGCACAAGCACCAUCAUCGUCGAUACUAGAUCUUAAGUUUUCAUGCACCAUCAUCGUCGAUACUAGAUCUUAAGUUUUCACUCUGAAGAAGAUCCAUACUCUCAAAAACAAUGCUUUCAGCAAGAACACUGUAAAACACAAUCAAUAAAUGGCAGGCCUUGAAUUUUCAGCCGGAAAGCUAAGAACCUGAAAACUAUAUAUAGGCAUUAAUUAUCCAGAGUUGAUAGGCACUGAAAACUAUGCAAUCAAGCAGCAUCCACCAAAGGUUUGUUGAAUAACCCAUAGUUGCAGGACACUGCUACUCAGCUUGCCUAGCAGCGCCAACUUGAAUCAAUGGAUGGACAAGCAGCACCCGCUACAUUGACAAAUUCGGACGUUUCACUCGCCAAUGAUUCAACAUUACAUUACUAGCUGUGUUAGUGAUCUAAACGCUCUCAUAUUUCUUUACGGACGGAGUACCUCUGUACCGGUCUCUGCUGGGUGGCCGUCCUUGGCGUCGAGCAUACGGCGUUCUGGACUGGCCCCUGCAGCAGGGGUAUCAUCAGUGCACAUCUCCCCGCUCUGUUCUCCCUGCGCUGGACCCCCAUGUCUGUGUGAAAAAACCACCUAGAGGCUGGGGAGAGGGCAGCGCUGGUACCACGUCUGAUCCGUGCUGGAGGGCGCGACCUGCGGGUGCCGCUUGGUACUCUGGUGGGUGUGGAGCUGCGUCAGGGGCAUGACUCCUGGGAGCUCGCAAGGUGCAGGUGUGAGGAGGGGGUGCUGGACACGGGUGCCCUCUAUCGUGUGGCUGCUGGAGAGCAUGUUUGGUCCUCAGCCACACUUUGCCAAACCAAAAUUUGACAGCCACAGUUUAGUUGACAUAUGUUUGGUUUUUGUCACACUUUGGCUUGCCACACUUUAUUGUUGCUAUGGCUCAUUUGUCAUAGUCAAUUUUUUUGUCAACUUUUGCUAAAGUUUGGCGUUCGUUUUUUCAGCUACACUUUGUGGCUUGCCAUACUUUAAUGGCUUGCCACAUUUUGACUUGGCAAAAUUAGUCUUCAAACAAAGAGGCCCUAGUCGCCUGCGGCUCUCCUGUCACUUUGCGAGAUCAUUCCGGGACUCGAUCCGUGGAGGCCCUCUGAUGUCGUUCCGGGACUCGAUCCGUAGAGCCCCUCUGAUGCCUCUGUUCGUGAGCUGCCGCUCCUCCAGUUCCUUGCUAACAUCCCCUCCACCAGAGGACCGCGUCUCGCCCUCCUGUCCUGUUCACCUGUGAAAAAAAUCGAAAUGGCGUGGCCUUGGUAACCUGCGCCCAGACUUGUCCUCUCUCCGACGAGUGCGCCGGGAGGCGGCGAUGUGGUUCCACCCGCGCAUGCUGCCUGCUGGGUGACGCGGACGGUAUGUAUGUACUGUUCUUGAGUAGUCUUCAAAAAAAAUUAGAAGCAAGACAAAUGCAGUAUCUAGUGCGCAAAGCCUGACUGUCUGUGUUCCUAAAUAAAAUGAACAGGAGGUGAUGAAGGGACACAGCUUGUGUCUAGAGGGUUUUUCACCUGACCGUAUUAUAGUCCUCGGUUGAAGCUUCAGUUCCAUCAGACACAUUGUUGUGCGUUUGUCCCCUCACUUAAGUUAGCACAUCAAUAAGGCCUUUGGAGAUGCGUUACCUGACGUCCAUGCCUAUCCCCUCACUGCAGUUAUCCCAUCAUCCAACCGAAACGCAAUCAUUGCUCUUUCUAGAGAAUGUAUUGUUCAACAACACUACACGAGGACAUUCCCUCACAUUCAAGUAUCUUGUGCAACUUCAGUAAGCAAUCAAGUAAGUUCUGGGAUUCUACAAUUGAAGUUGCCUAGAUUUUUUAUUGGACUCGUCAUAGCAAGGAUGCAUUUCAAAGAUUGAAUCAUAUGCUUACCAGAGUAUGCUACAAGUCACUGUUUGAUUAUAGGACAUUAAGGACAGUAACUCUGUAACUUCUACACACUUCAUUCCCUGUCCACUCAAAUUAAAAUAUUUAGAGACCAUGCAAGUUCUAGUGGAAACGAUGCAGUUCCCUCCACAUUUUCUCAUCCGGGCUUGGGACCGGCAAAGGCAGUGUUAAACUACAAAACUACUAAGCACAUAAACUAGCAAACACUACAACCAAUUAUUCAGCUAAGCAUACAAGCCACACCAUCAACCAAAGGCAGCGUUGUCACGACACACGAAUUGACCAAAGGCAAUAAAUAUUCACACAACGUUUGCACAAGAUCAUAAGACAGAAACAUAGGGGCACAAACAAGGAAAGCUAUAAAUUCCAGAACCUACUAAUUUCUCUAAUGGGGCAAGGUGAUUCAAAUCUUCAAUCUUGAAUAUCUUCAUCAGCAGGCACAGAGAAAGCUUUCACACUUUUAGCCCAUAAUAGAGUCCUUGGGCCAUAAGAUGUGUCAACAGAUACUUGUGUGUCUUAAAAAUCCAGUAUAUGUAUAAGCUUGAUUUAAGAGUGUGCAAUUGGCAGGAAUCAUCAAAUUAGUAUUUUUGCUAGUUAACUAAAUUAAAACUAGGAAGCUCCGGGAAAACCAAUAAUAUGUAAUUGAAGAUUUGAGAAUAUGUAAUUGAAGAUUCCAUAAUCCAGAUCAAAUUAACCAUUAGAGGACCGUAAGAUGUGUGGAGGCUUUGUAUCUUCAAAUCCAUGACGAAUGCAGAACGAAACAAACUGACAUAUGUACAAGCUACUUGAGUUGAAAGUAUACAAUCAGCAGUAAAACCAUCAAACUUAGCCCAACUAUUUUACAAAGUUGUCAAAUUAAAAUAGGAAGUUCCCCAGCAAACCAAGAAGAUGCAUUGAAGAUUCGUAAUCCAGAUCCCACUGGAGAACCACCAAUGGUAAGAACAUCACUUCUGAAAAUCAAUUCCAUACCAAUAAGUCGGGAUCAUCGGAAUCAUAUUCAGUGGAAAUGACACUAAUCAAAGACAUGAUGAGUAGUAGUGUCCAUGCCAAACUGUUUGUUCAAGCUUCGAGUCGAGAAGCUUCAACUCUCCAUUGUUUUUAGUAUAUAUAGCGAUAAUCCCUAACCUCUUUCUGCGUAUCAAGCCAUCAACAUUACCCAACUAUAGAAGUCAGGAGAGGAUCAGAAACCAAAAAUGCGACAUAUUUUGAUGGCUACCAGCAUAGCUUGGGCUAAACAAUCUGCAACCACAAGAAGGCGGAGGCAAAAAAACACAAUCAAUGCUACAAGCACAAGGCAGCUAAGACAACAGAAGCUUCUUCAAGAGAUCAAAUAGAGAGCACUGGGUUUUUUCGGCUGUAGGAUGGUCCGUCUAGAUUGAUGCCCUGUAGCAACCUUCAAACCUUCUACAUCCAGCAAUUCAAUCUGAAUGUUUAAAUUUUGUCUCCAUAAGAUAAAUUAUAUGUUCAAAAAAUUACGACGAAUUGGAAAGGUGCAGGGUUUAGAAUAUCUUCGAACAUACUCAUCAUCAGGUUGGACCUAAAUCGUCAGUUAGGACCUGCAAUGACCAAGAAACCUUCGUUUCAACUUCUGCUUUGGGGAAACGAAGCUGCCUAUGAACAGCUAAAUGAUGCAUCAAACAUUGAGGGGAUAGGAUAAGCCUGCUUGGCUGGGAGAUAUCAGUUAGGGAAACACCAGUUCCAGAUAGCAAACUAUAUUAUCUCUCGUCCAUGUAAAUAUCUGCAAGGACAUGUAGUUACCAAGGCCAUAGAAAACAAUGUCUAGGAAGUGCAAUGUUCAAAGCAAAUCAGGAAAGAUGAAGUCAAGAGAAGAAACCCCAUCCAACAGUCAAAGCCCUUCCAGAAAGCCCCAUAAGUCCAAUAGCUGGAGAACCAACAGUUCCAUAUGAGAGAUGCUGUAAGCUAAAUUCGACUGUGCAAACAAAGAAACUAAAUUGAGGAUCAAUUAUCCAAACGCAGUUCGCAAAUUCUCUGAUCUCCAUUCCAUGUUUAAUGAUCCAAUCCGACUUCAAUCCAAAACAAAAACUUCAGCACACAAGAUGCUAUCUUAUAUCAUGCAAGGCAUUGAGCCAUAACCAAUCCAAAUAACCAUGAACAUUAAAACAAACCUCCACCCUCUGAUUCAUCACUCAGCAACCAUCACCCUCCGGCAUCUGAAGGAGAACAAACACAUACCCCACAAGCGGAGAUCAGCUGUAACAACAAGAACCAACGAGAAUGCACCUUGUACCGAGGGAUAAUGGUACUCAUGUUGAGCCAUCAGACGAAAAUAAAUCAAAGAACUUAAGGUAUAUCCACUCAAAUCUGGCGUCACCAAGAUCGAUGUGACCAAACAUGGUAAACUGACCUGCCUCAAGUCCACUUCAACAUACUGUUCAUACACCACACUGAGCUUCAUUUCCAGACCAGAUCCAGAUCCAUCCUGCAAGCCAACUCACGGAGGCGGCGAUAACAAAUGAAACAAACAGACCGUCUACGAGACACUGACCUGAUUUAUGUACAUAGGUUUGGGCAUAAAAUCCUAACUGUUAUAUCCUGCAACCCACACUUGCAGAAGACCAAAAGAACACAGGGAUCAAGAGUACGGAUAACUAGUAGGAUCAUGGAGAGCAAGAUCACAAACCAAAAUAUUUAACAGAUUCCAUGUCAUUACCGGCUAAAGAAUAAUCUGCAACCACAAGAAGGGCAGGAGCAAAAACCUAUAUCAAAGACAUGGCCAAGUAGCUAAACGAAAUGAAAAAAUAGGAGGGCUAGAGCCUUUCGGUUGUAGGAUGUGCCAUUAGUUGAAAGCUUCGGAUUGUCCUUCGAUUCAUGCACCUUUGCAUUUGAAUCUGUAUUAUAAAUAUUGCCUAGUAAGAUAAUUUGUAGGUUAUAUAAGUUUGUGAUGAAUUGAAACAAUACUCGUAGAUUUCAAAGAUCUGCAAACAAAUUCAUCAUCAGGUUGGACUCGAGGUCAUCAACUACAACCUGCAACGAGCAAGAGACCUUUCUAUAAAUUUUCAGUUCGGGGAAAACGUUACUUUUAAAUAGCUAAAGCAUGGAUCAAAGAUGGACGGGGAACAAGUAAAAGCCUGUCUCAGCUAGGAAGUUCGGCUAUGGUUGACGGAGGACAACAACACCGGUUCCAAACUGCAGUUAUAUCAUUUUCAAGUCAGUAUCUACAAGAGCUGAGAAUUACCGACUAAGGCGGAGAAGACAUGUACCUCAAUGAAAUAAAAAUAAGAGGAUAAGAGAUUAGGUUUUUUCCGGUUGUAGGAUGUGCCACUAGUUUUGAAGCUUCAUUAUUGCACCUUUACAGUUAAAUCUGAAUUUAAGAUAUUACCUAGUAAGAUAUCUUAUUAUUAUUAUCUAAGUCAAGGAAUUGAGAAGAUAGUAGAUUUAGAAGAACUGCAAACUCAAUAUCAGGUUGGUGGACUUGAGUUCGUAAACUACGACCUGCAACGAGUAAGAUACGUUUCUAUAAAUAUUUCAGUCAUGGGAAAACUAGGAUUAGGAAAGUAGGUAAAAACGAAUGAGGAGGUAAAGGAUGAGUAAGUCUGUCUCCACUGUGAAGCUAGGUCAGGUAGACACAUGGCUUUCAAUUAUAUCCCUUGCAAGACACUAUCUGCAAGAGCUGAAAAUGACUAAGGCAGGGAAAACUAAUGUCUGCUGAGUUCUAAUUAAUACUGUAUUGAAUAAAGAAGGUCCAAAAAGUUUAGCCACAGAAAAAGAACCGCCAUGCUGAGCCAAAAUAAGAGCACCCGCUAGGCCUGUGCAAUUCCAGAUUCUGGAUAACCAGCAAACAAUCCAAAUCAGAAUUGUUGGGAGAAUAAUUGAACCGUGGAGAAGAACAAAUUGAACAGAAUUUUGAUCAUCCAAACACAGGUCGGUCAGCAAGAAGAUAGUACGCCGCUCCCACUAAGCCGAGUAAUCUCAAUUUGUGACAACGAGCAAUGAAUCCAAAUUAAAGUUAGGCUAGAACUGAACGAAUCCAAAUGAAAUGAAGUGAAAUUCAGAGGAUCAUCUGAACACGGAUCUCAAGUUCCAGGUUGAUGUGCGAUCCAAAACUUCAGUCCAACACCAAACAUCAUCCCUGGAGACCUCUGACCAUAUGAAACCAAACCACCAUCCUUUCGGUUCAUCUAUGCGGAACCACUUCCUGCUUCUGCUGCAUCUGAAGGAGCACAAACACAAACCAAAAGCGAGAUCAACUGCUACAAUAAGAAUCCACCAAUACCUCUAAUCCACCUUAUAUUGAUUAUGAUGGAACUCGUGAUGAGAACUAGAAGACCACACGGGCAAUAGGCAUGUUAUCUGACCUACCUAAAAUCCCCUUGAACAUACACCAUCAUAGUGAUCUCCACAUAUCAGAUCCCAUCCGGCAUGGGAACACAAACGAACCAACAGUUACUGACCUGACACCGCAACAGACACACAGCAAAGGUUUGCAUAUGUAGGCACAGACUUCCUAAAUAAAUCCUGCAGUGCAACCCACACACUUAUAGGAAGACCAACACAGGGAUCAAGAGUACAGAUAUAACCAAUCAAACAACAAAGAGAUAGAUAGCAAACCAGAAGAUUUUUGACUCGCUACAAGCAUUGUCUUAGGCAAAACAGAUCUGCAACGACAUGGAGGGCAUAAGCACAAAUCAAAGACAUGAAAAUGUAGCUGAAUGAAAUAAAAAUAGGAGGGUAGGAGAUUAUUAUUUUUCCGGUUGUAGGAUAUGCCACUAGUUUGAAGCUUCAUUCUUGCACCAUUCGCAGCUAAAUCUGAAUUUAAAAUACUGCCUAGUAAGAGAUCUUAUUAACAUUAUCUCAGUUAAGGAAUUGAGUAGAUAGUGGUUUUAGAAGAACUGCAAAGUCAGCAUCAGGUUGGUGGCCUUGAGUUCGUAAACUACGACCUGCAACAAGCAAGAUACAUUUCCAUAAAUGCUUCAGUUAGGGAAAACUAGGAUGAAACGAUGAGGAGGUAGGAUAAGUAAGCCUGUCUCGACUGGGAAGGUCAGGUAGACAACACCGGUUCCAAUUAUAUAUCCUUUGCAAGACACUAUCUGCAAGAGCUGAGAAUGACUAAGACAGGGAAAACUAAUGUCUGAUGAGUUCUAAUUAAUAUUGAGUAAGAAAGUUCCAGAAAGUUCGAGCCAGGAAAGA
rnacentral:lncRNA from 1 species